rnacentral:lncRNA from 1 species
UAAAAAAAAAAAAAAGUGUAAUUAUAAAAUACAAAGUUAAUAGUGUACAGUAAAAAUAAAAUUUAAAGAAAUAUUUUGAUAAAAUUAAUAAAAAUAUUAUAAUUUUCUCAUCACAUGAGUGAUGAAUUAAAUCAACUUAGUUUGUAAGCUAUAGCUAAGGAUGAUAAAAAGUUUGGGCCGGCCCAGUAUAUUCUUGCAAACUUUGGCUUGGGCUUCUACACGAGGGCCGGACGAGGGCUCAAGGAAAAAAAGACUGAGCCUAACCCAGUCCUCUAUUUUUUUAAAAAUAAAAUUAUGAAUUAGGAUAACAAAUUAAAAUUCAAAAAAUAAUGAAAAAUUAAAAAAAAAAGCUUAAAUCCCUAAUUCAUAUAUCAAUAAUGAUUCAAAUAACCUAAAAUUAUAAUACUAAACUUAUUUUAAGCAUUAAUUAAUUGAGAGGGUACUUGAAUUAGAAAAUUCAAUAUUAAAACAUUAAAUCUCUCAAAUUUUAUUUGCUUCAUUUUUGUUAUUUAUUAUUUUAUUUGAAAAUAUUUAUUUUCUUUAAUUUAUUAUUGAUUGUAACAACUUAUUGAUUAUUAUCUCAUGUCAAGUUUACAAUAAUAAAAAAUAAAAAAGUUUGCAAUAAAAAAAAUUUAAAAAAUAAGUAAAAGUCCAAGCCCAGCCCAAGCCUGGCUCACCCUGCAAUGGCCUGGCCCAAGCUCCCAUUCUACCAUCCCUAGCCACAACAACUAGUAAUUUAUAAAAAAAUGUAAGUGUUGUAGGUUAGUUUUUAAGUUACAGUUGUAAAACUUCAAUACUAAAUAGAUAUUUAGGGGUUUUUAUUUUCUUUUUUUUUCCUUUGAUAAAACAGGGCUUUUGUUAAAAGCACUUCCAAAGACAAUAUAGAAUCACAAGAAACAAAGGGAUCAACUUAUGUGGCAUAGAGACAUCAUAUAGAUGUACCGAUUCAUCAUCACUAACAGUCACCAAAUAGCUCGAUUUAUGAACUUGUAAAAUCUUUUUUUUUUUCUUUAAGUGUAAUUUCAUCGUAUAGAUGUAGUUUUUUUCCCCCUUCCUUGAAUAAGCUUAUUCACAUCCCAACAAUAGAAUUUUACAUUGAAUAAUGAGUGUGUGUUUUACAAGUAUUAAGAGUAAUUAUGUCAUAUUGGUUUAUAAUAGAUUGUCUUUAACAGUAAUUCAACUUAUGAGUAUUAUGAGUAUUUUUAUAAUGAAUUAUUUUAUAUAAAUAAAUGUGUUCAUAGCAAUUUUUGAAAGUACAAAUAUCUCCACCCUCAUAUUAAUUAUUGUUAUUGAUAUUAUUAUUUGUGCAUGGUAUAUACACGGAUGGAUCCAGUAUUAGACUAGUUGGGGCACGGGCCCUCGCUGACUUUUGUAAUAUUUUUUAUGAUUAUAAAAAAAUGUAUUUAAUUUAUUAUUUAAAAUAGUGCCCCAAUUGAAAUUAGAAUUAUGAAAGUGUUCCAAUUAACUUCAAAAGAUUUUAUGUUGCCCUUAAUUGAAGUGUCUAAUUUUAGAUGAUUUGAUUCACUAUUAAAACAUUAUGAAACUUAAAUAAAGACAAAAGAUAAUUGAUAUUUUAAACAAAAUAAAAAAUAAUUAAAAACUAAAGAUGUAUACUUUGCUCUUUUUAUUUUUCUGGUCUCUUUCCAAUGCUUUGAAUCAAAACCACUUUCUUUAUUUGUUUGUUAUGGUCGUAGUGUAAUAAUCGAUCAGAGUAAUGCACGUGCAUCAGUGCAUGGAUUUCAUCCCAAUUCCCAUAAAUCAAAAGCACUUUCCUUUAAUUGUUUAGUUUUUCGAUAUUGAUUCUUAAAUUAUAAGUCUAGCUAAUUUUAAUUUUCAAUUAUUCCUAUUAAUCUUUUAUCUAGUUUCCAAAUCUCAAUUUUACUAUCUAUUCAUAUUUUCUCUUCGUGUUGCACUAUAUGAAUAUUUGGGAAAUUUACAAAAAUAACCAUAAAAGUUUUACUGUUUUCACAAUUAAUCCUUUAAAUUUUUUUCUAUCAACAUUAGCCAAACACACGCUUUUCUCCCCAAAUUACCCUUGUUUACAAAUCAAAAGCAACAGUCGUGGGUGAAUCUGGCGACAGGCGUCUAUCGCACCAAGCUUGGUGCGACAGACUGCCUGUCGCACAAAGCUACGUGCGACGGGCUGCCUGUCGCACAAAGCUACGUGCGACAGGCGUCUGUCGCACCAAGCUGCCUGUCGCACAAAGCUACGUGCGACAGGCGUCUGUCGCACCAAGCUUGGUGCGACAGGCGCCGGUCGCACCAAGCUUGGUGCGACGGGCGCCUGUCGCACGAAGCUGUAAACUGAUUAUGGAUUAUGAAGCAAAUUCCAGAAUCAGGGAUCCUGUCUACGGCUGCGCCGGCACGGUUUGCCAUCUGCAGAAACAAGUCAGUGAGCUUCAGGCUGAGUUAGCCAAGGCACAGGCCGGGCUCGCUUCCAUGCAAAGCCAGCAACAAAAUUUGAUUGCUUUGAUUUGCAUGGAAAUGGCUCAAUCUCAAGAACAAGUCCUGCAUCGUCAUCAGCAGCAGCAGCUGCAACAGCAGUUCAUUGAUACAAGCUGUUUUUUGGACGAAUACAGUCUUGGCUCUACCUGGGAACCUCUCUGGACAUGAAGAGAAGUUAAAGCAAUAGGAGUGGUUGAAACUUUUGAUUUGAAGUUAAAGCUAAAUAACCAAAUGAUUUGAAUAAAUCUCGUUGAAGAGAAUAGAAGAUAAGAAAGAGGGAAACAUUUUUGCUUUUAUCGGAUUCUGUGCAGAAAGCCCUGCACCAUUCCACCUUCUUUCUUUUUCUUAAAAAAAUAUAUAUAUAUAUUUGUUUCUAUAUCUUUCUUAGUUUCCUUCACCUCCGUUCACUCUUUUUCUGGUUUUGCCUUCAAACUCAUGUUCUGCAACUUUCUACACUAGCUCUCCUCAGUAGCUUAUUCUUACGCAGGGAUUGACUUCAAAGGAUGAAGAAUCCUAUUUAUCUAUCCAAAUUCGUUUAAAUUUCGCAGAAUUCAACUCUUGGAUAUGCAAACUUCAGUUACGCGUAAUUCAAGAUGAUAAAUUAUAACCAGCAUAUCAUCAAUAGACCAAAAGCACAUUGAAAUACUAGAUAUCUACAUAAAUUGGAAUUUUUUUUUAAAAAAAAUUAUAAUGCUUUAAUGUAUUUACAAAAAUAAAUUUCUUAUUUUAGUGGAAUCGCUUGUGAAUUAACAUAUCAUUUGCUUGAGAAAAAGACCAUUAGUGCCGCCGACGAUGGGAGUUUCUUCGGUUUGGGAGAGAUGGGUGAAAGAGAGAUUGUUGGUGGAGAGAAGAGAGAGAGGGGUAUUUUGGUCUCAAAGGUUUUUUUAUGGCUAAUGUUGAUAGAAGUUUGUUUGGGGGGUUAAGAUGGAAAAAGUCAAAACUUUUAUGGUUAUUGGUGUAAAUUUCCCUGAAUAUUUUUGCUAUUCAGUCACAUCAUACAGACGUACAAAUUCAUUAUCACUAACAGUCACCAAAUAGCUCAACCGUUUUUUAAAAUCAAUUGAACUAAUUCUCCCAUUCUGUUGAAAAAUAAAUUAAUACUAAAUGAUACUCAGUUAAUAAAUGGAUACACUUAAAAUGGAAAUCAUCAAGAAUGUUAGAACCGAAGAAUUCAAUCCAAAAUCAAACUAAAUUUUAAUAUGAAUCGAACCAAACUGAAUGACUCAGACAAUUUGGUUUCUAACAUGAAAACCAAGCCAAACCUGUGAUUGAAUGACAAAACAGAAACGUAAAGAAGGUAAAAGAUAGAGAAAUAGAAAUUUCUGACAAAAGUAAAGUUUUAAGUAUCUUUUAUAUUAACCCUAAAUAAGUGAAUUUAUCAAAAGAGGCAAAUCCAAAAUAUUUUAAAAUAGUAAAAUAUUAUCAUUGGAAAUAAAAAAAAAAUAAAAAAUGACACUUAGAUACGAUAUUUGGAAAAAUAAAAAUCAAAAUUUGGAAAGAAACUAAGAAAAUAGGAAAUUAAAUAUCUUUUGCUUGCAAACAUGGCCCAAAACAAUGGGAUUUCAAAAUAAUUCGCUAAGUUUUUAUGAUAUUGUGAUAAACCUCCUUAUUCAUCUUUUCAUAAGCUUCUAUAUAUAUAUAUAUAUAUAUAUAUCUCAUUCCCUUGAAAAAAAUUUUAAAAGACGAUGUAUUAAUUUCCUCUCAAAUUGUCAAUCAUUUGAUUUUGACUGAAUUAUUUUAGACCAUUAAUCAAUAUACAAUAAUGUAUCGAUAUAACUAUGGUAUGUUUACUAAUUAGUAAUCGGAAUGAGCCGGAAUCAGAAUGGAGUGGAAUUGGAAUGGACUUUAUUACUAUUGAUGUAUUUACUUUAUCUUGAAAUCAGAAUGAAUUAUCACAAGUUACUAAACCGACCUUAGUUGAUUAUUUCAUUAUUUAUAAUAAUAAUAAUAAUCAUCAUCAUCAUCAUAAUAUGAAUAAUAGUUAUUAUUAUUGUUAUUAUUAUUAUGGUGAUGAUGAUGACGACGAAAAUUUCAUUGUUGAUGACUUUAGGGAAUGACAUUCUUACUCCCAUCUCCCCCAUAGGAAUGGGAACUCUAGUAAUCAUUCCUAAUUUUAAGUGAGGCCCACAACUUUGAUUCUUAUUCUGCCUUUUAUUUAACUAGGUAAAUGUAUCAUUUAUUCAUAUUCCUUGAUUUUCAUUCCCAUUUCCAAUAGGUAAAUACAACACUAAUGUAUACAAUAAUGAAAUCGCAAUAGAUACGAAAUAGGAUAGAAGGGAAUAUUAUUCUUUGAAUAUAAUUUUUCUCUAUAAAUUCAAGGGAGUACUUUCUUUAACACAUAUAGUUAUUUUUCCUCUGCCCCCAAAUAUUUCACCAAUUUUACUGCAUACAUACUUGCUUCAACAACCAUCACGUGCUUUUAAUUUAUGGGAACUGGAAUAAAAUCCACCUACUGAUGCAUACACAGUUCUCUAAUCGGCUACUGCACUAUCAUCACGACAAACAAAUUAAGAAAGUGCUUUUGAUUCAAAGCACUGAAAGUAGAGUGAAUAUCUUUUGUUUUUAAUUGAUUUUUUUAUUUUAUUUUAAAUAUUUAUCGUCUUUUGUCUUUAUUUAAGAUUCAUAAUGUUUUAAUAGUUAAUGAAAUUAUCUAAAAUUAGACACUUCAACUAAGGGCAAGAUGAAAUCUUUUAAAAUUAAGUGAGGCAGUUUCAUAAUCCUAAUUUCAAUUGGGGCACUUUCUAAAAUAAUAAAUAAAAUACUUUUUUAAUUUAUUUAUAAUCAUCAAAAAAAUGAUUUCAGAAGUCAGGUAGGGCCGUGCCCCAACUAGUCCACUAUUGGAUCCAUCCGUGUAUAUACCAUGUCCAAAUAAUAAUAAUAAUAAUAAUAAUAAUAAUAAUAAUAAUAAUAAUAAUGGUAAUGGUAAUUUAUGUGAGAAUGUAGAUAUUUGUAUCUUUAAAAAUUAUUAUGAAUGCUCUUAUUUAAAUAAAAUAAUUCAUUAUAAAAAUAAUUGUAAUACUCAUAAGUUGAAUUACUAGUAAGAAUAAUCUAUUAUAAAAGGGAAAUUUACAAAAAUAACCAUAAAAGUUUUACUGUUUUCACAAUUAAUCCUUUAAAUUUUUUUCUAUCAACAUUAGCCAAACACACGCUUUUCUCCCCAAAUUACCCUUGUUUACAAAUCAAAAGCAACAGUCGUGGGUGAAUCUGGCGACAGGCGUCUAUCGCACCAAGCUUGGUGCGACAGACUGCCUGUCGCACAAAGCUACGUGCGACAGGCGCCUGUCGCACCAAGCUUGGUGCGACGGGCGCCUGUCGCACGAAGCUGUAAACUGAUUAUGGAUUAUGAAGCAAAUUCCAGAAUCAGGGAUCCUGUCUACGGCUGCGCCGGCACGGUUUGCCAUCUGCAGAAACAAGUCAGUGAGCUUCAGGCUGAGUUAGCCAAGGCACAGGCCGGGCUCGCUUCCAUGCAAAGCCAGCAACAAAAUUUGAUUGCUUUGAUUUGCAUGGAAAUGGCUCAAUCUCAAGAACAAGUCCUGCAUCGUCAUCAGCAGCAGCAGCUGCAACAGCAGUUCAUUGAUACAAGCUGUUUUUUGGACGAAUACAGUCUUGGCUCUACCUGGGAACCUCUCUGGACAUGAAGAGAAGUUAAAGCAAUAGGAGUGGUUGAAACUUUUGAUUUGAAGUUAAAGCUAAAUAACCAAAUGAUUUGAAUAAAUCUCGUUGAAGAGAAUAGAAGAUAAGAAAGAGGGAAACAUUUUUGCUUUUAUCGGAUUCUGUGCAGAAAGCCCUGCACCAUUCCACCUUCUUUCUUUUUCUUAAAAAAAAUAUAUAUAUAUUUGUUUCUAUAUCUUUCUUAGUUUCCUUCACCUUCGUUCACUCUUUUUCUGGUUUUGCCUUCAAACUCAUGUUCUGCAACUUUCUACACUAGCUCUCCUCAGUAGCUUGUUCUUACGCAGGGAUUGACUUCAAAGGAUGAAGAAUCCUAUUUAUCUAUCCAAAUUCGUUUAAAUUUCGCAGAAUUCAACUCUUGGAUAUGCAAACUUCAGUUACGCGUAAUUCAAGAUGAUAAAUUAUAACCAGCAUAUCAUCAAUAGACCAAAAGCACAUUGAAAUACUAGAUAUCUACAUAAAUUGGAAUUUAAAAAAAAAAAAAAUAUAAUGCUUUAAUGUAUUUACAAAAAUAAAUUUCUUAUUUUAGUGGAAUCGCUUGUGAAUUAACAUAUCAUUUGCUUGAGAAAAAGACCAUUAGUGCCGCCGACGAUGGGAGUUUCUUCGGUUUGGGAGAGAUGGGUGAAAGAGAGAUUGUUGGGGGAGAGAAGAGAGAGAGGGGUAUUUUGGUCUCAAAGGUUUUUUUAUGGCUAAUGUUGAUAGAAGUUUGUUUGGGGGGUUAAGAUGGAAAAAGCCAAAACUUUUAUGGUUAUUGGUGUAAAUUUCCCAUUAUAAAACAACAUUACAUAAUUACUCCGAACACUUGUAAAACGCACUCAAUGUAAACUUAUAUUAUUGGGAUGGAAUAAGCCUAUAAACAAGGAAAGCCAAAAUACUAAAAGAAUUAAUGAGCUACAUAGGUGUCUUGAUUGAAUUGACAGCGAGGAUAAACUCAAUUUCAAAAUUGAAUAUGCGUAUAAAAGUAUUAGUGGAUGAGAACAUGCAGAUAAAAACAGAAACUACAAUGAAAUUACUAUAAAAGCAAAUAAAUUAAUUAGGGAAUUAGUUUCUUUUCACCAAUUAGAUAACAAAUUCGAUAUACUUCAAAAGAAAUAAUACUUUAAAGAAUAUGAUCCUAGAUAAACAUAUUAGCAACAUUAUAGAUCACAAACUUUGGAAGUUGAUACACGGAGUUGAGUGCACAACUAUAUAAGGGGUUAAUUUUAUUUAUAUUUGUUAUCAAAUAUAAUUACAAUAAAAUAGAAGUUUUAUGAUAUUAAAGGAGAGCCUAACUCUUUAUUUUUAUCAUUUUAAAGACCUUCCUUCACCUUAUCCGUAUGUUCUUCCAAGUCAUUUUCAGCCGACCACUUUUAAGAUACUUUCACCACUGUUUACCGCCAACACAACAAAGGUCACCGAUUACUUUUAUUUAGGCAGCUGUUACCGGAGCAGCCGGUCGUCCUUUCUCACAUGUGUAACACACACAUGGUCCUCUACUUGUCAUUCCCACAAUUGGUCACUCAAGUCAAUAGCAAGAAGCAAAGAAAUCUGUCAAAAUCACUUCAGCUGCGUCAUGGCUGGAAAAACAAAUAAAUUAAUUAGGGAAUGAGUUUCUUUUAAUCAAUUAAGUAACAAAUUUGAUACUCAAAGGCAAUGUAAUGCACAAAAGAACCAUGAUCGUAGGUAAACAUGUUAACAAUAUUAUGGAACAAAAACUUCAGAAGCAGGCACCCGUCUGAGAUGGCCUCCUCACAUUUCAAACAAUUAUGCAAAUUUUAAAAGAGUGAUUUACACUUAUUCAAACGCCAUUUUCUUAGUUUUUUUUUUAGUACAUGAGACUAUUACUUAUAUUACAUGAGAUUAUAACUAAUAUUUACAAAUCAAAUUAUUAUUAAAAUUAGUUUACAUCAAUUUUUAUGAAGCACUGUCCAGAUUUUUAACCAUCACUAAUAUUGAAGGGAUGUAUACUCUACUCGCACUUGAUAAGAGAGAAGACUGUUUCCACUCAAUUAUACAUUAUAAAUAAGGAAUAAAUUACCCCCACAAUACGUUUGUGGGGUUUCGAACUACUAUCCUCACAUAAGGGCACCAGCCCUAACCUCCCAACCAAAGUCGAGUGGCUAAAAACCCAAAAAGUCAAUCAAUUAAGAAACACGUAUACUUAAAACACAAAUCAAGUACACUUUGCAAAUGAAAACAUGCCUGAACGAGACCUUUGCUUCUCUCCCCGACUAUGACACAAAACACCCCCCUCCCAAAAAAAAAUAACAAAGAAAUAAAUCACAACAAUUAUGCGAGAAAACGACAACGCUUUAAGUAUAAUUUCCACAUAUAUACCAACCAUUUUAUCCUUCUUUUUAUUUUUGUUCUUCAAUUUUUCUCCACUGCAGCCUGAGGAAGAUGAGAAUUUAUUUACAACGAUUAAGCCACAAAUAUUAUUAUACAAAAUAGUGUGCACAAAAUUCUUUUUUGGGUAAAAAAACAAGUCUAGUAUGUAUAAACUAAUGUGACAUAAAGAGAUUGACAGAAAAGGGAUAAUAAUUAUUUUUUAAAUUAUGUGGACUCACAAUAGUUUUCUACAUUUAAUCUCUUUAUGCUACAUCAUUUCGUACAUAUUUGUUUUUACAAGGUGAUUUUGACUUGUGACUAUCUUGUAUAUCAAAUAGCUUGAUUUCUCUAGUAAUCAGACUAGUUUUAUAUUAGUCUCAAAUAGGUCCCUAGCUCCGUUUAAUGAAUUACAUACCCUUAGCCUUAAACACCAAUUCUUACACCAUCAUAUGUCAUUGCCAAUGGUUCUUUGGUCAUUUAGAAUUAAAUAAGGACCUAAUUACAUGAAUGGACAACUAAAUCAAUACAUUACACCUUAUCACUUGAGCCUUAGACUCCCACUAAAAGGGGUGGACAUUUUGAUUUUAAAUUUUGGGUUAGUCAAAUCAUGAUUCGAGUUGGAAUCCGUUUGGGUUAGAGAAUUUAACCCAAACACAAAACAAACUUUAGCCCGAACCGAAUCAAACCAAAUUAUUCAAAUUGUUUGGUUUCUAAUUUAAAAACUAAACCAAACUUAAUUUUAGGAUCGAUUCGGUCAGAUCAAUCCAAACCGUUUGCCUACCUUAUUGAAUGGAAUAAACUUUUUACUAUUAUAUUAAUAAGAAAAUUAUUAAUCCUGAGUGUAGAUGUUGCUGACUGCCUUGAUAAAUCAUUUGUUCACAUCAAACUGAGGCAUGAGAUAAAUAAAGGUGUAGGAGAUCUAGAGGAAGCUGCAACAUACACAAAAGCAAUAUUAUAUGGAUACGCCAUGCCGAUACUGUGUGUGAAUGAAGAUUCACCAAUGGACUGGGGGAAUGCUAUAGCGAAACAAAUUAGUAGCUGACAAGGAUUAACAUGUCACAGAGUUAAUAGGGGGUUUUGCACAUCUUGAAAGAUCAGGCAAGACCACAAUGUUGAAGCUGGCCUAGCUACUUGAAAGAAACGAGUUACUUACUUCACUUUGGUGGAGUGCAAAUAUACCACCUACACUAUAUAUUGUUGAAAAGUCAAAAUGAGUCUCACAUGCACUGUCAAAUUGCCGAAAAUUUUGGAAGAGUUGGGAGUGUUGGAGUUGGGAUGUUACAGGUAUUUGUCGUAGCAGGAAUUGGAACAUGCAAGGGCUCCAUCAAGUUGCCCACCAUCAAAUCAGGUCAAAGCACAAAAUGUAUCAACAGAUGGAUAUGCAUUUCCUUUUGUUUGAGAUCUUGUGAGUACAAUGCUCUUAGUCCUUAAUACCAUACACAUAAACAAUGGCCUAUAUAUAAACACUGCUGUGAUUGAAGAAAGGCAGUAUUGUUAUCGCUGACUUUUACCAAUGGCCUUGAUGGACCAUUUCUUCGCAUCUAACUGAGGCAUAAGGGGUAUAAAGCCUAAGUGUAGGAGAGAAAGCCACAACAUAUGUACAAAAACACAAUAUGGAUAGACCUUAUUGAUCAUGCUGAGUUAAUUGAUCUCUCUGUGAAUGAAGAGGAUUCCCGUUAAUGCCACAGCGGAACCAAUUUUUAGGAACCAGGGUGGACAUGUCAAAUAGUGAACAGGGGUUUUAAAUCUUGAAGGGAUACAAGACCACAGUUUUGAAGCUCACCUGGCUGCCUGAAACAAGCGAGUUAGUUAACGACGUUGGUGGAGUUCGACCCUAUAAUUAAUUGACUAAUAUCACAAAGAAAAAGGUAUAUUGGUUAUCAGAAUUUUGCAUCCACUUGAGCCAUUCUGAAUAGUGAACUUUUCUUGCAAUGUGAAUAUGUUUUGUUUUGUUUUUUUCCUCCCUUUUUCUGAAGGCCUGAGAAUUUGUUCUUAAACCCGACUUAAUCUAAUAAGCUUGCUGCAUGCUAUAGUCAGCGUAGGAUCUGGUGUCUCGACCAUGUGAUCUUUUUCCUCGAGUUGCUUGUGCCUAAAGAUGCAAGUAGCUAUGCGGAUUCCAACCUCUGAAUUCUAAUCAUCCAUGUGUUUUUGUUCUUAGUCACAGCAAUCACGAACAUACACUAAUUUGGUUCAAGAGGUAAGACCACUUGAGAUAGUACGCAAAGCCGUUAAACCCAAAAUUAUUAAGACUUAAGGUGGAUUCAUAUACUUUGAACUAGUCUGCUUUCUAUAUCACAUGGAUUCAAAUUUGAAAUUGGGCCAACCUCUUUUUUUUUCAAAAAAGAAAAGAAUUAAUUUUCCCUAUUAAGGUUUUCUCAUUGUUAAUGGAACCGGAGUCUCUGACAAGAGGAAUUUUAAAAUACGUCAGAUGUAAUACAAUCAAUCAAUGCAUCUAUAAUAUGUGUGGUUGAAUUUUAUAUAGCCACCAAUUAUAUGCUGAUUCUUCAAAAUAAUUACACAUAUAUCAUAACAUCAUUUACUUAUUGUAUGACUAAUAUAAUACCUCAAAGAUAUUUUAAAAAUUUUCCAUAGACAACAGUCAAUCAAGGGUAAAUCUUAAAUUACGUCAGAAAAAGUCUUUGAAAAAUAUUGAAGAAAGCAUUUACUUGUAUAAUAAAAAAUGCAUAUGAGGGGACAAAAAGAGUGAAGGUACGAGUUUCACUAUUAUCACAACAUUUAUUACUAUUUCAAACAUAGAAAUGUGAACAAUAAUGUAUUUUGUCGAAUUUUCUCUGUUGGUUAUUAAAAUUACUAUGUGUACAUGUGAUGAUUGCUUGCUACUGUGCAAUCCGAUAAUUUGACUUGGAGAAGUAAUCAUAGAAAUGUGAUGAUUACUUGGAGGAGAUUACUCCUAGACUGGCAAUAUUGGUCGUUAGGUUUCUUUGUAGAGCUGACGACAAACUUAUGAAAAUAACGUGACAUAUUGAUACACAACAACAAUAAUGGCAGUGCCAAUCUAUGCAGUGUACAAAAUGAUAUGGCCAAUUUUAAAAUGCGGAACAAAUGCGGAGACCAAAGAGACUGCAGAAACAGUCCCUGAGACAACAGCAAUAAGACAUCAAAAUUGGGAAGAAUUUUCUCAAUGAAGUCGAGACGUCAGGUCACCUAAAAAUGGAUAACAAUAUAUGGUUGUGACUAUCAGAAAAGACCAUAUGCUCGUUGAGUGUGUUUCAAGCAAGGGCUUUGUUUGGCCUUGCACAUAUGCACCCACAAUGCCGAUGAGUGCCGGAAUCAAAUAUCAAAAAAUGUUGAGAUAUGAGAUCGAGCAGAAGAGAUUUCGCCCACUGCAAAAUCAUUAAAAUGAAUAAUCAUCUUCUGUAUAUCCCAUUUCUUUUGAAAAAAAAAAUUAAAAUUAAAAAGACGCUAUAUUAAGUUCCACUCAAAUUGUCUGUCAAUUAUUUGCUUUCAACAAAUCCAAUUCUCCUAUAAAAAUUUGAUGAAGUGCUUUUCUAGUUUCCUUAACAUAUAUGAAAUAUUUUUCAUCUGUAACCCUGUUUCAUCAAAAUUUUACUAUAUACACGCUUGUUUCAACAACGAUCACCAUCACCCUUUAGUGUUACAUAUUGUUGUUGUCGUUAAUUUUGACAAUUUUGACGAUAAAAUAUAAAUUUACCCUCAUUUGAAUUUUGAAAUGUAAAAUUAUCAUAAAACCAUAACAAUAGUUUCAAAUUCCAGUUGACCUGUGCGGAAAUUAAAAUUUCUUAAAGGUUAGAAAAAAGUAAAAAUGUUUUGUUAUGGAAUCAAAAUAUCCCCUCUACCAUCAUCCAUAAUUAUCUAUUCUUGAUAACAAUCUAAUAAACUUGAAAAAGCAAUACAUCCAAUCCCUGUCAAUCAAACAGCCAAACUUCUUCAUAAAGUUUAGCUUUUACUUCUGAAAAUUCUAAUUCUUGAGACCCUAAAUAAAUGGAUAUUCAAAGUUACAUGUUUCUAGAACGAAAAUCUUCAAUUUAGUCCUUUUAAAUUUUGAAAACAUUAAUUUACAUCUAUUUAUCAGUCAAAGGAUUAGAAUAAAUGGAGGCACAUUGAUGACAAACUUUUUAUCUUAUUAAUGGUAUUUGAUAAAUAUAAAUAAAUUGAAAAUUGUCAUUUUAAGUGGAGGUAAAUUAAAAUUUUACUCUGUAUUUAUAGUGCUUUAGUAAGAGAAAGAAAGAAAACAGAAAACAAAUCUCUUCAACGGGAGGCUGAACAAAAUUUUCAGUAGGGACUCAACCAAUUUUUUUCACGGAAAUUUAAUUAGGAGAACAAAAACAAUUUGAAGUGGACCGCAUAUAUUUACUAAAAUAUAAUAUACAAAUUUGAGUCAAUAAUGAUAAAGAAAAUGACCAUACACAGAAGGGUUUGGAUUUGGAUGAUAAAGAAUCCAGUGGCAGCUCCGUAUUUGCGCAUAUAUAUAUAUAAACCCUGGAUUGAGUUUUCUUUUUAGCGAAUAACGUAGGGAACAGAAAACCUGAUCAAUUUGAAAAAAAAAAAGUAAUAAUAAUAAUUAAAUAAAAAAAUUAAAAUGUAACCUCAGCUUGAAACUUGGGAAUGGGAGGAUAAAAGGAAAAGGACAAUAAAAAAUAAAACUCUCACUUUAAGAACAUCUCAACUAUCUCUGCUUAAAAAAAUUAUCUCAUCUCGUGUGUGUGUGUGUGUAGGUAAAACGAGCCUCAUUUUUUAAUUCAAUUUAAUCUCCAAUCGUGAAAAUUUGGUUAAGCUAAAAUGCGGUGCGACCGGGGGGAGUUUCGUCGGAAGGUAAUCGGAUAUUAAAACGAACUCAAUAAGUUAUCAUGAAGCCUAUCGGCAUCAUACUGAAUUACUGAUGCAAAGACAAGCGUUGAAAAUGACUUCUCAGUUUCCAUUUCCCUGUUCCCAUCAAGGGUCAAAGGGCUCCAUUAGCUGCGCGUAAAGGGCCCCAGUGGGAAAUUUAAUCGGUAAGGGGUCCCAGUCAAAAAUGUGAAGGCAUUAAACAAUAGGGGUAAUUUGGGUAUUCGUUUAUUUAAUUUAAUUCGAUUUAAAGUAAAUAAGUUUGAGUUUAAAAAAAAUUAAUUUAUUUAAUAAAUGGUGAAUUCGACUUCAUUUUCACUUUUAGGUUAAUCUGUAUUAAUUAUUUUUAUACUUAUUUAAUUCUUUAUUUAUUGUUAUUGAAGUUUGUCCAGUCAUUUAUUUAUAAGUUUUUCUUUUAUGGAUAUAGUUUAAUAAUUUGGUUGAUGAUUAUGUUAAUCAAUUCUUUUAGGCUCAAUAUUUGAUUCUCUAAUCAUUUAAUUUAGACUUUGAAUUAAGUGUCUAUUUCUUUUUACAGUUCUAAGAGUUGGUUUUGUAGGUUGGACUUGAUCCUUUCAAAACGGUGUUAUUUAUUCAUUAAGUGUACAUGAUUUCUUUAAGAUACUGACAGCCAAAGGGAGAAAAAAAGAAAAAAAGAUUGGAAUGCAUAUAAAGAUACAAAUUAACGAUGAAAUAUGUAGGGAUAACCAAAAAUAAACAAAUAGUUAAGCAACUUUUCUUGAAUCUAUAGAUUUUUUUUUUUUAUCUUCUCAUAUUUUUUACAAAAUUAUUUGAAGAAUUAUUAUAUUUUUUAAUAUAAGAAUUUAUUAAAGUUGAUUAAUUAUUAUGCUCUCUCAUGCAAGCAAGAAUCAUUAAUGAAUAUGUGAUGAUUUGAUUAUUAGGUGUCCAAUAAUAUCCUACAAUAGCUUUUUUUUUUUUUUUUGAUACACUUAUAUAGUACAAUUAGAAUUUUUACUGAUAUUUACAAUCAGAAAUUAGUCGGAACCAUCCUGAAUAAGCCUAUUACAGCACAACCCGAAGUCAACGCUCACUUAAAAGCUGGAGGUGAUCAAUCCUACCCCAAUGUGGGUAGAUAACUAACCCCUAUUAUAUAGGGGAGUCAAUCCUACAAUAGCUUAUUGAAUUGCAAUACUUGGAUUAAAUCUCUUAAGAAAUUGGCUUUCUCAUCUUGUUGCAGAACUCAGUUAGCAACUUAAACACUAUUUCAUGUUGUUUGUCAAACUUUAUCCCUCUUAUUUUGCCUUGUGUCUUCUUCUUAGUCUAAUAAACUGCAUAUAAUAUUAUUACGUAUGAAUACAAGAAAUAGGAAAACAUAUAUAUAUAUAUAUAUAUAAUAAAAAAAUUUAAUAUUACCAGAAAUGUCUAGAGCACUAGGUAGUGCAACAUAUUUGUCAUUUAUUUGUAUAUACAUCAACUGUUGGAGAUGUUUGAAAGAAAUAUGAUCCAAGAGCCAUGCUACAAUGUAUUAUAAUUAUAUAAACCAAAUGACUAAACCAACUAUAUAAAUUCUUUCUCGCAAACAAGAUGAAGCACUAGAAAGUCAGCCAUAAGAUGUGCUUACCAUUUGGUUUCUUUUUUUUUUCAAAGUGAGUUUCAUAGUCUUUUUAUGUUAAAAAUCAACUUUAGUAUAUUAUGUGAUGAUUUUUCAAGUUGGAUUAUUUUAUUAUACUUUGAUUAAUUUUAUUAGUAUCCGAUCAUAUUAUGCAUUGUCGCACAAAAGGUUCUCGUACACAAGUUAUUUUUAAUUUAAAGUUUUUGUUAUUAGAUUUCAAUUUGUAGGACUGAAAUUUGUAAUCACGACUACUUAUUCUUAACAAUGAGACAAAAAGUUUUCUAAUACAAUAUAUAACUUGCCAUUUGCCAAAAAGGUAAUGGUCAGAAGAUAACAAUUUUUCGACUAAAAAUUUUUUCAUCACUGGAUAUCAAUUUACGUGACUAAAAUACGUCAUCAUAGAUGCUUGCUUUAAAUGAUGGUUAAAAAUAGUCAUUAAACUUUUCAGUUAUAAUGUAAAUAGUCGUGAAAAAAAAAUAUUGUUGUUAAAAAUCAUUUAAGACAAUAUUUAAUCUACUUUGCAACAAAAGAAACAGUCACAAAAUAACAUUUUUCGAUUCAAAAUUGUUUUGCCACGAGAUAUCAAUUUAAGUGACUAACCAUUGUAGUUGUGGAUGUAGGGAUGGCAAUGGGGCGGGGUGGGGGUGGGGAUGCCUACCCCAUUCCCCACCCCAUUAAAAAAUUUUGCCUCCAUUCCCCAAUAAAUUUAGUGGGUUGGGGAUGGGGAAUCCCCACGUGGGGAAUGAUUCCCCCAUCCCCACCCCAUUCCCCAUUUACAUAUUUUAUAGUAGAUAUAAAAAUAUGAUUUCAGUAAAUUAAAAAUUAGAGACUUAAGAUAAAAUCAUCACAAUAUUAUAAAGUAUUUAAUUUUUUUAAAAAAUCUCUAAAAAUUUGAAACAAUAUCUUAAAAUGAUAUUAAAAGUGAAAAAUAUUUAAAGAAAACAGCACCUUAAAAGAGAAAAGAAAAUAUAUUAAUGUUUUAAAGUUAAAAAAUAUUGUAGAAUUUUCUUUUAUUCAUAUUCUAUUUAUAUUACAUAAAAAUUAAAAAAAAUUAUUAAUUGACAUUAUAGUUGAUAAAAUACAAAUUAUUAAAUAAGAAUUAAAAACAUAUUUAUAUAUAAUGGGAAUGGGGAUUGGGGUGGGGGUGGGGUGGGGAGUGCAAUACCAAACCCUACCCCGUUAACAAUUUGGGGAUUACUUUUCCUCCACUCCCCACCCCAUUCCCCAAAAAUUAUUAAAAAAUUUCCCCAUUUGGGGUGGGGCUCCAUGGGGCCCCAAACCCGUGGAGGAUUUUGCCAUCCCUACGUGGAUGUUUGCUUCAAAUACCGAGAAAAUAGUCACCUGGAUUUUUCUGAUACGAUGUUACUAGUCAUAAGUGACAACUUGACAAUAAUAUAACGUCGUGAUAGGUAUACUUUAGCGACAAAAACAUAAUGUUGCUAAUUAUAUUUUUGAACCUCUAAAUUGAUGAUUUUGAGUAGCAAUUACUACUAUUUUUACUUACCCUUGAGACAAACAUUUUAGUCACUAUAAAUCACUAAUAGUAACGAAAAUAUAAUGUCGCUAAUUGCACUUUUGACUUUUGAACAUCUAAAUUGACCACUUUGAAUAUCAUUCACGAUGUGUUUAAUUUAAAUUUAGGACAAAUGGUUUAGUCAUAAAAACAUAUUAUUUUAUGUGACAAAUAAUUUUGGUUGCUAUAACCUAAUGUGACACACUUAGUGUGUUACUUUUUGUUAUUCCUGGAUUUGAAAGACAAUUAAUGGUGCACUUACUAAACGAGAGUCGGAAUGGGGUAGAAUCAGAAUGAAUUGGAAUCGAAAUGAGGAAUGAGAAUCAUAAUAAAUUGUGUAUUUUAUUUGUAGGAAUCAAAUUUGGAAUGAGCUGAAUUGCAAUUGAUGUGUUUACUUUGUCUUGGAAUUUAAAUAAGAAUGAAUUAGAUUGUUGUAAAUUACUAAAAAAAAAUUAAUUAACUAUUAUCAUAAUUAUUACUUUUUAUUUUAAUUAUUGUGAUUAUUAUUAAUAAAUAUUGUUAAUGAUAAUUAUUAUUAUUAACAUUAAUAUAAUAAUAAUGGUGAUGAUGAUGAUCAUCAACAAUAUCAUUGUUGGCAUAAUCAUCAUCAACAAUAUCAUUGUUGGCAUAAUCAUCAUCGUCGGCAUUAGAUUAAAACGCGACGGCUACUGUUGCUGCUUGUGACACAACGGCUGCUCAUGACUACUAGAUGUGACGAUUGGCAACUAGUUGUUGCUCCACAAGCAAUGACCGACAGCAACAAGGGAGCUCAUCCACGGAUUGCGUGCUUUUUUUUUAACUGAGGACAAAGUUGGGAUUAUUGAUUAUGUUGGGGGGCAAAAUUGUCACUCCUGGGAAUGAGAGACUAAUUCCCACCCCCUUGGGAAUCAGUCUCUCAUUUCCUAUUCCUAAAUUUGGGUGGGCUCCAUGAUUUCAAUUUCAAUAUUCGCUCUUUUUAUAAAGUAAAUGUUAUCAAUGAUUUCGAUUUUGGAUUCUAAUUCCCCAAUUUAGAAAUUAAACACACCAUAAGUGUAAUUUAUAUUAUGGCAGUUUCAUGGUCGAAAAAUUUCGGUUCGAUUUGGAAUGCCUAUCCCUCUAAUGUUUCACACACACAUGGUCCUCUACUUGUCAUUUCUACAAUUGGUCAUAUGUUUCUAGUCAAUUGCAAGAAGCAAUGUACUCUAGCUAAGUACAUGCAAAGGUCAAAAUCUUAAUCUUAAUUAAUUAAGAUUUAAUUUAUUUUAUAUUUUUAUCUAAUAACUAUCAAUUAUUUUUUCAUAAUAAUUAGAAAAAAAAAUUAGUUUAGUAUUGAAAUCAAAUCCACAUUAGAGUUGGGAUGUUACAAAUAUUUGUCAUAGCUGGAAGUUGAACAUGCAAAGGUUCCAGCAAGUGCCUACCAUCAAACUAGGUCAAGGUACAAAAUGCACCCAACAGAUGGAUAUGCAUGUCCUUUUGUUUGAGAUCUUGUGAGUACAAUGCUCCUAAUCCUCAAUACCACAUACAUAAAAAAAAUGGCCUAUAUAUAAACGCCGUUGUGAUUGAAGAAAAGCGGUAUUGCUAUUACUUACUCUUGCCAAUGGCCUUGAUGGACCACUUUUUCACAUCAAACUAACGCAUAAGAGGUAUAAAGCCUAGGUGUAGGAGAGAAAGCCACAACAUAUAUACAAAAACGCAAUUUGGAUAGACCUUGCCGAUCAUGCUAAGUUAAUUAAUCUGUCUGUGAAUGAAGAAGAUUCACCCUAAUUAAUGCUGAGUAAAUUAUUAGUAACCAGGAUGGACAUGUCAUAUGGUUAAUAGGAGCUUUAAAUCCUGAAACUCACCUGGCUACCUGAAUCAAGUGAGUAAGUUAACCACUUUGGUGGAGUUCGACUAUCUAGUUGACUAAUAUCUCAAAGAAAAGGGUAUGUUGAUUAUCAGAAUUUUACAUUCAGUUAAGCCAUUCUGAACAGAGAACUUUUCUUGCAAUGUGAAUUUGUUUUGUUUUUUUUUUUCUCUUUCCUUUUUCUUGAAGGCACGUGAAUUUGUUCUUAAACCCAUCUUAAUCUAGAUAAGCUUGCUGGAUGCUAUAGUCAUCACAGGAUCAGGUAUCUCAAUCAUGUGAGAUUUUUCCUUGGGUUGUUUGUGCCUAAAUAUCCAAGUAGCUAUGCCUGUUGUUGCCUCUGAAUUCUGAUCAUCUAUGCGUGUUUUUUCUCAGUCACAGCAAUUGCGAACAUACACUUAGUUAGUUCAACCAGUAAGAUUUCUUGAGAUAGUACGUAAAAUCGUUAAAUCAAAAUGAUUACGACCUAAGGCGGAUUCAUUUACUUUGAACUAGUCCUCUUUCUAUGUGGAUUACAAUUUGAAAUUAGACGAACCUAUUUUUUCAUUCAGAAAGAAAAAAAAAAUAUUUUUUUCCCUAUUACAGGUUUUCUCAUUGUUGAAGUAACUAGAGUCUCUCACAAGAGAAAAUCUAGAAUACAUCAGAUGUAAUACAACCAAUUAAUGCAUGUAUGAUAUGUGUAGUUGAAUUUUAUAUAAUCAUCAAUUACAUGUUGAUUCUCAAAGUAAUUGCACAUAUGUUAAAACAUCAUUUACUUGUUGUACAUUAGAUAUAAUACAACCAAUUAAUGCAUGUAUGAUAAGUGUAGUUGAAUUUUAUAUAACCACCUAUUACAUGUUGAUUCUCAAAGUAAUUGCACAUAUGUCAUAACAUCAUUUGCUUGUUAUAUGACUGACAUAGUACCUCAGAGAUAUUUCAGAAUUUUUCCGCUAACAAUACUCAAUCAAUGGUAAAGUUUAAAUUAUGUCAGAAAAAACAUUUGCACAAUUAUUGCUAUUUCAAACAUAGAAAUGUGAAGAGUACUAUAUUUUAUGGAAUUUUCUCCGUUAAUUCUUAAAAUUACUACGUGUACAUGUGAUGAUUGCUUGCUACUGUGUAAGGUGAAACAUUUAAUUUGAAGAAGAUUAAUUCCUUCUAGACUGGUAGUAUAGGUCGUUGCUGCCCUGUCGAGGAAUUCUUAUUAGCUUGAAACCUAUCGCAAAUGUCAAUGCAAAAUGGCUUCAAGGUUUUGUUGUAGAGCUGAUGACAAGCUUCUAAAAACAACAUACCAUAUUGGUACACAACUACAAUAAUGGUAGUCCCAAUCCAUGCAGUGUACAAAAUGAUAUGGUCAACAUUAGAACGUUGAGCAAAUGUAAAGACCAAAGAGAUUGCAGAAAUAGAUCCUAAGACAAUAGCAACAAGGCUCCACAACUGGGAAGAAUUUUCUCCAUGAAGUCGAGAUCUCAGGUCAGCUGAAUGUGCAUAGCAAUAUACGACUGUGGCUAUCCGAAAAGACCAUAUGUCCGUUGAAUGUGUUUCAAGCAAGGGCUUAGUUUAGUCUUGCAUAUUUGCACCCACAAUGCCAAUGAGAGCUGGAAUGAGAUAUCCAAAAAUAUUGGCAUAUGACAUGGAGCAGAAGAGAUUUUACCCACUGCAAAAUCAUAAAAAUGCAUGAUUAACCAUCUUAUGUAUAUCCCAUUUCCUUUGAAAAAAAAUAAAUGAAACUUAAAAAGACCCCAUAUUAAUUUCCAGUCAAAUUGUCUGUCAAUUAAUUAUUUGUUUUUCAAAGAUGCAAUUCUCCUCUAAAAAUUUGAGGGAGCGCUUUUCUAUUUUCAUUAACACAUACGAGAUAUUUUUCAUUUGCGUCCAAAUGUUUCACCAAAUCUUAUUGUGUGCACAUCUGUUUCAACAACUCUCACGGCUCACCGUUUUUGUUAAAUAUUGUUGUUGCCGUUAAUUUUGACAAUUUUGAUGUUAAAUGAUAAUUUUACCAGUCAUUGGAAUUAGGUGUAAAAUUACCAGAAAAUCACGACACUUGUUUCAAAUUCGAAUUUUGACCUAUGUGGAUAUUAAAAUUUCGUAAAGGUUUUUUUUUUUUUUAAAAAAAAAAGAAGUGUAAAAAUGUUUUCUUAUGGGAAUCAAAACAUCCCCUCUACCAUCAUCCAUAAUCAUAUAUUCUUGACAACAAUCUAAUAAACUUGAAAAGCAAGAAAUCCAAUCCGAAUCAAUAAAACAAUCAAAUUUCUUCAUAAAGCUUAGCUCUUGCUUUUGAAAUUUCCAAUUCUUGAGACUCUAAAUAAACCGAUAUUCAAAAUUACAUAUUUCUAGAAUAAAAACCUUCAAUUUACCCCUUUAAAUUUUUGAAAACAUCUAUUUGCCUCUAUUUAUCAGUCAAAAGAUUAGAAUAAAUGGAACCCCGUUGAUGACUAACUUUUUAUAUGCUUAAUGGUAUUUGAUAAAUAUAGCUAAAUUGGGGUAAAUUGAAAUUUUAUUCUACAUUUAGAGUGCUUUAAUAAGAGAAAGAAAGAAAGCAGCAAACCUGAUCUAUUUUAAUAAUAAUAAUAAUAAUAAUAAUAAUAAUAAUAAUAAUAAUAAUAAUAUUAUUAUUAUUAUUAUUAUUAUUAUUAUUAUUAUUAUUAUUAUUAUUAUUAAAUAAAUAAAUAAAUAAAAUUAACAUGUAAACUCAGCUUGAAACUUGGGAGAAAUAAAUAUGUGAAUUUUAUUACAUGUUGAUUCUUCAAAUUAAAAUGUAAACACACUCAAUAAACAUUAGACAUAAUACAACUAAUUAAUGCAUGUAUGAUAUGUAUCAUUGAAUUUUUUUACAUGCUGAUUCUUCAAAUUAAUUGCACACAUAUUAGAAAAUCAUGUGUUUGUUGUAUGAUGGACAUAGUAUCUAAAGAUAUUUUAAAAUUUUUCCUCUGAUAAUGCUCAAUCAAAUUAAGGGUAAAGGUUAAAUUAUGAUAGAAAAAGUCUUUGAAUAAUAUUGAACAAAGCAUUUACUUGUAUACUAAAAGAAUGCAUAUGAGGGGCCAAAAAGAGUGAAGAUAUGAGUUUGACUAUUAUCACAUCAAUUAUUACUAUUUCAAACAUAGAAAGAUGAAACUAACAUAUUUUGUGGAAUUUCCUCUGUUACUUACUUAAAAUUACUACGUUACAUGUGAUGAUUGCUUGUUAUUGUCUAAGGUGAAACAUUUAAUUUGAAAAAGAUUAGUUCCUUCUAGAUUGGUAGUACUGAUUGUUGCUGCCCUGUCGAGGAAGUAUUAUUAGCUUGAAACCUAUUGCAAAUGUCAAUGCACAAUGGCUUCAAGGUUUCGCUGUAGAGCUGACGACAAGCUUCAGAAAACAAUGUCCUGUAUUGAUACACAACAAUAAUGACAGUGCCAUUCCACGCAGCGCACAAAAUGAUAUGGCCAGUAUUAGAAUGUGGAAAAAAGGUGGAGAUCAAAGAGAUUGCAGAAGUAGAUCCUGAGACAACAGCAACAAGGCACCAGAACUGGGAAGAAUUUUCUCGACGAAGUCGAGACUUGAGGUCCACUGAAUGUGCAUAACAAUAUAUGACUGUGGCAAUGAGAAAAGACCAUAUAUUUAUUGAGUGUGUUUCAAGUAAGGGCUUAGCUUGGUUGCCUUGCGCAUUCGCACCCACAAUGCCGAUGAGAGCCGGAAUGAGAUAUCCAAAAAUAUUGGGAUAUGACAUCGAGCAGAAGAAAUUUCGCCCACUGCAAAUCAUUAAACUGCAUGAUUAACCAUCUUCUAUAUAUCCCAUUUCCUUUGAAAAAAAAAAUAAUAAAUAAAACUUAAAAAAGACCUCGUAUUAAUUUCCACUCAAAUUGUCAGUCAAUUAAUUUAUUACUUAUUUUCUUUUGGCUGAUGUAAUCUCCUCUAAAAAUUUGAGAGAGCACUUUUCUAUUUUCAUUAGCACAUGUAUAUGAGAUAUUUUUCAUCUGCGUCCAAAUUUUUCAUUAGAUUUUAUUGUGCGCGGACUUGUUUCAAUAACUCUCAUGACUCACCUUUUUUGUUAAAUAUUGUUGUUGCCAUUAGUUUUGAUGAUUAGUGUAAAAUUAUUAGAAAACCACAACACCUGUUUCAAAUUCCAAUUUUGACCUACAUGGAAAUUAAAAUUUCUUAAAGGUUAAAAAAAAGAGUAAAAAUGUUUUCUUAUGGGAAUCAAAAUAUCCCCUCUACCAUCAUCCAUAAUCAUCUAUUCUUGAUAUUAAUCUAAUAAACCGAUAUUCAAAAUUACAUGUUUCUAGAAUGAAAAAAACUUCUAUUUAUCCCUUUAAAUUUUUUAAAACAUCUAUUUACCUCUAUUUAUCAGUCAAAAGAUUAGAAUAAAUAGAAGCGCGUUGAUGACUAACUUUUUAUCUGCUUAAUGGUAUUUGAUAAAUGUAGAUAAAUUGGGGUAAAUUGAAAUUUUAUUCCACAUUUAGAGUGCUUUAAUAAGGGAAAGAAAGAAAACAGAAAACAAAUCCCUUCGAUACGAGGCUUAACAAAAUUUUCAGCAUGGACCUAACCAAAAUUUUUUCACGCGAAUUAAAUUAGGAGAACAAAAACAAUUUGAAAUGGACUGCAUAUGUAUACUCAAAAAUAAAAUACAGCUUGAGUCAAUAAUGGUAAAGAAAAUGACCAUACACCGAAAGGUUUGGAUCUUGAUGAUGCAGAAUGCAGUGGCAGCUUUGCAUUUGCAUUUAUAUACCUCGCCAAACCCCGGAUUGGGUUUUCUUUUUCACGGCAAAUAAGGCAGGGACAAGCAAACCUGAUCGAUUUUAGAACAAAAAUAAUUAAAUAAAUAAAUAAAAGUAAAAUGUAGACUCAGCUUGAAACCUUGGAGAAAAAAAUAACAAUAACAAAGUAAAAAAAAUCACUUACCUUAAGAACAUCUCAAUUAUCUCGUGGAUUGGGUGUUUAUACGGGCAAAAUGAGGGCCAAUUCAACCCCAAUGUAAUCCCGAUUCCGGAACACGUUUGGUCAAGCUCAAGUGCGGCCGAAUGGGGAGGGUUUCCUAGAAAGGUCGCACGGUAGUCCCCCUUAGAAAGUGAAAAUGAAGCCUAUCCUCAAUCAUACUGAUGCAACACAAGGGAGAUUUUUUUUUGGUUAGAUGUAGAGAAUGAUUAAACAGGUCCCAUCAAGUUCAGCGGGCAAGGGCCCCCCGGUAGCUACACGUGAAGAGGGGGCCCCCAGCGCCCCGGCGGGGAAAUUUAAGUGGUACGGUGCCAAUUAAAAUGUGAUUAACUUAUCAAAUAUCAAGAUUUUUUCCAAUAAGGACAUUAGUUUUGCAUUCGUUCGUCUCAAUUAAAUGGUACGGUCCAAUUAAAAUGUUACUAACUUAUCAAAUAUCAAGAUUUUUUUCCAAUAAGGGCAUUAGUUUUGCAUUCGUCUCAAAUAGGUCCCUAACCUUGUAUGACGACUAAGAUACCCUUAGGCGUUAUAUAACUUAGGAAAAUGAUGUUUGUCUCGGGUUAAAUCCCAAAAAUAACUUAAACGGCGUCGUUUUGAGUUUUUUUUUUCUUUUUUAUACUCCAAAACGUUGCCGUUUCUGAUGGACGAUUUUGAGAAGAAUUAAACAAACCUCUUCCUCUUCGUUUCUUCGUUUCAGCUGGGAAAGCCACAGAUAGAAGAGCAAGUUCGUUAAAAAAAUUUGUUUUUUCGUUUCUUCGUUUCUUCGUUUGUUAAAAAAUUUCGUUACUUUCCUUCCUCGACCAAGGUCCAGGCAUUCGGGAUCCACCAACGGUCACCGUCAACGCUGACAGCCACGGUCACCGUCAACGCUGACAGCCACGGUCACCGUCAACGCUGGUAACGCUGGUAGCCGAAACUUGUUUGGGAAAUUAAACUCACGAAGCGGCAAAGUUCACAGCCUGAGGUAAUGCUUCGUUUUUUCCUCUUUAGGUUAUGGCAAAAUGGGGAAGAUCUAGGUUAGGACAGUUAUGAUUAUUUUUCGGCUGAAUUUGGAUAGCUAUUGUGAUUCCCGUUUUAUUUAAGUGUGUUAAAUUGCAAUUGAUUUUCGGCUGAAUUUGGGUACAAUUUUGAAUUUGCUAAUGUUGAGGUUGAGGAUGAGGAUGAGGAUUAGUAUUAUUGAUGGAGGCUUCUAUUGUGUGCAUUUUGGUAUAUAGAUUGUGUGCAUUUUGGUAUAUAGAUUGCUGGCUGGCUGGUUGAUUGUCGAAUUUAUUGGUAACUUGUUGAACUUGGUUGCUGGUUGUUUGCUUGUACAGUUUAUUGGUAACUUUGUUGAACUUGGUUGCUGGCUGGUUGCUGGUUGCUUGUAGCCUUUCUGGCAUAUUGGUUGUAGUUUCAAACCUUUGUGAUUGUGUGUGUGUGUGUGUGUGUGUCUGUGUGUGUGUGUCUGUGUCUCUGUGUGUGUGUGUGUGUGGUUCUGUGUGUGUGUGUGUCUGUGUGUGUGUAUGGUUGUGUGUGUGUGUGGUUGUGUGUGUGUGUGUGUGUGUGUGUGUGUGUCUGUGUGUCUGUGUGUGUGUGUCUGUGUGUCUGUGUCUGUGUGUCUGUGUCUGUGUGUGGUUCUCUGUGUGUGUGUGUGUGUCUGUGUCUGUGUUUUGAAUGUUUGGAAGAGGUUUUAGUAUGUUAUCUGUUUUUGGAAUAAUAGUUUCCCACCAUACCAAUAAAUCAGGGCUGCAUUGGCUGCCGUCAGGAACUGCCUGAUAAAUAAUUCGAGCCCUGCAUACCAGGAUUGCUUCUGGCUUUCUUUUUUGGGGCUUAUCUCUGUAUGCUUAUGAAGUUUCAGAAUCAUUUGUAAAUCAAAUGCUGUAAUGAUGUUGUGGUUUCCAACAGCCUCACUUGCUAAUCCACUGCUCUUGCUCUUGCUCUGCCAACAACCAAUAUGCCAGAAAUAACACACACACACACAGACACACACACACACACACACACACACACACAGAACCCCACACACACACAUACACACAGAACCACACACACACACACAGAGAACCACACACACACACACAGACAAACACACACACACACACAGAGAACCACAGACACACACACACAGAACCAUACACACACACAAGACACACACACACACACAGAAUUUGACACACAUUGUUCUGGUUUUCUUUUCAUUAUUAACUGUAAUUGUAUCCCUUUUCGGCAGUUUCUUUCCAACGGUAUAUGGCUUCACAAACAAUGUCAUCCAACACAAGCGAGAAUCGAAUGUGUAAUGGAUGCGGUGAUCAGAUGGAGCUGUUAACGUCACACAUAACAAAAAAUCCAAAUCGCAAAUUUUGGAUUUGUAGAGGAUAUAACAACUUUCAAUGGGCAGAAGAUCGUAAAUCUAGCGAAGAGAAGAUAAACUUGUUAGUGGAUGAGGUUAGGAAGUUGGCCUUGGAGAUUGAGUGUUUGGCCGUAAAAUUUCAAUUAUUGCAUAAAGAACUUGAGCAUAUGCGAGAUCGUGAAGUGCAGAGGCAAUUGUUGGACAACGAACUUCGAAAGAGAGAGGCACCACGAUAUGAUUUUAUUAAAUUAAUCAUGAUUGUUGUAUUAUGUUAUCUAUUUAAGUACUGUUUUUAAGUUGUUUGUAUUUGUACUAUGUUACUGGAAAAUACUUCUAUUGUAGAAUUUGACCACGAUAUGUAAUAACAUUUUCAUGUAAUAACAUUUUCAUGCAAUGCUCGGACUCACGGCAUGGUUGUGUUCAAGGAUCAAAUUUCCAAUUACCCAUUUUCCACUAACAAUAUCCAAACGUCCUCCAAUUUUAGCAUUGCAUCCAAUUUUUUGGUUUGGUUGAAGCCGCAAAACAUUAGUGGCUUUGGCUUUUGACUUCCCGUUUCUCCCACAAGUAAAUGUAACAUAUCUCAAACUCCCAUCUUCCCCUUUUCUACAAGAUCUCCGCAUCACUGGAAACCCCUCUUGUAGACCAUACGUUUUAUAAUAUUCAAACAUUUCAUCAGGACUAUCAAAAGACAUCCCAACUGUAGGCUCAACAACAUUUUCCACCACCAAUUCCUCAUUGUUUUCUUCCAAAUUAGCCCCCCAGUAAAUCCUGCAAUUCCCCAACUUCAUCAACCUCCUCCACUUGUUCGAAAUUAUCCAUUAACUGCUGCAAAUGAAAAUGGGAAGAGUUAAUCGAAAUUAUCCACUUGUUCGAAAUUCCCCAAUGCAAAUGCAUGUUAAUUUGCCUAAAGUUUUCAUAUGAUUCUAGGCAGUAAAAGAUGAGAAAAAAGAUUUUAAUCAACAAUGCAAACCCUCCCACCCCAAUUCGUAAGUAUUGCGCAAGUUCUGUAGUUCUUUAAUUGCUCAUGCCGAUUCCAAAAUUUAGUAAUAAUAAUAAUAGAAUAAGAAGAGGAAUUUUAUUCUCGAGCAUUAUCAUACUUUAAUGCAUGUACCCAUUAUAUUAACUUAAUUGUCAAAUAACGGCAAUAUCACCCAAAACAAAGUUUCAUACAAUGUUGUAAAAAAUAAAUUAUGAUUUGAGAACUGAAAAAAUAAUAUGAGAACUGAAAAAAUGAGACAAAUCAAGAAUAUGAGAACUGAAAAAAUUAAUUCAAUGUUACAAUGUUCUAAAAACGAAGGCCAACUUCCUAAAAUAAAAUUAAAAAACAAAAUGCUACAAUGUUAAUCUUCCGUCCAAACUCAGCUUUCAACCGUCCAAAUUCAGCUUGUCCAAACUCAGCUUUCAACCGUCCAAACUCAUCUUGUCCAAACUCAUCUUUCAACCGUCCAAACUCAUCUUUCAAGGACACAUUUCGCAGCCGAAACUCAGCUGCUGUUGGUCUUGUUCUUCAAUGGGUGCGAAACGAAAAAGAAACUCAGACGCUUUCAACUCAGCUUACAAGGACAAAUUUCGCAGCCGAAACUCAGCUGCUGUUGGUCUUGUUCUUCAAUGGGUGCGAAACGAAAAACAAACUCAGACGAAGAGGAUGGAGCUUUAAUUAGUAGAUCCCGUUCUGCUGUCGAUGAGUGCUCCGGCUGUGGAUCUCGGUCGAGGAUGGAAGAAACGAAAAAGAAACGAACAAACGAAAAAGAAAAUAAAAGAAAACGACGCAAAUCAUUCAAUAAACAAACGAAAAAGAAAAAAAAAAAAAAAAGAAACGACGCCAUUUUGUAUUUUUCGGGGUUUGACCCGGGGCAAACAUCAGCACUCUAUAACCUAUACACUUGCUGUUUUGUUCUGCAAAGGAAGGACAACACCCUUUACCUCAGAGCCUUUGAGCUCAGUCUGAGGGCACAUAAAAGGUCGCUUGAAGAACAAGCGGAGUUGAUGUGAGUGUUGCGUUGCCGCAUGGCAAAGAAUAAGAGGGUAUCGCACUAUCGCUAAUCCCUGCGGCAUUUGACGACUAUUAUUAUCAAAACAAGUAUAAAAUUUGACGAAAAUAUCACAACAAUUAUUACCUUCGAUAAAAUUUAACAAAAAUAUAUAUCAUUGGUAUUUCAAAUAUAGAAAUCCGAGUAUAAUAGAAAUAUUUCAAUCUAGAAUCAUAGAUUUCUUAAAGUCUGAAAAAGUUAUGAUUUAAUACAAUAAUAGUUGGAAAAGCUAUUAAGGCAUAAGAUUUUAGUAGUAUAAUAACAUUAUACUAUUAAAUCAUAUGUCUUAAUAACUUUCCCAAACUAUAAUAAAAUUUAGGAUCAUGAAUCAAAUUAGUACACCUGAACACAAAUAUAAUAUAAAUAUAUAUGUUUACGGAAUUUCUCCACUACAUUUCUUUUUGUUCUAAGGAGGUUGUUCCUUAUCACUAGACCUAUAACUUGACAUAGCAGUUAUGAUGAUUGCUACUAGCAGGUGAAACAUUUAAAGAAGAGUUAUUAGCUUGAACCUAUUGCAAAUGUCAGAGCCAAAAGGCUUCAAUGUUUCAUGGUAGAGCUGAUGACAAGUGGUGGCAGCGGUUCAAGCUUUUGUGGGGGCUAAAUGUUCUUAAUAUUUAUAAAUUAUUUUCUCUUUCGAAAUGCGAGUGGGAUAUGAAUAUCCCUCCUUUGUGAGAGGUUAUUUGUCUGGACAUGUACUUCACAUAAUUUAAUAUAAUAAUGUAAGUCUCAAUCAUGUACUUCACAGAAUUCAAUGUAAUAAUGUAAAUCUCAAUCAUGUAUAUCUGAUUGUAAAUAUCAGUGUAAUAUAUUUACUAUAAUAAUAAUUGUAAAUAUUUAUGUAAUGUAGUAAUCUGAUGUGUAAUCAGUAUUUAAAAAAAAAAAAAAAGACUGGUGACAAGCAUAAAUAAACAAUAUGAGAUAGUGAUACACGACAAUGAUAAUAGCAAAGCAAAUCCAUUAAAGUGUGCAAAAUGAUGUGACCGCUGACCAGUAUUUGACCAAUAUUAAUAUUAGAGCGUUGGCUGUUGAGACCAAAGAGAGUGCAGAAACAGACCCUUGGACAACAACAAGGCCCCCGCCACCAAAAUCAGGAAGAAACUUUUCGAUGAAGUUUAGACCUCAGUGCCAGCUAAACAUGCAUAACAAUAAAUGGUUAUGGCUAUCAGAAAAGACCAUAUAUUUACUAAGUGUGUUUUAAGUAAGAGCUUAGUUUUACCUUACAUAUUUGUAGUGUCGCAUUCAGAAUUAAAGCCUAAUAGCAGCAAAUAUAAUUUCUUUAAUUUAUUUUCCUAAAAUGUUUUAAAAUAAUUUUGGAUAUAACAUACUCAUUUAAAAUGAUUUUAAUGAUGAUAAUUUAAUUUUCAGUAUAUAAUCUUAUAAAUUACUUAAAGUCGGUGGAGUAAAUUAAAAAUUUUAUUAGGACAAAAAUUUUUUUAUUGAAUUUUAGAAAAUAUUUUUAGAAAAAAGAUUAAGACUUACGGGGACAACUGCCACAGCUUGUCUUUACGUGACUCCACCAGUGCCGAUAUUUGCACCCACAAUGCCGAUAGGAGCUGCAAUGAGAUAUCCAAAAAUACUAAGGUAUGUGAAUAAAGAAAUCAUCUUAGACCCACCAGUCCUUUGAACUAAAACCACCAACAUGCGAAGAAGAAGGAUUUAGAAUAAAUAAAUAAAUACAAAGUUUUGCUUUUUUUUUUUGCUACAAGAGAAGAAAAUUUGAAUUAGCUAUUUGGAAGAGAUAGGCAUGCUCAAACUAAAUUUUUCCCUUGGGUAUUAAUCAAUGGUCAUAACCCGGAUUUGAAAUGGUAAUUUAAUUUCGCUGUUACCCAGAUUUGAAAGACAGUAUUAAGUGCAAUUUAUGUUUCAGCAGUUUAUGGUCGAAAAUGUAAGUGAAGUCGUUAGCAGAUUGCCUAUUAUUAGGAUUUUUAUUGAUCUAAAUUCUCUUGAAUUUUUAAGAUGCGUACUGUAGUAGUAAGGUAUGGAUAGAAUUUAAGUUCUUAAUUUUUUUUUUAUGUAUUAACCACCAAUCAACGUAUGAAUUUAAGAAAUUUAGAUCAGAAGAGAAUUUCAUCCUUUUGUAUUGAGAUGUUAUAAUUUAAAAAACUGAAAAUAAAUUAUAAUUAUAAAAUAAAAAUUAACAUCUUAAUAAUUUUGACCGAAAAGUAAAAAUACUGUAGAUUUUUCAUUAUAUAUGUAGUAAAUUAAAUCAAUUUAAUUUUUAAGCCACAAUUAUUAUUAUCUACCAAAUAUUUAGGGCUAUAGCUAACCUUAACACUAAAUGGGGGCAUUCGGCUCCCACGAUUAAUCUGUUGAGGCUGCAUUGGUUGGAAUGUACGAUGAGGAUGGCAUUUUUUGUCUUAUUCGUGCUUCAUAAAUCAUUAUAAAGCCGAUUAUUCGUGGCAGACAUUUGAUUAAUAUCUCCUCGCGGUUUCAUAUGGAAAAUUGGGAUGUUACCAGCGUUGUGUUGUCUUAAUAUUUUCCUGUAGUUUUUGCAACCCAGUACGCCACCUGUCAUCUUGUUUGCCCUCGAGGAUGAACAGAAGCCCAGUGCGCAAUGGGCAAAAGGAUUGACAGUGACUUGGUUUCAGGUACAAUUUGUCCGCAACAGCAAAUUAAAUAAAAUAAAGUAAUAAUUAAUAAAUAGAUUAAUUUGAAGAAAUUUAAAUUUUUAUUAAUAUAUUUUUCGUAUUUCAAGGAUUAAAUACCUCUCUAGUUUUUUUUAUACACUUAUUUAUUACAAUAUUGAUAUUUAGAAUCAGAAAUUUAUCAGAACUUAUUUGAGUAAUUCUAUUAUAGCACAAGCUGAAUAUCAAUCCUCACUAAAUUGGAGAAAAAUUUGUCUUCACUAUUAUUAAAGAGAAAUCGAUCAUAUUCCUACCCCAAUAUGGGGAGUCAAUUAACUCCCAUUAUAUAGAAAAAUAAAUCCCAACGAUGACCCUAAGCUGGGACUUGAAUCCAUGCCCUCAAGGUUGUUGAGGGCAUGGGCACACCAAUGGGCUUGUAGCCCAUUGGCAAAUACCUCUCUAGUUGAUAAAUAAUAUUCCAGAUUUUUAUUACUAUAGUUGAUGCUAGUUAGUCCACAUAUAAAACUUAAAAAUUAAGAAUAGGAAUAAAAACUAGACACCAUUAAUUUAAACUAAAACAAAUAAUUUGUUCACUAACCAACCACAAGUUUACUAAGUCCAAGUACACGUUAAUCACGACCAAUAGGAUGAAUACAGUUUAAAACAAAUAAAAAUAUAGAAUUAGGGAUCGUAACACUCCUUCACCUUAAAAGUACUCUUUGCCGUCAAGGGUGGACUUUGUUAAGGAGUCUUCUCUCGUCAACAUACUUCUCCGAAUUUGACCACGACAACAUAAUAAUGGCUAGAGUCCCGUCACCGUCCAACCAUAAUGGCCACUUCAAGGCCAAAGGUUUUGCGUGUGUGCAUGCUUCUUGACUUUUUCAUUGGUGCAUUAAAUUUUGUUUUGUAUUCCGAAAUCAAGCAUGCAUGCAUGCUCCUUGGCUCUUUUCAUAUUCCACAAGGAUGCAUUAAAAAAUAAAACUCUCACUUUAAGAACAUCUCAACUAUCUCUGCUUAAAAAAAUUAUCUCAUCUCGUGUGUGUGUGUGUAGGUAAAACGAGCCUCAUUUUUUAAUUCAAUUUAAUCUCCAAUCGCGAAAAUUUGGUUAAGCAAAAAUGCGGUGCGACUGGGGGGAGUUUCGUCGGAAGGUAAUCAGAUAUUAAAACGAACUCAAUAAGUUAUCAUGAAGCCUAUCGGCAUCAUACUGAAUUACUGACGCAAAUGACUUCCGAGUUUCCAUUUCCCUGUUCCCAUCAAGGGUCAAAGGGCUCCAGUAGCUGCGCGUAAAGGGCCCCAGUGGGAAAUUUAAUCGGUAAGGGGUCCCAGUCAAAAAUGUGAAGGCAUUAAACUAUAGGGGUAAUUUGGGUAUUCGUUUAUUUAAUUUAAUUCGAUUUAAAGUAAAUAAGUUUGAGUUUAAAAAAAAUUAAUUUAUUUAAUAAAUGGUGAAUUCGACUUCAUUUUCACUUUUAGGUUAAUCUGUAUUAAUUAUUUUUAUACUUAUUUAAUUCUUUAUUUAUUGUUAUUGAAGUUUGUCCAGUCAUUUAUUUAUAAGUUUUUCUUUUAUGGAUAUAGUUUAAUAAUUUGGUUGAUGAUUAUGUUAAUCAAUUCUUUUAGGCUCAAUAUUUGAUUCUCUAAUCAUUUAAUUUAGACUUUGAAUUAAGUGUCUAUUUCUUUUUACAGUUCUAAGAGCUGGUUUUGUAGGUUGGACUUGAUCCUUUCAAAACGGUGUUAUUUAUUCAUUAAGUGUACAUGAUUUCUUUAAGAUACUGACAGCCAAAGGGAGAACAAAAGAAAAAAAGAUUGGAAUGCAUAUAAAGAUACAAAUUAACGAUGAAAUAUGUAGGGAUAACCAAAAAUAAACAAAUAGUUAAGCAACUUUUCUUGAAUCUAUAGAUAUAUUUUUUUUAUCUUCUCAUAUUUUUUACAAAAUUAUUUGAAGAAUUAUUAUAUUUUUUAAUAUAAGAAUUUAUUAAAGUUGAUUAAUUAUUAUGCUCUCUCAUGCAAGCAAGAAUCAUUAAUGAAUAUGUGAUGAUUUGAUUACUAGGUGUCCAAUAAUAUCCUACAAUAGCUUUUUUUUUUUUUUUUUUGAUACACUGAUAUAGUAAAAUCAGAAUUUUUACUGAUAUUUACAAUCAGAAAUUAGUCGGGACCAUCCUGAAUAAGCCUAUUACAGCACAACCCGAAGUCAACGCUCACUUAAAAGCUGGAGGUGAUCAAUCCUACCCCAAUGUGGGUAGAUAACUAACCCCUAUUAUAUAGGGGAGUCAAUCCUACAAUAGCUUAUUGAAUUGCAAUACUUGGAUUAAAUCUCUUAAGAAAUUGGCUUUCUCAUCUUGUUGCAGAACUCAGUUAGCAACUUAAACACUAUUUCAUGUUGUUUGUCAAAUUUUAUCCCUCUUAUUUUGCCUUGUGUCUUCUUCUUAGUCUAAUAAACUGCAUAUUAUAUUAUUACGUAUGAAUACAAGAAAUAGGAAAACAUAUAUAUAAUAAAAAAAUUUAAUAUUACCAGAAAUGUCUAGAGCACUAGGUAGUGCAACAUAUUUGUCAUUUAUUUGUAUAUACAUCAACUGUUGGAGAUGUUUGAAAGAAAUAUGAUCCAAGAGCCAUGCUACAAUGUAUUAUAAUUAUAUAAACCAAAUGACUAAACCAACUAUAUAAAUUCUUUCUCGCAAACAAGAUGAAGCACUAGAAAGUCAGCCAUAAGAUGUGCUUACCAUUUGGUUUCUUUUUUUUUUCAAAGUGAGUUUGAUAGUCUUUUUAUGUUAAAAAUCAACUUUAGUAUAUUAUGUGAUGAUUUUUCAAGUUGGAUUAUUUUAUUAUACUUUGAUUAAUUUUAUUAGUAUCCGAUCAUAUUAUGCAUUGUCGCACAAAAGGUUCUCGUACACAAGUUAUUUUUAAUUUAAAGUUUUUGUUAUUAGAUUUCAAUUUGUAGGACUGAAAUUUGUAAUCACGACUGCUUAUUCUUAACAAUGAGACAAAAAGUUUUCUAAUACAAUAUAUGACUUGCCAUUUGCCAAAAAGGUAAUGGUCACAAGAUAACAAUUUUUCGACUAAAAAUUUUUUCAUUACUGGAUAUCAAUUUACGUGACUAAAAUACGUCAUCAUAGAUGCUUGUUUUAAAUGAUGGUUAAAAACAGUCAUUAAACUUUUCAGUUAUAAUGUAAAUAGUCGUGAAAAAAAUAUAUUGUUGUUAAAAAUCAUUUAAGACAAUAUUUAAUAUACUUUGCAACAAAAGAACAGUCACAAAAUAACAUUUUUCGAUUCAAAAUUGUUUUGCCACGAGAUAUCAAUUUAAGUGACUAACCAUUGUAGUCGUGGAUGUUUGCUUCUAAUACCGAGAAAAUAGUCACAUACGAUGUUACUAGUCAUAAGUGACAACUUGACAAUAAUAUAACGUCGUGAUAGGUAUACUUUAGCGACAAAAACAUAAUGUUGCUAAUUAUAUUUUUGAACCUCUAAAUUGACGAUUUUGAGUAGCAAUUACUACUAUUUUUACUUACCCUUAAGACAAACAUUUUAGUCAUUAUAAAUCACUAAUAGUAACGAAAAUAGAAUGUCGCUAAUUGCACUUUUGACUUUUGAACAUCUAAAUUGACCACUUUGAAUAUCAUUCACGACGUGUUAAAUUUAAAUUUAGGACAAAUGGUUUAGUCAUAAAAACAUACUAUUUUAUGUGACAAAUAAUUUUGGUUGCUAUAACCUAAUGUGACACACUUGGUGUGUUUAAUUGUAAUUUACUUUUUGUUAUUCCUGGAUUUGAAAGACAAUUAAUGGUGCACUUACUAAACGAGAGUCAGAAUGGGGUAGAAUCAGAAUGAAUUGGAAUCGAAAUGAGGAAUGAGAAUCAUAAUAAAUUGUCUAUUUUAUUUGUAGGAAUCAGAUUUGGAAUGAGCUGAAUUGCAAUUGAUGUGUUUACUUUUUCUUGGAAUUUAAAUAGAAAUGAAUUAGAUUGUUGCAAAUUACUAAAAAAAAUUAAUUAACUAUUAUCAUAAUUAUUACUUUUUAUUUUAAUUAUUGUGAUUAUUAUUAUUCUUAUUAUUAAAUAUUGUUAAUGAUAAUUAUUAUUAUUAACAUUAAUAUAAUAAUAAUGGUGAUGAUGAUGAUCAUCAUAAUCAUCAUCAACAAUAUCAUUGUUGGCAUAAUCAUCAUCGUCGGCAUUAGAUUAAAACGCGACUGCUACUGUUGCCGCUUGUGACACAACGGCUGCUCAUGACUACUACUGCUUGUGAUGUGACGACUGGCAACUAGUUGUUGCUCCACAAGCAAUGACCGACAGCAACAAGGGGGCUCAUCCACGGAUUGCGUGCUUUUUUUUUUUUUUUUUAACUGAGGACAAAGUUGGGAUUAUUGAUUAUGUUGGGGGGCAAAAUUGUCGCUCCUGGAAUGAGAGACUGAUUCCCACCUCCUUAGGAAUCAGUCUCUCAUUUCCUAUUUCUAAAUUUAGGUGGACUCCAUAAUUUCGAUUUUAAUAUUCGCUCUUUUUAUAAAAUAAAUACUAUCAAUGAUUUCGAUUUUGGAUUCUACUUGUCAUUUCUGGCAGUUUCAUGGUCGAAAAGUUUUGGUUCGAUUUGGAAUGCCUAGCCCUCUAAUGUUUCACACACACAUGGUCCUCUACUUGUCAUUUCUACAAUUGGUCAUAUGUUUCUAGUCAAUUGCAAGAAGUAAUGUACUCUAGCUAAGUACAUGCAAAGGUCAAAAUCUUAAUCUUAAUUAAUUAAGAUUUAAUUUAUUUUAUAUUUUUAUCUAAUAACUAUCAAUUAUUUUUUCAUAAUAAUUAGAAAAAAAAUUAGUUUAGUAUUGAAAUCAAAUCCACAUUAGAGUUGGGAUGUUACAAAUAUUUGUCAUAGCUGGAAGUUGAACAUGCAAAGGUUCCAGCAAGUGCCUACCAUCAAACUAGGUCAAAGUACAAAAUGUACCCAACAGAUGGAUAUGUUAGAUUUAUUUCUCAUAUUAUGUGGACUGACAUAAAUCAUUCUAAUUGUUUUCUAUAUUUUACCGAAUUAAUACGUGACUAAUGUCAAAUAUUAUGGAGCAAUUUUGACAGACUGAUCAAAUAUUGUGUUAAUGAGUCUGAUUUUGACAUACCCUAUACAGUAGUAUAGUAUGGACAAGUAUAAUCCUUAAUUGUGUUAUUUUAGCUCAUAAUGGGAUGGGCAAUUUUGUACUAACACAUGAGGGGUCCAUGCGCUCAACCACUGUGUUUAAGUAACUUCAGCCCAUUGGCAGGUUACUGUUCAAGAAAUCUGUGGCAUGAGUGCAGUGCACCUCUCUCUCUCUCUCCCUCUUGUCUCCCGUGUGUGCACAGUGACUUGUUGAGGAAAGCUGAAGGAAAGGAAGCGGGAAUUCAUAAGCUGGAUCAAAGUUGUAGCAACUCUGUUAAAGCUCCAUAACAAGCUUCCAAGCUCGGAUCCAUGGGAGAUCAUGGUAAAUUUUCGAAAUGACCUAAAAUAUGUGUUUAUUUGGAAAUGCAAUAUUAAGGGUAUAAAGUUUAUUUUUGUUUCAUCAGGAUAUGCAUGUCCUUUUGUUUGAGAUCUUGUGAGUACAAUGCUCCUAAUCCUCAAUACCAUAUACAUAAAAAAAUGGCCUAUAUAUAAACGCCGUUGUGAUUGAAGAAAAGCGGUAUUGCUAUUACUGACUCUUGCCAAAGGCCUUGAUGGACCACUUCUUCACAUCAAACUAACGCAUAAGAGGUAUAAAGCCUAGGUGUAGGAGAGAGAGCCACAACAUAUAUACAAAAACGCAAUUUGGAUAGACCUUGCCGAUCAUGCUAAGUUAAUUAAUCUGUCUGUGAAUGAAGAAGAUUCACCCUAAUUAAUGCUGAGUAAAUUAUUAGUAACCAGGAUGGACAUGUCAUAUGGUUAAUGGGAGCUUUAAAUCUGAAACUCACCUGGCUACCUGAACCAAGUGAGUAAGUUAACCACUUUGGUGGAGUUCGACUAUCUAGUUGACUAACAUCUCAAAGAAAAAGGUAUGUUGAUUAUCAGAAUUUUACAUUCAGUUAAGCCAUUCUGAACAGAGAACUUUUCUUGCAAUGUGAAUUUGUUUUGUUUUUUUUUUUUUUUUUUUCUCUUUCCUUUCUUUUGAAGGCACGUGAAUUUGUUCUUAAACCCAUCUUAAUCUAGAUAAGCUUGCUGGAUGCUAUAGUCAUUACAGGAUCAGGUAUCUCAAUCAUGUGAGAUUUCUCCUUGGGUUGUUUGUGCCUAAAUAUCCAAGUAGCUAUGCCUGUUGUUGCCUCUGAAUUCUGAUCAUCCAUGUGUGUUUUUUCUCAGUCACAGCAAUUGCGAACAUACACUUAGUUAGUUCAAUCAGUAAGAUUUCUUGAGAUAGUACGUAAAAUCGUUAAAUCAAAAUGGUUACGACCUAAGGCGGAUUCAUUUACUUUGAACUAGUCCUCUUUCUAUGUGGAUUACAAUUUGAAAUUAGACGAACCUAUUUUUUCAUUCAGAAAGAAAAAAAAAAUAUUUUUUUCCCUAUUACAGGUUUUCUCAUUGUUGAAGGAACUAGAGUCUCUCACAAGAGAAAUUCUAGAAUACAUCAGAUGUAAUACAACCAAUUAAUGCAUGUAUGAUAUGUGUAGUUGAAUUUUAUAUAAUCAUCAAUUACAUGUUGAUUCUCAAAGUAAUUGCACAUAUGUUAAAACAUCAUUUACUUGUUGUACAUUAGAUAUAAUACAACCAAUUAAUGCAUGUAUGAUAAGUGUAGUUGAAUUUUAUAUAACCACCUAUUACAUGUUGAUUCUCAAAGUAAUUGCACAUAUGUCAUAACAUCAUUUGCUUGUUAUAUGACUGACAUAGUACCUCAGAGAUAUUUCAGAAUUUUUCCUCCAACAAUACUCAAUCAAUGGUAAAGUUUAAAUUAUGUCAGAAAAAACAUUUGCACAAUUAUUGCUAUUUCAAACAUAGAAAUGUGAAGAGUAAUAUAUUUUAUGGAAUUUUCUCCGUUAAUUCUUAAAAUUACUACGUGUACAUGUGAUGAUUGCUUGCUACUGUGUAAGGUGAAACAUUUAAUUUGAAGAAGAUUAAUUCCUUCUAGACUGGUAGUAUAGGUCGUUGCUGCCCUGUCGAGGAAUUCUUAUUAGCUUGAAACCUAUCGCAAAUGUCAAUGCAAAAUGGCUUCAAGGUUUUGUUGUAGAGCUGACGACAAGCUUCUAAAAACAACAUACCAUAUUGGUACACAACUACAAUAAUGGUAGUCCCAAUCCAUGCAGUGUACAAAAUGAUAUGGUCAAUAUUAGAACGUGGAACAAAUGUAAAGACCAAAGAGAUUGCAGAAAUAGAUCCUAAGACAAUAGCAACAAGGCUCCACAACUGGGAAGAAUUUUCUCCAUGAAGUCGAGAUCUCAGGUCAGCUGAAUGUGCAUAGCAAUAUACGACAGUGGCUAUCCGAAAAGACCAUAUGUCCGUUGAAUGUGUUUCAGGCAAGGGCUUAGUUUGGUCUUGCAUAUGACAUGGAGCAGAAGAGAUUUUACCCACUGCAAAAUCAUAAAAAUGCAUGAUUAACCAUCUUCUGUAUAUCCCAUUUCCUUUGAAAAAAAAUAAAUGAAACUUAAAAAGACCUUGUAUUAAUUUCCAGUCAAAUUGUCUAUCAAUUAAUUAUUUGCUUUUGACAAAUGCAAUUCUCAUCUAAAAAUUUGAGGGAGCGCUUUUCUAUUUUCAUUAACACAUACGAGAUAUUUUUCAUUUGCGUCCAAAUGUUUCAUCAAAUUUUAUUGUGUGCACCUCUGUCCUCUGUUUCAACAACUCUUACGGCUCAUCGUUUCUGUUAAAAAAUAUUGUUGCCGUUAAUUUUGACAAUUUUGAUGUUAAAAGACAAUUUUACCAGUCAUUGGAAUUAGGUGUAAAAUUACCAGAAAACCACAGCACUUGUUUCAAAUUCCAAUUUUGACCUAUGUGGAUAUUAAAAUUUCUUAAAGGUUUGAAAAAAAAAAAAGAAUUGUAAAAAUGUUUUCUUAUGGGAAUCAAAACAUCCCCUCUACCAUCAUCCAUAAUCAUAUAUUCUUGAUAAUGAUCUAAUAAACUUGAAAAAGCAAGAAAUCCAAUCCUAAUCAAUAAAACAAUCAAAUUUCUUCAUAAAGUUUAGCUCUUGCUUUUGAAAAUUCCAAUUCUUGAGACUCUAAAUAAACCGAUAUUCAAAAUUACAUAUUUCUAGAAUGAAAAAUCUUCAAUUUAUCCCUUUAAUUUUUUUAAAACAUCUUUAAAUUUUUGAAAACAUCUAUUUGCCUCUAUUUAUCAGUCAAAAGAUUAGGAUAAAUGGAAGCGCGUUGAUGACUAACUUUUUAUCUACUUAAUGGUAUUUGAUAAAUAUAGCUAAAUUGGGGUAAAUUGAAAUUUUAUUCUACAUUUAGAGUGCUUUAAUAAGAGAAAGAAAGAAAGCAGCAAACCUGGUCUAUUUAAAUAAUAAUAUUAUUAUUAUUAAAUAAAUAAAUAAAAUUAACAUGCAAACUCAGCUUGAAACUUGGGAGAAAAAAAUAUGUGAAUUUUAUUACAUGCUGAUUCUUCAAAUUAAAAUGUAAACACACUCAAUAAACAUUAGACAUAAUACAACUAAUUAAUGCAUGUAUGAUAUGUAUCAUUGAAUUUUAUUACAUGCUGAUUCUUCAAAUUAAUUGCACACAUAUUAGAAAAUCAUGAGUUUGUUGUAUGAUGGACAUAGUAUCUAAAGAUAUUUUAAAAUUUUUCCUCUGAUAAUGCUCAAUCAAAUUAAGGGUAAAGGUUAAAUUAUGAUAGAAAAAGUCUUUGAAUAAUAUUGAACAAAGCAUUUACUUGUAUACUAAAAGAAUGCAUAUGAGGGGCCAAAAAGAGUGAAGAUAUGAGUUUGACUAUUAUCACAUCAAUUAUUACUAUUUAAAACAUAGAAAGAUGAAACUAACAUAUUUUGUGGAAUUUCCUCCGUUACUUACUUAAAAUUACUACGUUACAUGUGAUGAUUGCUUGUUAUUGUCUAAGGUGAACAUUUAAUUUGAAAAAGAUUAGUUCCUUCUAGAUAGGUAGUACUGAUUGUUGCUGCCCUGUCGAGGAAGUAUUAUUAGCUUGAAACCUAUUGCAAAUGUCAAUGCACAAUGGCUUCAAGGUUUCGAUAUAGAGCUGAUGACAAGCUUCUGAAAACAAUGUCCUAUAUUGAUACACAACAAUAAUGACAGUGCCAAUCCACGCAGCGCACAAAAUGAUAUGGCCAGUAUUAGAAUGUGGAAAAAAGGUGGAGAUCAAAGAGAUUGCAGAAGUAGAUCCUGAGACAACAGCAACGAGGCACCAGAACUGGGAAGAAUUUUCUCGACGAAGUCGAGACUUGAGGUCCGCUGAAUAUGCAUAGCAAUAUAUGGCUGUGGCAAUGAGAAAAGACCAUAUAUUUAUUGAGUGUGUUUCAAGCAAGGGCUUAGCUUGGCUGGCUUGCGCAUUUGCACCCACAAUGCCGAUGAGAGCCGGAAUGAGAUAUCCAAAAAUAUUGGGAUAUGACAUCGAGUAGAAGAAAUUUCGCCCACUGCAAAUCAUUAAAAUGCAUGAUUAACCAUCUUCUAUAUAUCCCAUUUCCUUUGAAAAAAAAAUAAUGAAUAAAACUUAAAAAAGACCUCGUAUUAAUUUCCACUCAAAUUGUCUGUCAAUUAAUUAUUUGCUUUUGGCUGAUGUAAUUCUCCUCUAAAAAUUGAGAGAGCACUUUUCUAUUUUCAUUAGCACAUGUAUAUGAGAUAUUUUUCAUCUGCGUCCAAAGUUUUCAUUAGAUUUUAUUGUGCGCGGACUUGUUUCAAUAACUCUCAUGACUCACCUUUUUUGUUAAAUAUUGUUGUUGCCAUUAGUUUUGAUGAUUAGUGUAAAAUUAUUAGAAAACCACAACACCUGUUUCAAAUUCCAAUUUUGACCUACAUGGAAAUUAAAAUUUCUUAAAGGUUAAAAAAAAGAGUAAAAAUGUUUUCUUAUGGGAAUCAAAAUAUCCCCUCUACCAUCAUCCAUAAUCAUCUAUUCUUAAUAUUAAUCUAAUAAACCGAUAUUCAAAAUUACAUGUUUCUAGAAAGAAAAAACUUCUAUUUAUCCCUUUAAAUUUUUGAAAACAUCUAUUUACCUCUAUUUAUCAGUCAAAAGAUUAGAAUAAAUAGAAGCGUGUUGAUGACUAACUUUUUAUCUGCUUAAUGGUAUUUGAUAAAUGUAGAUAAAUUGGGGUAAAUUGAAAUUUUAUUCCACAUUUAGAGUGCUUUAAUAAGGGAAAGAAAGAAAACAGAAAACAAAUCCCUUCGAUACGAGGCUUAACAAAAUUUUCAGCAUGGACCUAACCAAAUUUUUUUCGCGCAAAUUAAAUUAGGAGAACAAAAAUAAUUUGAAAUGGACUGCAUAUGUAUACUCAAAAAUAAUAUACAGCUUGAGUCAAUAAUGGUAAAGAAAAUGACCAUACACCGAAAGGUUUGGAUCUGGAUGAUGCAGAAUGCAGUGGCAGCUUUGCAUUUGCAGUUAUAUACCUCGCCAAACCCUGGAUUGGGUUUUCUUUUUCACGGCAAAUAAGGCAGGGACAAGCAAACCUGAUCGAUUUUAGAACAAAAAUAAAUAAAUAAAUAAAAGUAAAAUGUAAACUCAGCUUGAAACCUGGGAGAAAAAAAUAACAAUAACAAAGUAAAAAAAAUCACUUACUUUAAGAACAUCUCAAUUAUCUCAUGGAUUGGGUAUUUAUACGGGCAAAAUGAGGGUCAAUUGAACCCCAAUGUAAUCCCGAUUCCGGAACACGUUUGGUCAAGCUCAAGUGCGGCCGAAUGGGGAGGGUUUCCUAGAAAGGUAGCAAGGUAGUCCCCCUUAGAAAGUGAAAAUGAAGCCUAUCCACAAUCAUAGGGAUGCAACACAAGGUAGAUUUUUUUUUUUUGUUAGAUGUAGAAAAUGAUUAAAGAGGUCCCAUCAAGUUCAGCGGGCAAGGGCCGCUCGGUAGCUACACGUGAAGAGGGGCCCCCCAGCGCCCCGGCGGUGAAAUUUAAGUGGUACGGUCCCAAUUAAAAUGUGAUUAACUUAUCAAAUAUCAAGAUCUUUUCCAAUAAGGACAUUAGUUUUGCAUUCGUUCGUCUCAAAUAGGUCCCUAACCUUGUAUGACGACUAAGAUACCCUUAACCCGUUGGACCAAUCUACCUUACAGAUUCUGUAAGUAACGGCCUGUGAGUUGACAAGAGGAUAUAUGGAUGCGUAGCACGUGGACGGCGGAUGGAAUGGGAUAUUAUAUAUGGAACCAGACAUUCCGGUUUUCUUCGGGUGACAAAAUGAAUUCCUUCCCGGUUGCUGACCGGUAACCCAUCACUGAAAGUGGUAAAAAAAAUUAGGCUGAUGGGCCGUGUAUUGAAAAUCCAAAUAUUUGCAAUUUGAUAGUGGAAAAAUGUUGGUGGUUAUAGGCUUCCAGCGUAUCGAAUUAUUAUUCAGACUCGUGCAUAUAGCAAGUGAGGCGACGUUGCAUCUCCUGCAACAGCAUGGUGUGAAAAAACCCCUUCAAAAUAUUUUCUCACUUUGGAUCCACGGUGUGUGAUCCAGUUUAAGCAAUCGCGGCUGCCUCGGAGGUAGCAUGACCUAAACUGUUUUUUUUUUACCGACACCAACCUAAUUAAAAUACAAUUAAUUCUGUAAAUUUCUCCAACCACGUGUCCUUUUGUUACUUCUCACAUCCGGUUGCACAUUAACCAUUAAAAUCGGUUUCCCCAUGCUUUGGGUUUUCUUUCCCCUUAUUUUUCUGACCGUUGCCAACCCUCCAUCUUUCUCUAUCCACAUUCAACGAUUGAGAUUACAGGUCUGUUACUUACAGAAUCUGUAAGGUAGACAGGUCCCUUAACCCGUUGGACCAAUCUACAGGUCUGUUACUUACAGAAUCUGUAAGGUAGACAGGUCCUUAACCGUUAUAUGAUUUACACACUUGCCGUUUUGUUCUGCAAAGGAGGACACCACCCGUUACCUCAAAGCCUUUGAGCUCAGUCUGAGGGCACAUAAAAGGUCGCUUGAAGACCAAGCGGAGUUGAUGUGAUUGUUGGGUUGCCGCAUGGCUAAGAAUAAGAAAUUUCGCCGUCAAAAUGAAACGUAUCCUGUAAUAUAUAAUAUUCAUUUAUCAGUGAAGUAAAUAUACAGAAGGUUUACGGAGUUGCAUUAUAUGUAUAUUUAGCUAUUAUCAAAUGUCAACAGUAAUCAUUGGUAUUAAUUCUUGUAAAAUUAAGUUCUUAUCCACUUUCCCAAAAAAAAAAAAAUCUUAUUCAUUAUUCAAAGGCUUCCGAGUGCAUUUGGUGUUAGUUUUAUUCAUAUGUGAGAGUACAUCUUGCAUAUUAAACAAAUGAGUAAUGAUAUAGUAACAAACUCUUGUACAAACUUAUUUUGUACACUCUUGUACAAACUCAUUUUGUACACUCUUGUACAAACUCAUUUUGUACACUCUUGUACAAACUCAUUUUGUAUAAACUGAUGUGGUAUGAUAAGAUUGGUUGAAUUAAAUAUCACUUGGCCCACAUGAUUUAUUUUUAUUAUUUUAUAUUUUCAUUCAACCAAUGAAUUAAUAUCACGUUAGUUUGUACAAGAGUUUGUGGUUGUAUCAUCACUCUAAACAAAUUGUUAUUUAGUCCCGCCCUUAUUUGAUCAGAGUGGACCACGGUGGUUUUUUAACUCCGAAUAUUUAAGCACAAAUCAUUUUUAAAUAGUGAUUUACGAAUAUGAAUGGAAUUAAUUCUUCCAUACUGUUCAUGUUCUUAGGAUAAUUGUGGAAUUAGUUCAAAGAAAGCAAAAUUUCCUAAUUCACAAAUUUUGCAUUUUAUUAAAGGUUGGGAUAGUAUUUACAACAUUGUAAACUGACUUUCAUAUAACAACGUUAUAAAACGGUAAAAACGAUAGUUUACAAUGUUAUAAAACAAUGAAAAAAAAAAAUAGUUUACAAUGUUGUAAACACAUCCUGCACUUUAAUAGCCCGAGAUUUUUAGACCGGAAGCAGACACUUCAAAAAGUAAUGAUGUUUAUUUAUUUUUUUCUGAAAAAGGAUACCGACAACUCUUGAUUUAAAAAAUGAUCACAUAAAUUAAUCUUUUAGGAUAAUAUCACCUUUGAUUGCAAUAACCCAACUGUAUUUCAUCUGAUCAUAUAUAAUUAUAAAAAAUAUAUAUAUAAAGGUUGUUUUCCCUUUGACUGCUAAUCACACGAGCCUCGUUGAUCUUUUGCUGGAAUGAUGACCAGAGGAUGGUAUUUUUGCCUUAUUUGUGCUUCUGGGUGAAGCAAAAUAUUGGUAGCAGGCUUUCGCUUAUACGUCUGAUGUGCAGCAGCCAUACACACUGUUGUGAUUGUAGAAAAGAGGGUAUCGCUAAUCCCUGUGGCAUUCGAUGACUAUUAUUAUCAAAACAAGUAUAAAAUUUGACGAAAAUAUCGCAACAAUUAUUACCUUAAAUAAAAUUUAACGAAAAUAUAUAUCAUUGGUAUUCCAAAUAUAGAAAUCCGAACAUAAUAAAAAUAUUUCAAUCCAGAAUCACAGACUUGUUUAAGUCUGAAAAAGUUAUGAUUUGAUAGCAUAAUAGUCGGAAAAGCUAUUAAAGUAUAAUAUUUUAAUAGUAUAAUGACAUUAUAUUAUAAAAUUAUACGUCUUAAUAACUUUUUAAAAUUAUAAUAAAGUUUAAAAUCUUAGAUUAAAUUAGUGCACGAACACAAAUAUAAUAUAAUUAAAUAUAUAUGUUUACGGAAUUUCUCCACUACAUUUCUUUUGUUGUUGUUCCUUAUCACUAGAGCUAUAACUUGACAUAGCCGCAAUGUUUAAAAUUAGUACACGCACCACGUGAUGAUUGUUACUAGCAGGUGAAACAUUUAAAGAAGAGUUAUUAGCUUGAACCUGUUGCAAAUGUCAGAGCAAAAAGGCUUUAAUGUUUCAUGGUGGAGCCGAUGACAGGCAUAAAUAACAAUGUGGGAUAUUGAUACACGAGCAACACGACAAUGGUAAUAGCAAAGCAAAUCCAUUAAGUGUGCAAAAUGAUGUGACCGCUGACCAGUAUUUGACCAAUAUUAAUAUCAGAGCGUUGGCUGUCGAGACCAAAGAGAGUGCAGAAACAGGCCCCAGCCCCCAAAAUCAGGAAGAAACUUUUCGAUGAAGUUGAGACCUCAGCGCCGGCCAAAUAUGCAUAACAAUAAAUGAUUAUGGCUAUCAGAAAAGGGACUCGCCUAUCGUGCAACAGAAGCACCAUACCACCGUUUUUAUCUUUUUUUUAUAAAAUUUUAUGAAGUCCUUUUCAUUUAUUCUUAUUUGAAUUUUUCUUAACAAAUAUUAAGUUCAUUUCUCCCAAAUCUAUGAAUCCUUCAACGGCCGAUCAAUAGCAAAUCGGCUCCUCUGGUGGCUGUGGUUGGUCAGAAAAGAUAGAGAGAACUGUGGAUAACAAAAUUCAAGUGGUGACGUCACCGGAAAUCAGAGAAACCACAGUGAAUUGAAGUGGAGAUUCUGUGACUUUUCACGGCUUCGAUCGACGGCUUUCUGAAUGUUUUACGACGACAAGGAUGGCAUGGAGAUGAUCGGCGUCGCACGAGCUUCCGAUCGGUACCAACCUUGGCCAGUGGAGUAGCCAGAAACAAACAAAAUUCGGGUUGGGUUGACCUAGUUAUUUUUGCGACAAGGAUGGCGUGGAGAUGACUGAGGUCGUACGAUUUUCUGAUCGGUACCAACCUUGGGCGGUGGCGUGGAUGGAAAUGGAAACGAAAUUCGGGUUGGGUUCACCGAUAUUUUGAUAAAGAGAGGGGGGUAUUGUGAUAAAUGUGCAAUAUAGAAUAAAAAUGUGUAAAUAGUAAAUAGUAUAAGGUGCUAAUUAUAAUGUUUAUAUGGAUGCAAUAGAAAUUAAUUUAAUAUUUAUGAGGUAAAGUUUAAAUAAAAAUGAAUUAAAGGGGUUCAAUGAAAUUUUACAACACUACUAGCACAAAAGACAAAACCAGUGAUACGAUACCACGGUGGUACCGCAGCUGGAUCCAAAAGAAAAGAUCAUAUAUUUACUAAGGUAAUUCUUAUCUUACAUGCAUGUAAGAUAGGGGGAUCCAUUUACUAAAUGUGUUUUAAGUAAGAGCUUAGUUUUAUCUUACGUAUUUGUAGUGUCGCAUUCAGAAUUAAAGCCUAAUAAGUAAUAGCAGCAAAUAUAAUUUCUUUAAAAAAAAUUAUUUUCCUAAAAUGUUUUACAAUAAUUUUGGAUAUAACAUACUCAUUUAAAAUGAUUUUAAUGAUGAUAAUUUAAUUUUCAGUAUAUAAUCUUAUAAAUUACUUAAAGUCGGUAGAGUAAAUUAAAAAUUUUAUUAGGACAAAAAAAUUUAUUGAAUUUUGGAAAAUAUUUUUUGAAAAAGAUUCAGACUUACGGGGACAACUGCCGCAGCUUGUCUUUACGUGACUCCACCAGUAUCGAUAUUUGCACCCACAAUGCCGAUAGGAGCUGCAAUGAGAUAUCCAAAAAUACUAAGGUAUGUGAAUAAAGAAAUCAUCUUAGACCCACUAGUCCUUUGAACUAAAACCACCAACCCACCUCAUUUUGACAACUCUUAACCGCAUAUCAAACAACAUGCGAAGAAGAAGGAUUUAGAAUAAAUAAAUAAAUACAAAGUUUUGCUCUUUUUUGCUACAAGAGGAGAAAAUUUGAAUUAGCUAUUUGGAAGAGAUAGGGAUGAUCGAACAAAAUUUUUCCCUUGGGUAUUAAUCAAUGGUCAUAACCCGGAUUUGAAAUGGAGAGUUUUUUUUUUUUUUGAUGACAUGAGACUAUUGUUUAAAUUACAACUCAUAUUACAUGAUAGUAUAACUGAUAUGUACAAGCAUAUAUAUAUACUGAGACCUGUUGAGAUCAAUGCUGAUAUGACAUCGCUCAUAUUUGUAACCCUCUCAAAUAGUCGAGGGACGUCAACUCCCAGCCUGGGAGAAAGACUGCCUUCACUCAAGCUCUGGGGCUCCAAAGAAGGACAUUUAAAUUAAACCACAGCAAUGCGUCUGCGGAGGCUCGAAUCACUUCCCUCACAUUUGUGAGUGAGUGGCUCUAGCCACUUGGGCUAAGCCCAAGUGGUUAAAUGGAGAGUUAAUUUCGCUGUUACCCAGAUUUGAAAGACAGUAUUAAGUGCAAUUUAUGUUCCAGCAGUUUAUGAUCGAAAAUGUAAGUGAAGUGAAGUCGUUAUUAUUAGGAUUUCUCUUGAUCUAAGUUCUCCUGAAUUUUUAAGAUGUGUAAGGUAAUAAUAUUGUAUGGAUGGAAUUUAAGUUCUUUAUUUUUUUUUAUUUUAAUCACCAAUCAACUUGUGAAUUUGAGAAAUUUAGAUCAGAAGAGGAUCUUAUCUCUUUGUAUUUUAGUGUCAUAAUUUUAAAAACUAAAAAUGAACUACAAUUAUAAAAUAAAAAUUGACAUUUUAAUAAUUUUGACAGAAAAGUAAAAAUACUGCAGAAUUUUUAUUAUAUAUGUAAUAAAUUAAAUCAACUUAAUUUUUAAACCACAAUUAUUAUUAUCUACCAAAUAUUUAGGGCCAUAGCUAACCUUAAUACUAAAUGGGGGCAUUCGGCUCCCACGAUCAAUCUGUUGAGGCUGCAUUGGUUGGAAUGUACGAUGAGGAUGGCAUGUUUUGUCUUAUUCGUGCUUCAUAAAUCAUAAUAAAGCCGAUUUUUCGUGGCAGACAUUUGAUUAAUAUCUCCUUGCGGUUUCAUAUGGAAAUUUGGGAUGUUACCAGCGUUGUGUUGUCUUAAUAUUUCCUGUAGUUUUGGCAACCCAGUACGCCACCUGUCAUCUUGUUUGCCCUCAAGGAUGAACAGAAGCCCGGUGCGCAAUGGGCAAAAGGAUUGACAGUGACUUGGUUUCAGGUACAAAUUGUCGGCAACAGCAAAUUAAAUAAAAUAAAGUAAUAAAUAGAUUAAUUCGAACAAAUUUAAAUUUUUAUUAAUAUAUUUUUCGUAUUUCAAGGAUUAAAUACCUCUCUAGUUUUUUUUUAAACACUUAUAUAUUACAAUAUUGAUAUUUACAAUCAAAAAUUUAUCAGAACUUAUCUGAGUAAUUCUAUUACAAUACAACCCAAAUAUCAAUAUUCACUAAAUUGAAGAGAGAUUUAUCUUCACUAUUAUUGAAAGGAAAUCAAUUCUACUUCAAUGUGGGGAGUCAGUUAACUCCCAUUAUAUAAGAAAACAAGUCCCAACGAUGACUCUAAGCUGAGACUUGAAUCCAUGCCCUCAAGGUUAUUUAUCAACUCUCUAGUUGAUAAAUAAUAUUCCAGAUUUUUAUUGUUAUAGUUGAUGCUAGUUAGUCCACAUAUAAAACUUAAAAAUUAAGAAUAGGAAUAAAAACUAGACACCAUUAAUUUAAACUAAAACAAAUAAUUUGUUCACUAACCAACCACAAGUUUACUAAGUCCAAGUACACGUUAAUCACGACCAAUAGGAUGAAUACAGUUUAAAACAAAUAAAAAUAUAGAAUUAGGGAUCGUAACACUCCUUCACCUUAAAAGUACUCUUUGCCGUCAAGGGUGGACUUUGUUAAGGAGUCUUCUCUCGUCAACAUACUUCUCCGAAUUUGACCACGACAACAUAAUAAUGGCUAGAGUCCCGUCACCGUCCAACCAUAAUGGCCACUUCAAGGCCAAAGGUUUUGCGUGUGUGCAUGCUUCUUGACUUUUUCAUUGGUGCAUUAAAUUUUGUUUUGUAUUCCGAAAUCAAGCAUGCAUGCAUGCUCCUUGGCUCUUUUCAUAUUCCACAAGGAUGCAUUAAUUUAUUUUUAUUUUUUUUGUUUGUUUGUGCGCCAGGGGUUACCAAUUACGAUCAUGAUUCUCUUCUGAUCUGAUUAUUUUCUAAGUAAAUAAUUUAAUCACUGAUUGAGUGUUAAUAAAUAAAAAAGUAAAAAAAAUUAAAUCUUACACAUACACUACUACUAAAAGACACAUGACAAAAGAUUAUUUAAAUCUCAAUAAUAUUCAGAUCAUGAGAGGAUCUUGUUCCUACUAAUUACUUCAUCGUUAGGAUUUGUUCCUUAUUAAUUGCUUAGUUCUGAUACCAAAUGUUACGGAAACAAAUUAUUUACAACAAUAAAUCAAAUAAAAUAAAAAGAACAAGUAACAAAUGGGUUAAUUUGAGAAAACCAAAAAUUUCAUAAAUAUAUUUUUAGCACUUCAAGAGAGCAACUACCUCUCAAUACAACUAAUCAGUUGCCAAAUAAUAUUCCAAAUUUUUAUUAUUGAGUUUGAUACUAGUUUCAAUAUUGGUUUGCUAAUAAAACUUAAAACUAAAGAAUAAGAGUAAAACUAGACACUACUAGCCUUUACUAACACAAAUAAUUAGCUAAUUAACGAACUACUAAUUUACUAAGUCCAAGUACACCUUAAUCACAACCGUUAGGAUAAAUACAAUUUAAAAUCAAUAAAAAUAUAAGAUUGGAGAUCGUAAGUCGUAACAGACUUCUAAAGAGAGUCGAGAGAAAAACUUACUUGGGACAAUCCAAAAAAUACUACUUGCAUUUAUAUGACUGGCCAAUUUGAAAACAUAUGAAUGCUUAGCUGUCAAAAUAUAAAUGGAUGAGCACACCACGUGAAACGUGGGCUUCUCCCACCUAAAUACUUCUCAAUCUGAGUAGGGGGAAAUGUCCGAAGAGUGACUCCAAAAUCUGCUUCUUAUGCUAAAAACACAUGUAUGAAUACUCUGAAUGAAUUAACAGAAUUUUAUACAUGCCAAAACCAACUAAUCAUAUGUAAAAUUUAUUAGCAUGCGAUUGUAUGGAUCAUAGUCUUGAGGCAGCUUACAAGGAUAACAAAAUAAUAGUGUGAGGAAAUAAGUUGCUGAUGUACUGGGUUUAAAUGCAAGAUAUGAAGAAUUCUUGGGGCUAUAUGUAGAUCGACUUCAGUAGGAGGGAUCUUGUUGCAAAUUUAUGCUGAUGUGGCAGAAUUCGUUGAGAGUUCGUUAUGCCCUUUCCAGAAAUAUCAGAAUAAAAGGCACUUGUGACUAGCCUCUUAUAUCAGAUCGAUAUCUUCUUCAUUUCAUGUUCAUUUUGCUUGCAAUUUGGUUCUUUGUGAUCCUUAUAAUUUCUUUUUGUUAAUCAAUCUGUAAUCCGAUUGUUGAGAUCAAUAAAAGAGCAGUUUUUUCCUUCAUCAAUUUGUGUACUUGAAACUGUGCUCUGAGUCUGAUUCUUGUGAUUGCUUUCUUGUGUUGAUUAAUCUGGUCUGUUUCUUUCAAGUCUGAUUCAUCAAAGUUCUUCACGAAAUAACUUGUGUAGCUAUUAAAGGUUAUAACAAAUAGAAUGGUGCAAUAAAAGUACAAUAGCUGAUUCACUAAGGCUACAUAUAACCAGAGAAUAUGGUCAAUAAACUGGAAUAACCAACUGUUCUUGAAUCAAGUCCCUCCCCAGGGUUCUCAAGAACAAAACCAAUGAAGUUUGUCAGGACAGCAAUCCAUCAGCUGCAGUGACCCAGUGGUUCAACGGUGGUUCAUUCCAUCAUUUACAUGUAUAACAGAUUAUCUUCCGGUCUUGGCGCGUUUCAUUCCAGCACUGUUGAAGGGCCACAUGCUAGGACUCAUACUCGGACUCAUGCAUGGACUUUCUUCUCUUAGAGUACCAUUCAGCGUAGCAAAUUCACGCAAUUGUUGCUUCUUGUAAUGAUCCAAGGAUUCAUCCUGCAUAAAGAGAUUAGUUUGAACAAGCGGGAAUUAGGAGAGAUGCUGAAGGAAAGAAUAUCGACAAAGUUCACAGAAAAUACAAGAGUUUUUUUUGUUCAUACCACAGGCUUCAAAAGGUUCUCUAGUAUCGCUACAGCAUGAUCCAAGCGGGAAUUUAUUAUAUCCUCUGGAAAUUCGGCCUCCCCUAACACGUGCAGUGGCUCAUUAAGAUGCUCAUAUCCAGGUUUAUCUUUAAGUUUUUCUUCCUAAAGAACCAAAAAGUAAAGAAUUAUCAAGAGAAACCAAGAUGGUAUAAUAAUGUAAGGCAACAUCGAACAUUAGGAAAUACGAAGAAAUGGUUUGCUAAUGCAAGACGCACUCUCCCAUUUGUAGAACACAAAGAACAUGAAAUGAGUCUUGAUUUCCACUUAAUAGAUAAACUAGUAAUAAUAUAAAUUCAUUUCCAGUACAUAUGCCAUCAAUGUAAAACAAAACUACUCAAAAUAUCUAGCUACUCCUACCACAACGAAAGAAAACCACCAUAAUCAUACCAGUUGUCUCCACGAAAAAGAAUUAUGAGGGGCCCAAAAAAAAAAAAAAAAGCUAUAGUUCAUCUGGAAAUCAUUAUUCCAAAGCAACAUAAUUUAUAUGUGUGUAAUUUCAUGCUCAGUACAUCUUUCUCCAGUUAAAUCAAUCAGCAAAAUGUCACAAUCCUCCAUUGAAUAUCAUAGAACUACAUCAUGCAUGAUCAUAAGCAAAUCUAGUCAUACCAUGACCAGUAUCGGUACUAAACUACAAAUUAAAGCAUCUGAUAGAUUGUUACAUAAAACCAGGAUAAUUACAGUGCUAAUCAAAUAACCCGAAUUGCAGAUUCCCUAAUCAAACAAACAUAACAAAAAAAUCUGAAUUACAUUUUUUUUUUUUUUAACCAGAGAUGCACAUUGGCAGCGGAUAAAAUUGAGCAUGUCCUACAAGUUAACAUGGUCCUCCUUUAGCAAGGUCUAGAUGGGAAGGACCAUAGUAAAAAUAAGAGGAAAUACUUUACUUCAUCUAUAAAUCCUACAAUUUAGUUGCAAGUAAAAUAACUCCAAUCUAAAACAUCAAAUGCAUAAGAUUCACAAGGCAAAAGCAGCUUUAGCUAUUAAAAUUUCACAUUCUCAUGCUUUAAGUGUUCAAAUCCACUUUAGCUUGAUUAGAUUGAAUCAGCAACUUAUUCCAAAAUGCACAGCUUCACCACAUUAUGAUAGAUCAGGCCUUUAAAGAAUCCUCGACUGAACCCCGUCCUCUAAUGAACACCCUACAUUCUGUCAUGGCUUCAAUUCUUUUUGAGGGAGUUCCCAUGCGUUCCCAAAAUCCGGCCAACAAAAUUAAACUGCUGUGUGUUUAAGUUAGAAACUAUUAUUAUAAGGAAUUUAAAUAUAUCAAUAUAACUACCUUUUAAAUUGGAAAGCAAAGUUUAAACUUACAUUUGGAUAUUUAUCUACGGUAACAUCAAGUCUAAUAACUCUCUUCACAACAGGUGUGGUUGGAAUUCCGGGAACACCUAGCCCGCCCAUUGAAGGAGGAGUUUGAAAAAGGGGCCAUUUUUUGAAUAUGCCCAUUUUCCUGAAUCAAGGCAUCUAAUGAUAUAAGGAUUCCUCUCUUCAGAAUGAUAUAAGGAAUCCUUUCUUUUAUGCUUGAAAACUUUAUCAUCAAAUCCAAAACAGCACAUGAUUCUCAAACUCGAUGAAACAAUCAAGAGCCCUCUAAAAAGUGAUGUGCAAGAUCCAAAACAGAAAGCUUAGUCAUUUAAAAAAUAGCAUUCAGCUAUGAGCAAUAAUAACUUAAAUCUUAAACAUGGAUGUAAUUUAUCUUCAGCUGACAGCUAGACAUACGAGGCAAGUUCAAAGAACAUUUCUCUUUUAUACCCAAAAAAAAAAUAGCUGAACUAGAAGAUACUCUCAGUUGAUUAGAGAAUGAGUAUAUCGAUCUAUGUGUGACAAUUUACUUUAGGUAUACCAUAGAUUCUAACCUUUGUUACACUAAAAGAUGGUCAUCCCCUCAUUUAAAAGGAACAUAGCGAUUAGAAGAAAAGCAUACAGUCAGAAUUCCAAGAAAUUGCAAUAUAGAAUUUUCUGGCAUCAAUCUCACAAUUACAGGAUAAAAAUACAUGGCAAGUAUAAAACCGUGAACAGGCAUUAUUAGCUCAGUUUGCGUUGUAGAUGAACCCUCCAAAUCCAUUGGUCUUCCAUUCGGCUGACCUGAUGACCUAAAUGGACUAUCAUGCUCAAACCCUUCAUGAUCAACAAAACUUGGAUUGCAACCUGUCGUUUGUCUGAUUAGGUAUACCAUGUAAUAUAUACAACUGAAUCCAGGUAAUAACUAACUGUGCUACAAAUGUCAAUGACAAAUAAAGUUCCUAGUUUUUUCAAAAAACUGCCUAGGCAGUGCCCACCCCGCCACACAAGUAGUCCAGGUAAUUUGCUCACGCUGUUGCCAGCCAAAGAACCAUGAAGAGGAAAAGCUGCAAGGAGCCUUUGCCAGGUUGGUCAGGAAGGGCUUCAAUAGAGUGUAACAUCUCAGUAGCUCAAUUCAUGUACCCCUAGCUGUGCAUGUAAGAAGAAAUGCUCUUCUGAAUAAAGUAUUGAUACCAGAUCUACUGUUGUUUCUUCACAACUUGUUAGGAAAGAUUACUAGCAGCUAAGUUAGACGCAUAUACAUACUACUAUAGGAAAUUGAACAGCUUCUUACAUAAUCGGUGCAACUUCUUAUACAAGUAACUUCUUAUACAAACAAGUUCCCCUCCCGGCAAUAGAUAGACAUCAAUAUUCAGACACCUGAGGGUGCUGAAUGUUAGAAACUUUACUUCCUCCCAACGUAAGCUCCCAGUUUAGACACAUUAGGAUUCCAAAAUGAUAGCUCAGAUAACCCCGUAACAAACAUGAGACUUCCAGGGGCCCAUUUUAUGACAGGAGGCUCUGUAUGAAAACUCAUCCAACUAACAACCCUGACAAGAAAAAUAAACAAAACCAAACAAUGUUUAUAUAAUAACAAUACCAACAUCAAAAGAAUAUAGUCUUUGGAUACAGAACUCAUUAUGCAAACUGGUGCUUAAGGUGAAUGCCCAAAUGUAGAUUCAAAAGCAUUGUUGGUUUGCCUAGAAGACAAUGAAUGCUAUGACUCGGUCAAUGUAGGGGAAAUAACAUCCCUUUGAAUUCUAAGCAUUCAAAAGGCAUUAGAAUCAAGGAAUUUUGCUUAUCAUACCCCUUUCCCGCUCCGUACGCUCCAAGCAUAUCCACUACCAUCAUUAGAACCUUCCAAAACCAAGAAAGUAAAAUUAGCAUAAAGAGUGCAACAAACCAAUAGUAUCACAUAAAACUAAUAAGACGUGCUUGGCCACACUAGGCUGCUUCCACAUGUGUGGGUGCACUUGCUAUUUGAGCAUUUCAUUGAUUUAUUUUGAUUAACAAGCACAACCAGAUGAAAAUACGUACGCAUUUGGAUUUGCAUGGAUGGGAGUGGGUUUUAAACCAAGUCAAUGAAGAAGAGAAAUUGAAUUUAUUGCAAAGAAUUCUGUGGGAACAAGCUUGAUGCUGAAUGCUUUUCUUCUAAUUGCUAUGUUUCUGUUAACAAGGUGGUAACAAAUUUGAGAAUUAUAUACAGCACAAGUGCAAGAACUUUAAUAUAAAAUAUCAAAACAGCCGAAAGCAAAUAUUAACAAAAUAUCCACAAGUCACUGUGCCCUAAGAACUGAAAGGAGAAACUCUACUGGGCUGAAAGAUGCCUCCAAUGUGGAAUUGUGAGAAACUGGCUUGGCAUCAUAAGUGGAUAAAUAAAAAGGGUAAUUUUUAGAGACCUCCCCUGAGGUUUGGUGUAUUAACACUUAAAUAGAAUGUAUUCAUGUAAUUACAUAUAUUUUCCCUACAAUUAAUAUAAAAAUACGUAUAGCGUCAGAUAGAAGGGUAAAUGUGUAAAAAUAUAUUUAAAAUUAAAAAUAUUUGCUUUUACCAAAUCAUUAAAAUUUUGACCCACUUGCCCGCUGUCGGCCCAAACUUGACCAGUCGGUCAUGGCUCCACCGGCGGCUGGUGGUGGUGCGCCACUGCCGGAGUCCUCUCCUCACACCAACAACCAACCCCAUUCACGGCAGCCUUUGAAUCAACUGCGUCCACCAACACACAUUAACCCAAGUACACGACUUUUUGAAGUGUCUCUUUUGCUUUGCGUUUUCCCUUCACUGAGAAGAUUCAUCAGCUAAUAUAAUAAGCUUUGUUGCCUUAGAUUUGAGAUUACAGAGGCCUGAGCAGAUGUGGCUGUGAUGUGGGCUUUAUUGUAUUUGACUAAUAGGCAAAACACAUUUUAUUGGCCUACAAGGACGGUGCCUUUUUCUUCUUGUUGGGGAACUUCGUGAAGAAUCCAGCUUGCUUCUUUCUUCCUUUUCUUUCUUCAUUUUAAUUCAUUUUUUUAAUUUAUAAUAACUUUUUGAGAUUGAAUUAUUGGCUUCACAUGUAAAUCAAUGGUAUUUGGUAUGUCACAAGUGUAUAGUUAUUCUUUUUUUAUUUAUUUUUUCUGAUGUUUUUGUGUUGGAAUUAAUUUCUCAAGGUUUUGGCACCACUCCCCAUUGGAUUUGCUGUGUUCAUGGUACACUUGGCCACAAUCCCAAUCACUCGCACUGGAAUUAACCCAGCAACGAGUCUCGAGGCUGCUGUUAUUUACAACAAGGACAGGGCUUGGGGUGGCCAAUGGCUCUUCUGGGUGGUGGUGCUUUGCCACUGCCGGAGUCCUCUCCUAACACCGGCGACCAACCCCAUUCACGACAGCCUUUGAAUCAACUGCGUCCACCAACACAGUAACCCAAGUAGGCUUUUGUCUCAUCACAACCCCCACACCCCCACCGCCCCUUUGGCCAUCGCCGAAGCCACCCAACAACCGCUAACAUCACCAUUAAAGUGGGUUCAAUGGAAUUCUCACUGCCAAUGGAAUUCCCAAAGUUAUAUAUAAUAAUUUAUUAUUUCAGCAGGAAGGAUAUUUUAGUAAUUUUAAAUGUUUACUAACGGUCAACUUAAUUAGUAACUAACGGCAGGGGAGGUAUAUGUAAUUACAUAGAUACAUUCCAUCUAGGUGUUAAUACACCAAAUCUCAGGGGAGAUCUCUAAAAAUUACCCUAAAUAAAAACAAGAGUAAAUAGAAGCUCAUUAACAGAGAUUCCACUGUAUAGAGGGGUAUAUAUGUACAAUAUGUUACAUUUGGGAGAUGAAGAAAGAAAAAGUAAACUCACAAGUGUGCCUUGGAAUGAGUCAAGCACACGAAUAUGUCCUUCCAUAGUGGUCGGAAGCAUAAUUCUCCCAUCAUUGCUGAACUUUAUGACAUCAGAAUCUGAUACAUCUUCCCCAUCAGAGAAGAUGUCAAAAGGACCCUAACAGCAUCCAAGCUUAACCAAAUUAGUGCAUGAUAAAAGUACUACGACAUAUAAACUUCCAAGAUAUUCUUAAAUAUUAAUUUUAACCUUCUCAUACUUACGAGCAUCAAACAUUCUUAUGUAUCCUCCAAAGGCAACUGCAAAGACAAGCCCUUGAUCAUCGUAUGCUGUAGCAGGCCUUCCUUGAACAUUCAAAAGACCCGGAUUUGCCAACAGAGAUCAUAAACACAAUUGAAAAUGGGGGAAAAAAUACUUUGAAUGUGACCGUGGAUGGCAUGAUAUCCACCUAGCAUUUCUCAGCCCGUUGAUCCCAGAGCAGAACAGUUUGAUCAAGAGAACCAGAGAUAAAGAAAUCUUUGGAGGAGCACAGGCUAAACAACCCUAGAAGCAAUAAAACAUAUAUACAGAUGAUAAUAAUUACAAAAUAUUUACAAGAAUCAGUGAAUUACAAACCUGUCAUGGUGACCUUUGAAGUAACGCAAGUACUUGUUAUCGUGCAAGGAAAGAAACUGUAGAGAUUCUUAAUAAAUGAACGUAUCAAACAGCACUACAAGUGGUUUCGUAAUCCAAAAAGUUCUAUCCAUGAAAGCAGAUAUCAAGCACUUCCCCAGAAAAACAAUUCAAGGGUUCCUUUGAUUUCAAAAGACACUUUAUUAUUUCUGCAAUUUCAAACAAACAUUGCAAAAUUGAAACCAGCUUCUUAUACUUAUUUAAAAGCCAUUUCUUAGUUAAAAGCACUUCCAAAGAGACAACAUAAAAUCCUAAGAAACAGAGGAUCAACUUACGUGGCAGCAGAGACAUCGUACGGCCGUAUAGAUUCAUCAUCACUAGCCGUCACCAAAUAACUCGACGAUUUAUGAAAAUCCAUGGAACUAAUUCUCCCAUUCUGUUGAAACACAAAUCAAUACAAAACGACACUGAAUUAACAAACAGAUACAUUUAAAACGCAAAUCGAGUAUGUUCCUCGAAUAGAAACUUAUUAGAAGAUUCUCUUACAUAAUCUCUAAAAGAAAUGCCCACUUCCAUGCUCUGAAGAAUUUCUUCAAAGAGUUCCAACGAGACCUUGUCUUCUCUCUCCGAUUGUGACCCUAAAACCCAGAAAUAAAAACACAAAGCAAAUAAGUAUAUCACAGCAAUUAUGCCAAAAACGACAACGUUUCAAGUAAAAUUUCCACAUACCAACAUUUUUUUUCCUUCAGAUUAAUUCAAUUCCACUGCACUGAAAACAAAUUUUUCACGGAAACGGGAGGAGGUUGAGAAUUUAUUUAUACUUCUGUGUCAAAUAAGGACGGUAGUUUUCUAUUCGUCCCAAAUGGGUGCCUAAACCCAUACAAUGACUACGAUACCCUUAAGCGUCAGCUCUUGUACACUUAAAUGUCAAGGGUAUUUUGAUCAUUUAAUAAUUAGUGACCUAUUUUCCGAUGCAUAUGUAAAGUCAAACUUCACGAAGAAAACGCUAAUAAAAAUGAUUAAGAAAAAACGCUCAAAUUGGAUCAAAGCUUUGAAUGACAACGUAAGUCUCGAUUUUUUUUUUUUUUUGCUUUCUAUUAUGCGUUAUUUUAUUCAUCAUCUAGUAGUAAUUUAAUCUGCAAAAUUCCAAUUUUUGACGCGCGCGCACCAACAAAAAAAUUUUGAAAGAAUUUUAUUUGAAUUUUAUAUGUGUUCCUAUUUGUUUUAUGAAUCGAAUCUGAUAAGAAAUUGUGGGGAUGCAAAUAUCACACGAUGCCUCCGUUCAGUCAAGUUUAUUCUUGAUUUGUUGAAAUUGUGUAAAUAGAUUUAUAAUAGUUUUUAUGAUGUGUCAGGGUUCGCGCUCUUUGGAUAAUCAUGGAAGUAUGGUGAUUUCUAUUUAUUGUUGUGGGGAAAGGACACCGACUUCUUUGCGUGGUUUUAGAAAUGAUCGCAUAGACUUGUAUUAGGAUAAUUAUACCCUUUGACUGUAGUGAUUUCAUCUUGGCAUAUUUAUCAAAAUGGGUAUUUUCCCUUUCAGCUACUCAUCACACGAGCUUUAACCUUCCACCAGUGAUCAAGUUGAACAUGCAAGAUUCCAACAAGUCCCUUUGAGAUCCCGUCCAGUUGUUGCAGCCCAGAUCCCACCAUCAAAUCAGGUCAAAUUACAAGAUAUACCUAACUUAUGGAUUAACUUUCGUGUCUUUUAGUUUGAGAUCUAGUGAGUACAAUGCUCGUAAUGCCCAAUACCAUAUGGUUCAAGAGGAUAUGAGAGCAUAAAGGUUCAAAUUUAUGAGUUUAACUGGUUGAAAAUGGUGUAAUAUGCCUCUGUGGUUUGUACAUAAUGGAUUAGAUAAUCCUCUUUUUUUGGCCCUCCAAAGAAUUAUUCGUAGGAGACUGAAAAUUGAAUCUCUGAUGCAGUUUAUCCUUGAACUGGUAAGACAAUGUAGCUGAAGUAAUUUUUCAUAUUUCAUAUAGUAUUUGCUAUCACUUAAGUGGAAGACUGACUUUUGUAUAUUUACUUUUUCUGGUGGCUUCAAACAGUCUCAACCAUUUGGAAUGUGACAAACUUUGAACUACUAUAUUAAUAAGAAGAUUAUUAAUCCUGCAUGCCCUAUACUCGCUGCUGUGAUUGAAGAAAGGCGGAUAUUACUAUUGCUGACUGACUGACUCUUACCAAUGGCCUUGACAAACCUUUUGUUCGCAUCAAACUGAGGCAUAAGAGGUGUAAAGGUGUAGGAGUGAAAGCUACAACAUAUGCAAAAACAAUAUGGAUGGACCUUGCCAAUGCCGAGUUGAUCUCUGGAAAUAAGAUUCACAUAAAUAGAUUGGGAAUGCAAUUGUGGAGCAAAUUAGUAGGAACCAGGAUGGAAAUUUCACAGGGGUUGUGCAUCUUGAAGGAUACAAGACGACCGUGUUGAAGCUGACCUGGCUGCUUGAAAUAAUCGAGUUAGUGGGGUUCGACUACCUAAUCACAAAGAAAAAGGUAUGUUGAUUUUCAGAUUUUUUUUCUUCCACUUAUCUCUUUGCUGUCAUACAGAGUGCCAUUCUGAAUAGUAAACUUUUCAUGUAAUGUGAAUUUGAUCCAUAAAGCACCUGAAUCUAGAUAAGUUUGCUGCAUGCUGAGCAUUGGGUCUUGUGUCUCAUGUGGGUUUUUUUCUUGAGUUCUUUAUGCCCAAAGAUGCUAGAAGGCUGGUUCUUACCACCGACCAACCAUCUAUUUAUACUUAGUCAUAGCAAUUGCAAACAUACCCCCUUGGUUGGUUCACGCAGUAAAAUCUCUUGAGGCAGUACCUAAUUGCCAUUUCCAAGUGUUUAACCCUAAAUUUUUAAUAACGUUUUGGUGGAUUCAUGUACAUUGAACUAGUCUUCUUUCUAUAUUACAUGGAUUAAAUUUUGAAACUAGGCCAACCUGUUGUUAAAUCUGCCUUUCAAAUUAUUGACUUAAUAUUGCCAAAAAAGAACUUUUUACCGAUUACAGAAUUUUUCAUUUUUGCAGGAAACUGGAGUCGCAGCUGACAGUGCUCAAGGGCAAUCCUUAAAUUAAAUUUCAUUGCAAUCUUUAAACUUUAAAUUAUUUGAGAAAAAAAAAAUCUUGGCAUAAUAUUGAACAGUGCAUUUACUUGUAUAAUAUCAAUAAAACAAUGCAUGUGAGGGAAUAAAAAGAAUAAGAUGAAAUUUGACGACAGUAAUUGGCACUAUUUCAAGCAAAGAAAUCUGGACACUAAUAUGUUUUCUCUGUUACUUUCCAAAAUUACUGCAUGUACAUGAGAUGAUUGUUUGCUACUGUUGUACUGUAUAAGGUGAAACAUUUGAAGAAGCCCCCUUCUAAACUGGUAGUGUUGGUCGUUGUUGUCCUGCCGAGGAAGUGUCAUUAGAUUGAAACCUACUGCAAAUAUUGAUACAAAAUGGCUUCAAGGUUUCGUUAUAGAGCUGACUGCAAAAUGGCUUCAAGGUUUCGUUGUAGAGCUGACGACAAGCUUCUGUAAACAGCGCCCCAUAUUGAUGCACAACAAUGGUAAUGGACGAGCAAAGCCACGCAGUGUACAAUAUGAUAUGACCAAUAUCAGAGCGAGGAACAAAUGUGGAGAUCAAGGAGACUGCAGAAACAGAUCCAGAGACAACUGCUACAAGGGCCCAAGAUUGGGAAGAAUUCUCUUGAUGAGCUAAAUAUGCAUAACAAUAAAUGGCUGUGGUUAUGAGAAAAGACCAUAUAUUUGUUGUGUGUGUUUCAAGCAAGCGCUCAGUUGUGCCGUGCAUAUUUGCUCCCACGAUGCCGAUGAGAGCUGGAAUGAGAUAUCCAAACACGUUAUGGUAUGCGUUUGACAUCGCGGACAAAUAAAUUUUGUUCCUGCAGAACCAUUAAAAUACUAUAUUAAGGAAAGUAUUAGAUCCAUUCCUUUAGAAAAACAAGAAUUUAAGAGAUCAUUAUGUAUUUAGUCCCAUUUAAUAUUAGUUUAAUUUUUUCAAGUUAUUGUGAAAAAAAAAAAUUAUCAAAUACUUUUAUCGAUCCAUUCCUUUAGAAAAAAAAUAUAUAUAUAUAUAUAUAUAUUUUCAGUGCACACACAACAUUUCUUUACUGUUUCAAACAAUCUGGUUCUAACUAUUAUAUUGUAUCAAACUCUUCUUGAGUUCGACUUUCUUUCAAACCCAAAUAUUAUAUUUGACUUUGGCUUUUCUCUUUAUUUUCAAGAUGCAAUGGGUUUCUAUCAGCUUUCCAAGCCUUAUAAAAUCUUGACAAAGACUUGAAGAAGAAAACAAAUUAUUUUCAGUGCAUAUUGAUUGGUAAGAAUUUAAAAAGGAAAUUUGGGAUUUUUUUUGUUUUCUUUUGAACAUUGUCUGUAUAUAUAUAGGGUAAAGUUUUAUUUUUAAAUACACGUUGUGGCUCAGUUCAGAGAGAGAAGGGAGACGGUGAAGAUUGAUGGGUUGACUUUCUUUUCCCGUCAGCCAUUUUGUAAUAGAUUGAUCAGAGCAAUCAUUACCUGCAAAACUCAACACAUCACCAAAUUAACAACCAACAUUUCAAUUUCAAACCCAACCUUAAAUUGAAACAAAUCUUCUUGAAAAAUAAAGGAAAAAGCAACUCCAAAUCAAAAUCGAAAUGAAACCUUAACAGAGAGACAGCCGCAAGUAUGAGGAGACAAGCACGAUCCUAAAAGAUCUGAAGUCCUGUUGGUAUAUGAGAGAUGAACUGACCUCAAUUUAUAUAGGAUGGAUUCCCUUUGCUCAUUGGCUGCUGCAGCCCUGGACCGUUGAGGGGGGACACGUGGAGGGAUCGUGGGGCGGGAUGGAAGUAACUGUGGUUGAGUUAAGGUUGGACUUUUCAUUAACAUACCUUUGAAAAAGGUAUGUUAAUCAACCUUUCAAAGGUACUUCCACCCCUCACAUAACUCCAGUCAACCACAGUUACUUCCAUCCCGCCCCACGAUCCCUCCACGUGAGCUGCUGCAGCCAAUGAGCAAAGGGAAUCCAUCCUAUAUAAAUUGAGAUCCCUGUUGAAACACAUAAAACGACGCUGAAUUAACACACAAAUACACUUAAAAGUCUGUUUCCCAAACAAAAACUUUUUAGAAGAUUCUCUUACGUAAUCUCCAAAACACAUGCCCACUUCCAUGCUCUGAAGAAUUUCUUCAGAGAGUUCCAACGAGACCUUGUCUUUUCUCUCUGAUUGUGAGCCCAAAAACCAGAAAAAAAAACUAAAUAAAUAAAUCACAACAAUUGCGAGAAAACGACAAUGUUUCAAGUAUAAUUUCCACAUACCAACCAUUUUUUUCCUUCAGAUUAAUUCAAUUCCACUGGAUUGAAAAUAAAUUUUCUGCGGGAACGGGAGGAAGUUGAUAAUUUAUUUAUACUUCUGUGUCAAACAGCAUGAUUUCCCAAAUAAGGACUAUAGUUUUCUACUCGUCCCAAAUGGGUGCCUAAACCCGAGCAAUGACUACGAUACCCUUAAGCGUCAGCUCCUGUACACUUAAAUGCAAGGGUAUUUUGAUCAUUUAAUAAUUAGUGACCUACUUUCUGAUGCAUAUAAAAGCACACUUCACGAAGAAAACAUCAAGAAUGAGGAAGAAAAACGCCGAUUGAGGAUGCUCAAAUUGGAUCAAAGCUUUGAAUGACAACGUAAGUCUCGAUUUUUUUUGUUUUCUAUUAUGUGUUAUUGUGGGGAAAGGACACCGGCUUCUUUGCGUGGUUUUAGAAAUGAUCACAUAGACUUGUAUUAGGCUAAUUAUACCCUUUGACUGCAGUGAUUUCAUCUUGGCAUAUUUAUGAAAAUGGGUAUUUUCCCUUUUAACUACUCAUCACACGAGCUUUAACCUUCCAUCAGUGAUCUGUUGAGGCCGAAUGAUGAGCGGAGGAUAGCGUGUUUGGCUUAUUCGUGCGUCAAGGUGAAGCAGAUUAUUGGUGGCAGGAUUAAGCUCGUCGGAUAUUGCAACCAAUUCCUUGGAAAAUGUUUGUGAAUGGCUUGAAGCAUUGAGAUAUCAUUCUAUUAUCUCCGUGUGUUUUCAUAAGCAAAAUUGGGAUGCUAAUAGUGUUGUCAUAGCAGGAAGUUGAACAUGCAAGAUUCCAGCAAGUCCCUUUGAGAUCCCGUCCAGUCGUUGCAACCCAGAUCCCGCCAUCAAAUCAGGUCAAAUUACAGGAUAUACCUAACUUAUGGAUUAAUUUUCAUGUCUUUUAGUUUGAGAUGUGGUGAGUACAAUGCUCGUAAUGCUCAAUACCAUGUGGUUCAAGACAAUAUGGGAUAUAAAGGUUCAAAUUUUUGAGUUUAGCCGGUUGAAAAUGGUGUAAUCUGCCUCUUAGCAAGCUUUUGUGGUAUGUACAGAUGGAUUAGAUAAUCCUCUUUUUUUCACCGUUCAAAGAAUUAUUCGUAGGGGACUGAAAAUUGAGUCUCUGAUGCAGUUUAUCCUUGAACUAGUAAGACAAUGUAGCUGAAGUAAUUUUUCAUAUUCCAUAUAGUAUUUGCUAUCACUUAAGUGGAAGACUAACUUUUUUAUCUCUACUUUUUCUGGCGACUUCAAACAGUCUCAACCUUUUGGAAUGUGACAAAAUUUGAACUACUAUAGUAAUAAGAAGAUUACUAACCCUGUGUGCCGGGUACACACUGCUGUGAUUGAAGAAAGGCUAACCCUGUGUGCCCUAUACACACUGCUGUGAUUGAAGAAAGGCUGAUAUUACUUUUGCUGACUGACUGAGUGUAAAGGUGUGGGAGUGAAAGCUACAACAUACACAAACAAUAUGGAUGGACCUUGCCAAUGCUGAGUUGAUCUCUGCGAAUGAAGAUUCACCUAAAUAGAUUGGGAAUGCCAUUGUGGAGCAAAUUAGUAGGAACCAGGAUGGAAAUUCCACAGUGGUUAUGCAUCUUGAAGGAUACAAGACGACUGUGUUGAAGCUGACCCAGCUACUUGAAAUAACCGAGUUAGUGGGGUUUGACUACCCAAUCACAAAGAAAAAGGUAUGUUGAUUAUCAGAAUUUUUCUACCACUUAUCUCUUUGCUGUCAAACAGAGUGCCAUUUUGAAUAGUGAACUUUUCAUGUAAUGUGAAUUUGAUUCUUAAAGCACCUGAAUCUAGAUAAGCUUGCUGCAUGCUGAGUAAAGAGUCUUGUGUCUCAUGUGGGCUUUUUUCUUGAGUUCUUUGUGCCUGAAGAUGCCAGUAGGCUGGUUCUUACCACUGACCAACUAUCUCUUUGUAGUUAGUCACAGCAAUCACAAACAUACCCCUUGGUCGGUUCAAGCGGUAAGAUCUCUUGAGGUAGUACCUAAUUGCCGUUUCCAAGUGUUUCACCCUAAAUUUUUAAAACUUUUUGGUGGAUUCAUAUACAUUGAACUAGUCUUCUUUCUAUAUCACAUGGAUUAAAUUUUGAAAUUAGGCCAACCUAUUGUUAAAUCUGCCUUUCAAAUUAUUGACUUAAUAUUGCCAAAAAAGAACUUUUUACCUAUUACAGAAUUUUUCAUUGUUGCAGGAAACUGGAGUCGCAGCUGACAGUGCUCAAGGGCAAUCCUUAAAUUAAAUUUCAUUGCAAUCUUUAAAAUUUAAAUUAUUUGAGGAAAAAAAAUCUUGGCAUAAUAUUGAACAAUGCAUUUACUUGUAUAAUAUCAAUAAAACAAUGCAUGUGAGAUUGUGAGGGAAUAAAAAGAAUAAGACGAAAUUUGACGACAGUAAUUAGCACUAUUUCAAGCAAAGAAAUCUGGACACUAAUAUGUUUUCUCUGUUACUUUCCAAAAUUACUGCAUGUACAUGAGAUGAUUGUUUGCUACUGUUGUACUGUAUAAGGUGAAACAUUUGAAGAAGCCCCCUUCUAAACUGGUAGUGUUGGUCGUUGUUGUCCUGCCGAGGAAGUGUCAUUAGAUUGAAACCUACUGCAAAUAUUGAUACAAAAUGGCUUCAAGGUUUCGAUAUAGAGCUGACUGCAAAAUGGCUUCAAGGUUUCAUUGUAGAGCUGACGACAAGCUUCUGUAAACAGCGCUCCAUAUUGAUGCACAACAAUGAUAAUGGACGAGCAAAGCCAGGCAGUGUACAAUAUGAUAUGACCAAUAUCAGAGCGUGGAACAAAUGUGGAGGCUAGUGAGACUGCAGAAACAGAUCCGGAGACUCGUGCUACAAGGGCCCAAGAUUGGGAAGAAUUCUCUUGAUGAGCUAAAUGUGCAUAACAAUAAAUGGCUGUGGUUAUAAGAAAAGACCAUAUAUAUGUUGUGUGUGUUUCAAGCAAGCGCUCAGUUGUGCCUUGCAUAUUUGCUCCCACGAUGCCGAUGAGAACUGGAAUGAGAUAUCCAAACACGUUAUGGUAUGCGUUUGACAUCGCGGACAAAUAAAUUUUGUUCCUGCGGAACCAUUAAAAUACUAUAUUAAGGAAAGUAUUAGAUCCAUUCCUUUAGAAAAACAAGAAUUUAAGAGAUCAUUAUGUAUUUAGUCCCAUUUAAUAUUAGUUUAAUUUUUUCAAGUUAUUGUGAAAAAAAAAAUUAUCAAAUACUUUUAUCGAUCCAUUCCUUUAGAAAAAAUAUAUAUAUAUAUAUAUUUUCAGUGCACACACAACAUUUCUUUACUGUUUCAAACAAUCUGGUUCUAACUAUUAUAUUGUAUCAAACUCUUCUUGAGUUCGACUUUCUUUCAAACCCAAAUAUUAUAUUUGACUUUGGCUUUUCUCUUUAUUUUCAAGAUGCAAUGGGUUUCUAUCAGCUUUCCAAGCCUUAUAAAAUCUUGACAAAGACUUGAAGAAGAAAACAAAUUAUUUUCAGUGCAUAUUGAUUGGUAAGAAUUUAAAAAGGAAAUUUGGGAUUUUUUUUGUUUUCUUUUGAACAUUGUCUGUAUAUAUAUAGGGUAAAGUUUUAUUUUUAAAUACACGUUGUGGCUCAGUUCAGAAAGAGAAGGGAGACUGUCAAGAUUGCUGGGUUGACUUCCUUUUCCCGUCAGCCAUUUUGUAAUAGAUUGAUCAGAGCAAUCAUUACCUGCAAAACUCAACACAACACCAAAUUAACAACCAACAUUUCAAUUUCAAACCCGACCUUAAAUUGAAACAAAUCUACUUGAAAAUAAAAGAAAAAGCAACUCCAAAUCAAAAUCGAAAUAAAACCUUUUAUAACAGAGACAGCCGCGAGUAUGAAGAGAGAAGCGCCAUCCUAAAAGAUCUGAAGUCGUGUUGUAUAUGUCUUGUAUAGAUUGACAGAGCAAUCAAAGGCCGUGUCGACUAGAGCGAUCGAAGAGGAGAAGAGAUAAGAGAGGAAAAAAGAUAGUUAAUUUGAUGCUGCAGCUCUGGAGCGUUGCUCAAUUUAUUAAGGAGGGAUUCCCUUCGCUUGCUCAAUUUAUACAGGAGGAUUUUCCCUUCGCUCAUUUGUUGCUGCAGCUCUGGACCGUUGAGGGGGGACACGUGGAGGGAUCGUGGGGCGGGGUGGAUUAGUGGAAGUAACUGUGGUUGAGUUAAGGUUGACUAGAGUUAUGUGACGGAUCUAAGGCUGGGUGUUUUCGUUUUGGAUAUGUCGUUUUGUCAGUGGGAAUGGCGUCGUUUGUUUGGGUUUAAAAUUGCGCACAUUUAUUAUACGUAGCGGAAUCGUACAAAAAUUGCUGCUGCAGCUCUCCUUUAUUAAUCUGAAGGAAAAAAAAAUUGGUUGGUAUGUGGAAAUUAUACUUGAAACGUUGUCGUUUUUGGCAUAAUUGCUGUGAUAUUUUUUUGUUUGUGUUUUUUUUUUUCUUUUUUCUGGGUUUUAGGGUCAAAAUUGGCUCAUUUCACAUCAUAAUAGACAACAAAAUAAAAUAAAAUAAAAUGAUUAAUUGAUUUAAUCAAUAAUUUGGUUCUGCCUACUUGAAAAAUGAAACGGAUAUCGUGGGAAAUUGGCAGCCCGCCAGUCCCCGGUUCCCACUCCCCAUCGCGCUUCUCUUACUAUUAAAAUACGAGUCAAGUUAGUACACAACGAAAGACAUUGCACAAUUAGCACAGCUUCCCUCUCUGUCUCUUUCACUUCCUCCUUCGUUAUUCAUCUCGCGCUCACUACUGAAUAUUGGAUCGCACCAACUAUGGCUCUCUCUUCCGGGAUUGCUAUUGGAGCUAAACAAUCUAUUUCUCCAUUUUUCACUGUUUCACAACCGAGCCUUAGUUACAGAAAACAGGUCGGUUCAUCCGCAUGCAGUAUUCAAGAUUUUGUUUUUGUUGCUUUUUCUAUCUGGGUUCUCAAUUCUUUUGCUUGCUUGUUUAAAGAUUCUUGUUUUUCGUAUCUGUAUCUGUAUCUGUAUCUGUGUUAUGUGCGUUUCUUGGUUUCUCACACAUGAUCAUCACCAUUGAGUUUGUAUGUAUUGACUGUGGUUGGUUGGUUCGUUGUCGUGGUGAUGUGUUUCAGAAUUUCUGUUUGAGAGCGUCCGCUGAGAAUCUUCUAAUAAGUUUCUGUUUGAGGAACAUACUUGAUUUGCGUUUUAAAUGUAUCUGUUUGUUAAUCCAGUGUCGUUUUGUAUUGAUUCGUGUUUUAACAGAAUGGGAGAAUUAGUUCCUUGGAUUUUCAUAAAUCAUUGAGUUAUUUGGUGAUGGCUAGUGAUGAUGAAUCUAUACGGCCGUACGAUGUCUCUGCUUCCACGUAAGUUGAUCCUCUGUUUCUUAGGAUUUUAUGUUGUCUCUUGGGAAUGCUUUUAAAUAAGAAAUGGCUUUUGAAUAAGUAUAAAAAGCUGGUUUCAAUCUUGCAAUGUUUGUUUGAAAUUGCAGGAAUAAUAAAGUAUCUUUUGACAUCAAAGGAACCCUUGAAGUGUUUUCUGGGGAAGUGCUUGAUAUCUGCUUUCAUCGAUAGAACUUUUUGGAUUAGGAAACCACUUGUAGUGCCGUUUGAAGAAGUGCUUCAUAUAUGUUUGAAAGUGAUUUUACUCGAGGGUACUUGCCAUUAAAGCACUGCUGAACGUAUCCUCUGCGUGUUUGAUGAGCUCAUGAAAGCUACUGUCUUUCUAAGAUGGAGAAAAAUGCUUUUUAGAUGAAACAGAAAAAAAAAAAAAGGAGAACCUUGGAGUGGUUUUCAGGGAAGUGCUUAAGGGAAAUGUAAUUGAUAUAUUUUUCAAGAACUUUUGUAAAAAGGCCUUUUCUUUUUCUUUUUGUUUUGUUUGCAUAAGCUCUUUCUAUAAGAGCACUGCCAAAUGCACUUCAGUUGUCUUAGCUGAGCUCAUGAUAGUUAGUAUUGCAAUUGUUGCUGAGAGCCUUAAUUGAAAUUUCAGAUGUUUGAAGACAAUUAACAGCAAAAAAUAUGGGAAUAUUUGUGUUUUGCAUGUUGGUGGAUUGCUUUACUAGGCACUUAUUUGAUACGUUCAUUUAUUCAGAAUCUCUACGGCUUCUUUCCUCGCACGAUAACAAGUACUUGCGUUACUUCAAAGGUCAUCAUAACAGGUUUGUAAUUCACUUAUUCUUGUAAAUAUUUCGUAAUUAUUAUUAUCUGUAUAUAUGUUUUACUGCUUCUAGGGUUGUUUCACUUAGCCUGUGCUCCUCCAAAGAUUGCUUUAUCUCUGGUUCUCUUGAUCAAACUGUUCUGCUCUGGGAUCAACGGGCUGAGAAAUGCAAGGUGGAUAUCAUGCCAUCCACCAUUUUCAAUUGUAUUUAUGAUCUCUGUUGGCAAAUACGGGUCUUUUGCAUGUUCAAGCAAGGCCAACAGCAUGUGAUGAUCAAGGGCCUGUCUUUGCAGUUGCCUUUGGAGGAUACAUAAGAAUGUUUGAUGCUCGUAAGUAGGAGAAGGUUAAAAUUAAUAUUUAAGAACAUCUUGGAAGUUUAUAUGUCGUACUUUUAUCAUGCACUAAUUUGGUUAAAUUUGGAUACAUCUUCUCUGAUGGUGGAGAUGUAUCAGAUUCUGAUGCUGUAAAGUUCAGCAAUGAUGGGAGACUUAUGCUUCCGACCUCUAUGGAAGGACAUAUUCAUGUGCUUGACUCAUUCCAAGGCACACUUGUGAGUUGACUUUUUCUUUCUUCAUCUCCCAAAUGUAACAUAUCGUACAUAUAUACCCCUCUAUACACUGGAAUCUCUGUUAAUGAGCUUCUGUUUACUCUUGUUUUUAUUUAUCCACUUAUGAUGCCAAGCCAGUUUCUCGCAAUUCCACAUUGGAGGCAUCUUUCAGCCCGGUGGAGUUUCUCCUUUCAGUUCUUAGGGCACAGUGACUUGGAUAUUUUGUUGAUGUUUGCUUUUGGCUGUUUUGAUAUUUUAUAUUAAAGUUCUUGCACUUGUGCUGUAUAUAAUUCUCAAAUUUGUUACCACCUUGUUGGCAUAUUGAAAUACACGACUUGAAAUGUUGGGCAUCAAGCUUGUUUCCGCAGAAUUCUUUGAAAUAAAUUCAUUUUCUCUUCUUCAUUGACUUGGUUUGAAACCCACUCCCAUCCAUGCAAAUCCAAAUGCAUAUGUAUUUUCAUCUGGUUGUGCUUAUUAAUAAAAAUAAAUCAAUGAAAUGCUGAAAUAACAAGUGCACCCACACGUGGAAGCAGCCUAGUGUGGCCAAGCACCUCUCAUUCGUUUUAUGUGAUACAAUUGGUUUGUUGCACUCUUUGUGCUAAUUUUACUUUCUCGGUUUUGGAAGGUUCUGAUGAUGGUAGCGGAUAUGCUUGGAGUGUACGGAGCGGGAAAGGGGUAUGAUAAGCAAAAUUCCUUGAUUCUCAUGCCUUUUGAAUGCUUAGAAUUCAAAGGGAUGUUAUUUCCCUUACAUUGACCCCAGUCAUAGCAUUCAUUGUCUUCUAGCCAAACCAACAAUGCUUUUGAAUCUACAUUUGAGCAUUUACCUUAAGCACCAGUUUGCAUAAUGAGUUCUGUAUCCAAAUACUAUAUUCUUUUGACAUUGGUAUUGUUAUUAUAUAAACAUUGUUUGGUUUUGUUUAUUUUUCUUGUCAGGGUUGCAAGUUGGAUGAGUUUUCAUAGUGAGCCUCCUGUCAUAAAAUGGGCCCCCGGAAGUCUCAUGUUUGUUACGGGGUCAUCUGAGCUAUCAUUUUGGAAUCCUAAUGUGUCUAAACUAGGAGCUUACGUUGGGAGGAAGUAAAGUUUCUAACACUCACCACCCUUAAGUAUCUGAAUAUUGAUGUCUAUCUAUUGCCGGGAGGGGAACUUGUUUGUAUAAGAAGUUGCACCGAUUAUGUAAGGAGAUGUUCAAUUUCCUAUGGUAGUAUGUAAAUGCAUCUGACUUACCUGCUAGUAACCUUUCCUAACAAGUUCUGAAGAAACAACAGUAGAUCUGGUAUCAAUACUUUAUUCAGAAGAGCAUUUCUUCUUACAUGCACAGCUAAGAGUACAUGAAUUGAGCUACUGAAGCCCUUCCUGACCAACCUGGCUAAGGCUCCUUGCAGUUUGUCCUCUUCAUGGUUCUUUGGCAGGCAACAGCGUAAGCAAUUGCCUGGACUAUGAGGCCUUUUGUAGCGGGGUGGGCACUGCCUAGGCAGUUUUUUGAAAAAACUAGGAGCUUUAUUUGUCUUUGACAUUUGUAGCACGAUUAGUUAUUACCUGGAUUAAGUUGUAUAUAUUACAUCGUAUACCUAAUCUGACAAAUAACAGGUUGCAAUCCAAGUUUUGUUGAUCAUGAAGGGUUUGAGCAUGAUAGUCCAUUUAGGUCAUUAGGUCAGCCGAAUGGAAGACCAAUGGAUUUGGAGGGUUUGUCUACAACGCAAACUAAGCUAAUAAUGCCUGUUCAUUGUUUUAUACUUGCCAUGUAUUUUUUUCCUGUAAUUGUCAGAUUGAUGUACAAGUUAAAAUGAUUGUAAAUAAAUUAUAUAUUAUAAUUUUAAAAAUAUUAUAAGCCCAUUGGUUUCAUAUAUAUAUAUAUAUAUAUAUUAGCUUUCUCUCCUACACCCAGGCUUUAUGCCUCUCGUGCCUCAGUUUGAUGUGAAGAAAUGGUCCAUCAAGGCCAUUGGUAAUAGUCAGCAAUAGCAAUAUUGCCUUUCUUCAAUCACAGCAAUGUUUAUUGGGUACGCAGGAUCAAUUAUCUUCAGUAAUUAACAAUUUAACAUAAUAAUAUAUCAUGUUUAUAAAUAUGUAAAUAAAUUUUAUUCAAUAUUUAUAGUUUUAUAGUAAUUUAAUAAUAAAAUUUACCAAACAUAUACAACUAUUUUUAUAACUCACAGCUCCUUUAAAAAGAAGUUUUUGUAAACGUUUAAUUAAUUUUCUUUACAAUUGAUUAUUUCUAUAGCACAGCUAACAUCAAUUAUUUUAAAAGCUACAACAUUACCAAAUUGGCCCCUUACUCUUUUUAUCAAAAUUAUUAUUUAAAAGUUCUAACUAUUUUUAUAACUCACAACUCCUUUAAAAAGAAGUUUUUGUAAACGUUUAAUUAAUUUUCUUUACAAUUGAUUAUUUCUAUAGCACAGCUAACAUAAAUUAUUUUAAAAACUACAACAUUACCAAAUUGACCCCUUACUCUUUUUAUCAAAAUUAUUAUUUAAAAAUUCUAAUUGCAACACGUUACCAACUUUUAUUUCACAUCUACAAUUUUUUUUCACAACAGCUAUACCUUAAAAGUCGCAUCAUCUUAAUACCAAAUAGGGCCAUAGUAAUUUGGGACCUUUUUUUCCCCCUUUCUCCUCUUCUUCAUCAACUUAAAAAAAAACUAGAAACAAAUCAGAGAAAUUGAGUAUGAAAUUAAGCAUUAGUCGAGUAUGAAGUUGGGUGAGUCGAGUAUAAAAUUAAGUACUUUUCUAUAUGAUUUUAAAUAAAGGGUAUUUUAAUAUUUUUCUGUGUGAUUUUGGAUAUAUUUCUAUAAUACCAGUAAACUAUGUAAUAAGCAUAUAUUUGUUAUUUUGUUGUGAAUGGGACAUAUCUGGCGCCAUUUGCUCCCGUGACCGAUCUUUAUAACAGAUCCAAUUACCCUCGUUAUAUUCACUGGAUCGAAAGCUGACAUAGCACAAUUCUGAUAUGUAAUGUGAGUGAUGGGAGAGUCACAAAUUAUUGUAUAAAUUUAUUUGAUCUAAAUUAAUUAGUAUAAAUUGAUAGAAAUAUAAAAUAAUAAAAAUAUAAAUCACGUAGACCAAGGUGUAUUUAAUAAAACUAAUAAAAUUUUACUCAAUCAGUUAAUAUAAGAAUUUGUAAUUUUAUUAUUACUCAUGGUACUUGAACAGUGGCUGAUUGGUCAACUAGUGAUAUAAGUGGCAACGACUAAACUGUUGAGUCUCUACGUGGGUUUUCAAAAUGAGUCAAGAGUCAAGAAAUUAGCUGUAAACAUGUCUUUGAGAUGAUACAUUGUCAUCAUCAGCAUCAUAUCCUAAUUGACAAAGAAGGAUUGCGAGGGAAACUAAGCAUGUGCCUUCAUUUUCACUUGAAAUAAAGCGCAAGGGAAAGAUCUCAUGUUAUCACAUGAUGCCGUGUGAUCACCUAGAAGCCCUUCCACGUAUAUUUCUUCUCAAAUUGUCUUCUUCUAAUUUCUUGGGCCACCGCGGAACCACAAUGUCAAUGGAUGAGCGAGUGUUGCUCAGCUCGCAGCAUUUGGAGCCGGAGCUCAGCUUCCCUUAUUUGUUGGUCGUUUGGUAGGCGUCGCCAAAGGGCAAAGAGGAUCCUCUGGCGUUCGUGGAGCUGGUCCUCAAUGCGAUUGAUUUCUUCUCCAAGUUGAGCAAGUCUUUGUACCAUAGCCAUAGAAUUAUUUACUUUGGACCGAUGCAAUUCUCUUCUAAAAAUUUCAGGGAGCACUUUUCAUCUGCACCCAAAGAUUUCAUCAUAAUUUUAUUGUAUACACACUUGCUUCAACAGCUAUCACGGCUCACUCUUUUUUUGUUAAAUAUUGUUGUUGCCAUUAAUUUUGACAUAUUUGACGUUAAAAGACAACUUUACCUUUAUUUAUAUUUUUUAAUACAAAAUUACCAAAAAACCACAACACCAAUUUCUAAUUCCAAUUGACUUGUGGGGAUAUUAAAAUUUAAUUUUGGCAUCUUUGACCUUAAAAGAUAAUUUUACCCUUAUUUAUAUUUUUUAAUGCAAAAUUACCAGAAAAACCACAACACUAGUUUCCAAUUCUAACUCACCUAUGUGGAUAUUAAAAUUUCUUAAAGGUUAGAAAAAAAGUAAAAAUGUGUUGUUCAAAAUAUCUCCUCUGCCAUCAUCCAUAAACGUCCAUUCUUCAUAACAAUCUAGUAAACUUGCAAAAAGCAAGAUCCCAGUCAAUCAACCAGCCAAAAUUCUUCAUAAAGUUUAGCUUUUCUUAAAAAAACUUAAAUCUUGAGUUAAAAAUUUUAAUUCCUGAGACCCUAAAUUAACUGGUAUUGAAAGUCGCAUGUUUCUAUAACAAAAAUCUUCAAAAAUAACACUACAAUGAAAAUCUUCAAGUUAAAUAAAAAUUUAUAUUCAUAAUAUUUAUGAAUAAAUUAUAAAUAAUAUAGAGUGGUUUAAUUGAAUAUAGAGUAGUUUACAAUUUUAUAGUGUAUUCACUAAAUAGGAAUCGAAAUUAUUUGGAAACAUAAUGAGUUAGAAUCAGAAUAUGUAGAAUCGAAAUAAGGAAUUAGAAUCAGAAUAAUUUAUUUACUUGAACUGUAGGAAUCGUAAUUAGAAUGAGUUGUUUACGUGUUUACUUUGUCUUAGAAUCAAAAUCGGAAUUAGUUAAAUUGUAACAAAUUACUAUAAAAUCCUUAAUUAAUUUUUAUCAUAAUUAUUAUUUCUUAUUUUAACUAUUGUGAUUAUUAUUAAUAAAAAAAUUAUUUAUUAACAAUAAUUAUUGUUAAUUAUUAUUAUUAUUAAAAAGUUAACUAAAAAUUAUUAUUAAUUAUUGUUAAUAGAUUAAUUAAUUAUAAUACUUUUUAUUCUUGUUAUUAAUAAUAAUAAUAAUCCAUUUAUAAUUUAUAAUUUUAUUUAUAAUUAAGUGGAAAUUAAAGUGGUAGGGUCCCAAUCAAAAUGUGGCACGAACACAUUUAUCCAACAGCAAGAUUUUUCGAUUGCCAUCCCCACUAAUUUGGUGUAAUGACUAAGAGUUAAUUGAAAAAUAUUUAGUUUAAUUUUACAUUUAAUUUUUUUCAUUUUUGUAUUAAGAAUUAUUUGAAAAAUUAUUAUAUUCCCUUAAUUUUACCAGAAUCCCGUUGACUUAGCCCCGAGUCUCUUGAUUAAAGCGUUUUAAAAAAAAAAAAGUUCAAAAGAUUCAGAUAGCUCACUCGAUUAUAGGGCGUCUGCACCUUACGCUCGCUUUUGUUGUGCUGCCAGUAGCUGCUGCUUCCUUCAAGACCGAGCUCUCUGCCGCUGUUGCUUCCUUCAAGACCGAGCUCUCUAAGCCCCUCACUGUCGAUUUUGACCUUUGCUUCCUUUUGGCUUCACGAUCUAGAAGCCAUCGUCGCUUCAUUCAAGCCAUCACUUCACGAAAGAAAAAAUAAUAAUAAUAAUAGUGGUAAUAAUAAAUACUCUUACAGAUCUCUUCUUCAUCAAAUUUGUAAAAUUUAGAGAAAAUGCAAAACAGCAAUAAUGAUGAAGCUUCGGUGACAAAGACGACGGAGAAGCCGCCGCUGCCGAAGCGAUCGAAGACGAUCUCGACGACACUCACUUCCCAGGCCCACUUUUUCCCGCCGUUCGCCAAACCGACAAGCCGUUCGAUCUCCGCGUGUCCCUUGACUCCGAUGCUGUGGCGUCGUCUUCUUCGUCGUCGUCGUCGAGUAAUGGGUUUAACGAAAGAGACUGGAUGUACCCGUCGUUCUUGGGCCCGCAUAUGGGUCGGAGGCGGAUCAAAGUCAAACCCAAUAAGCUUGAAUUUAAAGGAAAUGAGGAGCAGAAGAAGAUUCAAGAGUUGGGUUCGAAGAAAGAAGAGAAGGAGGUGGCGAGUUUUUCAGUGACUCAGACGAGUUCAGUGAGUCAGUUGAGUGGAAAGACUCGUGGGUUAAAGAGCUCCUUGAUGACGUAUUACAUGGUUAGUAGUUUGAGUUGAGCUCAACUGCUGUAAAUUUCUUUAUAUUUUAGCUUAAAACGUUGACAAAUUAAACUUAAAAAAUCAAUGAAAUGUAAAGCUGGUAUUUUUCUUUUUCUUUUUUUCUUUCUAUCACUAAAGAAGAUAAAGAAUCGUGAUCAUAAAAUCUAAGUAUUACGAAUGCAAUCUUCAUCGCAAUUGAACAUUGUAGGACUAUUUUCUAAAGUUGAAUGAAAUCAACAUAUUCACGCAUACAGCCCAGCAAAAGAAAACUUCACUCAAUGAAAACCGACGCCAAUGCUUAAUUAAAGUCAAACACAUGACAUUAAGAAAUUUCUAAUAAUCUUAGAAAUAAGCUAGUCCAUAAUCACUUGAGAUCAUUUCCUCACCCCAUAAUCCAUCAACUAACUGAGAAAUGACAACUCACCAAUUAGUUUUUCAUCAGAACUCAUAACACAGCACUUACCCAUUCACAUAAUAAAAGUAUUGACAUUAAUGAGAGCGUAACUUAAUCAAAUAAUAAUCCAUUAAUAAAAUGAAAAUUAACAACUUAUACCUUCAUAGAUGAUUCUUGUGCACUUGACUUUCUAAGCAAAGAACGUCACUAUUCUUUUCAAGAAGGCAGCCACCACAAAGCAUAGAAGCUUCUUCAUAUAAUAGUACAACAAUCAAAACCUGAAACAUACGCAUUAGUAUUAAUUUAUUAUAAUUUAGCAGCAGUAAAUAUUUUUAUAAAAAAGUUAUCUGCAGUAAAUAUAAGAAUAACAAAGAAUAAAAUCUUAGAUCAACAACAGAGAACCUAAACUCUACAACUUGCUUGAACUACUAUCAACAUCAUACUGCAUAAUCAAAUAGACAAAAUAGUUUAAUAUAUAAUUUGUAUUGACCUGCAUACUAUCACGUAAAAAAUAUUGUAACAAAAACAAAACAUAAAAUUGUUUGGUGAUCACAAUGGAUCCUGGAAUGACAACAACUACAUUAUUAUAAUGAGUUUGACAUGUCAUUGUACAUGGAUUCGUUAUGAUGAAUCAUGAAACACCGUUGAGUAGUUAAUUCAGCCACUUUUCACCUAUAAAUUUGAUGGCAUACUUUGAAUACACAACAUGGUUAUAAAUAUAAGUUUAGAGAAUUUUUGUGGGAAAGAAUAAUUUUGUUGACAAAAGAUUAAGUACAAAAAUUAUAACAUCUCCAUUUUUAAUAUAGCUGACAUAAGUUAUUCGAGUGAAAAAAAAAAAAGAGGGAACUUAGAUACGCCAUAUUAAAUAGGGCAGUAAUAAAAAAAAUCUAAUUGACAUAAAUUAUUUGAGCAAAUGACAAAUUUUUGCUAAGAAACUCGUUUUCAUUUUUUCCCAAAUAAUAAUCAAUGUUUUUUUCCACUACGCAUCGAAAGAGCUCGCAUCGACAUCAAUCAUGAACCAGUCGUGGCCUAGCUAUAUUGCCUGCAUUAUGAAUACCACCUAUGACCUUUACAGCCUAACCGUUUAUCUCAGUCUAUUUUUAAUACUCAGUCACAGGUCCAGACCAUUCAAGUUCAGGACAUGACCCUACUGGUCCCAUUAUAUAUCUAUUUAAAUUUCUUUUUUUUUAGAAUGUCUAUUUAGAUUUCUUAAAUUUAAAAAACAAAUCAACUUCUAGCCCUUUAAAAAAAAAAAAAUCUAAAAUCAACAAAGCUAUUAAUUUGAAGAUAUUUUGAAUUCCAAUUCCCAAUUAAAAUCAUGAAUAUAUCAGCUAUAUCAUAGCUUCAGCAUAACUAGUAAGUGGUGACAUCAAAUUUUCAAAUAUUUGGAACUGGAAGCAAAUAUCUAGUUAAUGAUUAAAGUAGUUGACGAAUAAAACCUCUCGUAUUAUCAUAGAGGCUACCCCAAUAGCUUGCAAUAACUAUGUAUGGUGCAGUAAAGUUUCAGGAUAGAUGAAUAAACUAAAAAGCAAAAGAGAAAUAUCAGUUGCAGCAAGAACUACGUCAUCUCCACCUCGAUUAUUAUUCAAAUAUUAACACCAAAUGUCACUGAACAACACAAGAGAAACAUGAUCCAUAUUUUAAAUGUAUCUGAAUAGCAUAAAUAUGAAAAUCAUUGCAGAAAGUAAAAAAAAAAAAAGAAAAAAGUAAAGAGAAAUUUAUCUCACAGCAUUCCUAUUAUUAAAAAAUAUCAAAUAAAUGUGCUCCGAGAUAUAACUUCAUGCACAUUCAGAAGUUCUCAGGCCAAAGAACAUUAUAGCAACUACAAAAACUCAUGAGCCAGCAGGUCUUGUCCCAGUACAAGGUGAAGCAACUAAAAUUAUGCUUUAAGAACUUUAUAUAUAUAUAUCACGAACGCAGGAAGAAAAUUAUUUCUAUAUCAAAAUCAAGAUCACCCAACCAAACAAUGGUACCUUCCAAUAUACCUAGUGUAUGUAUAUAGGCAUCCAUUGAUUGAUACUUUGAAUUUAAUUAAUAAAUCAAUUUCAGGUGUCAUGUUUCCACAUUAAAGAGAGAUAAUAACAAUUAACUAGAUAUGACAGGACUGGAUAAAAAUUUGCUCAAAAUAUACUACAAAGAUCAAAUUUUAUUACUUUUCACCUGCUGUCAUUUCUCUCCAACGUCAGAUCAUGACCUCGAGCAACUCUUUCGGCUUUCUUCGCCCAUUUUUCUUCUUUUUACAGCAUGAAGCUAAUACGAAGCCAAAUGAAAAGUAGAUUAGUCAUUUCAAAUUCAAUUUAAUUGUCAAUUGAAAAGUUCAAUUGUUACCUUCAUCAGCUGUAGAAUCAAUAGUUAAUGAAAUAUACAAUAAGAAGAGUAAAAAAUUUCACCUGCAAAUUAGGACAGCCGAGGAAGCAUCCGUAAACAUAAGAGUAAUUAUAUCACUCUGAAAUUUCAUAAGAGAGAAUUAGGACAGCAGCGAAAGAAAUAAACAAAGCAAUUUGCAAAGGACACAGGCAUAAACAUGAUAGUAAGAAUAAAAUAUCAAACUGUAAGAAGAAGCGAGAAAAACAAAUCAAAAACAAACUGAGAAGCAGGAAGAGCUGUGAUGGUAAAUUCUUCAUCUAAAGCAGUUGAAGAACGAGCAAUGGAUACCGGUCCUUCUUCGUGCUAUCGAGAAAGGAGUCAGAGUUGAGAUCGAGAGAACAACGGAGACCGAUUCUUCGUCUCCGUAAUUUUCCCCUUUUUCUAAAAUGCUAUUUCGCAUUUCCUUUGCUUUUUGGUUUCCGUAUUUCGAUUUUGUUUUUAAUUAGGUAAGAAAAAAAGAUCGGGCCCUAUUUCAAAAGAAAAAUAAGAAGGGGCCCUAAAAGUAAUUUUUCCGAGCCCAUGCAUUCGAUUAAAAUAUUUCAUUAUCUUAGUGGACAGAUUGCCCAAGAAAAAAUAUUCGAUUAAAGCACAUAUUUUAAAAGGUAAAUAACGCGCUCAGAGAUGUUUAAUCAAUAAUACAGUUGUUUAUUAUAGUGAUAACUACUACUUAUAUAUUAAUUCUUCAAAAUAAUUCCACAUUUAUCAUAUUAUCAUUUACUUAUUUUGUAAGCGUUUUAAAGAUAUUUAAAAAUUUUUCCAUUUGACAAUGCUCAAUUAAGGGUAAAGUUUAAAUUAUGUCACAAAAAGUUUUUGAACAGCAUUACACAAAGCAUUUACUGUUUUAACAAAAGAAUGCAUAUGAGGGGACAAAAAAAAGUAAAAGUAUGAGUUUGACUAUUAUCACAGUAAUUAUUUCUAUUUCAAAAGUUGAAAUGUGAACCUUAACAUAUUUUGCGGAAUUUUUUCAAUUACUUUUUAAAAUUACAUGUACAUGGAUGAUUGCUUACUAUUGUGAAAGGCGAUAUAUUUAAUUUGAAGAAAAUUCCUUCUAGACCGGUAGCGUUGGUCGUAGUUGCCCUGUCGAAGAAGUGUUGUUAGCUCGAAACCUAUUGCAAAUGUCAAUGCAAAAUGGUUUCAAUGUUUCGUUGUAGAGCUGACGACAAGCUUCUGAAAACAACGUGCCAUAUUGAAACACAACAACAAUAAUGGCAGUGCCAAUCCAUGUCGUGUACAAAAUGAAAUGGCCAAUAUUGGAACGUGGAAUAAAUGUGGAGACCAAUGAUAUUGCCGAAUUCGAUCCUGAGACAAUAGCAACAAGGCCCCAGAAUUGGGAAGAAUUUUCUAGAUGAAGCCGAGACUUGAGGUCUGCUGAAUGUGCAUAACAAUAUAUGGCUGUGGCAAUGAGAAAAGACAAUAUAUUUAUUGAGUGUGUUUCAAGCAAGGGCUUAGUUUUGCCUUGCACAUUUGCACCCACAAUGCCAAUGAGAGCUGGAAUCAGAUAUCCAAAAAUGCUGGGAUAUGACAUCGACCAGAAGAGAUUUCGCCCACUGCAAGAUCAUUAAAAUGAUUAAAUCAUCUUUUGUAUAUCCCAUUUUUUGACAAAAAAUUAAAAUUGAAAAGCUCUUGUAUUAAUUUCCUCUCAGUUUGUCUAUCAAUUUUUUUUCUUUUGACUGAAGCAAUUCUCCUCUAAAAAUUUGAGGGAACACUUUUCAUCUGCACCCAAAUGUUUCAUCAAAAUAUUAUUGUAUACCCAAAUGUUUCAUCAAAAUUUUAUUGUAUACACACUUGUUUCAAUAGCUAUCACGGCUCACCCAUUUAUGUUAAAUAUUUUUUUUUUUGCCAUUAAUUUUGACAUCUUUGACAUUGAAAGACAGUUUUGCCCUUACUUAAAAUUUUUAAGUGUAAAAUCACCAAAAAAAACUACAACACUAGUUUCAAAUUCCAAUUGACGUGUGUGAAUAUUAAAAUUUCUUAAAAGUUAAAGAAAAAAAGUAAAAAUAUUUUGUUAUGGGAAUCAAAAUAUCCCCUGUACCAUCAUCAUCCAUAAUCGUCCAUCCAUGAUAACAAUUUAAUAAACUUGAAAAAGCUAGAAAUCCAAUCCCAGUGCAUCAAACAGCCAAUUUUCUUCAUAAAGUUUAGCUUUUGCUUUUAAAAAUUCUAACUCUUGAGACCCUAAAUAAACCCAUAUUCAAAGUUACAUGUUUCCAUAUAACGAAAAUCUUCAAUUUACCCCUUUAAAAUUUUGAAAACAUUAAUUUACUUCUAUUUAUCAGUCAAAAGAUUAAAAUAAAUGGAGACACGUUGAGGAUAAACUUUUUAACUUCAAAGUGGUAUUUGAUAAAUAUAAAUAAAUUGAAAAUUAUCAUUUUUUAGUGGGAAUAAGUUACUAAGAGAAAGAAAGAAAACAGAAAACAAAUCUCUUCUAUAGCAGUCUUAACAAAAUUUUCAGCAGGGACUUGAACCAAUUUUUUCACGGAAAUUAAUUAACAGAACAAAAACGCUUUGAAGUGGACUGCACAUAUAUAUAUAUAUACUCAAAAAUAAAUAUACAACUGGAGUCAAUAACGGUAAAUAAAAUGAACGUACACAGAAGGGUUUGGAUUUGGAUGAUGAAGAAUGCACUGACAGCUUUGCAUUUGCAUGCAUAUAUAUCUCAGCAAACCCUGGAUUGAGUUCUUUUUCUCUCGGUAAAUAAGGUAGGGAACAGCAAACCCGAUCAAUUUUCAAAAAAGAAAAAACAAAAACAAAAACUGAAAUGUAAACUCAGCAUGAAACUUGGGAGGGAAAGGGGAGGGGUGAAAAACGGUCACCUUGAGAACCGUCUCAAUUAUCUCUGCUUCAAAAAAUCAUCCCGUGGGUAUUUAUAUUUUAUUUUCAAGUCGUUGAUGCCGCGAGUCCACGGCUGGAUAAGUACGGGGUUUCGAAGAAAUAACGUGCGCGAUUCUAAACAUUGUUUAAUUACAAUUCCAAAGUGUUGAAAAUGACUGCGUUAUCCCCCGACUUUUUCAAUUCCUACCGAGUGUUGAAAAUGACUGCGUUAUCCCGUCUUUUUCAAUUCCGACCGAGUGCUGAAAAUGACAGCGUUAUCCCCUGUCUUUUUCAAUUCAAAAGUGUGUGGCAUCUCUGUAGCUCAAUUCAUGUACCCCUAGAUGUACAUGUAAGAAGAAAUGCUCUUCCAAAUAACAUAUUGAUACUAGAUCUACUGUUGUUUCUUCAGAACUUGUUAGGAAAGGUUACUAGCAGGUAAAUUAGAUGCAUAUACAUACUGCUAUAGGAAAUUGAACAGCUCCUUACAUAAUUGGUGUAACUUCUUAUACAAACAAGAUCCCUUCCCGGCAAUAGAUAGACAUCAAUAUUCAGAUACUCAAGAAAUUAUAAGGGUGUUGAAUGUUAGAAACUUUACUUCCCCCCAACAUAAGCUCCCAGUUUAGACAGAUCAGGAUUCCAAAAUGAUAGCUCAGAUGAUCCGAUACAAACAUGAGACUUCCAGGGGCCCAUUUUAUGACAGGAGGCUCUGUAUGAAAACUCAUCCAACUUGCAACCCUGACAAGAAAAAUAAACAACAACAAACAAUGUUUAUAUAAUAACAAUACCAACGUCAAAAGAGUAUAGUAUUUGGAUAUAGAACUCAUUACGCAAACUGGUGCUCAAGGUACUUGCUCAAAUGUAGAAUCAAAAGCAUUGUUGGUUUGCCCAGAAGACUGUGAAUACUAUGACUGGGUCAGUGUAGGGGAAAUAACAUCCCUUUGAAUUCUAAGCAUUCAAAAGGCACGAGAAUCAAGGAAUUUUGCUUAUCAAACCUCUUUCCCGCUCCUUGCACUCCAAGCAUAUACACUACCAUCACCAGAACCUUCCAAAACCCAAGAAAGUAAAAUUAGCACAGAGAGUGCAACUAAUGAGAGGUGCUUGGCCACACUAGGUAGGUUGCUUCCGCAUGUGUGGGUGCACUCACUAUGUCAGCAUUUCAUUGAUUUAUUUUCAUUAACAAGCAGGUCAAUGGAAAAAGAGAACAUAAAUUCAUUGCAAAGAACUCUGUGGAAACAAGCUUGAUGCCCAACAUUUCAAGUCGUGUAUUUCAAAUACCAACAAGGUGGUAACAAAAUUGAGAAUUAUAUACAGCACAAGUGCAAGAACCUUAAUAAACAGCCAAAAGCAAAUAUUAAUAAAUUAUCCAAGUCACUGUGCCCUAAGAACUGAAAGGAGAAACUCUACCUAGCUGAAAGAUGCCUCCAAUGUGGAAUUGCGAGAAACUGGCAUCGCAUUAUAAAUGGAUAAAUAAAAACAACAGCAAACAGAAGCUCAUUAACAGAGAUUCCAAUGUAUAGAGGGAUAUAUAUGUACAAUAUGUUACAUUUGGGAGAUGAAGAAAGAAAAAGUAAACUCACAAGUGUGCCUUGGAAUGAGUGGAGCACAUGAAUAUGUCCUUCCAUAGUGGUCAGAAGCAUGUCUCCCAUCAUUGCUGAGCUUUACCUCAUUAGCAUCUGAUACAUCUCCACCAUCAGAGAAGAUGUCGAAAGGACCCUAAGAGUAUUCAAAUUUAACCAAAUUAGUGCAUGAUAAAAGGACUACGACAUAUAAACUUCCAAGAUAUUCUUAAAUAUUAAUUUUAACCUCAUACUUGCGAGCAUCAAACAAUCUUAUGUAUCCUCCAAAGGCAACUGCAAAGACAUGCCCUUGAUCAUUGUAUGCUGUAGCAGGCCUUCCUUGAACAUGCAAAAGACCCUGAUUUGCCAACAGAGAUCAUAAAUACAAUUGAAAAUGGGGGAAAAAACGGUUUGGAUGUGACCAUGCAUGGCAUGAUAUCCACCUGGCAUUUCUCAGCCUGUUGAUCCCAGAGCAGAACAGUUCGAUGAAGAGAACCAUAGAUAAAGCAAUCUUUGGAGGAGCACAGGCUAAGUGAAACAACCCUAGAAGCAGUAAAACAUAUAUAAAGAUAAUAAUGAUUACAAAACAUUUACAAGAAUCAGCAAAUUACAAACCUUUCAUGAUGACCUUUGAAGCAAUGCAUGAACUUGUUGUCGUGGAAGGAAAGAAGCCUUAGAGAUUCUGAAUAAAUGAACAUAUCAAAUAAGUGCCUAGUAAAGCAAUCCACCAACAUGCAAAACACAAAUAUUCCGAUAAACAUACCAUCCCAACCAUUCUUGAGGAAUAUAUGAAAUGUAAGUUAGGGAUUGCCAAGAAAAAAACUUUGAUCAAUUUCCAGCUGAGAAUAUUUAUGCCAACUCUUGCCGCAAUCACAUCUGCAAUAGUUCCCACUGUUGGAUACACUAACUUAUAAACAGCAAUUCUGACAGAAAAAAAAACGGGGGUUAAAGUUAUAAGUACAAUCAAUUAGGUGGUAGCCAUGCAAUAUGAAUGUACUUGGUUUGCUGCCUAAUAGCUAGGCAUACAUAUAUAUAGGCAUUCAUUAAUAUCGAAUUAUUUUUAACAUUCAAAUAAGUUAGAAAAAACAUAGAAAAACUUACGGGGCACAUAUCGCCAUCCCACUGGCUAGCCCAUAAAAGAAGCCAUCGACGACCUCCGGAACACCAGCAUUUCCAGCAGCAGCUGAUGCUACAUGGCUAAUGUGUACACACACAUGUUCAUCUCUCAAUAUCAGUGUGUGCAAUAAGUGAAAAGAUAUAUAAAUUAGAUUGAAAGCACAAGUAAAUAAACAUGAAUGAAUACCUGCCAUGUCCAACAGCAUGAAAGGGCGAAAGAAAGUCCACAGAAGUGUUAAGAAUAUAUGAAAUGUAUAUUCUUGAGGAAAUUACAACAAUUUCCUCUCAAUUUCACAAUUAUUUGCGCUUGAAUGACAGAAUGAGCUUUGAUCAUUAAUUUAUCCAUGCAUGAAGUUAUAGUAGAUAUGAAAUUACGUGGACAAAAAAUUAUUAUUUUUUACCUUUUUUUACCAACACCGAUAUGCUCACACCAAACUUCUUUUACAGUUAGCACAAAACGGUUCGUUUUGUGCUAACUAUAAAAGAAGUUACUGUAGCUUCAAAACACACGCACUCGUCUUGCUCAGACGCAAGCGCAGACCACACGCACACUCGUCUUACUGAAACGCAAACGCUGAGGAGGCAGAGACUCGCCGUGGAAAGUUUGUUUGACAUAAGUUGUCUGACGAUUUUGCCCUUGAAAUGAAGAUUACGCCUCAUGACUUAAAAUCGCUUGGGUUGUGUUUCUGUUUCUGCGUUUGUUCUUCCUCUUCGCUUUCGGCAAGUGAAAUAAAUGAAUAAACAUUAGAUGGAGUUUUAUUCAAUAUUUAAAAUUUUGUUAAUUUGUAACGUGAUUGGAAUUUUAAUUAUUAUAAGAAAUAAGUUCUGGAUCGGAUUUUAAAAUACUUUAUUUGAAUACUCUAAAAAAUGCAGUAUGUUCACAAACUGUAAUUGCCGAUAUAAUUCCCCAGAACCCCAAUUCCAGAUUACUUAAAUCACGGCGGGGGCUGCGGUAUGUUCACAAGGUAAAAAAUGCAGUACGUUCACCAUUCCAAGUAUAACCCUUUUGACACAGUUCGCCUUCUAUUUCAAAGUUCAUACAUUUUCAAAAUUAUUAAACUAAAAUCAGCCAGAACCAAUUUUUUUUCCUUUUCAACUUCUAUUAAAAUUUCACUAUAAUUUAAAUAAAAUAAAUUAAAAAUCCAGCCCAAAAAACGAUUGCUGCAAUACUGAGUGGCAAAACUUAAUUGCUAUCGUUACCGCAAAAUUCAACACCCAACAACCAAAAUUUCAAUUUCAAAUCUAACCUUAAAUCCACCAACUGAAAACAAAUCCACACGAAAUGCGACAUCAAAUGAAAGGAACAAGAAGUCAAAAUCAAAACCGAUGAAACCUUUAUUAGAGAGAAGAAAGAAAGCUUCGUUGUAUAAAGAGAAUGCGCGCGAUCGAAGGCUGUGCUGUAUAGAAAUAAAACAGCGAUCGAAGAAAGCGUCUUCGCUAUCGUUGUAUAGAGAGAACAGAGCGAUCGAAGACUGUGUCUUCACGAUGGGAGGCUGUGUUGAACAGAACGAUCAAAGACAGCGUCUUCAAGAGAGAGCAUAGAGCGAUCGAAGACUGCGUAUUCACGAUCAGAGGCUGUGUUGAACAGAAGGAUUGAAUGCUGUGCUGUAUAGAGAGAUCGAGGAGUAGAGAGAAGAUACCGGCGAUGACGCAAGAGCAAAGGCUCUGAAUUUAUAGGGGAGGGAUUAGCGCAACUUGACGGCCGUUAUGACCGUAAACGCCUCUGUUAGAUUUAACGGAGAAGUCACGGGGUUACCCGAUGGUCAUCAGCAUCUGGGAAUCUCAUCAGUUUAAUUAGUUAAAAAGAAUUAACCUUUUGCUUCAGAUCAAACGAUUCACAGUUAACCUUGAACAUCAAACAUGCAGGCUAAACUAUCAACUCAUACACAUUGAUUUUUUUUUUUCCGGUGACAUUAACGUCAAUGGUUAAAUAUAUAAGUCUAAAUUCAUAAAAUAUUAAUAUAGUUUAGGGGUCUAUCAAACCAACAGCAUGGUUGAUGUGUUUACUGAAUAAACAUUUAACACCAAAACAAGCUAGACCUACCCCAAACUAUAUGGCGGAUUGGAAGUUUUUGAAUUACCAGUUUCACUGAAAAAAAAGAUGGUGAUAAGUUAGGAUUCUAACGCUCUUUUAUACUAAUGCUGCGUUUACUUUUUGGAUUGGAGUGGAAAUCCUGAGGAGUGGGAAUCCUUGGAUUAGGAGUGUGGAGUGGGAGUGGGAGUAGGGUGUUUACUUAGACUAAAUGAAAGUAUGGAUUGUCAAUCAGAAUCCUAAUUAUUUGUUUACUUUGUCUUGGAUUGGGAGUAAAUUGUUUUAAAUUACCAUUUUAUCCUUAUGUACAGAAUUAUAAUUUGUAAUUAAAAAAUUAAUAAAAAAUAUAUUUAGAAAAUAAAAUAAAUAUUUUAUUAUAUUUAUAAAUUAAUAAUAAUUACUAAUAUUCUUAAUUAUGUAAAUCAUAAUUUUUUUAUUAAUUUAAAUUUAAAUUAUGUGAAUAAAAAUUAUUAAUAAUAGCAACACAAAUGAAAUAUUAUUAUUGAUAAUAUAGUACAAAAUUAAUAUUUUUUUAGAAUAAAAUAUUUAUUAUUAUUAAUUAAAUAAAUAAUUAAUAUUUAUUAAAAUUAAUUUUUAAUAUUAUUAAUUUAAAUAUAAUAUUUAUUUAUUUUUAUUUUAUUAAAUUUAAUAAAAUAAAUAUGAUAUAAUUAUUAUUUUUAAUAAAUAUGAUAUUAUUUAUUUUAUUAAAUAUGAUAUUAUUUAUUUUAUUAAAUAUGAUAUUAUUUAUUUAUUUAUUUUUAUAAGGAUAAAAUGGGAAGAGGGGGGAGUGGGUUCCCACUCCCACCUCCCCCCAUGGGAGUGGGAAUCCCACUCCCCACUCCAAAAUUGGGUGGGACCCACGGAUUCCCACUCCCACUCCCCCCCUUUUUAAGGUAAGUAAAUACUGGAGUGGAAGGAAUCCACACUCCACACUCCCACUCCAGAAAGUAAACACUACCUAAAUCAUAAAACAUAAAUUUACCGAAUUAGGUAACCCGAAUUAUGAUGUCUUAAUAAAGUUGUAAUUGCAAAACAAGCCAAAACUUAAAUCCAAGUCUAAAGAAAAAACCAAAGAUCUGAAAAGAAUUUUAAAAAUUAGAAAUGAAAACUUCAAAUAAUGAAAUGAUACCCAGAGCAAAUGAAAUUGGAGAUGAUAACCAUAGCGUUAGUAACGCGUCGUUAAAUUGUCAUAACUCGAAACCACGUUAUUCGUUCAUGCACGAUACCUCUGGACUGAAGACCCAAAAUAAUAUAUUUUUUUUAAAAGUAAUGAAAACCGAAAUUACAAGUAUUCUACUAUUUUUUUUAAUUUAAAGGGACCAAUGAAAACCGAAUGAUCAAAACUGCGUUAUUUGUUCAUACACGAUACCUUCAGGAUUAUAACUCAUAUCACAUGAGACUAUUUACUAAUAUAUUUAUAAUCAGAUAAUUAUUAGAACAAUAGACCAUAUUUUUUAGGUUUUCAAAUAUUUAAAAAAUGUCUACUCCACUCUCAUUUCGAAAGAGAAAAAAUUACUUUUACAUAAUUAUUUUUAUAAUUGAGAAGAAAAUUUUAGCUUCCACAAAAUGGAUGGAGGGCAGCAGCUCAAGGCAAGUAUUCUCUAUUGUUAAAUUGUCAUUAAUUGGAAAGCGAGUUAUUCGUUUAUACGCGAUACUUUUGGACUCAAGACCCAAAAUGGAUAAUAAAAAAUUGAAAAAAAUUCAAAGAAAGAAGUAAAAAGUAAUAAAACCGAUAUUACGGGUAGUCUACUAUUCUUCUUGUCAUGAGUCGACUUUUUCCAAAAAAAAACCAACAGUAAAGUAAAAAAAAAGAAAAAAUAGUUAAUGGAUAUUUCUACGUAAAUGGUGUCAAAUAACAAGUUUAUUUAUUUAUUUUUUGGGGAUGAAAUAACAAGUUUAAUUAAAUAAUAUGCAUAUGUCUUAUACACAUUUUUGCUUCUUUACCCUCUGUGUUGAAUGAGAAUGAAAUUGACCCGGACAAGGACAGUAUGGCGUAACUCUUAUUUACUACUUGAAUUCCUCUCUCUUUAUUCUUUCCCAAUAACCCCAUUUAUAACACUAUUUCUUUGAUAUUUUUGUAAUAUUUUAUCACAAUAUAUAUUUAUUGCAGUGCACAAUUAAGAUUUAACAAUAGGGUUAUAAAUUUGAUAAGCAUAAUAUUGUUAACUGUUAAGCAUCCCACUUAUAUAUAUAUAUAUAUAUAUAUAUAUAUAUAUGAUAAUUACAACACCUUUAAGUAGCAUAGUUCUACUUACAAAUUUAAAUACAGUGUUAAGUUGAGCUGUGUUAAUUGAUAAAUCUUGAUUUUAAAAAAAAAAUUAGAGAAGAAAAGAGUAAAGAAGGAACUAAGAAGAAAUAACUUUAAUAUAUUAAAAAUUAUAUAAACUUAAAAGGGGGCUUUUAGGACAAUAAAUGAUAUAUACAUUUUUUAACAAAAGAAAUUUAAAUUUAUUUUUAAAGUCACCAGGAGCUUCAAUUCUUAGUGGGCACCAUAUGGCAUGUGGAAUCAUUCAAGGGUCUUAUAGUAAGUAAAUCGCUUUCCUUUUUAUAUGUGAAUAGAGAUAGUAUGAAUGAGCAUAUGAUUUUUUUUUUCAAAUAUUGAAAAAGAAAUAAAUAUAUUUUAUAAAAAAAAUAAAAUAAAUAUGUCAUUCCGAAAUUUACAUUAAAAACUGCAUACUUAAGAUUUUAAUUAAAUCAUGCUUAUUCAAAUUUCAAACAAAAAUAAAAAUAAACAUCACCAUUGACCUUUAAUUAAAAAGUGUAGGGGGUAAUAGUGAAGACGAACUUUUUUAUAAUAGCGAUUAAAACAUGACCCUAACUCUAAUUGUAGGGUCAAAUUUAUAAAAAGUAGUAACUUUUUUUAACGCAGGACGGACUGAUUUUAUUGUUGUAGGUAAUCUCGUGUCAUACGCAAAGUGAAAAAGAGUGUGAAACGACGAUAUUAUUCCAAGCACAUGCUUGGGCGCGGCGGGCCCUCGCAAACCCAUUUUAACACCGCGUUAGCCUUGUUUGGCUAAAUAAUAUGCAUAUGUCUUAUGAACGUCUUUACUUCUGACCCCAUGCGUUGAAUGAGAAUGAAACUGACACAAAAAAAGACAGUAUGGCUUAUCUUUUAUUUAUGACUUUGAAUUCCCCUUUCUUUAUUCUCUCUUAAUGACCCCAUUAACAACGCUAUUUCUUUGAUAUUUUUAUAAUCUAACUCGCUUGGUUCACUUAGUGAGGUGAGCUUCAAAAUAUUGGUCUUGUACCCUUCAGGAUUUAAAAUCUCUGUUAACUAUGUGACACGUCCAUCUUGUUUCCUCCUAAUUUGCUCCCCUAUGGCAUUAAGGUGAAUCUUCUUCAUUCACAGAGAUGUUAAGUAACUCAGCAUUAUCAGCAAGACCUAUUCAAAUUGUGUUUGUGUAUGUAUGUUGUAGCUUUCUCUCCUACGCCUAGCCUUUAUGCCUCUUAUGCCUCAGUUUGACAAGGCCAUUGGUAACAAUCAGCAAUAGCAAUACUGCCUUUCUUCAAUCAUAGCAGUGUUUAUCGGGUACAUAAGAUCAAUUAUCUUCUUAUUAAUUAAAAAAAUAAUAAAAUAAUAUAUAUUUAUAAAUGUAUAAAUUAAUUUUAUUUGAUAUUUAUAUUCUUACAAUAGUUUAACAGUAAGAUUUACCGAACAUAUACGAUUGCUUUUAAAACGCACAAUACUUUUAAAAAUAAAUUUUAGUAAACGUUUAACUGAUUCUCUUUACAAUGAUUAUUUCUAUAGCAUAGCUAACAUCAAUUAUUUUUUAAAAGUCCUAAUAGCAAUUCAUUACCAACUUUUUUUUUGCCACAACAGCUAUAGCUUAAAAGUCGUAUCAUCUUAAUACCAAAUAGGGCUAUAGUAAUUUAGUGCCCAUUUUUUUUCUUUUUUCUUUUUCUUUAGCAACUUAAAAAAAAUCUAAAACAAAAAAGGAAAAUUGAGUAUGAAAUCAAGCAUUAGUCAAGUAUAAAGUUGAGUAAGUCGAGUAUAAAAUUAGGUACUUUUUAUAUGAUUUUAAAUAAAGGGGAUUUUAGUUUUUUUCUUUGUGAUUUUGGAUAUAUUUCUAUAAUACCAGUAGAGUAAACUAUGUAAUAAGCAUAUAUUUUUCAUUUUGCUGUGAAUGGGACAUAUCCAACGCUAUUUGCUCCCGUGACCGAUCUUUAUAACAAAUCCAAUCGCCCUCGUUAUAGUCACUAGAUAGAAAGUUACCAUAGUACAGUUCUUAUAUGUAAUGUGAGUGAUGGCAGUGUUACGAACCUUUGUAUAAGUUUAUUUUGUAUAAAUUAAUUAGUAUAAACUUAUUGAUUGUAUGAAAAUAUAAAAUAAAAAAUAUAAAUAAUGUAGACUAAUGUGUAUUUAAUAUAACUAAUAAAAUUUUGCUACAUCAGUUUAUAUAAGAAUUUAUAGUUUUAUUAUUACUCAUAUUAAGUAAACAGUGCGUGAUUGGUCAGACGGCGGCAUAAGUGGCAAUGACCAAAUUGUUGAGUCGCUGACGUGGGUUCUCAAAAUGAGUCGAUAGUCAAGAAAUAAGCUAUCAAGUUAUGACAAUAUAUUGUAAACAUGUCUUUAAGAUGAUACAUUAUCAUCAUCAAUAUCAUAUCCUAAUUGAAAAAGGUUUGCAAGGGUCCGCCGUGUCCGAGCAUGUGCUUUCAUUUUCACUUGAAAUAAAGCGCGAUGGAAAGAUCUUAUUUUAUCACAUGCCGUCCAUGUUGGGGAAAAAUCAGAUUUUUAAAUUUUUAUAAAACCUUUCGAAGAUUGCUCUCAUAUAAUAUAUAAGAAUACGUAAUCUAGAAAUCAUACCUUGAAAAUCUGAUUGGACUUUUUCUGUUGAAGUGAUUUAGGCUCCUAGAUCACGAUCCGCCACCACCACUCCUGUUAGAUCACGAUCUGUCACCACCACGCUUGUUAGAUCACGAACUGUCACCAAUGAUCUUCCAGGUUAUGACUCAGGUUCGAUUUGCACUUGACGUGUGAACGCCUUUAUCACUACCAAAACAACUAGCACGAGAAAAUUUUUCUCUCAACAACAGAGAGAAAAUUUUUUUUCUCUGAUCUGUAUAAAGUGGCUUCUCCUUUUUCUUUUUAGAAAAUAAGCCUUAUAUAUCUCCCUUUAGUGAAAAUCCUAGGCUCCAAAUAAUACCCCAAAAUAAAACUCACCGUUACUUUUUAUUUUAUAAGGGACCCACCAUGUAAAAUAACAUAAGGCCCCUUACACAUAAGCUAAUUAAAUGGAGCCUCCCACUAAAUGAUAUAUUUAGGCUUUUGACCCAAAUAGAUAGUUAUCUUACUUAUUAGUCCAGUAGUGGUGCAGUCAAUUAAAUGAGCUAACCCGGGGAUCAUUUGGGAACAUACAAUAGUGGCUACAAUAAUUAGGCCUAUAAUUAAACUAGCCCAAUUAUUUAAUUCCAAAUCUACUCCACUAAAAGAUUGGAACUGACUUCCAUAAUUGUAUGCUCGAAUAAUAAUUCGUCCCAAGCCACAUUGAUUUCUUUACUGCACAAUCCUUUGUACCACAUCGUUAAUUAAAUUGAUAUCUCAACUGUCCAAUCAAUUUAAUAACAUCUUAUUCCUUGAUCCUUACUGGUUUUCUCUAAUGAUCAUUUUCAACAUACUAAAUAUGUUGACACACUCUGGCCAGAGAAUUCUAUGAUCAAGUGCCGAAAACCCAUCAAGAGAUGUGUUGUACAAAUUCUAUAUUGUUAAUCUAUAACUCCAAUACUCAUAAAUGCUCCCACCAAGAUACCGGGUAAUCUAGACUACAUGUAUGUGUCAUGCCCAUUGGUAACUCAAAUGAAAUAACAAUUACAAUCAUGAAAUCAUAAUUAACUCAAGAUUAAGAUUACAGUAAAAUCAAUGCCUAUGAGAUUUAAUAAGUCUGACAGUUAUUACAAAGUUAAUUAAAUCUCAUAUGUGAUCCUGUUCAAUGUAGUCGUACUACAUCAAUAAAUCCAUACAUGAUUAAGACAAAUCAUUCAAUGAAUUUAUUACAGUCUAUACCUAAAUAAAGUGCCCCACUUUAUUUAUCAACUGCGAACUAAAUUUAUUUAAUCAUAAGAUAACUUGUAUUUAUGUCUUCUGUGAAUCCACAUGGUGAUCACAUAAAUAUAAUAUGAUUAAAUGGACUUUAAUAAAAAUAUUAAUGCAAUUAAGAUAUUUGCAUAAAAUACCUCAUUAUUUUUAUUAAUCAGAAAAAAUAUUUAUUACAAUUAAAUAAACACAUAUGUUUUUAAAGAGCAUAUUUUCCCAACAGUCCAUUCGACGCAUAUUUCCACCCCCAUUACCCUUACAUAAGAAAAGAUUUCUGGUGCUUGGAACAUUACUCCAUAUCUUUUCAAGUCUAUUCAAGUCUGUUAAUAAUUAAGCUAAACCUAUGAGUCUCCAAUAUUGGGCGAAUUAAAUUUUGAAAGCAGGCCAACCUAUUGUCAGAUCUGCCUUUCAAAUUAUUGACUUAAUUUUGCCAAAGGUGAAACAUUUGAAGAAGAAUCCUUCUAAACAGGUAGUGUUGGUCGUUGUUGUCCUCCUGAGAAAGUGUCAUUAGCUUGAAACCUAUUGCAAAUGUUGAUCCAAAAUGGCUUCAAGGUUUCGUUGUAGAGCUGACGACAAGCUUUUGUAAAGGACUUCCAAUUUUGAUGCACAACAAUGAUAAUAGGAGCGCAAAUCCAUGUAGUGUACAAAAUGAUAUGACGAAUGUCCGAGCGUGGAACAAAUGUGGAGACCAAAAAGAUUGCAGAAAUAGAUCCGGAGACAACUGCUACAAGGGCCCAAGAUUGGGAAGAAUUUUCUGAAUGAAGUCGAGACUUGAGGUCAGCUGAAUGUGCAUAACAAUAUAUGGCUGUGGCUAUUAAGAAAGACCAUAUGUUUAUUGAGUGUGUUUCAAGCAAGGACUUUGUUUGGCCUUGAACAUUCGCACCCACAAUGCCUAUGAGAGCCGCAGUAAGAUACCCAAAAAUGUGGGGAUAGGACAUUGAGGAGAAGUGAUUUCGCCCGCUGCAACAUUGUCAAAACGAUUCAUCAAUCUUCUGUAUAUUCCAUUUCCUUUGAAAAAAAAUAAAAUUAAAAAGACCAUGUAUUAAUUUCCUCUCAAUUUGUGUGUCAAUGAUUUGCUUUUGACCAAACCAAUUCUCCUUUAAAAAUUUGAGGGGGCAUCUUUUCAUUUGCACGAAAAUUUCACCCAAAUGUUUCAUCAAAAUUUUGGUGUAUACACAUUGUUUUAACAGCUUUCAUGACUCACCCCCUUUUCUGUUAAAUAUUGUUUCAUCAAAAUUUUAUUAUAUACAUACUUUUUUGAAUAGUUAAAUAUUGUUUUUGCCGUUAUUUUUGACAUCUUUGACAUUAAAAGACAAUUUUGCCCUUAUUUAAAAUUUUUAAGUGUAAAAUUACUAGAAAACCACAACACUAGUCUCAAAUUUCAGUUGACCUAUGUGGAUAUUAAAAUUUGUUAAAGGUUAAAAAAAAAAGUAAAAAUGUUUGGUUAUGGGAAUCGAAAUAUCCCCUACACCAUCAUCCAUAAUCAUCUAUUCACGAUAGCAAUUUAAUAAACUUGAAAAAGCAAGAAAUCCAAUCCCAGUCAAUCAAACAGCCAAUUUUCUUCAUAGAGUUCAGCUUUCGCCUAUAAAAACUCUAACCCUUGAGACCCUAAAUAAACCCAUAUUCAAAGUUACAUGUUUCUAUAACGAAAACCUUCAAUUUACCCCUUUAAAAUUUUGAAAGCAUUAAUUUACUUCUAUUUAUCAGUCAAAAGAUUAGAAUACAUGGAGACACGCUAAUAACAAACUUUUUUACUCCUUAAUGAAAUUUGAUAAAUAUAAAUAAAUUAAAGAUUAUAAUUUUAAGUGGGGGUAAAUUAAAGAUCGUACUCUUUUUUUUAUUGUGUCUUAAUAAGAGAAAGAAAGAAAACAGAAAACAAAUCACUUCUAUAGGAGGCGUAACAAAAUUUUCAGCUAGGACUUCACCAAUUUUUUCACGGAAAUUAAAUUAGGAGGAAAAAAAAAACACUUUGAAGAGGACUGCAUAUAUAUAUAUAUAUAUAUAUAUAUAUAUAAUAAAUACAACUUGAGUCAAUAAUGGUAAAGAAAAUGACCAUACACUGAAGGGUUUGGAUUUGGAUGAUGCAGAAUGCAGUGGCAGCUUUGCAUUUGCAUAUAUGUAUCUCAGCAAACCCUGGAUUGAGUUUUCUUUUUCUCGGCAAAUAAGGUAGGGAACAGCAAAUGUGAUCGAUUUGAAAAAAAAAACAAAAACAAAAGCUUAGCUUGAAACUUGGAAGGAAAAAGGGGGGAAAAAUCUCACUUUAAGAACAUCUAAAUUAUCUCUGCUGAACUAAAUUAUCUCGUGGCUUGAGCUUUCAUAGCUUAUAAUUUAUAGAUGUCAAAUGUGUGGACUAAGGGAGGCCCAUGCGCCAUGCGGGGGUUUCCUAGAAGGCUAGAAAGUAAAGAGUGUUCCGAAGAAAUAUCUCUGCUUAACAUGUUAAGUAAUUAAAUCAGAGCCUCUCACAAGGUUGUGCGCCCAAAUAGAAUCCACAACAGGCUGUGGCUUACGUGAAUAGAGUGAUGCAAUUGUAAACCAGAUAGUGGCAUUUUUUUAAAGGUUCGGUCAAAGGCGGUUAAAUAUAAUAAUAAAAUAUUAUAAGAUACAUAUUUUCUUUGUAAUAAAUUGAAUAAACGUAUGACCUUAAAACUAAUUAUUAAUGCUUUAUUGGAAAAUUAUAUAGUUUAUAUGUAGAUAAUAUAUAUUAUACUUAAUUGUUGGGGUUUGAAAAGGAUUCGGGGGCAUAAAGAGGGGCGAAGUCAGAAAACAAAAUUUUGGGUGGGCUAAAAUUUUUUCCCAGUCCAUAUGUGAUCUCAAUUAAAAAUAUAAAUUUUAAAAGAAAGUUUCAUUAACACAUAAGAAAAUACAUCAUAUCCAAGAAGCAAUCAAAUUACAAGUAAACACUAUUUAAGUUGUGCCUUACCAUUCUUUAAAAAAUUAAAGUUAUGUUUUAUUAUGCUUUCGAGAAUUAAACUCAUCCAUUAUCGGUUUUGAAUUUAUGGUGUCUACAAAUUCUUUUUCAAUGUAGAUAAUAAAGGCAAUGCAACUGUCAAUCCAUCAUUAUGACACAUUGAUAAUAUUCAGAAGUCAGACAAUAAGUUUAAUUAACAAAUUAACAUUAUACAUAAUAUACUGGAUCAAAUCUAUGAUCUAUCUCUAUCAAAAAUCAAUUUAAAAAAUUGAAUGCUAGAAUUCAAUGGCUAAAUUAUCUUCAUUUGAUCUUUACAAUGAAAUUGGAACAAGAAUUAAAGAGCAUGAUUUUUAGUCUUUAUUACCCUAUAAUCAAUAAAUAUUUUGUAAAUGAUUGAAUAAAAAAUAAAUCUAUUAUUUGUUCUUACCAAGAAGAAGGCGAAGAACUGAAGAAGCAAAGAAAAAAAAAUCAUGUUUGAAAUCUCGAAUGAAGUAAAUGCUGCUCACUUUUUAAAUUUAUUUAUAUGAAUGACAAAGUUGUAGAUUAACAUAGUGGUGCAAUUGUAAAUAAGAUAGUGGCGUCUUUGUAAACUUUGCAUAAUGGCAAUUUUGUAAAAUUCAGACAGGCGGUAGCCCGUCUCAAUCCACGCGGAGCCUUGCCACCGAGUGUAAACAUAGAGAAUAAUUUAUAAAUCCAAUAAGCUUAGUUAAAGUAAAAUACUUGACUUUAAGAAAUUUCUAAUAAUCUUCUUCAUCUUAACCAAAUUUUUGAAGUGAAAAAGAUUCAUGGCACCUUGUGUUGUACUUUAGCAAGAGAAAGGAGAAAAAAGAAAACAAAUCGCUUUCAUAAUCAUAGGGGCUUCACCAGUUUUUUCACAACGCAAAAUUGACGGCCGUUAUGACCGUAAAUGCCUAUGUUAGAUUUGACGGAGAAGUCACGGGAUUACGCGAUGAUCAUCAGCGUCUCCAAAUUUUAAUGCCUCUGUUCAAAAAGAAUUGAGAAAUGCUAAAGGUCGGGAACGCUGAGAGAACACUGAGAGAAACGGCAGGUUGUGCUGUCGUUUCGUGUUCUCUCAGCUCCACCCCCCCCCCCCCCCCCAACAUGACUAAGAAAGCGAACCCUCACAUGAAAAAAUACUUCAGCUCAAGUCACUUUUACCAAAAGCUGCCGUUUGGCCCCACACUCAAGUCACUUUUGCCAAGUGAAUUCUGCCCCCCACGUGAAAGUUUGAGUUCUCUCCUUGCUCAUGACCAAGCAAAGCUAAGUUUGAAUUCUCUCCUUACUCCUUCACUCGUUCACUUCUUCUUCGUUUCUCGUUCACGCUCAUCACAAACCAAGAUAACUUGCUCCCAUUAAUUUCAAAUAUUAAACUGCUUUGUUGAGUUCUACAACCUGAAAGUACAAUUCUUUCAACAUUCUAACAGCAUCCUAGUUCACAGUUAGAUAUCAGAAACAAAUGUUAACAUAUUUAAUGCCAAUCUUUAUUCCAUGAGAACUUUUUUUUUUUUAAUACUGAUUAAUCAUCAUAUUACUGCAUUACACAGAUAUUUACAACUGCUAUUAUAGCAGAUAUAUUACACUGAUAUUUACAAUCAGAAAUAUAUGAUUGGGACUUAUAUUAUUACAUUGAAUUCUGUGAAGUACAUGCCCAGACAAAUAAUCCCUUACAGAAGAGGGAUGUCCAUACUCCACUCGUAUUGCACGAGGGAGAGGAAAUUUUUGAAAUAUUAAACAAAUAAGCACGUUAGCCCCACAAAUGCUUUUAUGGGGGCUUGAACCGCUGUCCUCACAAGCAUUGUGAGGGCAGCAGCCCAGCACUCCGACCAAGGCCGAAGUGUAUUCCAUGAGAACUUAAAAUAUCCAAAAAGAGAUGCAUCUACCCUACAUAUCUAUUUACACAACAAGUGUCCCUUCAAUUCCAACAGAAUAUACAUGCCUCCAUCUUAAGAUUUCAUAUGGCAUGGAAAUUAAAAAUUUCGUCAACUGAUAGAAGCCACCACACAAUGGCAAAAUAUAUAUGUUUAUUAUCAAAGAACAGAAGGCAUCAUUUGAGCAAAUUAAAGAGACAACUAUUCUCAGCCAUUCUUCUCAAUAUGGGAUAGACUUCUUGUAUCGUCAUAUCCACUCUCAGCACCAUAGGCUGGUUGUUCCUUAUGCAAUCGGCGCCCUUUACAAUCACCCACUUGAGGGACUUUUGCUCGACACUUUGGGUGGAGCCCUCUCUUUUCUUGUCUCGGGAAUGACUGCACGAACAGCCGUGAUAUUUUUCUACUUUGCUGUGAUUAAAACUGUUGAUGAUCACUCUGGGCUUUGGUUGCCUGGCAAUAUCUUCCACUUGUUCUUCCAGAACAACACCGCUUAUCACGAUGUCCACCAUCAACUUCAGGGCUUGAAGUACAACUAUUCUCAGCCAUUCUUCUCAAUAUGGGAUAGACUUCUUGGAACUCACAUGCCUUACCAUCUAGUCAAGCUACCUGAAGGAGGUUUUGAGGCUCGGCUAAAGAAAGACUAGAUGCUAUUAAGACAAUUUGACUGUAUCAUAAAUUAAUUAUUAAAAUAAUUAUCAACAAUACAAUUACCAAAAUAAUUGUGGGAGUUGGAGUUCAUGUGGGAGUGCUGGAGAAGGAAUUGAAAAUAGAAAGGAAAAGGAGUUGAGAGGGAGUGAAGGAGUGCUGGAACAGAUCUGUUGAAAGCGAAGAAGGAAGAAGGAGUGCUGGAACGGAUCUGUUGAAAGCAAAGAAGGAAGAAGGAGUGCUGGAACGGAUCUGUUGAAAGCAAAGAAGGAAGUGGAAGAAGGAAAAUGAUUUGAAAGUCACAUGGGGGACAGAUAUCUGUUACUCACGUGGGGGGAGGGGGGGGAGGUGAGAGAACGAAACGGCAGCACAAGCUGCCGUUUCUCUCAGCGUUCUCUCAGGGUUCCCGAUGUUUAGCAGCACUCGAAAGAAUUAACCUCCGCUUCAGAUCGAACGACUCACGAAGUAACUUCGAAAAUGUAUAUAAGACACAUGCAUGUUGUUUAAUUGUUAAAUUGUUCCCUUUGUAGGUGCUUGUGGACUCCAAAUUAAUUGUACGCCUUUUAAAUAGAAAUAAGUGCAUUAAAUAUUUUUUCCUUUUUACUUUAUUUUCGGAAUUUUUGGGAAAAAGCGAUGACUCAUGAGAAGAAGAAGAAGAAGAAGGAUAGUAGAAUACAUAUAAUAUCGGGUUUUUUUUUUUCACUUUUUACUUCUUUCUUUGAUUUUUUUUUUUUAAUUUUUUAUUAUCCCUUUUGUGUCAUUGGAGUCCAAAAAUAUUGUGUAUAAAAAAAUAACCCGCCUUCUGAGUUUAUGACAAUUUACCAUGCGUUAAUAACGCUUGAUGAAAAUGUUGCAAUCAGGUAGUGUAGAAUCAAUAAUUAAUGAAAUAUAAAAUAAGAAGAGUAAAUCUUAAUAACGCACCAAUAUUACAAAUCAAUAGCUAAGGAUCAAGCGAAAUUUCACCAGCAAAUUAGGACAGCAGAGGCAGCAUCCAUAAGCGUAAGAGUAAUUAUGUCACUCUGAAAUUUCAUAAGAGUAAAUUAGGACAGCAGGGAAAGGAAUAAACAAAGCAAUUUGCAAAGGACAGAGGCAUAAACAUAAUAGUAAUUAUAAAAUGUCAGACUGUAAGAAACAAGUAAAAAAUGUAUAAUAUUUUUCACAGUAGUCCGACGAUUCGUCAAUGUCUUUGUAAAAAGCGAAUAUUUUCAAAGGUAAAUAACACUCACACAAAUGUUUAAUCAAUAAUACAGUUGUUUUUUUGAAGUGAUAACUACUGAUUAUAUAUUGAUUCUUCAAAAUAAUUACACAUUUAUCAUAAUAUUAUUUAUUUAUUUUAUAAUUAAUAUAAUACUUUAAAGAUAUUUAAAAAAUUUUCAACUUGACAAUGUUCAAUAAAGGGUAAAGUUUAAAUUAUGUUACAAAAAGUCUUUGAACAAUAUAGAGCAAAGCUUUUACUUGUAUAACAAAAGAAAGCAUAUGAGGGGAUAAAAAGACUGAAGGUAUGAGUUUGAUUAUUAUCACAAUAAUUAUUUCUAUUUCAAAGAUUGAAAUCUGAACAUUAUUAUAUUUUGUGGAAUUUUCUCCAUUACUUUUUCAAAGUACUACAUGUACAUGGAUGAUUGUUUGUUACUGCGAACGGCAAAACAUUUAAUUUGGAGAAAAUUCCUUCUAGACUGGUAGUGUUGGUCGUAGGUUCCCUGUCGAGGAAGUGUUAUUAGCUCGAAACCUAUUGCAAAUGUCAAUCCAAAAUGGCUUCAAGGUUUCGUUGGAGAGCUGACGACAAGCUUCUGAAAACAACGUGCCAUAUUGAAACACAACAACAAUAAUGACAGUGCCAACCCACGCAGUGUACAAAAUGAUAUGGCCAAUAUUAGAACGUGGAAUAAAGGUGGAGAUCAAAGAUAUUGCAGAAGUAGAUCCUGAGACAACAGCAAUAAGGGCCCAGAAUUGGGAAGGAUUUUCGCGAUGAAGUCGAGACUUGAGGUCUUCUGAAUGUGCAUAACAAUAUAUGGCUGUGGCAAUGAGAAAAGACCAUAUAUUUAUUGAGUGUGUUUCAAGUAAGGGCUUAGUUUUACCUUGCACAUUUGCACCCACAAUACCUAUGAGAGUCGGAAUUAGAUAUCUAAAAAUGUUGGGAUAUGACAUUGAGAAGAAGAGAUUCCGCCCACUGUAAAAUUGUUAAAAUGAUUAAUCAUCUUAUGUAUAUUCCAUUUCCUUCAAAAAAAAAUUAAAAUUAAAAAACACUGUGUUAAUUUCCUCUGAAAUUGUCUAUCAAUUAUUUGCUUUGACCAACGCAAUUCUCCUCAAAAAAUUUGAGGGAGCACUUUCAUUUGCACCCAAAUGUUUCAUUAAAAUUUUAUUGUAUACACACUUGUUUCAACAGUUACUAUGGCUCAGGCUGCUCACCCUGUUAUGUUAAGUAUUGUUUUUACUGUUAAUUUUGACAUCUUUGAGAUUAAAAGACAAUUUUGACCCUCCUUAAAAUUUGUAAGUGUAAAAUUAUCAGAAAACCACAACACUAAUUUCAAAUUUCAAUUGACCUGUGUGGAUAUUAAAAUUUCUUAAAGGUUAAAAAAAACAGUUAAAAUAUCUCCUAUACUAUCAUCCACGAUCGUCUAUUCAUGAUAACAAUUUAAUAAACUCGAAAAAGCAAGAAAUCCAAUCCCAGUCAAUCAAACAGCCAAUUUUCUUCAUAAAGUUUAGCUUUUGCUAUUAAAAAUUCUAACUCUUGAGACCCUAAAUAAACCCAUAUUCAAAGUUAUGUGUUUCUAUUACGAAAAUAUUCAAUUUACCCCUUUAAAAUUUUGAAAACAUUAAUUUACUUCUAUUUAUCAGUCAAAAGAUAAAAAUAAAUGAAGACACCUUGACCAUAAACUUUUUAACUUUUUAGUGGCAUUUGAUAAAUAUAAAUAAGUUGAAAAUUAUCAUUUUAAGUGGGGAUAAGUUAAAAAUUUUACUCUAUAUUUAUUGUGCUUUGAUAAGAGAAAGAAAGAAAACAGAAAACAAAUCUCUUCCAUAGCAGUCUUAACAAAAUUUUCAGCAGGGACUUAACCAAUUUUUUCACGGAAAUUAAAUUCCAAUUUUUUUCACGGAAAUUAAAUUAGGAGAACAAAAACACUUUGAAGUGGACUGCAUAUAAAAACUCAAAAAUAACAUACAACUUGAGUCAAUAAUGGUAAAGAAAAUGAACGUACACAGAAGGGUUUGGAUUUGGAUGAUGAUCGAGAAUGCACUAAAAGCUUUGCAUUUGCAUAUACAUAUCUAUAUAUAUAUAUAUAUAUAUCUCUCAUAUACAUACACACACACACACAUAUAUAUAUAUAUCUCAGCAAACCCUGGAUUGAGUUCUCUUUUUCAGGGUAAAUAAGGUAGGGAACAGCAAAGCCGAUCAAUUUGAAAAGAAAAAAAAAAAAAACUAAAACUAAAAUGUAAACUCAGAUGGAAACUUGGCAGAGAAAACGUGAAAAAGAAAAAAAAAAUCUGUCACUUUAAGAACAUCUCAAUUAUCACUUUAAGAACACCUCAAUUUAUAUGUUCAAGUGCGGUGAUGCUGGUAGAGGGUUUAGUAGAAAGUUAACGGUUUCGUAGAACAGAGUCCUUUGUUGCAACUUGCAAGAGAGGACUCUGUUAACUUUGCGAAAAUCUGACUCGGCAAAAUCCACUCAUACAUCUUGUAAUGUUGAUGUAGUUUCUUUAUUUUUGUUUUUUUUUUUUUUUUUUGAGCUCCCAGACAAAAAACUUGUGUUGAAAAUUAAAAAUGAUCGAUUAAUGGGCUCCCCUCUCAAUUUCAAGGCCGAAAGGGCCGCUGUGCCCCAUGUGAAAAUUUCUUACAAUUAGAAUCAAAUCCACGUCAUACAUAUGAUGACAUGAUGUAUAUUUAGUAUGGUUUAUUCAAUGAUUAUAAGUAUUUAUUUAAUUUUUUAAAUUCUUGAUCAAACAAACGCCAAGAGAGACAUCUGUAAUUACGUUUAACGAGCAUUUUCGAGGAAUUGUUUCUAAAAAUAACUAAAACGGGAAAAGCCAAAUGGGAAAAUUUGGGUUGGAUGGAACUUGGAAAAGGACAAACAUGAAAGUUCAAAGUUUGCUUGGUUGGGCUAUUUUCUGCAAGUGGGAGAGACAGAGUGAUACAGCAUUACCAAUCUCUUUGGAGUGGCCCAAUCCAUAUCUUGGGGAAUCAUUUGAAGAACGGGCUGAACCACACCAGGAGGAAGAUACAACUAGGCCCAACACAGAACCAGUUGCAGGCCCCUCACGAAUGAGAAAACCACCCAGCUGGCUGAAGGAUUAUGUUGUUUGAGAGCAAGGAAGUUGUGGAUUCCUUUCUAGAAUCUUUUAUUCGUUUGAUAUUUUCUUUUGGCUUGACCAUUGCUAUUUUUUGUAACCACCUUCUGUUAGAGGUUGCUAGAGGAAAAAGCAUAUAAGUAUUGUAAUGUUUAAAAAGGCAAUGGAAUAUUUGGUUCUCUUUCUUCUAUGGAAUUUCCUUUCUUCUUAAUCAUUGUUCUGUUCUUAAUUCUUUUUCUUGGAGCUGGCACUCGCUCGAAGAGUGUUUUGUUGAGUGGAUUUGCUUGUGUUGCAGGACAAGCGUAUCAUUGGUGCUUUCAUCGACUUUUCCAUGGCUGAUUCAGAGGUGUUGGCAGCAGUGAAGGCACUCCAAACACAAUUUGAAGGCCAAACAAUUGCGAUUCAUCAAACCUUGCAGCAGUACAUGUCUACAGUGGAUUCUCGUCUUGAGGAUCUACAUUCUCAGAUCCAAGGGUCUUCAAGUGUUUUGGCUGCAUCAUCCGGUUCCGCACAUCGCUCUUCUCUAGUUGCGGAGGGGCAUUCCAGACACAUCGAUCUCUCGCCGGUAUUACGAUCAAUGAAAAUGGAGGUUCCCAAGUUUGAUGGCUCUGACCCGAAUGGGUGGGUGUUUCGUAUUGAAGAGUUUUUCGAUUUCCAUGAAACUCCAGAGCACUUGCGCUUUCGCAUCGUCGCGUUUCACAUGGAGGGGAGAGCGGCAGCCUGGUACCAAUGGAUGAAGGCGAACAAACUGAUAACAACAUGGAAAGCUUUUUUAAUUAGUCUGAAGCAUCGGUUUGGCGCUUCAAUGUAUGACGAUCCUCAAGGUACACUUUCCAAACUCACACAAACCACCACAGUCGCAGAGUUUCAGUCCGCCUUUGAAGAUUUGAUGAAUAAGGUCACUGGGAUUUCUGAACCUUUGUGGAUCAGUUUCUUUAUCACUGGUUUGAGAACGGAUAUUCGCAGGGAGUUGAUGUUUUCCCGCCCCACAUCUCUGAUGGAAACAUUUGCUCUCGCAAAAGCUUAUGAAGCUCGUUCAGAGAAGGCCAAAAUGAGUAGUCGCCCUUGGACUAAAUGGCCCCCACCGUCAGCCCCAACUAUGACUAUUCCAUCCGUCAACAAAAUUCCUCCACCCUCACAUGUGCCUGUUCCCCACCACACCACAAACAGUUUCCAUGCAGGUCCCACAACACACCAACAUCCUAAACAAACAAACCUUCCAGCCCUCUUACCUACACCAAAUUUACCAGUUCGCCGCCUCACUCCAGCUGAAUUACGAGACAAACGAGAAAAAGGAUUGUGUUAUAACUGUGACCAAAAGUACACCGCUAUUAUGUUAGCUCCCACUCCUCCUUGAAGUCAAUCUUGCUCCACGAAUUUCAUGCUACCCAUGGGCUGGACAUACGGGCAUAAAACGGACCUUGGUUCGCUUGGCUUCGACAUUUUAUUGGUAUAAAAUGAGAACUGAUGUUGAAAACUUUAUAACUGCUUGCCUAACCUGCCAACAAGUCAAGCAUUCAACUCAAGCCCCAGCAGGGUUGUUACAGCCGCUACCUAUUCCAUCAUUAGUAUGGGAUGAGGUCACUAUGGAUUUCAUUACGGGCUUGCCACCAUCACGAGGGCUCACUAUUAUCCUUGUCGUUGUGGACCGUUUGACUAAAUCAGCACAUUUUGGAGCUCUACCUUCUCAAUUUUCAGCUGUGACAGCAGCGGACUUAUUUGCUAACAUGGUCGUUAAACUCCAUGGUUUUCCUAGUUCCAUUGUGUCAGAUCGCGAUCCAAUUUUUAUGAGCAAGUUUUGGAAGAAGCUUUUUGAACUAAGUGGCACUUCCCUACGGCAUAGCACAGCCUAUCAUCCGCAGACAGAUGGGCAAUCCGAAGUUGUGAACCGCGGGCUUGAACAAUAUUUACGAGCUUUCACUCAAGAAAAACCACAAUCGUGGGUCUCUUUACUUUGCUGGGCAGAGUUCAGUUACAACUCCAGCUAUCACAGUGGUCUCAAGAUGACACCAUUUCAAGCAUUGUAUGGGCGUAUUCCACCUACUAUCCCAGCUUACUCUAAGGGCUCUACUUCAAUCCAAGCUCUCGAUGAUGCGCUGAUAGAGCGCGAUGCUAUCUUGCGCUCCUUGAAGGAAAAUUUGCGCCAAGCUCAGCAUCGAAUGACACAAAAGGCUAAUGCCCAUCGGCGUGAACUCCAGCUCAAUAUAGGAGAUCGCGUGCUUUUCCGCCUUCAACCAUACCGACAGACAUCUUUAGCUCAACGAGCAUCCCAUAAGUUAGCAAAGAGGUAUUACGGGCCAUUUACAAUAUUAGAACGUGUGGGACCAGUGGCAUACAAGCUGAACCUACCGUUAGAUUGCAAAAUUCAUCUUGUCUUCCAUAUUUCAAUGCUCAAACCCUUUAGCGGUUCCAGCCCCAUCACUGGGUUACCCUUACCUCAUGACAGCAUCAACAAUCGACCAUUCUCAUACCCGGCUGGCUGAAGGAUUAUGUUGUUUGAGAGCAAGGAAGUUGUGGAUUCCUUUCUAGAAUCUUUUAUUCGUUUGAUAUUUUCUUUUGGCUUGACCAUUGCUAUUUUUUGUAACCACCUUCUGUUAGAGGUUGCUAGAGGAAAAAGCAUAUAAGUAUUGUAAUGUUUAAAAAGGCAAUGGAAUAUUUGGUUCUCUUUCUUCUCUGGAAUUUCCUUUCUUCUUAAUCUUUGUUCUGUUCUUAAUUCUUUUUCUUGGAGCUGGCACUCGCUCGAAGAGUGUUUUGUUGAGUGGAUUUGCUUGUGUUGCAGGACAAGCGUAUCACAGAGUCUGGAAAGGGUUUCUUUUCUUUUUCUUUUUCUUUUUUUCAAAUACACAUAUAGCCACGUGUUGUCCCAUAUAAAAAAAUAAUACUUUAUAUAAGUCCGAGGUCAAUUGGGCUGGAAAACAUUUAAAAUCGAACAUAUCAGGCAUGUUGUAAGUUCGCAUUUGGAGAAUCAUGUUGUCAGCCCCACAACCCCCAAAUGGGAACUUUAGAUAGAAAUAUAUAGCAUCCCAACAAUAAUAUUUAUUAAUAAUAAAUUUACUUAUUACAAUUGUUUUUGUCAAAGACUCCUUGAUGGUAUUUCAUGUGUUGAAAAAAAUGUAAAAUAAUUUUAUUAUCGAUACAAUUAAAAACAUAUUUUUCAAUAUAUAUAAUUAAAUUAUCACUUGAUUUGUUCUUAAAAUGUUUUAAUAAUAGCAAAAAUAUGGAUAUAAUGAAACAUGAAGAAAAAAUAUGAUUACAGACACAUUAGGGAACGGCAAUGAGGAGGGUAGGGGAGGGGACUGACAUCUCCAUAUCCAUCCUCGAUAUUCUACAUAUGUUCUCAUCCCCUUCCCAUCCCCGUCAGAAUUACUUGAGAAAAUAUUCAUCCCCUCCCUAAAUAAUAACAGGGGAUCUCUAAGAGUCUCCGAUCCCCACGUAAUUGAUACAUUUUUUAUUUUAAUUUUAAUUAAUUAUAUUAAAAUAAUUUUUUUAAUAAAAGUACAGUUAAGGCGGCAGCUAGCUGCCAUAGAAAAUUAGAAAUUAGGUUUUAUGAUUUUGCCUUAACUUUUGUUUUAUUGGAUAAACGUUUAAAAUAUUUAAUGAAUAUUAUAAAUUAAAAAAAAAAAUUGGGCCAACAAGAUCCUGUCUGGCUUUUUUUAUGUCCUAAAUAGAUAUUUAAGAUUAUAAAUAGUUAAGUAGGCUCAUUAAAGCAUCUGACAAAUUGUUACAUAAAACCAGGAUAAUUAGAGUGCUAAUCAAAUAACCCAAAUUAUAGAUUCCCUAAUCAAACAAACAUAACAAAAAAAUUUUGAAAUACAAUUUUUUUUUCAGAAAUGCGAAUUGGCACCAAAUAAAAUUGAGCAAAAGCUAAUGCUGUCCUACAAGUUGACAUGGUCCUCCUUUAGCAAGGUUCAAAUAGGGAAGACCAUAGUAAAAAUAAGAGGAAAUAAUUUAACUUUAUCUAUAAAUCCUACAAUUUAGAUGCUAGUAAAAUAACUCCAAUCUGAAGCAUCAAAUGUACAAGAUUCAUAAGCAAAAACAGGUUACACGAUUAGUUAUUACCUGGAUUACGUUGUACAUAUUACAUGGUAUACCUAAUCAGACAAAUAACAGGUUACAAUCCAAGUUUUGUUGAUCAUGAAAGGUUUGAGCGUGAUAGUCCAUUUAGGUCAUUAGGUCAGCCAAAUGGGAGACCAGUGGAUUUGGAGGGUUUGUAUACAGUGCAAACUGAGCUAAUAAUGCAUGUUCAUGGUUUUAUACGUGCCAGGUAUUUUUAUCCUGUAAUUGUGAAAUUGAUGACAGAAAAUUUUAUAUCGUAAUUUCUUGGAAUUCUGACUGCAUGCUUUUCUUCUAAUUGUUAUGUUUCUGUUAAUGAUGGGAUGACCAUCUUUCAGUGCAAUAAAGGUUGGAAUCAUAUGGUAUACCUAAAAUAAAUUGUCACGCUAGAUUGAUAUACUCAUUCUCUAAUCAACUGAGAGUAUCUUCUAGUUCAGCUAUUUCUUUUCUGGGUAUAAAAGAUAAAUGUUCUUUGAACUUGCCUCGUACGUUAACCUGCUACCAAUACGGUCUACCGUAUGUAUGUCUAGCAGUCAAGUGAAGAUAAAUUUGAAAUGUAACUAUUACGUUCGUUUGCAAUGUGGAAUAGUUACCUAGGAUGAUCAUGAGUAGAUACUUUCUGGAUGUCAUAAUUUGGGAUGUAGGUGUCCGUUUUUGGUGCAUAAUACAUUGUUUUGAAGGUUACGAUGAGAUGAAUCAAACCUAGAAUGCUCACACUAUUCUGCCCAAUCAUUUUGCAGUUUUAUGUUGUUUUCCUAUGUUUCUGUUAAUGAUGGGAUGACCAUCUUUUAGCAUAGUAAAGGUUGGAAUCAUAUGGUAUGCCUAAAAUAAAUUGUCACACUAGAUUUAUAUACUCAUUCUCUAAUCCACUGAGAGUAUCUUCUAGUUCAGCUAUUUCUUUUUGCGGUACAAAAGAGAAAUGUUGUUUGAACUUGCCUCGUAUGUUAACCUUGUACCAAUAAGUAUGAUUUAACUAAAGUCUUGAGCACACGAGCAGUUUUGCUUUUAAAAGAAAAACAACUAUUUACCCUGGCUGCUCUCUAUCUCUCCUCACCAACUGAGUCACCGGUUGGUUGCAUUUUACUAACGAUGCCGACUGAGAGAUCACAAUCCCUGUACGCGUCCACCCUAACUGAUUUUUACGGCAAUUAAUGAUAUAAAAUUAUUUAAAUGAAAGUAAUUUAAAUUUAUUUUUCAAGUCACCAGGAGCUUCAAUUCCUACUGGGCACCAUAUGGCACUGCCUAUGGAAUCAUUCAAUGGUCUUAUAGUACAUAAAUCACUUUCUUUUUCAUGUGUGGAUAGAGAUAAUAUGAAUAAACAUACGACUCUUUUCAAAUAUUAAAAGAAAAUAAAUACAUCAUUAUGAUAUUUACAAUAAAAAUCACACACUCAAGAUUUUAGUUAAAUCAUACUUAUUCAAAUUUCAGACAAAAAGAAAAAGAAAUGUCACCUUUAGCCUUUAAUUAAAAAGUGUAUGGGGUAAAUAUAUUAGUAAAUGAGAACUAGUAGUGGUCAAAACAUAAUAACUCUAAUUGUAGGGUCAAUUUUGUAAACAUAGUAAACUUUUUGAAUGUACGAUGGACUGGUUUUAUUGUUGUAGUUAAUUUUGUGUGAUACAAAAAGUGAGAGAGUGUGAAACGACGAUGAUGAGUCACAAAAUAGAGGAAUCUUUAUAUUUUCAACCCACUUAAACUGUCACAGAGAGAAAACGACAUGGAAUCUUUAAACUGUCACAGACAGAAAACGACAUGGAAUCGCGUUAUAAUUGCAAAAUCCACAAACUUUCUGCGAAACCGACUUACCAGCAAGUCGCGGACUCGCGGCCUCAGUUUCAACUCCCGGCAUCAGCGCACUUGAAAAUAUAAAUACCCCAGCGACGAGAUAAUUCUUUUAAGCAGAGAUAAUUGAGAUGUUCUUAAAGUGACAGUUUUUUUUCUUUUUCACCUUUUCCCUUCCAAGUUUCCAGCUGAGUUUACAUUUUUAAGCAGAGUCCUCUCUUUCUCUUCUAUAAAGGGAACUUGAUUUAUAGAAGAGAUAAGGCCGUGUCCCUUUGCUCAUUUGCUGCUGCAGCUCUCCUCUUCUUCCUUUUUCCUCUCUUAUCUCUUCUACUCUUCGAUUGCUCUGGUCGACACGGCCUUUGAUUGCUCUGUCAAUCUAUACAAGACAUAUACAACACGACUUCAGAUCUUUUAGGAUCGGGCUUCUCUCUUCGUACUUGCGGCUUUCUCUCUUAUAAAGGUUUCAUUUCGAUUUUGAUUUGGAGUAAUAGUCCUUCAGGAUCGUGCUUGUCUCUUCAUACUUGCGGCUGUCUCUCUGAUAAGGUUUCGUUUCGAUUUUGAUUUGGAGUUGCUUUUUCUUUUAUUUUCAAGUAGAUUUGUUUCAAUUGAAAUGUUGGUUGUUAAUUUGGUGUUGUGUUAAGUUUUGCAGGUAAUGAUUGCUCUGAUCAAGCUAUUACAAAAUGGCUGACGGGAAAAGAAAGUCAACCCAGCAAUCUUGACCGUCUCCCUUCUCUCUCUGACCUGAGCCACAACGUGUAUUUAAAAAUAAAACUUUACCCUAUAUAUAUACAGACAAUGUUCAAAAGAAAACAAAAAAAAAUCCCAAAUUUCUUUUUUAAAUUCUUACCAAUCAAUAAAAGUAUUUGAUAAUUUUUUUUUUCACAAUAACUAUGACUUGAAAAAAUUAAACUAAUAUUAAAUGAGACUAAAUACAUAAUGAUCUCUUAAAUUCCUGUUUUUCUAAAGGAAUGGAUCUAAUACUUUCCUUAAUAUAGUAUUUUAAUGGGUCUGCAGGAACAAAUUUUAUUUGUCCGCGAUGUCAAACGCAUACCAUAACGUGUUUGGAUACCUCAUUCCAAUUCUCAUCGGCAUCGUGGGAGCAAAUAUGCAAGGCACAACUGAGCGCUUGCUUGAAACACACACAACAAAUAUAUGGUCUUUUCUCAUAACCACAGCCAUUUAUUGUUAUGCAUAUUUAGCUCAUCAAGAGAAUUUUUCCCAAUCUUGGGCCCUUGUAGCACGAGUCUCCGGAUCUGUUUCUGCAGUCUCCCUAGCCUCCACAUUUGUUCCACGCUCUGAUAUUGGUCAUAUCAUAUUGUGCACUGCAUGGCUUUGCUCGUCCAUUAUCAUUGUUGUGCAUCAAUAUGGGGCGCUGUUUGCAGAAGCUUGUCGUCGGCUCUACAACGAAACCUUGAAACCAUUUUGCAGUCAGCUCUAUAACGAAACCUUGAAGCCAUUUUGUAUCAAUAUUUGCAGUAGGUUUCAAUCUAAUGACACUUCCUCGGCAGGACAACAACGACCAACACUACCAGUUUAGAAGGGGGCUUCUUCAAAUGUUUCACCUUACACAGUACUACAGUAGCAAGCAAUCAUCUCAUGUACACGCAGUAAUUUUGAAAAGUAACAGAGAAAACAUAUUAGUGUCCAGAUUUCUUUGCUUGAAAUAGUGCUAAUUACUGUCGUCAAAUUUCAUCUUAUUCUUUUUAUUCCCUCACAUGCAUUGUUUUAUUGAUAUUAUACAAGAAAAUGCGUUGUUCAAUAUUAUGCAAAUAUUUUUUUUUUCUCAAAUAAUUUAAAUUUCAAAGAUUGCAAUGAAAUUUAAUUUAAGGAUUGCCCUUGAGCACUGUCAGCUACGACUCCAGUUUCCUGCAACAAUGAAAAAUUCUGUAAUAGUAAAAAGUCUCUCUUUUUUCGCAAUAUUAAGUCAAUAAUUUGAAAGGCAGAUUUAACAACAGGUUGGCCUAAUUUCAAAAUUUAAUCCAUGUAAUAUAGAAAGAAGACUAGUUCAAUGUAUAUGAGUCCACCAAAAAGUUAUUAAAAAUUUAGGAUUAAACACUUGGAAAUGGCAAUUAGGUACUACCUCAAGAGAUUUUACUGCUUGAACCAACCAAGGGGGUAUGUUUGCAAUUGUUGUGACUAAGUAUAAAUAGAUGGUUGGUCAGUGGUAAGAACCAGCCUUCUAGCAUCUUUGGGCACAAAGAACUCAAGAAAAAAGCCCACAUGAGACACAAGACCCAAUGCUCAGCAUGCAGCAAGCUUAUCUAGAUUCAGGUGCUUUAUGGAUCAAAUUCACAUUACAUGAAAAGUUCACUAUUCAGAAUGGCACUCUGUAUGACAGCAAAGAGAUAAGUGGAAGAAAAAAAUCUGAAAAUCAACAUACCUUUUUCUUUGUGAUUAGGUAGUCGAACCCCACUAGCUCGCUUAUUUCAAGCAGCCAGGUCAGCUCAACACGGUCGUCUUGUAUCCUUCAAGAUGCACAACCCCUGUGAAAUUUCCAUCCUGGUUCCUACUAAUUUGCUCCACAAUUGCAUUCCCAAUCUAUUUAUGUGAAUCUUAUUUCCAGAGAUCAACUCGGCAUUGGCAAGGUCCAUCCAUAUUGUUUUUGCACAUGUUGUAGCUUUCACUCCUACACCUUUACGCGUCUUAUGCCUCAGUUUGAUGCGAACUCAUGGUUUGUCAAGGCCAUUGGUAAGAGUCAGUCAGUCAGCAAUAGUAAUAUCUGCCUUUCUUCAAUCACAGCAGCGAGUAUAGGGCACGCAGGAUUAAUAAUCUUCUUAUUAAUAUAGUAGUUCAAAGUUUGUCACGUUCCAAAUGGUUGAGACUGUUUGAAGCCGCCAGAAAAAGUAGAGAUACAAAAGUUAUUCUUCCACUUAAGUGAUAACAAAUACUAUAUGAACUAUGACAAAUUACUUCAGCUACAUUGUCUUAGCAGUUCAAGGAUAAACUGCAUCAGAGACUCAAUUUUCAGUCCCCUACGAAUAAUUCUUUGAAUGGCAAAAAAAAAAAAGAGGAUUAUCUAAUCCAUUCUGUACAAACCACAAAAGUUUGCUAAGAGGCAUGUUACAGCAUUUUCAACCGGCUAAACUCAAAAAUUUGAACCUUUAUAUUCCAUAUCCUCUUGAACCAAAUGGUAUCAAGCAUUACGAGCAUUGUACUCACUAGAUCUCAAACUAAAAGACGUGAGAAUUAGUCCAUAAGUUAGGUAUAUCUUGUAAUUUGACCUGAUUUGAUGGUGGGUCUGGGUUGCAACGACUGGACGGGAUCUCAGACGGACUUGCUGGAAUGUUGCAUGUCAACUUCCUGCUACGACAACACUCCUAACAAUUAACAUCCCAAUUUUGCUUAUGAAAAAACAGGGAGAUAUUAGAAUGAUAUCUCAAUACUUCAAGCCAUUCACAAACAUUUUCCAUGUAAUUGGUUGCAAUACCAGACGAGCUUAAGCCUGCCACCAAUAAUCUGCUUCACCUUAAAUCACGAAUAAGGCAAAAAUGCUAUCCUCCGCUCAUCAUUCGGCCUCAACAGAUCACAGGUGGAAGGUUAAGUGUGUGAGUAGUUAAAGGGGAAAUACCCUUUUUGAUAAAUGUGCCAAGAUGAAAGUCACUAUAGUCAAAAGGGUAUAAAUAUCCCAACACAAGUCUAUAUGGUCAUUUCCGAAACCACGCAAAGACGUCGGUGUCGUUUCCCCACAACAAUAAAUAGAAAUCACCAUACUUCCACAAUUAUCCAAAGAGCGCGAACCCUGACACAUCAUAAAAACUAUUAUAAAUCUAUUUACAGAAUAAACUUGACUGAACGGAGGCAUCGUGUGAUAUUUGCAUCCCCACAAUUUCUUAUCAGAUUCAAUUCAUAAAACAAAUAGGAACACGUAUAAAAUUUAAAUAAAAUUCUUUCAAAUUUUUUUUUUGUUUGGUGCGCGCGCGCCAAAAAUUGAAAUUUUGCAGAUUAAAUUACUACCAGAUGAUGAAGUACAAAACAAAAAUCAUCAUAUUCUGACAAUGACACAUAAUAGAAAACAAAACAAAAAAAAAAUCGAGACUUACGUUGUCAUUCAAAGCUUUGAUCCAAUUUGAGCAUCCUGAAACAGGGUUUUUCUUAAUCAUUCUUAGCGUUUUCUUCGUGAAGUUUGACUUUAUAUGCAAAGGAAAGUAGGUCACUAAUUAUUAAAUUAUCAAAAUACCCUUGACAUUUAAGUGUACAGGAGCUGACGCUUAAGGGUAUCGUAGUCAUUGUAUGGGUUUAGGCACCCAUUUGGGACGAAUAGAAAACUACCGUCCUUAUUUGAGAAAUAAUGCUAUUUGACACAGAAGUAUAAAUAAAUUCUCAACUUCCUCCCGUUUCCGUGAAAAUUUUGUUUUCAGUGCAGUGGAAUUGAAUUAAUCUGAAGGAAAAAAAAAAUUGUUGGUAUGUGGAAAUUAUACUUGAAACGUUGUCGUUUUUGGCAUAAUUGCUGUGAUAUACUUAUUUGCUUUGUGUUUUUAUUUCUUUUUUCUGGGUUUUAGGGUCACAAUCGGAGAGAGAAGACAAUGUCUCGUUGGAACUCUCUGAAGAAGUUCUUCAGAGCAUGGAAGUGGGCAUUUCUUUUAGAGAUUAUGUAAGAGAAUCUUCUAAUAAGUUUCUGUUUGAGGAACAUACUUGAUUUGCGUUUUAAAUGUAUCUGUUUGUUAAUUCAGUGUCGUUUUGUAUUGAUUCGUGUUUUAACAGAAUGGGAGAAUUAGUUCCUUGGAUUUUCAUAAAUCAUCGAGUUAUUUGGUGACGGCUAGUGAUGAUGAAUCUAUACGGCUGUACGAUGUCUCUGCUGCCACUUAAGUUGAUCCUCUGUUUCUUAGGAUUUUAUGUUGUCUCUUGGGAAGUGCUUUUAACUAAGAAAUGGCUUUUGAAUAAGUAUAAAAAGCUGGUUUCAAUCUUGCAAUGUUUGUUUGAAAUUGCAGGAAUAAUAAAGUGUCUCUUUUGAAAUCAAAGGAACCCUUGAAGUGUUUUUCUGGGGAAGUGCUUGAUAUCUGCUUUCAUGGAUAGAACUUUUUGGAUUAGGAAACCACUUGUAGUGCUGUUUGAAGAAGUGCUUCAUAUAUGUUUCAAAGUGAUUUUACUCGAGGGUACUUUCCAUUAAAGCAUUGCUGAACGUAUCAUCUGCGUGUUUGAUGAGCUCAUGAAAGCUACUGUCUUUCUAAGAUGGAGAAAAAUGCUUUUUAGAUGAAACAGAAAAAAAAAAAAAAAAAUAGAACCUUGGAGUGGUUUUCGGGGAAGUGCUUAAGGGAAAUGUAAUUGAUAUAUUUUUCAAGAACUUUUGUAAAAAGGCCUUUUCUUUUCUUUCUUUUUUUUUGUUUGCAUAAGCUCUUUCUAUAAGAUCACUGCCAAAUGCACUUCAGUUGUCUUAGCUGAGCAUGAUAGUUGGUAUUGCAAUUGUUGCUGAGAGCCUUAAUUGAAAUUUCAGAUGUUUGAAGACAAUUAACAGCAAAAAAUAUGGGAAUAUUUGUAUUUUGUUUGUUGGUGGAUUGCUUUACUAGGCACUUAUUUGAUACGUUCAUUUAUUCAGAAUCUCUACGGCUUCUUUCCUCGCACGAUAACAAGUACUUGCGUUACUUCAAAGGUCAUCAUAACAGGUUUGUAAUUCACUUAUUCUUGUAAAUAUUUCGUAAUUAUUAUUAUCUGUAUAUAUGUUUUACUGCUUCUAGGGUUGUUUCACUUAGCCUGUGCUCCUCCAAAGAUUGCUUUAUCUCUGGUUCUCUUGGUCAAUCUGUUCUGCUCUGGGAUCAACGGGCUGAGAAAUGCUAGGUGGAUAUCAUGCCAUCCACCAUUUUCAAUUGUAUUUAUGAUCUCUGUUGGCAAAUACGGGUCUUUUGCAUGUUCAAGGAAGGCCUGCUACAGCAUAUGAUGAUCAAGGGCCUGUCUUUGCAGUUGCCUUUGGAGGAUACAUAAGAAUGUUUGAUGCUCGUAAGUAGGAGAAAGUUAAAAUUAAUAUUUAAAAACAUCUUGGAAGUUUAUAUGUCGUACUUUUAUCAUGCACUAAUUUGGUUAAAUUUGGAUACAUCUUCUCUGAUGGUGGAGAUGUAUCAGAUUCUGAUGCUGGAAAGUUCAGCAAUGAUGGGAGACUUAUGCUUCCGACCUCUAUGGAAGGACAUAUUCAUGUGCUUGACUCAUUCCAAGGCACACUUGUGAGUUGACUUUUUCUUUCUUCAUCUCCCAAAUGUAACAUAUCGUACGUAUAUACCCCUCUAUACACUGGAAUCUCUGUGAAUGAGCUUCUGUUUACUCUUGUUUUUAUUUAUCCACUUAUGAUGCCAAGCCAGUUUCUCGCAAUUCCACAUUGGAGGCAUCUUUCAGCCCGGUAGAGUUUCUCCUUUCAGUUCUUAGGGCACAGUGACUUGGAUAUUUUGUUAAUAUUUGCUUUUGGCUGUUUUGAUAAUUUAUAUUAAAGUUCUUGCACUUGUGCUGUAUAUAAUUCUCAAAUUUGUUACCACCUUGUUGGUAUAUUGAAAUACACGACUUGAAAUGCUGGGCAUCAAGCUUGUUUCCGCAGAAUUCUUUGAAAUAAAUUCAUUUUCUCUUCUUCAUUGACUUGGUUUGAAACCCACUCCCAUCCAUGCAAAUCCAAAUGCGUACGUAUUUUCAUCUGGUUGUGCUUAUUAAUAAAAAUAAAUCAAUGAAAUGCUCAAACAGCAAGUGCACCCACACAUGUGGAAGCAGCCUAGUGUGGCCAAGCACCUCUCAUUUGUUUUAUGUGAUACAAUUGGUUUGUUGCACUCUUUGUGCUAAUUUUACUUUCUCGGUUUGGAAGGUUCUGAUGAUGGUAGUGGAUAUGCUUGGAGUGUACGGAGCGGGAAAGGGGUAUGAUAAGCAAAAUUCCUGGAUUCUCAUGCCUUUUGAAUGCUUAGAAUUCAAAGGGAUGUUAUUUCCCUUACAUUGACCCCAGUCAUAGCAUUCAUUGUCUUCUAGCCAAACCAACAAUGCUUUUGAAUCUACAUUUGAGCUUUGUAUAAGAAGUUGCACCAAUUAUGUAAGGAGAUGUUCAAUUUCCUAUAGUAGUAUGUAAAUGCAUCUGACUUACCUGCUAGUAACCUUUCCUAACAAGUUCUGAAGAAACAACAGUAGAUCUGGUAUCAGUACUUUAUUCAGAAGAGCAUUUCUUCUUACAUGCACAGCUAAGAGUACAUGAAUUGAGCUACUGAAGCCCUUCCUGACCAACCUGGCUAAGGCUCCGUUCAGUUUGUCCUCUUCAUGGUUCUUUGGCAGGCAACAGCGUAAGCAAUUACCUGGACUAUGAGGCCUUUUGUAGCGGGGUGGGCACUGCCUAGGCAGUUUUUGAAAAAAUUAGGAGCUUUAUUUGUCAUUGACAUUUGUAGCACGAUUAGUUGUUACCUGGAUUAAGUUGUAUAUAUUACAUCGUAUACCUAAUCUGACAAAUAACAGGUUGCAAUCCAAGUUUUGUUGAUCAUGAAGGGUUUGAGCAUGAUAGUCCAUUUAGGUCAUUAGGUCUCCCUCGAAUUGCCACGUACACACUUCAAUCCUCUCAACGAGCGUCCCCGCAACGUCACACUCCACAAUAAUCUCAAAUAAUUUAGAACAAUUAUUUACUUCUGGCUGCUCUUAUCUCCCUUCUCACCAACCGAGUCACUGGUUGGUUACAUUUUACUAACACCGCCGAAUGAGAGAUCAUAAUCCCUAUUACGUGUCCACCCUAACUGACCACAACAUUGUCAUUUUUGAUCUAGCGUUAGUAACGCGUUGUUAAAUUGUCAUAGCUUCGAAACCGCUUUAUUUUUGGACUCAAGGCACAAAAAGGAUAAUAAACAAUUUUAAAAGAAAUUAAAGAAAGAAGUAAAAAGUAAUAAAAACUGGUAUUACAGGUAUUCUACUAUUCUUCUUCUCAUGAGCCGACUUUUUUCCCCAAAAAAUAAUAAAUAAAUAAAUAAAAUAAAGUAAAAAGGAAAGAAUAGUUAAUGCACUUCUCUACGUAAACGGUGUACAAUCAUUCUGGAGUCUGCAAGGGCCUUCAAGGGACCAAUUUAACGAGUUUCAAAUAACAAGUUUAUUUAUUUAUUUAUUUAUUUCUUUGGAUGAAAUAACAAUUUUAAUUAAAUAAUACAAAUAUAACUUAUGUACAUUUUUGCUUCUUGACCCUCUGUGUUGAAUGAGAACGAAACUGACAGAUAAGGACAGUAUGGCGUAUCUCUUGUUUAUUUCUUUGAAUUCCCCUCUCUUUAUUCUCUCUCAAUAGCCCUAUCUACAACCCUAUUCCUUUUUAUAAUCCUUUAUCACGCUACAUAUAUCGUAGCGUACUAUUAAAAUUUAACAGUGGGAUUACUUAGAAAUUUGAUAAGCACUCCGCUUCUCCCCCACCCCACCCAAAAAAAUAUUAUAGGUUAAGUGGAUGUAAAUUCUAAUGAUUAACAUGUUGGGAUUAUAUGCUCUUUUAAAGUAUAGUAAUUUAUUUUCUGAUUAAUAAAAUAUUUGAGAUAUUUUCAAUUGCAUAAAUAUAUAUUGAAUAAUGUCCGUUUAAUCAUAUUAUAUGUAUUUUUGUGAUUAUCAUAUAGAUUCACAGAAAACAUAAAUACAAGUUAUCUUAUUAUUAAAUAAAUUCAGUUCGCAGUUGAUAAAUAGAGUUGGACGCUCUAUUUAUGUUUAGACUGUAGUAAAUUUAUUGCAUGAUUUGUCUUAAUCAUAUAUGAAUUUAUUGAUGUAGUACGAUUACAUUGAACAUGAACACAUAUGAGAUUUAAUUAACCUUGAAAUGACUGUCAGACUUAUUAAAUCUCAUAGGCAUUGAUUUUACUGUAAUCUUAAUAUUGAGUUAAUUAUGAUUUCAUGAUUGUAAUUGUUAUUCCAUUUGAGUUACCAAUGGGCACAACACACAAUUGUGGUCAAGAUUACCUAGUAUCUUGGUGGGAGCAUUUAUGAGUAUUGGAGUUAUACAUUAACAAUAUAGAAUUUGUACAACACAUCCUUGAUGAGUUUUUGGCACUUGAUCAUAGAAUUCUCUGGCCAGAGUGUGUCAACAUAUUUAGUAUGUUGAAAAUGAUCAUUAGAGAAAACAAGUAAGCAUCAAGGAAUAAGAUGUAAUUAAAUUGAUUAGACAGUUGAGAUAUCGAUUUAAUUAAUGAUGUGGUACAAAGGAUUAUGCAGUAAAAAAAUUGAUGUGGCCUGCGACGAAUUAUUAUUCGAGCAUACAAUUAUGGAAGUUAGUUCCAAUCUUUUAAUGGAGUAUAUUUGGAAUUAAAUAAUUAGGCUAGUUUAAUUAUAGGCCUAAUUAUUAUAGCCACUAUUGUAUGUUCCCAAAUGAUUCCCGGGUUAGCUCAUUUAAUUGACUACGCCACUACUAGAUUAAUAAACAAGAUAACUAGUUAUUUGGGUUAAAAGCCUAAAUAUAUUAUUUAGUGGGAGGCUUCAAGUAAUGUACUUGUGUCUAAGGGGCAUUGUGUUAUUUUACAAAGUGGGCCCCUAUGACAAGAAAGAAGUAACGUUACUUUUAGUUUAUUAUUUUUAUUUAAAUCAAACUUGAUUUAAUAGAAUUAAAUAAUAUAAAAAAUGGAGUCUAGGGUUUCCACUAGAGAAAAAUAUAAAAGGGCUUAUUUUCUCCCAAAAGAAACAAGCAGCCACUUUAUACAGAUCAGAGAAAAAGAUUUUUCUCUCCGUUGUUGAGAGAAAAAUUUUCUCGUGCUAGUUACUUUGGUAGUGAUAAAGGCGUUCACACGUCAAAUGCAGAUCAAACCUGAGUCAUAACAUAGAAGAUCAUUGGUGACAGUUCGUGAUCUAACAAGUGUUGUGGUCACGGAUCGUGAUCUAACAAGCGUGGUGGUGACAGAUCGUGAUCUAGGAGCCUAAAUCACUUCAAUGGAAAAAGCCAAAUCGGAUUUUCAAUGUACGAUUUCUAGAUUACGUAUUCAUAUAUAUUGUAUGAAAUCAGUCCUAAAACAUUUUAUAAAAAUUUAAAAUAUAGAUUUUUCUCCAACAAUUGGUAUCAGAGCCAUCUUAUAUUAAUAUAUAAUAAUAUUGUAUGAAAUCAAUCUUGAUAUUUAUGUAUUAGAGUGGCACAACUUAUUCAGAUAUAUAUUAUUUAUUUAAUAUAUGAAUAAAAUAUGUUUUUGGUUUGUCUUAAUUCAUGAUUAGAUUCUUUACUGUUUUUUUUUUUUAUCUGUAACAAGAGGAGUGGUUUAUUAUCACCAUAUUUCCCUCUUAAUUUAGUUUAUUGUUAUAGAAAUUUUGUAAGCCUAAAUUGGUGUAGGAAAUUUGUAAGUCACUAGAGUAUAAUCAUGGAUGUCAGAUCAAAGCAACGAAUGCCGGAAAUUUCAGCGUCAGCCAGCGGUGCAUGAUGCACGCGCAGUGGCCAGCAGCACACGCUGCCAGCAGCUGCAGCGCGCGCAAGUUUAGUGCAUUUCCGACGACGCGGCAACGGGUGGCUCGGCGUCGGAGGUCGGCUGGUGUCUGAACAAUGGCAGAGGUUUUUGGAGAUGGCGGCUGGGGAGAAGGAAAAGAAAAAUAAGGAUUUUAGGGUUUCAUGGUUUCUAUCAUUGAGGUCCCUAUAGUUUAAUAAUUAUUUCUUUUGGGCAGUUAAGUUUUAAGCAUUUAAGUCUAAAAAUAGUUUUGGGCUUAAAGAAUCUUAGUUUUAGGCCCAAUUGAAAUUUGGGCUUAAUAGAUUAAAAUACAUAGAUAAAAUUGAACACAUUAAAUUUAUUUUUUGUCCAAAAAUUUUAUUUUAAUAAAAAAUUUAAUUAUUUAUUUAUUUCCUUCUAAAAAAUUAAAAUUGGACCAAUAAUAAAUUUAAAAGCUCAAUUUCCCCUAGUCCAUUAACAAAGAUAAGCCUAUGGAAGGUGGAUAUUGACAAAAAGCCCAAUGAAGAUUAAGCUUAUGGUUAAUGUAUUUUUUUAGGAAAGCCAUGAAUUAAGAUUAUUUAAUUGUAUUUCUAUAUGUUCUGUUUUGGAUGAUAAUAUGCCAUGAUAACAUGUCAUAUAGAAUAGGUAGUGUCACUCUAUGCAUAAUAUUACAUGUCAUUAAUUAAUUAUGAAUCUUAUUAUAUUGUUUGUAAUUUGCAAAUGCUUAAAUAAUAUUGGAUAUCAUAUAGAUAAUAUUAUAGGAAGCAUGAAACAAUAUGUAUGUUUUAAAAAAAGAAAAAACCAAUUUUAAAAUAUUGAGUGGGAGAGGGAAAAUUCAAAAUAAUUUUUCCCACGGGCUCCAUUGUUAGUUCAAUAAUAAAAUUAUAUAUAUACCUCGACUUCAUGAUACGGUGAUGCUCCUUAUGGAGGGUAUAUAUACUAGAUAUUUUAUUUGCUGAACUUUUUCAAAGAUAAAAUUGAAUAUUUUUCAAUCAAUUGUUCACUCCAACGGUGACUAUUGAUAUGAAAAAUACGUAGAUUGAAACAAUGGUUAUACCCUCAACUAAAAGUUGUUUUUAACCUUCCCAACAAAGCUCUGUUAACAACUUUAGGCCCAAAGGGAUAACGAUAAUUAUUUAUCAUGUCUUUACAUGAAAGUAAAUAAUUCAAUGGAUAAUUGGGUCUAGUAAGCAUAUAUUUGUUAUUUUGUUGUGAAUGGGACAUAUAUGGCACCAUUUGCUCCCGUGACCGAUCUUUAUAACAGAUCCAAUUACCCUCGUUAUAGUCACUAGAUAGAAAGCUAACAUAGCACAAUUAUAAUAUGUAAUGUAAGUGAUAGUAGAGUCACAAAUUAUUGUAUAAAUUUAUUUUAUAUAAAUUGAUGAUAAUAUAAAAUAAUAAAAAUAUAAAUCAUGUAGACCAAGAUGUAUUUAAUAUAACUAAUAAAAUUUUACUAGAUUAGUUUAUAUAAGAAUUUGUAAUUUUAUUAUUACUCAUGGUACUUGAACAGUGGCUGAUUGGUUAGCUAGUGGUAUAAGUGGCAACGACCAAAUUGUUGAGUCUCUGACGUGGGUUCUCAAAAUGAGUCAAGAGUCCAGAAAUUAGCUAUCAAGUUAUGACAAUAUUUGUAAACAUGUCUUUGAGAUGAUACAUUGUCAUCAUCAGCAUCAUAUCCUAAUUGAAAAAGAAGGAUUGCGAGGGAAACUAAGCAUGUGCCUUCAUUUUCACUUGAAAUAAAGCGCGAUGGAAAGAUCUCAUGUUAUCACAUAAUGCCGUGUGAUCACCUAAAAGCCCUUCCACACACAUUUCUUCUCAAAUUGUCUUAUUCUAAUUUCUUGGACCACCGCGGAACCACAAUGUCAAUGCGAGGAUGAGCGAGUGCUGUUCAGCUCGCAGCAUUUGGAGCCGGAGCUCGGCUUCCUUUAUUUUUUCGUCUUCUGCUGGUAGACAUUGCCAAAAGGCAAAGAGGAUCCUCUGGCGUUCGUGGAGUUGGUCCUCGAUGCGAUUGAUUUCUUCUCCAAGUUGAGCAAGCCUUUGUGCCAUAGCCAUAUAAUUAUUUGCUUUCGACCGACAUAAUUCUUCUCUAAAAAUUUCAGGGAGCACUUUUCAUCUACACCCAAAUAUUUCAUCAGAAUUUUGUUGUAUGCACACUUACUUCAACAACUAUCACGACUCACUCUUUUUGUUAAAUAUUGUUAUUGCCAUUAAUUUUGAUAUCUUUGACGUUAAAAGACAAUUUUGCCCUUAUUUAUAUUUUUUAAUGCAAAAUUACUAGAAAACCACAACACCAAUUUCAAAUUUCAAUUCACCUGUGUGGAUAUUAAAUUUAAUUUUGACAUCUUUGAUAUUAAAAGAUAAUUUUGCUCUUAUUUAUAAUUUGUUAAUACAAAAUUACCAGAAAACCCAACAUGAAUUUCGAAUUCCAAUUUACCUGUGUGGAUAUUAAAAUUUCGUAAAGGUUAGAAAAAAAGUAAAAAGUUUUUGUUAUGAAGAUCAAAAUAUCCCCUCUGCCAUCAUCCAUAAACGUCCAUUCUUCAUAACAAUCUAGUAAACUUGAAAAAGCAAGAAAUCCAAUCCCAGUCAAUCAAAAAGCCAAAAUUCUUCAUAAAGUUUAGCUUUUCUUGAAAAAUUUUAAUUCUUGAGACCCUAAAUUAACCGAUAUUCAACCCUAAAUUAACCGAUAUUCAAAGUCACAUGUUUCUAUAACGAAAAUCUUCAAAAAUAACACUCAAAUGAAAAUCUUCCAAGUAAAUAAAAAUCUAUAUUCAUAAUAUUUAUGAAUAAAUUGUAAAUAAUAUAAAAUGGUCUAAUUGAAUAUAGAGUGAUUUACAAUUUUAUAGUGCAUUCACUAAAUAGGAAUCAAAAUUAAUUGGAAACAUAAUGAGUUAGAAUCGAAAUAACUAGAAUCGAAAUAAGGAAUUAGAAUCAGAAUAAUUUAUUUACUUGAACUGCAUGAAUCGUAAUUAGAAUGAGCUAUUUAUAUGUUUAUUUUAUCUUAAAAUCAAAAUCGGAGUGAGUUAAAUUGUAUCAAAUUACUAUAAGACCCUUAAUUAUUUUUUAUCAUAAAAUAGUUAAUUAAUGUUUAUCAUAAUUAUUAAUUUUAAUUUUAAUUAUCUUGAUUAUUAUUAUUAUUAAAAAAUUAAUUAUUAUUGUUAAUUAUUAUUAUUAUUAACAAUUUAACUAAAAAAUUAUUAUUAAUUAUUGUUAAUAGAUUAAUUAAUUAUAAUACUUUUUAUCCUUGUUAUUAAUAAUAAUAAUAAUAAUAAUAAUAAUAAUAAUCCAUUUAAAAAUUAUAAUUAUAAUAAAAUCAUUAUUAUAAUUAUAAUCCAUUUAAUAAUAAUUAUAUUUUUAAUUAAAUGGAGGGUAUUUUAGAAAUUUAAAAAUUAUAGGGGCGAAUUGAUACUGUAAGGGUUUUAAUGCAAUAAAACAAAGUAUAAGGGGCUCAAUGAAAAUUUACAAUACAAAAAGUUUCACAAUAUUUAGGAAUAAAUUAUAAAUAAUAUAAAGUGUAAGGGCUACGUGAGCAGUAACUUAGGUGGCCCCUUUGCAAAUAACUAUUGUGAUUAGUGAGGCGCACCCAUCAAGUUCAUUGUAGCUGAAUGUAGAGGGCCUCGUGGAAGUUUAAGUUGUAGGGUCCCAAUCAAAAUGUGGCACUGACACAUUUAUCAAACAAUAUGAUUUUUUGAUAAGGACAUUAGUUUUGUAUUCAUAUCAAGCAGGUCCCUAACUUGUUGGGUUGGCAACGACACGGGAUUUGUCAAUCCCAGUCCCAUUCCGUAUAAAGUGCCGUAUAUGCAAAUGAGAUAAAAAAAAAAUCUUAUUCCUAUUCUUUUAUUUUCUUUUGCGACAAAAAUUUGUCAUGAUCUCGUCUCAUUAAAUAUCUUAUCCCAUCUCAUUAUCUUGAACAGUUUUAAAGGUAAAUAAAUAAAUAGACUUUUUUUUAAAGAUCAUCACAAUUCAAUAUAGCAAAAUUUUUUAAAUAAAUACAAAGUAAAAUAAUCAAAUAAUAGUUUUAUUUUGACUAAGUGCAUGUUCAAAUAUAAUUUUAUAUUAACAUUUUUAAUAGUCUAUUUGCUUCCAUUGCACAUUAAUAUUAAGACUUACACUUCAAAAACUAUAGAUUUAAAUAGUAAUCACUUCAACAAUGUUAAAAUAUCUAAUAAUUGAAUAAUAUAAUAAUAAACAAAACCAACAAGGUUGGUAAUGGAAUGGGAUGAGACGAGAUUUGUCCAUUCCAGUCUUAUUCCGUUUAUACAAGUGAGAUAAAAAAAAAUCUUUCAUUCCUAUCCUUUUAUUUUUUUGGGAUAAAAAUAUAUCUUAACUCUAUCCCAAAUGAAAUAGGAAAAAUUACCAUCCCUACUAACUUGGUGUAAUGACUAAAAGUUGAUUGAAAAAUAUAUAGUUUAAUUUUACAUUUAAUUUUUUUCAUUUUUUUAUUAAGAAUUAAUUGAAAAAUUAUUUUAUUCCCUUAAUUUUACCAGAAUCCCAUUGACUUAACCCCUAGUCUCUUGAUUAAGGCUCCGUUUGGUGCAGCUUUUCAAGCAAAACUUAUUUAAGUAGAGCUUUUGAUAAUAGAGCUUUAAGAAUUUAGUUGUUUGGUUGUCAAUAAGAACUUUUAUUAAAAAUCUAUGAAAUUGCUUUAAUAGAUAAGUUUUCUUAAGUUAUGUUAUGAAAAGAAUAAAAUAAGAUUGUUAAAUAAGUAAAGGAUAUUUUAGAUAUUUUAACAUUUAAAAAAAGUUUUUCAACCUCUACUCCCAAAAGCUCAAACUUUGAGUUUUUGUCAAUAGAGACGAACUAGCUUAUUUAAGCUCUAAAAGCUCUACAAAAAAAAAAAAAAAAAAAAAAAAACAACCAAGCAACAACAAAAAUUAUGAUAAGAGCUUAUGAGAUUAAAUAAAUACGUAUGACCAUUAGACAAGCCAUAUCAAAUAGGCAGUAAAGCGUUUUUAAGUUCAAAAGAUUCAGAUAACUCACUCGAUUACAGGGCGUCUACACCUUAUGCUCGCAUUUGUUGUGAUGCCAGUAGAUGUUGUGACUGUGGUUGUCGUUGUCGAUUGUACUUGAAUUUUGCAGGAGAGCUUAAUAUCCUCCUUAGUAAUUAAGCGUUGCAUCAGUUAUUUUUAAAAAAAAUUAUAUUAGAGUUAUUAUUAAAAAAUUGUAUUAUAAAAUAAAAAUUAAUAAUAUGUAAUAAAUAUGAUUUUUAAAAAUUCAUUUUAUUAAAAUUAAUUAUUUUUAUUUUUAUUAAAUAAAUAUAAAAUUAAAUCAACUUAAUUAUUAAAUUAUAGUGAUUAGUAUUUAUUAAACACUUUAAUAUAGUAACUUUUAAAAUUAUAAUCGACUAACCUUAAUCCAAGAGCCUGAAAUGAUUGUGCAGUUCGGGAUUUUCAAUUUCCUUUCUUUUUGGAACUGGCUUGGGAUUGUCCAAACACGUUAUUGACUGCCUUUGACAGGGAGUAUGGGGACAAAUCAAUUUUGUUUCCUGCAAAACCCUUGAAAUAUUAGUCAACUUACGUAUACCACUUUUGGACCCAUUUUGUCAGCAAAAAGAAAGAGUGGAGCAUUUGUACUCUAAAUUUAACUUUAGACAGUCGCAUUUUAACAAAUUUUUAUAUUACUAAAUUAACCUUAAUAUAAUUUACUAUAAAAGACAAUUUAGUAAUAUAAUAACUUUUAAAAUUAUUAAAUAAAUAUAAAAUUAAAUCAACUUAAUUAUUAAAUUAUAGUGAUUAGUAUUUAUUAAACACUUUAAUAUAGUAACUUUUAAAAUUAUAAUCGACUAACCUUAAUCCAAGAGCCUGAAAUGAUUGUGCAGUUCGGGAUUUUCAAUUUCCUUUCUUUUUGGAACUGGCUUGGGAUUGUCCAAACACGUUAUUGACUGCCUUUGACAGGGAGUAUGGGGACAAAUCAAUUUUGUUUCCUGCAAAACCCUUGAAAUAUUAGUCAACUUACGUAUACCACUUUUGGACCCAUUUUGUCAGCAAAAAGAAAGAGUGGAGCAUUUGUACUCUAAAUUUAACUUUAGACAGUCGCAUUUUAACAAAUUUUUAUAUUACUAAAUUAACCUUAAUAUAAUUUACUAUAAAAGACAAUUUAGUAAUAUAAUAACUUUUAAAAUUAUUAAAUAAAUAUAAAAUUAAAUCAACUUAAUUAUUAAAUUAUAGUGAUUAGUAUUUAUUAAACACUUUAAUAUAGUAACUUUUAAAAUUAUAAUCGACUAACCUUAAUCCAAGAGCCUGAAAUGAUUGUGCAGUUCGGGAUUUUCAAUUUCCUUUCUUUUUGGAACUGGCUUGGGAUUGUCCAAACACGUUAUUGACUGCCUUUGACAGGGAGUAUGGGGACAAAUCAAUUUUGUUUCCUGCAAAACCCUUGAAAUAUUAGUCAACUUACGUAUACCACUUUUGGACCCAUUUUGUCAGCAAAAAGAAAGAGUGGAGCAUUUGUACUCUAAAUUUAACUUUAGACAGUCGCAUUUUAACAAAUUUUUAUAUUACUAAAUUAACCUUAAUAUAAUUUACUAUAAAAGACAAUUUAAUAAAUUUUUAUCAUAUGAACUUUUAUCUACUAUAAACCACAUCAACAAUGAAAUAUUGAACCAAUGUUCACGUCGGAACUUUAUCUAUACUUAUAGACUAGAUUUUUUUUUUUUUUUGGUUAAUAGAAUGGCUAGAAAAACAUCAAGUUGCAUGUUCUAUCUCUUAUAACUGAAACAAAAGGAAUUACAAGCGGAGGUGCAGAACGAACAAUAAGUCUAUAAAUAUGAAAUAAAAUCGACAUAACUUCUAACAACUGCUAACUAUAAUCUUGAGCAAGACCUUAAUUUCCUCUCAGUUUUACAAUUAUUUGCUUUUGAGUGAGCUCUGAUUAUAAAUUUAUCCAUACAUGAAGUUACACUAGAUACGAAAUUACGUGGGCAUAAUUAUUCUUAGAGAAUUAUUUUUUCCUUUAGGAAUUCGUGCAAAUUAUCACUUUCUUUUUCCACUUUCCUUGAGAUAUUAUAUUUGACCUUUUUUAAAUAGUGCUCAUUUGUUUACGGAGUUUUUUUUUUAAUAACCAUUUCUAACCGUUUCAAACAAUUUGGUUCUAAAUAUAAAAUUUAGACCAUCUAUAAAUGCAGCCCUCUCACAUAAAUAGUAUCCAGUCCUAAGUCCACAGCCAGGUUUGUGAGAGAGCUCUCUACAUUAUAGAUGCUGUAAGGCAGUAGGGGUGUAAAAAAAACCCGCUCGGACCGGACCUGGCCCGGACCCGGCCAAUUCGGUCCGGGCAAAACCCGGACCACAUGCACUGAAAAUGCGGGUUCGGGUUUAAGAUUCCAAACCCUACCAUUUUCGAGCACGGGUUCGGGUUCAACACCAAAAAUCUGGAACCCGGAACCGGACCCGGUUUCUAAAUUAAAAAAAUAUAUAUAUAAAAACAAAAAUGUCAAAACCCAAAUCCCUAAUUGGCUAAUUCCCGAUUGAAAGAGGCAUAAGCAGCAAGCCAACAACGUUGUCACCGGCAUCAUCUCUUCUCGUCACCGUCGGCAUUCGGCAUUAACCACCACCCACUGUCACCGUCGCUCGUCGGCAUCAUCUCUUCUCGUUUGCUGACUCGGCUUGGCACGCGGCUUUACUCGGUUGCUCCAUCUCCAGUGGCAGUGUGGCUGUGACUCAGUGACAGUGAGUCGUUCGUGCAGGUGAGGCCUGCUUCUGGGAUAUUUUUCUGGAAUUUGGCCUCUUCGAGUUGCUUGUCCUGCUUCCUGACAUGUUCGGCAGCUGCGAUUGCAGAUUCCUUGGAGUCCUUAACAACUUUGAGCUUGGUGGUCAACUCGAGCAUGGUUCUUUUAGCCCUCUCAAGAUCGCCAAGUGCUCGAGCUCUUGUGCUUUCAGAGCUCUCUAACAGUUUCUUAGUUCUUUCGAUUUCUUUCCGGGCCAAGAGAAGCUGCGUCGUCAGCGCCAUCGUCUCCAACUCUCCAUUGCCACUUUCUCAACCACCAUCUCCAACUCUGCUUCUCAGCUUCUGCAAGAGAGAAUUGCAUGCCAUAUUGCCAUUAUUAUUAAGUUACUAUAUGCGGGUUUCUAAGCCCGGACCAAAAACCCGGACCCAGGUGGUGCCGGGUUUGCGCCUGGCCCGCACCCGGAAAAUCGGGUUUUAACCCGGGUCCGGAUUUUUUGUCCACUCAUCCGGUCCGGUCCCGGGCAACACCAAAACCCGGAUCGAACCCGGAUUUUGCCAAGCCUAUAAGGCAGCCCUCGCCAAACCUAAAUAUAAGAUUGAAUCAAACUCUUUUCGAAUUCGAAUUUCUUUCAAGCUCAAAUACGUCGCUUGGCUUUUCUUAUAUUUUAAGGUACAAUUGGGUUUGAUUUCUAUCCACUCUUAAGGUGCAGUAAAUCUCAACAUUCCAAAUAUAACCCUUUUGACACAAUUCACUUUCUAUUUGGGAAUGGCAAAAAACCCCAUGAGAUGGGGUUGGGGAUUUUUCCCAUUUAAGAAGGGAAAAAUAACAAUUUUAUGUUUAGGGUCUGAUAGGAAUGAUUUUUUGCCCAAUUUUUUUUGGGGAAGGUACAAAGAUGAGCUUGAAUCCUGAUUCUCUUCCCAAUUCGCCAUUUUCUCAAUUUAAUUUUUAAUUCUAAUUUUAUUUUUUAAAAAUAGUAAUGAAUCAAUAAUAAAAUCUAAAUUAUAAAAUAUUAAAUAUUAGUAUAAAUAACAAAUAUCAAUAUAUUUAUACAAAUAUAUUUUGAAAUUUUUGGGCCCAACUAAAUAGAAAUUCUAUUUUAACAUUCAUACAUUUUCAAAAUUAUUAAACUAAAAGAAUCCAGAAUCAAUUUUUCCUUGUGAACUUCUAUUAAAAUUUCACUGCGGUUUAAAAAAAAAUUAAAAAUUAAAAAUCCAUCCCAAAACCGAUUGCUACAAUACUGAGCCGCAAAAGUCAACGCCCGACACCCCACAUUUCAAUUUCAAAUCCAAACUUAAAUCCACCAACAGACACUACGCAAAACAAAUCUACUUGAAAUGAACAGCAAGUCUAAAUCGAAAUCGAAAUGAAAACCUUUAUGAGAGAGAAGUAAGAAGGCUUCGUUGUAUAAAGAGAAUAGCGAUUGAAGACAGUGUCUUCACGAUCGUCGUACGUAAAGCAUACGGAGAUCGGAGACUGUGUACUAACGAUCGAGGGCUGUGUCAAGACUGUCUUCACGAUCGUCGUAUGUGAAGCAUACGGAGAUCGGAGACUGUCUUAACGAUCGACGACAAACUGUCUUCACGAUCGUCCUAUGUUAAGCAUACGGAGAUCGGAGACUGUGUCUUAACGAUCGAGGGCAAACUAUCUUCACGCUCGUCGUAUGUGAAGCAUACGGAGAUCGGAGACUGUGUCUUAACGAUCGAGGGCAAACUGUGUUCACGAUCGUCGUAUGUGAAGUAUACGGAGAUCGUAGACUGUGUCUUAACGAUCGAGGGCUGUGUCGAAACUGUCUUUACGAUCGUCCCAUGUGAAGUAUACGGAGAUCGGAGACUGUGUCUUAACGAUCGAGGGCAAACUGUCUUCACGCUCGUUGUAUGUGAAGCAUACGGAGGUCGGAGACUGUGUCUUAACGAUCGAGGGCAAACUAUCUUCAAGAUCGUCGUAUGUGAAGCAUACGGAGAUCGGAGACUGUGUCUUAACGAUCGAGGGCUGUGUCGAAACUGUCUUCACGAUCGUGGUAUAGAGUGAAUAGAGAGAGAGGGGGCUGUGUUAAACAGAAAGAUUGAAUGCUGUGCCGUGUAGAGAGAUCGAGAAGAAGAGAGAAGAUGGCGGCGCCUGUAGCAGAGCACGGGCUCAUAUUUAUAGGAGAGGGAUUACGGCAACUUAACGGCCGUUAUGACCGCAAAUUGCCUCUGUUAGAAUUAACCGAGAAGUCACGGGAUUACCUGCUGAUCAUCAGCAUCUGGGAAUCUUAUGAGUUUGAACAUCAAACAUGCAUGCUAAACUAUCCACUAAUAUAUAUAUAUAUAAACCGAAAGCUCAGUCAUUUAAACGAUAGCAUUCAGCGAUGAACAACAAUAACUUAAACAUGGAUGUAACUCAAAAUUUAUCUUCACCUGACAGCCAGACAUACGUAUGGUAAAUCGUAGUGGUAGAAGGUUAACAUAUGAGGCAAGUUCAAAGAACAUUUCUCUUUUAUACCAAAAAAAGAAAUAGCUGAACCGGAAGGGACUCACAGUUGAUUAGAGAAUGAGUAUAUCAAUCUAUCUGUGACAAUUUAAUUUAGGUAUACCAUAUGAUUCCAACCUUUAUUACACUAAAAGAUGGUCAUCCCAUCAUUAAUAGAAAAGAAAAAUAAAAUAAAACGGCAAAGUAAUUAAGAAAGAAGUAGAAUUUCAGCUCAACCUUAGGUCAGAAUAGUGUGAGCAUUCUAGAUUUGAUUCAUCUCGUCAUAACCUUCGAACAAGGUAUUAUACACUAGAAACAGACACAUGCGUCCCAAAUUAUGAUAUCCAAAAAUUAUCCUACUCAUGAUUAUCUUAGGUAACUAUCCUACAUUGCAAAUGAAUGUAAUAGCUACGUUUCAAAUUAAAUUCAAAACCAUAAAUUCAAGAGUUAAGUGUUUCUGAAUCAAAAUACCCUCUACGAAUUUUAUAAAUUGGCUUCUAAUUUCAUUAGCAAAAUACACAAAAUCCAAGUGAAUUUCCUCUUCUCUCCCAAACAGUUUUAACAUUUGGCGAUAGAGCUGACGACAAGCAUGAGUAAACAAUGUACAAUAGUGAUACGCAACAAUGAUCAAAGAAAAACAAAUCCUUGAAGUGUAACACCAUGAAAUGAAAAAAUAGGGCGUGGAACAAAUAUUUCUAAUAAUCUUGUUCAUCUUAACCAUAUUUUUUUCAGUGAAAAAUAUUAAUGGCAUCUUAUGUUAUAUUGUUUCAGUAAGAGAAAGAAGAAAAAAGAAAACAAAUCUCUUUCAUAGGGGCUUGACCAAUUUUUUCACGAAAAAUUGACGGCCGUUAUGAGUUCUGUAAAUGCCUCUGUUAGAUUUGAUGGAAAAGUCACGGGGUUACGCGAUGAUCAUCAGCGUCUGAAAAUGUUAUGAGUUUAAUUAGCCAAGAAGAAUUAACCUCCGCUUCAGAUCGAACGACUCCCAAGUAACUACAAACAUAUCACCUUUAUCCUUUUGGUUCCAUCUGCCCACGAAGCUUCAUAUACCUACAAAAUGUUUCUUAAAAUUUUAAGGAAAAAGGAUAAAUACACCCCCAACGUUUAGAUAAAAGGACAAAAGUCCCCCUAACGUUUUAAAAAAUACAUUUACAUCCUCAUUCUCUAACGGAAACAGUAACUUUUAACAGAAAUUAUUGUUAUACCCUUCUAGCAUAUAAAAAAUAUAUAUACAAGUUUAACUUGUGGUAUUAUACCAUAAAAUUUUAUUUAAAUUUUAAACUUGUAUAUUUAACAAUUCUCCACAUGUUAUCAUUUAAACUUGUAUAUUUAUAACUAAUUUUUUAUGUUAUUUAUUAUGGUAUUAAUUGAAAUACAAGUUAACAUUAAUAACCAAUUUUAUUUAUUUUUAUUCUUGAGUAAUGAAUUAAAUUUAUUUGGCUUGAAGAGGGAAUUUGAUAAAAAUUUAAAUAGAGGAAUUGGGUAAUGAGGAUAUAUUUAUAAUUUUAUUAAUAAUAUAUGGACAAAUUGGAUAAUCAACAAUUUUUUUUUAUAUGCUAGAAGGGUAUAACGGUAAUUUCUAUUAAAAGUUAAUGUUUCUAUUAGUGAAUAAGGAUGUAAAUGUCUUUUUUAAAACGUUAGGGGGUUUUUGUCAUUUUGUCUAAAUGUUGGGGGUGUGUUUGUCCUUUUUCCUUUUUUUAAUAAAUUAUAAUCGGACAGCUGGAUCAAAAUUUUCGACUGGGCAAAACGCAAAAUCUACCACGAGUGCUUCAACAACUUCGUUUCAUUUAAAUAUUUAUCAUUUAAUCAGAGUUUGACGAGCAGCGUCGAUGGAAAAUUGAUAGAAAUGAUCCUUACUUUUUUUUUUAUUAUACGAAUAGCAAAUAAAAUUUUCCUUUUUUCAGUUACACAGGUAGGAAAUAAAUUUAUAAAGUCUAGUAUCUACUGUUCGUAAUAUAUAGCAAAUGAAAAUUUUCCAUUUUUCAAUUACACGAACACAUGUAACUGUUUUGUAUAUACCUUUUUCUAGCGGCUUCAAAAAGUUUCAACCUUAUGGAAUGGCACAAUCUUUGUACAUUAUUAUUUUAAUUAAUAACAAGAUUACUGAUCCUGUGCGCCCGGUAAACACUGCUGUGAUUGAGGAAAUGGCGGUUGCUAUUGCUGACUCUUAUCAAAGGCCUUGAUAAAUCGACCAUUUCUUCACAUCUAACUGAGGCAUAAAAGGUAAAAAGCCUAGGUGUAGGAGAGAAAGCUACAACAUAUAUGACACAAAAUCAAUUUGGAUAGGCCUUGCUGAUCAUGUCUGUGAAUGAAGAAGAUUCACCUUGAUGCCAUAGCGUAGCAAAUUAUUAGGAGGCAGGAUGUAUAUGUCGCAUAGUUAAAGGGGGAUUCUAAAUCCUGAAGGGUACAAAGACUUAUGCUUUGAAGCUCAUCUCCCUAUCUAAAACAAGCGAGUUAAGUUCUAUUUGGAAUUGAGAUUGAGAAACUAUAACUUAAAAACUACUGCAUUAAAAUAUUAGGUAAACACUAACUGCUAUAGUUUGGAAAUUAAAUUAAUUUGAUUUUACACUUGUAUAAUGAAAAAUCUAUUAUAUCUUUACUAAUUUUGUCAAAAUUAUUAUUUAAAAGUUAUAGUUGCUACAUAUUGUUAACUUUUAUUUCUUCGUUAUAAUUUUUUUUUUUUUACAGUAGUUGUAACUUAAAAGCCGCUGCACUUUAAUACCAAAUAAGACCGUUGUUAACCAUUUUGAUAGAGUUUGACCAUCUAAUUGACUAAUUCCCCAAAAAAAAAAAAAAGGUAUGGUGGUUACCCGAAUUUUACGUCCACUUAACAUAUAAUUUUUUAGGGGAAGAAAGGGCGGGGUGCUAAUCAAAUUUUUGGAAAAAAAGAAAAAAGAAAAAGCACAAUACUUGUCAAAUCUCUAAAUAACCCUAUUGUUAAACUUUAAUAAUACACUACAAUAAAUGUAAUGUAAAUUAAGUAAUAAAAGAUUAUAGAAAGAUCAAAGAAAUAGGGUUGUAAAUGGGAUUAUUGUGAAAGAAUAAAGAGAGGAAUUCAAGCAAUAAAUAAGAGACACGCCAUACAGCCCAUGCUGUCCUUAUCGGUGUCAAGUUCAUUCUCAUUCAACACAGAGGGUAAACAAGCAAAAAUGUAUAUAAAACACAUGCAUAUUAUUAUUACUAUUAUUAUUUGAGAAGCACAUGCAUAUUAUUUAAUUAAACGUGUUAUUUGGAACUUGUUAAAUUGUUACCUUUGUAGGUCCUUGUGGACUCCAAAUUAAUUGUACGCCUUUUCAACAGAAAAAAGUGCAUUACAUAAUUUUUUCUUUUUUUACUUUAUUUUUGGAAUUUUUUGGAAAAAGCGAUGACUCAUGAGAAGAAGAAGAAUAGUAGAACACGUGGAACAGUCCAAAAAUAUUGUGUAUAAAUAAAUAACGCGGCUUCUGAGUUUUUGACAAUUUACCAUACGUUAAUAACGCUUGAUGAAAAUGUUGCAAUCAGGUAGUGUAGAAUCACUAAUAAAUGAAAUAUGCAAUAAGAAGAGUAAAUAUUAAUAACGCACCAAUAUUACAAAUCAAUAGCUAAGGAUCAAGUGAAAUUUCACCUGCAAAUUAGGACAGCCGAGGAAGCAUCCAUAAACAUAAGAGUAAUUAUACCACUCUGAAAUUUCAUAAGAGAGAAUUAGGACAGCAGAGAAAGAAAUACACAAAGCAAUUUGCAAAGGACAGAGGCAUAAACAUAAUAGUAAUUAUAAAAUUUCAGACUGUAAGAAAAAAGUAAAAAAUGUAUAAUAUUUUUCACAUUAGUCCGACGGUUCGUCAAUGUCUUUGUAAAAAGCAAAUAUUUUCAAAGGUAAAUAACACUCUCCCAAAUGUUUAAUCAAUAAUACAAUUUUUUUUUGAAGAGAUAACUACUGAUUAUAUAUUGAUUCUUCAAAAUAAUUACACAUUUAUCAUAAUAUUAUUUAUUUAUUUUAUAAUUGAUAUAGUACUUUAAAGAUAUUUGAAAAAUUUUUAACUUGACAAUGCUCCUUAAUCAAGGGUGAAGUUUAAAUUAUGUCACAAAAAGUGCUUGAACAAUAUUGAGCAAAGCGUUUACUUGUAUAACUCGAACUGGGGAGCAAACCCUUAAGUGGCUUGACUGAGUUUGCUCCCCAGUUUAAGUCGCAGGGAAGUCGCUUUUGUUGGAAAAACUUGUGCCUCUCGAUUCGAGCGGAGACUUCUAUUCUUGGUUGUGGUACGGACUUAAAGGUGCCUCCCAUAGUUGGGACCCUCCCCAGGAUACCUCGUAGUCAAAAACCAAAAAGAAUGCAUAUGAGGGGAUAAGAAGACUGAAGGUAUGAGUUUGACUAUUAUCACAAUAAUUUCUAUUUCAUAGAUUGAAAUGUGAACAUUAGUGUAUUUUGUGGAAUUUUCUCCGUUACUUUAUAAAAUUACUACAUGUACAUGGAUGAUUGCUUGCUACUGUGAAAGGCGAAACAUUUAAUUUGGAGAAAAUUCCUUCUAGACUGGUAGCAUGGGUCAUAGUUGCCCUAUCGACGAAGUGUUAUUAGCUAAAACCUAUUGCACAUGUCAAUGCAAAAUGGCUUCAAGGUUUCGCUGUAGAACUGAUGACAAGCUUCUGAAAACAACGUGCCAUAUUGAAACACAACAACAAUAAUGGCAGCACCAAUCCAUGCAGUGUAAAAAAUGAAAUGGCCAAUAUUAGAACACGGAAGUAGAUCCAGAGACAACAGCAAGGCCCCAGAACUGGAAAGAAUUUUCUGGAUGAAGUCGAGACUUGAGGUUAGCUGAAUGUGCAUAACAAUACGUGGUUAUGGCUAUAAAAAAAGACCAUAUAUUUAUGGGCUUAGUUUUGCUUUGCACAUUGGCACCCACAAUGCCGAUGAGAGCCGGAAUCAGAUAUUCAAAAAUGUUGGGAUAUGACAUCGACUAGAGGAGAUUUCGCCCACUGCAAAAUCAUUUAAAAUGAUAAAAUCAUCUUCUGCAUAUCCCAUUUUCUUUUAAAAAAAAAUUAAAAUUAAAUAGAUCUUGUAUUAAUUCCUCUCAAUUUGUUUGUCAAUUAUUUGUUUUUGACCGACACAAUUCUUCUCUAAAAAUUUGAGGGAGCACUUUUUAUUUGCACCCAAAUGUUUCAUCAAAAUUUUAUUGUAUACACACUUGUUUCAACAGCUAUCAUAGCUCACCCUUUUCUGUUAAAUAUUGUUUUUACCAAUAAUUUUGAUAUCUUGACGUUAAAAGACAAUUGUACCGUUAGUUGAAAUUUUUAAGUAUAAAAUCACCAAAAAAACCACAACACUAGUUUCAAAUUCCAAUUGACCUGUGUGGAUAUUAAAAUUUCUUAAAGGUUAAGAAAAAAAAGGUAAAAAUGCUUUCUUAUGGGAAUCAAAAUAUCCCCUAUACCAUCAUCCAUAACCGUCUAUUCAUGAUAACAAUUUAAUAAACUUGAAAAGCAAAAAAUCCAAUCCCAGUCAAUCAAUACAGCCAAUUUUCUUCAUAAAGUUUAGCUUUUACUUUAAAAAAUGCUAACUCUUGAGACACUAAAUAAAUAUUUAAAGUUACGUGUUUCUAUAACGAAAAUCUUCAAUUUACCCCUUUAAAAGUUUGAAAACAUUAAUUUACUUCUAUUUUCCAGUCAAAAAAUUAGAAUAAAUGGAGACAAGCUGAUGACAAACUUUUUAACUUCUUAGUGGUAUUUGAUAAAUAUAAAUAAAUUGAAAAUUAUCAUUGUAAGUAGGAAUAAGUUAAAACUUUUACUCCAUAUUUAUUGUGCUUUAAGAAGAGAAAGAAAGAAAACAGAAAACAAACCUCUUUUAUAGGAGGGUUAACAAAAUUUUCAGCAAGGACUUAACCAACUUUUUUCGCGGAAAUUAAAUUAGCAGAACAAAAAUAACAUACGACUUGAGUCAAUAAUGGUAAAGAAAAUGAACGUACACAGAAAAUGAACGUACACAUAAGGGUUUGGAUUUGGUUGAUGAAGAAUGCACUGAAAGCUUUGCAUUUGCUUAUAUAUCACAGCAAACACUGGAUUGAGUUCUCUUUUCCAGGGUAAAUAAGGUAGGGAACAGCAAAGCCGAUCAAUUUGAUAAAAAAAAAAAAGGGAGGGAAGGGGGGGGGAGAGAACUGCCACAGUAAGAACAUCUCAAUCAUCUCUGCUAAAAAAAGUUAUCUCGUGGCUGGGGCAUUUAUAUUUUCAUGUGCGCUGAUGCCGGGAGUUGAAACUGAGGCGGCGAGUCCUCGAGGCCUCUGCUGCAAGAGAGGACUCUGUUAAUUUCGCAAAAAUCUGACUUGGCAAAAUCCACUCAUACAUCAUUUGUCCCUUUGUUGUGAUGUUGAUGCAGUUUCUUUAUUUUUAUUUUUGCUUUUUGUUUUGAGCUCCCAGACAAAAGAGUGUUGAAAAUGAUCGAUUAAUCGGUUCCCCAUUCAAUUUCAAGGUCGAAAGGGAUGACAAGAUGUAUAUUUAGUAUGGUUUAUUUAAUAAUUAUAAAUAUUUGUUUAAUUUUAUGAUCUCUUAUUAAAAUUUUUGUUAUUAUUUAGUUAUUUUUUACAAAAUUUUUAAAGAUUAAAUAAGAUAUUUUAUUUCUAUUAAAAAAAUUUAAAUUUUAAGAUUUUAGAUGUAGAGAUUGAAUUUUUUUUUACAUGGUAAAAUAUUUAAAAUAUUAUUUAUUUAUUUGACAAUCUUAUUUUAUUUUUUUAUAACAUAAAUUUUAAAAAAUAAUUUAUAAAAAUAAUUUCAUAAUUUUUAAUAAAUAAAUUAAUUGAUAAUUAAAUAAAUAAAUUUUUUUUAGUAAAAAUUUUAUUUAUAAGAAUCUUAUUAAUAAAAAAUUUAUUUAAAAAAAUCCUAUUUGAAAAGAUAUUCGGAUCGAAUUUAACAUCCACAUCAUACCGGUACGAGACGUAAGAGGGUUGAAAAUAACGUUAUACACUCGUCAAGGCGCACCAAUCAAGUUCGAGGGGGACAGCGCCCAAUAGCUGAACUUAAAGGGCCCCGUGGGGAACUUAGGUGGUACAGCCCCAAUCAAAAUGCGACAAAUUUAUCAAACAACAUGAUUUUUCCAACGAGGAUAUUAGUUUUGUGUUUGUCACAAAUAGGUCCCUAACUUGGUGUAAUGACUAAGAAUUAACUGAAACAAAAUAUCUUAAUUCUGUAUUUAAUUUUUAUUAAGAAUUAAUUGAAAAUUUAUGAUAUUUUCUUAAUUUUUGCCACAAUUUUUUAAUUAAUUAUAAUUUAAAAAUUUAUUAUAUUAAAUACAUAAUUAAAAGUAUUCAUAUUCCCAACAUCAAACAAUCACUAAGGGUAAAAUGGUAAGAUUAGUAAAAAAAAUUGAUACUCAAAGGGGUUUGGAUGUGUUUUUAAAAUACCAAGGGAGUUUCGGUUAGUUUUGUCAAACAAUAAGGGAGUUUUGCUCUUUUUGUUUCUUUUGUUUUUGUUGUUCAUAGUCGAUAAUGGAUUUGAAAUAGAAAAUAAUUAUAAUUUAUUUUUUCAUUCACUCUCUAAUUAAUUCAAUGGUGCUUAGCAACUUUUGUUUCAGUUUAUGAGCAAUUGGGUGAUAUUUUAUGCCAUGUUCUCUAUCGAGAUGAUGUAACUUAAAAGUUAGGAAAAAAAAGUUGUAAUUAUAAUAUUAAAUUAAUAGUUUGUAAUAAAUAUGACUUUUAAUUAAUAAUUUUGACAAAGAAGUAAUAGACUCUGACAGUAGCGGACCUACAACUGGGCAAGGCCGGGCGUUAGCCCAGUCUAGUUCCAAAAAAAAUCAUUUAUAUCGCUUAUGCUUUAAUUAAUUUUAUAUAUAAGUAUAGAUUUUUUAUUUUGUUUUCAUAUAUAUUCCUAAUUUAGUUAGCCUUAUAUUUUCAUCAAUUUCAUAUAAUAAUAGAGUUUUUAUUUUAUUUUCAAAUAUGUCCCUCAUUCAAUUAUAUAUAUUUUUUCAAUUGAAAUUAGUUACUUAUUUUAUAAAAUGAUUAAAUCAUAUGUUUAUUGAAUAGAUAGAAAACAGUAAGGGUCUAAAAUAUUAUUGGUGCUUAAAUUUAUUUUCAAAAAUUCUAAUUGAAAAAAAAAGUAUGUCAACGUAGUAAAACAUUGUCACUAGUAUUAAAAGUACUUAAAAAACAUAUAGUAACAACUAUCAACAUUUUCAUAAACUUUUUAUGUGAAUUUUGAGAUUUUAUUUAUUAUUUACAUUAUCUAAGAGGACAAGUUAGAAAAUAAAAUUUGAGUAUUUUUAGGAGUUUUUGAUAGAAAAAUCAUCAGCAUUUGGUUUUUUAGAGAGAGUCAGAGUGCUUGGCAAAGAAAUAACGACACCUAAAUACCUUUUUGCCGCUAGAUUGAGUUUAGUUUAUUAUUGAAACUUUUGACUAAUAAUAUUUUUAUAAUUUAAAAAGAUGAAUAAAUUUUAAUUUUUUAAAUUUAUUUAAGCCUAGUAAUUAAGUAUUUUUCAAAUAUAAAAGGUCUACUUAAAUUUUUUAAUUAAUUGCAAUUAUAGGUAUUGAUGAAUUUUAUCUUGAAAUUCUUAAUUGAUUUAUGUAAUUGCAUGUUAUUAUAGGUUCCACUGUUAGAUUCCAUAAACAAAAAGUAGUGCUUUAUACUAGAAUUGUCUUUUAAUUCUACCAUUUUUCUAUAAUUAUUUUUGUUUAGAGUACUGUGUUUAUAGGGUUUUUCGUUUCCCCUUUAUUUGAUGCACUUCUUUCUACCUAUGAAUAUUUAUGUCACUUCAAAAUAUAAAAUUUUUAAUUUAACCCGGAAUAACAUAAAGUCUUGGGUCCUCCCCUGGACCAUGAGCUGAAUGUGCAUAAUAAUAUACGGCUGUGGCUAUUAAAAAAAAAAAAAACCAUAUAUCUGAUGAGUGUGUUUCAAGCAAGGGCGCAGUUUGACUUGCAUAUUUGCACCAUCAAUGCCAAUUGGAGCCAAAAUGAGAUAUCCAAAUAUGUUGGAAUAUGACAUCGAGCAAAAGAGUUUUGGCCCACUGCAAAAUCAUUAAAAUGAUUAAUCUUCUUUUGUAAAUCUCAUUCACUUGGAAAAAUUUAAAUCAUUUGCUUUUGAUUGAGUUUUGUCCAUUAAUUUGAAAUUUUUGGCAAUUACUAGACUAAAAGAUAAUUUUGCCCCUCAUUUGAAUCUUUUAAGUGUUAAUAUCAUAAAACCAAUUGACUUGUGUGGAUAGAAAAUAAGAAAUAAAAGUUUUUCUAUUUUUUUCAGAAUAUCUCCAUCUACCUGACUCAAACUUGCGCCCGUCAAUUUAUAGGUGCACCCGUGCGGAUACGAAACCCGUUUGUUUUCUCAAAGGUUUAAAAAAAAAAAAAUUGAUUUGGGAUUACUUAGUCUUAUAUGAGUCGAUUACUCCAAUAACAGAUGAAUCCAAAAAUCUUCUCUACCUUUAUCUUGCUUUUUUAAAAAAUCUAAUUUUUGAGACCCCAAGGUGGCAUUUAUUUUUUAAUCUGAAAUAUAAAUAGUUCUGAAUUAGUCUAAAUUCUAAAUAAAAUUGAAUAUCUAAUUCUGAAUGAUUUAUUUUUUGUCUAAAUUGUUAAAAAUAAAUAUUAAUUUUUUUUGUAUUUUUAACUUAAAAAAUCUGAAAACUAAUAUUUUUACAUUUGUGCCUUUACGAAUUAUUAAUGUAAACAAAUAAUAAGCAUAUCAAAGAACUUAAAUAAAAUAAUAUAUUAUCAUGAGAUAAAUCAUGUUCAAUUGAAUACAACCCCUUAUAUCGUAAAUUAGUAUAUGUUAAUCAAUUUUAUUGUAGUUCAUGAUGUUUUAUAUGAAAAUAUUCAUAGGAAUAAUGAAGAUAAAUAAUGCUAAUUUGAAGAAAAUAAAAAAAUAAAAAUAAUAUUAGUCUACCACUAUGCUAUCACAAGUUAUAGAGAUUGGUAAUAAUGCUAAUUAUUAAAUUUUAUUUAAGUAAGGAUGAAAAUUAAUUAAUUAGAUAGGGAUAUUUUGGAGAAUAUCUUUUAAUGAUAUCAUUUAGAUUUUUAGAUAAAACAAAAAGUUGAAAAAAUUGGCUUAAUAACUUAAUGACUUAAUGACUAUAACUUUUAAUUAAGUUAAAGAAAACGGACUUAAUGACUUAUCUGAUUGAAAUUAAGUCAAUUAAAUCAUUAAGUCAAAAAGAAAAAAAAAAAAAAGAGCCCCUAAGUUAAGGUUGGUCAAAUGCUGCUAAAUAUAAUAACAAAAUAUUAUAAGAUACAUAUUUUCUUUUUAAUAAAUUGAAUAUAUGUAUAACCUUAAAACUAAUUCUUAGGGUUAUUUGGGAAUGUUGUAGCUUUUAAAAUAAUUAAUGUUAAUUGUGUUGUAGAAAUAAUCAGUUGUGAAGAGAAUCAGUUAAGUGUUUGAUAAAUUUUCUUUUCAGAAGUACUGUGAGUUUUAAAAGCAGUUAUGGAUGUUUGAUAAAUUUUACUAUUAAAUUGCUAUGAGAAAACAAACGACUAUAAUGUAUAUAAUGUAGAAUAAAAUUUAUUUAUACGUAUAAAAACAUGUACAUAUAAUAUUUUUAAUUGUGUAUUAUAAUAGUUUUUACUAAAAAUAAAAUUUAUAAUAUAUUGAUUUUAUUUUUAUCUUAAAACAAUUGAUAAUUAAAUUUAUAAUAUAGUGAAAUAAAUUUAAUAAUAAUUCGACUAACAAAUUGAUAUUAAUAAAUUGAUAUUGAUGAAUUAUAAUAAAAAUUUAUUAAAAUAUUAAUUCUGUUUCCAAUUUGAAUAAGGAUAAUUUUGGGUUUAGGUAAUAAUUUUAAGGAUAUUUAUGAAAUUGUAUUAAAGGAUUAAAUUGAUUCUCAAAAUCAGAAUCUAAAAGCUACUCAUUCCCUACUUUUCAAAAUCAGCUGUAAGAGGGACUGAUUUUGACAAAAGUGAUUUUAAUUUUCUGUUACACCAAACACUAAAAUUAGAUUUUAGAUUUUUAAAAUCACUUUUAAAUCCCCCAAAAGUAAAUCCAAACGGGCCCUUAAUGCUUUAUUGGAAAAAUAUGUAGUUUAUAUGUAGAUAAUAUAUAUUAUACUUAAUUGUUAGGGUUUGAAAAGGAUUGGGAAAAAAAAUGUAAAUUAAAAGGAUUGGGAAAAAAAAGUCAAUUAUGGAAGCCAUUUAUGUUUUGCAAUUGGCGAAGACAGAAAAUUUUUUUUGGGUGGGCUAAAAAUUUUUUCCAAGUCCAUAUGUGAUCUCAAUUAAAGAUAUAAAUCUUAAAAGGAAGUUUCAUUAAUACAUAAGAAAAUACAUCAUAUCUAAGAAGCAAUUAAAUUACAAUUAAACACUACUUAAGUUGUGCCUUACCAUACUUUCGGGAGUUAAACUCAUAUAUUAUCGAGUAUAGACAUCAUUACCUUUGUUAGUGAAUUUGUGAUUGAUUCUUUUAACUUCUUUUAUAGUUUUCUCUUGUUUCGAUUGCAACGAUUGAACGAGUAUAGACAUCAUUUCAAAAUCAUACUGUAUUGUUGUCCACAAAUUCUCUUUCAAUGUAGACAACAAUACAGUAUGAUUUUGAAAUGAUGUCUAUACUCGUUCAAUCGUUGCAAUCGAAACAAGAGAAAACUAUAAAAAGAAGUUAAAAGAAUCAAUCACAAAUUCACUAACAAAGGUAAUGCAACUGUCAGUCCAUCACUAUGACACAUUGAUAUUAUCCAGAAGUCAGGCAAUAAGUUUAAUUAACAAAUUAACAUUAUAUAAUAUACUGGAUCAAAUCUAUGAUCUACCUAUAUCAAUGAUCAAUUUAGCCAUUUAAAAAUUUGAAUGAUAGAAUUCAAUGGCUAAAUUAUCUUCAUUUGAUCUUACACAAUGAAAUUGGAACAACAAUUAAAGAGUAUGAUUUUUAGUCUUUAUUACCUUAUAAUUAAUAAAUAUAUUGUAAAUGAUUGAAUAAAAAUAAAUCUAUUAUCUAUUCUUACCAAGAAGAAGGCGAAGAAAAAAAAAAAUCGUGUUUGAAAUCUCGAAUGAAGUAAAUGCUCACUAUUUAAAUUUAUUUAUAUGAUGACAAAGUUGUAAAUUAAUAGAGUGGUACAAUUGUAAAUAAGAUAGUGGCAUAGUUUCAAUUUUGUAAAAUUUGGACAGGCUAUAGUCCAUCUCAGUCCACACGUAGCCUUGCCACUAGGGAUGGCAAUGGGGAGGGGAGGGGAGGGGACCAAUCUCCCCGUACCCAUCCCUGAUAUUUUGCGUAUGUCUCCGUCCCCUCCUCAUCCUUGUCAUAAUUGUUUGAGAGAAUCUUCAUCCCCUCUCCGAAUAAUAACAGGAGAUUCCCGAUGGUCCCCGAUCCCCGAAUAACUAAUACAUAUAUUUUUUUUGAGUUAAUUAUAUUAAAAUAAAAAAUUCAAACAAAAGUAAAGUUCGAAAUAUAUUUUACAUUAACAUUGAUCCAUUAUAAAAGUCACAUGCAAAAUACAAAUUAUCAAAAUAAUUAUCUUUGUCAAUCUUCAUAAUCCUACAAUAAAAAGAAAAAGAAUUUACUUUUAUAUCGACAAUAAAAUAAAUGAAAUAAAUGUAGAUACUUAAUUAAUAUUUUUAAUAAAACAAAAUUAAAAUUAAAACAAAAUUUUUGGGCUAAUAAAAUCUACCCGGCCUUUUUAAUGUCCUAAAUAAAAAUUUAAGACUUUAAUUAGUUAAUUAAGCCUAAAAGUUUAAUAAUAUGAAUAUUUUAAUAUUUGUUACUUUUACCAAUAUUUAUAAUUUUAUAAUAUAAUUCAAAUAUUAGUAUUUAUUUACUAGUAAUUUUAAAAAAUAAAAUUAAAAUUAAAAAUUAAAAAUUAAAAUAGGAAAAUAGGGAGGGGAUGGGGAUUCCACAUCAUCCCCGCCCCUUCCCUGAAUAAGAAACUGGGUAAGAAAAUUUCCUCAUCUCUUCCCUGAAUAAGAAAUUGGGUAUAGAAUUAUCUCCGUACUCUCCCCGAAUGGGAAAAAUCCCCGAGGGUACCCGUCUCCGUGGGGAUUUUUGCCAUCCCUACUUGCCACCGGUAUAAACAUGGAGAAUAGUUUAUAAAUCCACUAAGCUUAAUUAAAGUAAAAUACUUGACAUUAGGAAAUUUCCAAUAAUCUUGUUCAUCUUAACCAAAUUCUUAAAGUGAAAAGGAUUAAUGGUACCUUGUGUUAUUUUGCUUUAGUAAGAGAAAGAAGAAAAAAGAAAACAAAUCUCUUUCAUAGGGGCUUGACCAAUUUUUUGUUUCACGCAAAAAUUGACGGCCGUUAUGACCGUAAAUGCCUCUGUUAGACUUGACGGAGAAGUCUGGGGGUUUACGCGAUGGUCAUCAGCGCCUGGAAAUUUUAUGAGUUCAAUUAGUCAAAAAGGAUUGAUCUUCGCCUCAGAUGGAACGACUCACAAGUAAUUCUUUUGGCUCGUACCGUCCACGAAGCUUCAUAUUCCCACAAUGUGUUUCUUUUUUCUUUUUCUUUUUAAUAAAUUAUAAUCAGAGUUUUUGAUGGAAAAUUUUAGAAAUGACCCUUACUUUUUUCGGUUACCCGAAUAGCAAAUAAAAUAUUCCUUUUUCAAUUACACAGGUAAGGAAAUAAAUUUAUAGUCUAGUAUCUACUGUUUGUAACACAUAGCAAAUGAAAUUUUCCUUUUUUCAAUUGCACAAACAUGUAAUUGUUUUGUACAUACCUUUUCUAGCGGCUUCAAAAAGUUUCAAACCUUAUAGAAUCGGUGCCGAAGCUAAAAUCAUUUUUUUGGAUGGGUUAGAUUUUUUUUAAAAAUGAAACUUAUUUCUGAAAUUUUUUUUAUACAAACAAAAUUAAGCACACUAUAAGCAAAAAUCUAACCACAAAACUAAAAAAAAAAAAUACAAUGUAAAUAAGAAAAAUAUUAUCAAAUAUUAAAUUUAUUUUUAUUUUUUUAUAAAUAUUAAAAAGUAAAUUUAUAAAUUAUAAUUUUUUUUUCAAAAAACUGCCCGGGUUAGCCUACCUUUUAACUUUGCCUCUGUAUGGAAUGGGUCAAACUUUGGGUUAGUAUUUUAAUUAAUAAGAAGAUUACUGAUCUUGCGUGCGGUGUGCCCGAUAAACACUGUUGUAAUUGAAGAAAAAACGGUAUUGCUAUUGCUGACUCUUAUCAAAGGCCUCGAUAAAUCAACCAUUUCUUCACAUCAAACUGAGGCAUAAGAAGUAUGGAGCCUAGGUGUAGGAGAGAAAGCUAUAACAUAUAUGACACAAGAUCAAUUUGGAUAGACCUUGCUGAUCAUGUCUGUGAAUGAAGAAGAUUCACCUUGAUGCCAUAGCGGAGCAAAUUAUUAGGAGGCAAGAUGGACAUGUCACAUAGUUAAGGGGGAUUCUAAAUCCCGAAGGGUACAAAAGCCUAUGCUUUGAACCUCAAAGCAUUAGGAGGCAGGAUGGACAUGUCACAUAGUUAAGGGGGGUUCUAAAUCCUAAAGGAUACAAAAACUUAUGCUUUAGUGUCUAACACAAGCAAGUUAAAUUCUGUUUGAAAUUGAGGUUGAGAAACUGUAACUUAAAAACUAAAGCACUAAAGUGUUAGGUAAACACUAACGUUGUAGUUUGGAAGUUAAAUUAAUUUAAUUUUAUAUUUAUAUGAUGAAAAAUUUAUUAUAUCUUUAUUAAUUUAUCAAAAUUAUUAUUUAAAAGUUGUAGUUGUUACAUACUGUUAACUUUAAUUUCUUCAUUAUAGAUUUUUUUUUUUUUUUUUUUUACAACGGUUGUAUCUUAGAAGCCAUAGGACUUCAAUACCAAACAAGACUUUCAUUAACCACUUUAAUAGAGUUAGACUAUCUAAUUGACCAAUCCAAAAAAACAAAAAAGUUUGUUGGUUACCAGAAUUUUACGUUCUGUUAACAUAUAAUUUUUUAAGGUAAAAAAAGAAGGGGUGCUAAUCAAAUUUUUGGGAAAAAAAGAAAAAGAAAAAAGUGCCGUACUUAUCAAAUUUCUAAAUAACCAUGUUGUUAAAUUUAAAUCAUACACUACAAUAAAUGUGAUGUAAAUUAUGUAAUAAAAGAUUAUAGAAAGAUCAAAGAAAUAGGGUUAUAAAUGGGGACUCUACCAUGUUACAAUUGUGAUACCAUAUCACACAGUAUUUAUUUUUAUCCCAUAAAACCGUUGGAUUUAAAAGCAAGUGAUCUGACACGUGAGAGGUAGCCACGUUUGUCUCAAAACAUACCGGAAAAGUCGGUUAAGAAAAGGUAAAGUCACCGGUAGCAAAACUCACAGUUUUUGUCUUACCUCUCUCAAAAUGCACGGUGACUGUACGCAUCGCCAGCUCUCUCAAUACUCACGGUGACUGUACGCAUCGACACCUCAAAAUCUCUAAUGGAGCUUCUCUAUCCUGGCCGUCUCGUCCAACACCAAAAGACCAAGUAUCGCUGGCGCCGUCAUUUGGGUAUAAUGGGUUUCAAUUUUGAACCAAUAGAAGGAAAUUUUGUGAAAGAGAGAGGGGGAGGGGAAUUCUCAAAAAUUCGUCAGCCAUGGAAGGCUUGAUAUUCUUUUCUUAAAUCUUAAAGCAUUUCAGAUAUUUGGGUCGUUGUGAUUUUUAUUUUGUCAUGAUGAAUUUUUUUACUUUGGAUUUGUCUCAUUGAAAGGUUUAUUUUAUUUUUAUUUUUUGUGGAUCAUUGAAGUUGCUAUUUUUGGUAUUAUAAAGAUGGGUUGUUUGCAUGCAUUGCAAGAAUAUUGACCUGUUAUGCCAUGUUUGUCAAUUUCAAUGAAAUCUGAGGAAACCCAUUUGCCUGGUUUGUUCAAGGAGCCUUCAGAUUUGUGAGUCAUUGUGUAGUGGGUUUACAAAAUGGUUUGUUGUUGAAAAUGCUUUGGUUGUGACGGGUGAAAUGGUGCCGAAGAUAAGUUGGUUUGAGCACUGGAGUAAUCCUUUUUUUUUUUAAUGUAUGUAUAUAUAAAAAGGAAGAAAUAUCAAGUUUCAUAUACAGUGUUACUUGUUUUUUAUGGCUCAUACAUCGUUUACAUGCCCUCUUUUUCCUUUCAACCAGAAAAUAUCCACAGCGGCUGUAUAUUGUAUGUGGUUCUUUAGCCAACAACAAUAUGUUAGUUUGAUCAUGGAAGUAUAAAUUGAAAAGUGGCAUAAUAUUUUUGUUUUAACCUUUAAUUACCACUUUUCAGUGAGGUGUCUAUUUUGCUUGCUCGUUCAUUUUUUUAUGGGAUUUCGUGUUUGAUCUAGUUUGACAUGCAUUAUAUACAAUUAUCAAUUUUACCAUGAUUAGAGUUUCAUAAAUUUCUUGAAGUGUUUUGUGUUAGGAUCGGUUUAGAAGUGUUAAUUUGUGAUAGACAGCACAUGCAUGAGCCACGAAGAAUGCAUGAGCCACGAAGAAUGCAUGAGCCACGAAGAUCUGGAAGAAUGCCAAAGCCAAAUCCUAAGUUUGGUACGUGAGGGCAUGAGUCCCAUGCAAGCCAUGCAUGAAACAUGCAUGUGCUGAGAUCGUGAAGAUACGUGCUGGGGCUGGAGCCGUGAUCUAGGAAUACGCUUAUCAACGAUUGUGCAGCGAGUAAGGAGGGAAGAUAAGACACGGAAGUUGUUUUCGAUUAUCUUUCGGUUUCGAAUUCUUAGCUAAGUUGUUAUACUCGUUUAUUUAGCCGUAAUUGUAGGAUGGAAACCAAAGUCUUGUUAUUAUAAAUAAGCUCCAGAAUAUGAAUAAAAGUAUUGAGAAUUCUAAACAAUAAUUAUUUGGUCCUUUCUCGCCAUAAGCAGAAAAAUAUCACUUGUGUUACGCGUGAUCAUUGGCUGUCUCUGACUGGGACCUAUCAAUUGGUAUCAGAGCGGGUUAACAAUGAUGACCAACAAAGAAUGUAUUGAGCGAAUUGAAGUUGAUCUGAAAAGCAUGGAGAGCCGAAUGGAACGCAUGGAGAUUGGGAUCAAUGACAAGCUUCAGCGAUUAGAAGACACCAUCAGCAAAUUAGCAGAAGCUUUCAAUGCAUCCAAAGACACCACUAGCCACGGCACCAACGAAACCAUUGGUUCACCGCAGCCAAUUCGAGAAGAAAGUGAAGGAGUAGUGAAGCUGCACGGUAUGCCCAAGUCAAUCAUCAGCGAUCGUGACCCCAUAUUCAUCAGCAAAUUUUGGCAAGAGUUCUUUAAUUUAUCAGGCACCAAACUCAAAAUGAGCUCGGCGUACCACCCACAAACCGACGGCCAAACGGAGGUAAUUAAUCGAUGCUUGGAACAGUACUUGAGAUGUUUUGUUCACCAGUGGCCGCGAAAGUGGCACUCUUUUUUACCGUGGGCAGAAUUUUGGUACAACACCACAUUCCACGUCUCCACCGGAAUGACUCCAUUCCAAGCUUUGUAUGGAAGACCACCUCCAGCCGUGCCCAUGUAUCAACUUGGUUCCUCGCCGGUGCAUGAGGUUGAUCAAGCCUUACAUUCGCGUGAUGAACUGCUCUUACAAUUAAAGAAAAACUUAGCCACAACAGCUAACAGGAUGAAGCAAACAGCUGACAAGGGUCGCCGCGACGUUGAGUUCACAUAGGGAGAUAUGGUGUUAUUAAAGUUGCAGCCCUAUCGGCAGACUUCAGUGUUCAGAAGGGCACAUCAGAAAUUAGUUUGCAGGUACUUUGGGCCGUAUUUAGUUCUUCGCAAAGUUGGAGCCGUUGCCUACGAACUACAAUUACCAGAGAAUGCUCGAAUUCACCCGGUGUUUCACGUCUCUUUGCUUAAGAAAGCCGUGGGCGAUUUCCUUAGCAACAGCGUCGAUUUACCACCUGUGGAUGAUGAAGGCUCGGUGAUCAUGGACCCUGAAGCUAUCCUUGACACACGUUGGGUGAAGAGAGGAGGUAAAGUGAUUGAGCAGAAUCUAGUCCGUUGGAAAAAAAUGCCGGCUGAAGAAGCAACAUGAGAGGACACCACAAUGUUGCACCAACAGUUUCCCAAUCUGACCCUUGAGGACAAGGGUAUUCUUCGAGGGUGGGGCAAUGAUAGACAGCACGUGCAUGAGCCACGAAGAUCUGGAAGAAUGCCAAAGCCAAAUCCUAAGUUUGGUACGUGAGGGCAUGAGUCCCAUGCAAGCCAUGCAUGAAACAUGCAUGUGCUGAGAUCGUGAAGAUACGUGCUAGGGAUGGAGCCGUGAUCUAGGAAUACGCUUAUCAACGAUUGUGCAGCGAGUAAGGAGGGAAGAUAAGACACGGAAGUUGUUUUCGAUUAUCUUUCGGUUUCGAAUUCUUAGCUAAGUUGUUAUACUCGUUUAUUUAGCCGUAAUUGUAGGAUGGAAACCAAAGUCUUGUUAUUAUAAAUAAGCUCCAGAAUAUGAAUAAAAGUAUUGAGAAUUAUAAACAAUAAUUAUUUGGUCCUUUCUCACCAUAAGCAGAAAAAUAUCACUUGUGUUACGCGUGAUCAUUGGCUGUCUCUGACUGGGACCUAUCAAUUUGUGAAACUUAGAAAAUUUAUUUAUACAAUGCUCUAUAUUCUCUCUUUAUAAUUUGUGAAGAAACAGAAAAAAGAGGGAAGUCGUGUUUGUAUUCUCUGAAAAAGAAAACAACCUGAUCCCACCCUGACCUACCCCCAUCGGCAGCAGUAUGGACCUAUAAAGUUCAUCCAACUACUUCGAUAGAAUUGUUAUUGAACCCUUGAUUGACAUGUUUGACUUUCUGGGUAUUUGUAUUUUUCUAGUUUUUUUUUCUUCUUAUUUGUGCAUUUCUCAUUUAAUAGAAUGCAAGAAUGAUGAUUUUUUUUUCAGGGGCUUGAUAGUGAGCAUCAGCAAAAUCAAGUUACGUAGUUGAAUCAAAGAUAUCGCAGCUAUUGGUUAGCUGGGAGCUGUUUUUAUCUAACCGGCCUGGAAGCUCAUAAUCCAAAUCCAUUACGAUUCAUUGUUUUUAUCUACAUGUGGAUUAAUACAUCGGAGCAUCAGUUAGUUGCUGUAAAUUAGUUUAUGAAUUAUUUAUUGAUUGGUGGAACAAUAUCUAAAUGAAACUUUUGACAAAGACACUCUUCUCAGUAUCUAAAUGCAACUUUAUCUAAACAAUAUAAACAGACACGUUAGUAACUUCUCCAAUUAACUCCACUGCAUGUAUCUUGUCCAUCUUCAACCCUGAAUGCUUAAGUUCACAGAGAUCUUCGAACUUUUGACAGGCAAUGCCGCCCUCAAAACAAACCCCAACCUAUACGCAUGUAAAUAUAUUUGGAUUUAUCAUCUGUAUACAGCAAAACAGAUUUUGCACCAAAAUUGAUAAGUAAAUUUUAUAUAUACUAGCAUCAUGAAUCAAAAAGCAAAGGAAAAUAAGCCAAUAUCAUUUAUUUGUGGGUGUGUGUGUGUGUAAUAGUUUACCAAAUGAAAGCACCAUUAGUAAAUUUGAAAAAGAAAAAAAGGAAAAAGGAAUUUCAUGCAAGAAUUGGAAUCCAAAAUGUAAUGGCUCAGUCAGUCUGGAGUCAUUUUAUUGUCGGUGUUGUAUAGUGCCAUAUUAAAGAACAAAGCACUAGUAAGAGAAAAAAGCAUCCCUCACACAACAAACUCCAUUUGUCAUGUUCUAUAGUUCCCCACCCAUUUAAACAACACAUAAAUUGAUAUAAUAAACUUAAAACUUACCUUAAAGAGUAAAAUCUGCACUUAAACUCCACCUACCUGAAGUCCCUAUCAUCAUAGAGAGAUUUAACUGAUAUUGGUUCCAUUAUGUUUGCACAAAGAAUUGCUUUUGUACAUUUAACUUGCUUCUUCAGUUCAGCUGUAGCCUUGGCAAACUUCCUCAAGUCUCCCCAUUAUCAAUUUGUUUAUUGAGCUCAUCUGCAAAGUAUUCAAGCAACAAUAAUCCAUGUUCUGACUGCCAAGUUCUGCAUCUCAUCUAAUAUCCUUAACCUGCAAAAUUGUCAAAUAUCAACUAGCGUCUAAAAGUAAUUAGAUAUGUAAAACAUAACAAGUGGCACAUAAAGAUUGUAUAGAGCACAGAUGAAGUGAAGAAAAAAUAAUGCUACGGGAAUAAUGACCACUCAACUGAUAUUGCAUGCUUAUAUCGCAAAAUUAUUUAGUCACAGAGUACUACAAAUACUGACAAAUAGCUUAUGGAUCCAUCAUACUGGCUAUCAAAUACUAUUGUGCUAACUAUGUUAUCAUCGGCUUCCAAUGCAUGAUUGCAGCUCUUUAAAUCACUAGAUUUCCGCUUACGAGCCCCCGCUGGCCUCAUUCCUGUAAUGAAAUUACAAAAUCAUUUAUCGUUUCCAAUCUCACAUUCUCUGAAUCUAAUAAAUAAACAUACUGUUCUUGCAAGCUAAUUACAAGUUUUAAAUCUUUUAAAAUAAAUAAUAAUAAGUACGGGUUUUAAUAAGGAAUUAACUACUGCAUCGGUUGAUUCGAUCCGCACAAGAACAGAUCAAAGCGACCCGAAAUUUACUCUGAUUUGAUAUAUACCUUAACUUUCAGCACUGCUUAACUUUCGAUUGUACUUUGCAGCGACGAUUAUAAUUUCACCGUCAAUUGCCCAAAAGUGAAAGGUCAUAUUCGUGUUCUAAUCACCAGAAGUUUUUAAAUCCCACAAAAUUGCAAUCCUCCAAUUCUAAUUUUAUUUCUUAAUUAUUGUCUCGAGAUCAAUUUUGUGCUGAAAUCAGUGAAACUCUAAUCAGUUCUAAGAAAUUUCCGGAACCCGCGCUCACUGAGCUGUUAUUAUAUUAAUACUCAACCGGCUGCAACGGUUGCUAGUCACUGCAUCAAUUAUCCAAUAUUUAAUUUCAGCCGUUAUAUCGAACAAGGAAACAUCCAACGACUUUGUUGAAUGAGGGCAAAAACUGUGAUAUGGUACCACAAUUGUAACGUAGACAGACCCUAUAAAUGGGGUUAUUGUGAAAGAAUAUAGAGGGAGGAAUUCAAGCAAUAAAUAAGAGACACGCCAUACAGCCCAUACCGUCCUUUUCUGUCAAGUUCAUCAUUCUCAUUGGACACAGAGGGUAAAGAAGCAAAAAUGUAUGUAAGACACAUGCAUAUUAUUUAAUUAAACGUGUUAUUUGGCACUUGUUAAAUUGUUCCCUUUGUAGGUCAUUGUGGACUCCAAAUUAAUUGUACGCCUUUUAAACAGAAAUAAGUGCAUUACAUAUUUUUUUUAUCUUUUUUUACUUUAUUUUUGGAUUUUUUUUUUUGGAAAAAGCGAUGACUCAUGAGAAGAGGAAGAAGAAGAAUAGUAGAACACAUGUAAUAUCAGUUCUUUUUUUUUUUACUUUUUACUUCUUUCUUUGAAUUUUUUUUUUUAAAUUUUUAUCAUCCAUUUUGUGUCAUUGGAGUCCAAAAAUAUUGUGCAUAUAUAAAUAAUGCGGCUUCUGAGUUUAUGACAAUUUACCAUGCGUUAAUAACGCUUGAUGAAAAUGUUGCAAUCAGGAUUAUUCUUUUAUUUUGUCAAGUUACACUGUUCAAUGUUCUCACUGUAAGGUUGACUUCAAGGGAUGAAAUCGUUUAGAUUAAAAAUAAAAAUAAAGGAAAUUCAUUCUCUUCAAUUUUUUAUUUUAUUUGUACUAAUGUUACAAAUAAAAUAUCAAAUAAUUAUUGAAAUUAGUCUAUAUUAACUCAUAUACUAGGAAUGUCUAUCUACUUACAUUUUGUAAGGAAAAAGACUCUCCACUUAAUGUAUUUUUCGAGUGCCUGGCUACCUUAUUCCUAUGUGCUUCAGUGGGAUGCAAUAACUUUUGCUGAUAGCCUAAUAGGCCCUACAAAUCAUAAUUUAGCAUAGAGAAAUGUUGUUACAUGUUUGUUGGGAUGAUAAAAAAGUCCGGGCCAACUCUGUUCAUUUCUGUGGACUUUUGCUGGAAUUUCCCACGUGAGGGCUUGGACAAGGGUUAAAGGAAAAAAACUUAGACUAGGUCUAAUCCCUUUAUUUUAAAAAAUAUAUAAAAAUUAAAAUAAAAAUAAAAAAUGGAAAAAUGAAAAAAGAAGGCUUAAAUUCCAAAUUCAUUUAUUGAUAACGAUAAACAAAAAUUUAAAAUUAUAAUACUAAAUUUUUUUUAAGUGUUAAUUAAUUAAGAGAGUACUUGAAUUAGAAAAUUAAAUACUAGAAAAUUAAAUCUCUAAAUUUUUAUUUGCUUUAUUUAAUAUUUUAUUUUGAAAUAUUUAUUUUCUUUAAUUCAUUGUUGAUUAUAACAACUUGAUUAUUAUUAACUCAUUUUAAGUUUACAACAAUUUAAAAAAUUUUGAAAAAAAAAAGUGAAAGCCCAAGCCCGACCCAGCUCCGUAUGGGCUCGGCCCUUACAUUUCCACUCUAAUGGCCUUGGGCUUGGGCUUGAAAAAACCGAACAUGCUCACAUUUUGCUAUCCUUGCCUGCAUGUAAGUUCAAAGUUGCAAAUUGAUGAAGUGGAAAUAUAGAAGAUUGAUAGAUUAGAGAAACUAAGUUUCUUAAUAAUAAAAUUUUAUUAGAAAAGUCUAAAUGAAUAAAACGAUAGCCUACCCCUUUUAUACUAAUCCCAAACAUCGAGAAUUUAUCAAAAUAGUAAAAUUCAAAAUAUUGUUUUAUAAUAAAAUUCUCCUAAUCUAAAUAAGAAAAACAAAACAAACGACACCCAAUUUUAAUAUCUAAAAAAAUAAAAUUCUAAAAAUAAUAUAAAAUAACUUAAAACUGUAAAAAGACCAAAAAAAGAAAUAGAAUUUUUUACUUAAUUAUGGAGCAAGACAAGGCAAGCAUUCUAAGUUUGAUUAGUCUCGUCGUAACUUUUGAAAUGAUAUAUUAUAUGCCUAAAAUGAACAUAUAAAGCCCAAGUUAUAACUCCUAAAAGAUACCUCCUUCAUGAUGAUCCUACGCAACUAUCUCACGUCGAAAAUGAAUGCAAAAGUUACAUUUCAAAUUAAAUUCAAAACAAUCAAUUCAAGCAUUAAUGCCGUGUUUUUUUUAACCAAAAUACUCUCUAAGGAUUUUAUAAAUUGCUUUCUAAUUUUAUUUUGCAAAACACACCAAAUCAAAGUGAUUUUUCUCUUUUCUCUCAAACAAUUUCAACAUUUGGUAAUAGAGCUGAUGACAGGCAUUAGUAAACAAUGUGCAAUAGUAAUGCACAACAAUAUAGAAAAGCAAAUUGGUAAAGUGUAAACUAUGAAAUGAUAAAAUAGAGCCUUUUUUUUUUAAGAUCACAUGUUAAGUUAUUGGCGUAUUUUGUCGGGAUCAUAUACUUUUUUAGAUCUACGUGCUUUUGGUCAAAUUUAGCAUAAUUAAAAGUUCAAAACUGAAGUUCAUAUUCAAUAAUAAUAAACUAAUAAUAAUAGAUAAUGUAAUACUGACUAUUAAUUUAGAUCCUACGAUAUUAAAUUUUUUUUAAUACUUAAUAAAAAUAACAACAAUAAUAAUUUUUUUUAAGGGUUAACUUAAUUGUUAACUUAGACUUACAUUGAGUCAUAAAUCAUAGUUUAUAACAACAUUAAUGCAUAUAUUCAUAAAAAUCAUGAUAUUUAUAAUUUAUUUAUUAAAAUCAUGAUAUCACCUAUUCAUUUAACAAAUUAUAAACAUAAAACAAUUAGAUUUUUUUUAAGAUUAAGAAUUAAAUGAAUCUAAAAAACUUAAGCUAAUAAAAUGCAUUAAAGAUUCAAAUUCAAAUUAUUUGCAAAAUUAUAAUUAUUCGUAAAAUUAUAAAAUUUUAAGUUUACUUUCAUUAAAAAGCUUUUACCUUAAUAUACUUUGACUCGCAUGCUAUUGAUAACGCAUAAGCCACGUGCUAAUCGUCCAGUGAAACAUUUUUAUUGAUGUCCUUUUCACGUGCUGUGUUUUAGCCUAUUUUUAAGCAUAUCAUGCUUUUAAGAUCCACUUGCCUAAAAUUCUCAACUCAGCCCAGCACUCGUGCAUGCCAUGCCUUGUCGCUUACCCUACCAAAACGUCCUUGUGCCGUACCAUGCUGAACGGAUAUGUGUCGUGCAUGUGUCGUUCCACCUGUCACCUGGUCCAUUAGUCAUCUCUAGAAAACACCAUAUAUUUAUUGAGUGUGUUGCAAGCAUUGUGUCGCAAGUUGCUCAAAUUUCCCCUAAACGGAGGCUAAAUUAGCGCGCACGAGUACGGUCAGUAAAAGUCUGCCCAAUAAUGGGAUGCACUCAACAGUAAGGUGCGCUGAGCGAUGGGCUGCCUCAUAUAACUAGUGAGUUAUGGUGCACUUAGUAAGUGAAUAGCCCAUAAUCAACAAGCCUAACUCGAUUUUUAGAUUUCUCUACACCUUGUAAAUGGCUAGAUUUUUAGGCAAGUUGCAUGAACUCUCUAUAAAAUAGGGGUGAGCACCCACUAUUUGCUCACCACCACACCACACACACAGCACCUAGCAACUCAAAAACUCUCGUAAAAAUCUCUCUUAUAAUUUCUCUUUUGUGAGCAAUAAAAUAUUCUUUAGCCAUAUUGCUCUCUUCUCUCUAGCAGUAUUGCAAACAUCCUUACUUGGCUAGUUUGAGAAGCUCUUUAGGCUUACUUAACAACUUUUGUACUAGAAGUUAUGUAAGUACUGCACGGGAUUGUUGCGCAAAAUAGUCAUCUCGUGACAACCGGCUUAGUUUUGCUUUGCACAUUUACGCCCACAAUAAUAAAAGCCAAAAUAAGAUAUAAAAAAAUGUUGGGAUUUGACAUCAAGUAGAAGAGGUUUUGCCCACUCCAAAAUCAUCAAAAUGAUUAAUUAUCUUCUAUAUAACCUGAUGAUUUUUUUAACCUUUGAGAAAGCAACCACAGAGGUGGAACAAACUUCUACUCAUGGGGACUUGACAUACGGUUAAUGAAGAAGGGUAAUUUCGUAAAAUUCCAAUCAAAAUUAGAAAAAAGGCAAGCCAUAUUCAAAAGUCAAUCUUGAUCAAACAAACGGCAGGAGGGACAUCUGUAAUUACGGCAUUUUCGAGGAAUUGUUUCUAAAACUAACUAAAACGGGAAAAUGGAAAGGGACAAACACGAAAGCUCAUAGUUUGCUUGGUUGGGCUAUGUUCUGCUAGUAGGAGAGACAGACUGUAGAAAGGGUUUCUUUUCUCUUUUUUUUUUUUUUCUAAACUCUUUUUUUUUUCAAAUAGACAUAUAGCCACGUGUUGUCUCAUAUAAAAAAUAAUACUUUAUAUAAGUCCUAGGUCAGUUGGGCUGGAAAACAUUUAAAAUCGAACAUAUCAGGCACGUUGUAAGUUCGCAAUUGGAGAAUCAUGUUGUCAGCCCCGCAACCCCCAAAUGGGAACUUUAGAUAGAAAAAUAUAGCGUCGCAACGAUAAUAUUUAUUAAUAAUAAAUUUUCUUAUUACAAUUGUUCUUGUCAAAAACUCUUUGAUGGUAUUUCAUGUGUUGAAAAAAAUGUAAAAUAGUUUCAUUAUCAAUACAAUUAAAAACAUAUUUUUUUAAUAUAUACAACUAAAUUAUCACUUGAUUUGUUUUAAUAUAAUGCAACAUGAAGAACAAAUAUGAAUACACAUACAUUAGGGAAUGGCAAUGGGAAGAAUAGGGGAGGGGACCGAUAUCUCCAUACCCAUUUUCAAUAUUUUGUAUAUGUCCUCAUCUGCUCUCCAUCCCAUCAGAAUUACUUGAAAAAAUUUUCAUCCUCUCUCCAAAUAAUAAGAGGGGAUCCCUGAAAGUCUCCGAUCUCCAAGUAAUUAAUACAUUUUUAAUUUUUAAUUUUAAUUAAUUAUAUUAAAAUAAAAUUUUAAUAAAAGUAGAAUUAAGGCGGUAGCUAGCUACCAUAGAAAAUUAGAAAUUAGGUUUUAUGAUGUUGCCUUAACUUUUGUUUUAGUAGAUAAACGUUUAAAAUAUGUAACGAAUAUUAUAAAUAAAUAAAAUUGAGCCAACAAGAUCCUGUUUGGCUUUUUUUAUGUCCUGAAUAGAUGUUUAAGAUUAUAGCUAGUUAAGUAGGCUCAUUAAAGCAUCUGACAAAUUGUUACAUAAAACCAGGAUAAUUAGAGUGCGAAUCAAAUAACCCAAAUUAUAGAUUCCCUAAUCAAACAAACAUAACAAAAAAAAUUUUGAAAUACAAUUUUUUUUUUUUUAUCAGAAAUGCGCAUUGGCACCAAAUAAAAUUGAGCAAGAGCUAAUGGUGUCCUACAAGUUGACAUGGUCUACCUUUAGCAAGAUUCAAAUAAGAAGGACCACAGUAAACAUAAGAGGAAGUAAUUUAACUUUAUAUAUAAAUCCUACAAUUUAGUUGCAAGUAAAAUAACUCCAAUCUGAAACAUCAAAUGUAUAAGAUUCGUAAGUAAAAAUAGGUUACACGAUUAGUUAUUACCUGGAUUACGUUGUAUAUAUUACAUGGUAUACCUAAUCAGACAAAUAACGUGGACAUGAAGUGAAUAACUUAAUUUGAAUCUUGCUAUUUUAUUUUAUAAUUUUAAACUAAUUAAUUCAUGCACACACAUUAUGUAUGCAUUAAGUGGAUACAAUACAACAGAAGUAUUCUACAAUCUCUUAUAUGAAAGUUCUUAAUUCAUGUACUCUUUUUAGAAUUGACCUUUUCAUAAUAUUAUUUGUGAAGUAUAUUUUCAAACUAAUUUCAGAAUAAUUUUAAAUUAUUGUAUAAGUCUAUGUAUCUAAAGUUUCAAUAAACCCCGCGGAAUUAUAAUAUUUAAUUCAUUUUUUUUUCCUCUAUUGAUAACAUCAUUAUCACUUUCAUAGAGUUUCAAUAAGCCCAGCCGAAUAACCUUUUGUCAACGUCACUGCAUAUGCCCCACCUUCUCCCUCUCGACUCUCUCAAGACACUCCAAAAAAUACUCUAAAGUCCAACAACAUUUUACAAUCUCUCUCGAUUUUUCUCGCUUCAGUUUACCAUCCUCAAACACGAACACGAACACGAACAUGAAUUAAGUUAAUUAGUUUAUGGAACACAAACUCAUCGUCAGCAUCAUAUCCUAAUUGAAAAAGAAGGAUUGCGAGGGAAACUAAGCAUGUGCCUUCAUUUUCACUUGAAAUAAAGCGCGAUGGAAAGAUCUCAUGUUAUCACAUGAUCCCGUGUAAUCACCUAGAAGCCCUUCCACGCACAUUUCUUCUCAAAUUGUCUUCUUCUAAUUUCUUGGGCCAUCGCGGAACCACAAUGUCAAUGCGAGGAUGAGCGAGUGCUGUUCAGCUCGCAGCAUUUGGAGCCGGAGCUCGGCUUCCCUUAUUUGUUGGUCGUUUGGUAGGCGUCGCCAAAAGGCAAAGAGCAUCCUCUGGCGUUCGUGGAGUUGGUCCUCGAUGCGAUCGAUUUCUUCUCCAAGUUGAGCAAGCCUUUGUGCCAUAGCCAUACAAUUAUUUACUUUCGAUCGAGCACUUUUCGUCUGCACCCAAAUGUUUCAUUAAUAUUUUGAAGUAUACACACCUGUUUCAACAACUAUCCGGAUCACGUUAAAAGACAAUUUUACCCUCACUUGAAGUGUAAAAUAACUAACUUGAAGUGUAAAAUAACUAAAAAAGCCACAACACUAGUUUUAAAUUCUAAUUGACCUGGGUGAAUAUUAAAAUUUCUUAAAGGUUAAAAAAAAAAGUAAAAAUGUUUUGUUAUGGGAAUUGAAAUAUCCCCUAUAUCUUCAUCCAUAAUCAUCUAUCCAUGAUAACAAUUUAAUAAACUUGAAAAAGCAAGAUAUCCAAUCCCAAUGAAUCAAACAACCAAUUUUCUUCAUAAAGUUUAGCUUUUGCUUUUAAAAAUUCUAACUCUUGAGACCUUAAAUAAACUCAUAUUCAAAUUUACAUUUUCUAUAAUGAAAAUCUUCAAUUUACCCUUUUAAUAUUUUGAAAAACAGGUCCAACUACAAUAUAAUUGUGGUUUCAUACCUAUUUUUUUUUAUCUUUUUGUGAUCCAACCCAAGAGUUGCAAAGGCUAUUCCAACGGUUUGGAUGUUAUUAUUUGAUUAUUAACAAUAUGGUCUCUUAUGUUUACUAAAAGAAUAAAAAAAGAUUAAGUUUCAAAAUUUUGACCCAUUAGUCCGUUAAAUAUUUUAUUAUCAAAGGUAAUUUAGUAAAUGAACAUAUUUAUAUAUUAAAAAUAUGGAUGAAUUAUUUUAACUUGCUAAAAUACUCUCAAAUUCCAUUUACUUAAAAUAUGAAUUAGAUUUUUAUAAUACUAUUUUGUAUUUAGUGUAACACAAAAUUAGACAAGGUUUUAUAUAAAUUUUGACAAUAUUAAAAUGAAAAAUUAAUAAAUAUUAAAUAAAUGCUUGGAUAGUCAUUUAAAUUCAUUAUAGAGUUUAUAAAUAAUAUUUUCAAAAUAAUAAAUUUCUAUAUGUAAAUUUGAAAUUAUGUAAAAUUACUUAGACUUUAUCACACAUAUGAAGCUGAUCAAUUAUUUAUUUAAUAUGAAAACAAAUGAAUUGUAUAAUAUUUAUUCUAUUACUUAAAUUUAAAAUUUGUUGAGAAGGAGAUAGAGGGAAUAAUUUUUUUUAGAAUUUUAAAAUUAUUAUAUUUUAAUUGAGUUUAUUACAUAAAAUUAUUAAAACUUUAGUUUUUAUUAUUUGUAUAAAACAAUAGGAAUUGUUGAAGAAAAUCCCAAAUAAAUUUUUUAGAAUUUUGUAAUUAUUAUAUUUUAAUUGGGGCUUAUUGUAUAAAAUUUUUAAAACUUAUAAUUUUUUAUUAUUUACAAAAAAUUACAGGGACUGCUAAAGUAAAUACCAAAAUGGUGUUUGGUACAACGGGGUAAGAUAGUUUUACCCUUGAAAAACAUUAAUUUACUUCCAUUUAUCAGUCAAAAGACUAAAAUAAAUGGAGACAUGUGGACGAGAAACUUUUUAACUUUUUAGUGGUAUUUGAUAAAUAUAAAUAAAUUGAAAAUUCUCGUUUUUACUUUUUAUUGGGCAUAAGUUAAAAAUCUUACUCUCUAUUUAUUAUGCUUUAACAAGAGAAAGAAAGAAAACAGAAAACAAAUCUCUUCUAUAGCAGACUUAACAAAAAUUUCAGCUGAGACUUAAACCGACUUUUUCAAGGAAAUGAAAUUAGGAGAACAAAAACACUUUGAAGUGGACUGCAUAUAUAUACUCAAAAAUAACAUACAACUUGAGUCAGUAAUGGUAAAGAAAACGAACGUACACAGACGGGUUUGGAUUUAGAUGAUGAAGAAUGCACUGAAAGCUUUGCAUUUGAGUUCUCUUUUUCGGGUGAGUAAGUUAGGGAACUGCAAGGCCGAUCAAUUUGAAAAAAGAAAAAAGAAAAAAACUAAAAUGUAAACGCAGCUUGAACUUGAUUUCUUUUGGUUUUUGGGGAGGGGACGGGGGGAGGGGAGGGAAUGUAUACGCAGCUUCAAACUUGGUUUCUUUUCGUUUUUUUCCCCGGGGGUGUGGAGGCCUGGAGGGAAUGUAAACGAACUAACGAAGCCUCAAUCCUCAUGCAGCUGUAUUUAUAUGAAGUGGGUACUGCUGACUGAUCCACGAAGGAAGACUUUUGAUGUCAUUGGUGUUUCUUUAUUUUUGACCUUUUAGCUAGAUGACAGAAGAAUGCCGAGUGCUACGGACACUCGCGAGUGUCUCAAUCGCGGCUCUCUAUAUAGACACGUGUCUAUCAAAAUGAAACCUUAUCAGAGAGACAGCCGCAAGUAUGACGAGACAAGCGCGAUCGUAAGGAUGGAAGCCGCAAGUAUGAAGAGACAGGCCCAAUCCACAACGAUCCAAGAGCAAUCAUUACCUGCAAACUCAACACAACACCUAAUUAACUUCAAACCCCACCAUAAAUCCACCAACAGUCACUAUUCGAAACAAAUCUACCUCAAAUGCGACGUCAAAUAAAAGGAAUAAAAAGGUUUCCUUAAAAGAGAGAGAGCUGCGAGUAUGAAGAGACAAGCACGGUCCACAACGAUCGAAGGCUGUGUGGUAUGUGUCUUGUAUAGAUUGAACAGAGCAAUCAUUACCUGCAAAACUGAACCAAACACUCAAUUAACAAACAAAUUUCAAUUUGAAACCCGACCUUAAAUCCACCAUUGGGCACUAUUCGACACAAAUCUACUUGAAAUCCGACAACAAAUAAAAGGAAAAAAAAUUCUAAAUCAACAUCGAAAUGAAACCUUUAUAAGAGAGAAAGCCGCAAGUACGAAGAGAUCUGAAGUCCUGUUGGUAUAUGUCUUGUAUAGAUUGACAGAGCAAUCAAAGGCCGUGUCGACCAGAGCAAUCGCAGAAUAGAAGAGAUAAGAGAGGAAAAAAGAAGGAAGAGGAGAGCUGCAGCAGCAAAUGAUCAGAGCAAUCAUUACCUGCAAAACUCAACACAACACCAAAUUAACAACCAACAUUUCAAUUUCAAACUUAACCUUAAAUUGAAACAAAUCUACUUGAAAAUAAAAGAAUAAGCAACUCCGAAUCAAAAUCGAAAUGAAACCUUUUAUAACAGAGACAGCCGCGAGUAUGAAGAGACAGGCACAAUCUGCAGCGAUCGAAGAGAAAUCACCACUACCUGCAAAACUCAACACAACGCCUGAUUAACAACAAACAUGCCAAUUUCAAACCCACCUUAAAUCCACCAACAGACACUAUAACUUGAAAUGCAAUAUCAAAUAAAAGGAACAAGUAGUCUAAAUCAAAAUCAAAACGAAACCUUAUAAAAGAGACAGCCGCAAGUCUGAAGAGACCAGCACGAUCCUAAAGGAUCAAAGCCGCAAGUAUGAACAGACCUGAUUAACAACAAACACCUGAUUACCUGCAAAACUCAACACAACACCUGAUUAUCAACAAACAUUUCAAUUUCAAACCCAAAACAAAUCUACUUGAAAAAAAAAAAAAAACAACUCCAAAUCAAAAUCGAAAUGAAACCUUAUUAGAAAGACAGCCGCAAGUAUGACGAGACAAGCACGAUCGUAAAGGAUGGGAGCCGCAAGUAUGAAGAGACAGGCCCAAUCCACAACGAUCCAAGAGCAAUCAUUACCUGCAAACUCAACACAACACCUAAUUAACUUCAAACCCCACCAUAAAUCCACCAACAGUCACUAUUUGAAACAAAUCUACCUCAAAUGCGACAUCAAAUAAAAGGAAUAAAAAGGUUUCCUUAAAAAAGAGUCCACAACGAUCGAAGGCUGUGUUGUAUGUGUCUUGUAUAGAUUGAACAGAGCAAUCAUUACCUGCAAAACUGAACCAAACACUCAAUUAACAAACAAAUUUCAAUUUGAAACCCGACCUUAAAUCCACCAUCGGGAACUAUUCGACACAAAUCUACUUGAAAUCCGACAACAAAUAAAAGGAAAAACAAGUCUAAAUCAACAUCGAAAUGAAACCUUUGUAAGAGAGAAAGCCGCAAGUAUGAAGAGAUCUGAAGUCCUGUUGGUAUAUGUCUUGUAUAGAUUGACAGAGCAAUCAAAGGCCGUGUCGACCAGAGCAAUCGAAGAGUAGAAGAGAUAAGAGAGGAAAAAAGAAGAAGAGGAGAGCUUCAGCAGCAAAUGAUCAGAGCAAUCAUUACCUGCAAAACUCAACACAACACCAAAUUAACAACCAACAUUUCAAUUUCAAACCCAACCUUAAAUUGAAACAAAUCUACUUGAAAAAUAAAGGAAAAAGCAACUCCAAAUCAAAAUCGAAAUGAAACCUUUUAAAACAGAGACAGCCGCGAGUAUGAAGAGACAGGCACAAUCCGCAGCGAUCGAAGAGAAAUCAUCACUACCUGCAAAACUCAACACAACGCCUGAUUAACAACAAACAUGCCAAUUUCAAACCCAACCUUAAAUCCACCAACAGACAGACACUAUAACUUGAAAUGCAAUAUCAAAUAAAAGGAAAAACAAGUCUAAGUCAACAUCGAAAUGAAACCUUUAUAAGAUAGAAAGCCGCAAGUACGAAGAGAGAAGCGCGAUCCUAAAAGAUCUGAAGUCGUGUUGUAUAUAUGUCUUGUAUAGAUUGACAGAGCAAUCAAAGCCCGUGUCGACCAGAGCGAUCGAAGAGGAGAAGAGAGAAGAGAGAAAAAGAGAAGAGGAGGAGAACUGCAGCAGCAAAUGAGCAAAGGGAGCUCAAUUUAUAAACGACUAAACGAGGGAUUCCGUUUGCUCAUUUGCUGCUGCAGCUCUGGACCGUUGAGGGGGGACACGUGGAGGGAUCGUGGGGAGUGGUGGAAGUAACUGUGGUUGAGUUAAGGUUGACUAGAGUUAUGUGAGGGAUCCAAGGCUGGGUGUUUUCCUUUUGGAUAUGCGUUUUGUCAGUGGGAACGGCAUCGUUUGUUUGGGUUUAAAAUUGAGCACAUUUAUUAUACGUAGCGGAAUCGUACAAAAAUUGCUGCUGCAGUAUAAAUCUGAAGGAAAAAAAAAAAAAUGGUUGGUAUGUGGAAAUUAUACUUGAAACGUUGUCGUUUUUGGCAUAAUUGCUGUGAUAUAUUUAUUUGUUUGUGUUUUUAUUUCUUUUUUCUGGGUUUUAGGGUCACAAUCGGAGAGCGAAGACAAGGUCUCGUUGGAACUCUCUGAAGAAGUUCUUCAGAGCAUGGAAGUGGGCAUUUCUUUUAGAGAUUAUGUAAGAGAAUCUUCUAUUAAGUUUCUGUUUGAGGAACAUACUUGAUUUGCAUUUUAAAUGUAUCUGUUUGUUAAUUCAUUGUCGUUUUGUGUUGAUUCGUGUUUUAACAGAAUGGGAGAAUUAGUUCCUUGGAUUUUCAUAAAUCAUCGAGUUAUUUGAUGAUGGCUAGUGAUGAUGAAUCUAUACGGCUGUACGAUGUCUCUGCUGCCACGUAAGUUGAUCCUCUGUUUCUUAGGAUUUUAUGUUGUCUAUUGGGAAGUGCUUUUAACUAAGAAAUGGCUUUUGAAUAAGUAUAAAAAGCUGGUUUCAAUCUUGCAAUGUUUGUUUGAAAUUGCUGGAAUAAUAAAGUGUCUUUUGAAAUCAAAGGAACCCUUGAAGUGUUUUUCUAGGGAAGUGCUUGAUAUCUGCUUUCAUGGAUAGAACUUUUUGGAUUAGGAAACCACUUGUAGUGCUGUUUGAAGUAGUGCUUCAUAUAUGUUUGAAAGUGAUUUUACUCGAGGGUACUUUCCAUUAAAGCACUGCUGAACGUAUCCUCUGCGUGUUUGAUGAGCUCAUGAAAGCUACUGUCUUUCUAAGAUGGGGAAAAAUGCUUUUUUGAUGAAACAGAAAAAAAAAAAAAAAAAAAAAAAGGAGAACCUUGGAGUGGUUUUCGGGGCAGUGCUUAAGGGAAAUGUAAUUGAUAUAUUUUUCAAGAACUUUUGUAAAAAGGCCUUUUCUUUUUCUUUUUUGUUUUGUUUGCAUAAGCUCUUUCUAUAAGAGCACUGCCAAAUGCACUCCAGUUGUCUUAGCUGAGCUCAUGAUAGUUGGUAUUGCAAUUGUUGCUGAGAGCCUUAAUUGAAAUUUCAGAUGUUUGAAGACAAUUAACAGCAAAAAAUAUGGAAUAUUUGUGUUUUGUAUGUUGGUGAAUUACUUUACUAGGCACUUAUUUGGUACGUUCAUUUAUUCAGAAUCUCUACGGCUUCUUUCCUCGCACUAUAACAAGUACUUGCGUUACUUCAACGGUCAUCAUAACAGGUUUGUAAUUCACUUAUUCUUGUAAAUAUUUCGUAAUUAUUAUUAUCUGUAUAUAUGUUUUACUGCUUCUAGGGUUGUUUCACUUAGUCUGUGCUCCUCCAAAGAUUGCUUUAUCUCUGGUUCUCUUGGUCAAUCUGUUCUGCUCUGGGAUCAACGGGCUGAGAAAUGCUAGGUGGAUAUCAUGCCAUCCACCAUUUUCAAUUGUAUAUAUGAUCUCUGUUGGCAAAUACGGGCCUUUUGCAUGUUCAAGGAAGGCCUGCUACAGCAUAUGAUGAUCAAGGGCUUGUCUUUGCAGUUGCCUUUGGAGGAUACAUAAGAAUGUUUGAUGCUCGUAAGUAGGAGAAGGUUAAAAUUAAUAUUUAAGAACAUCUUGGAAGUUUAUAUGUCGUACUUUUAUCAUGCACUAAUUUGGUUAAAUUUGGAUACAUCUUCUCUGAUGGUGUAGAUGUAUCAGAUUCUGAUGCUGUAAAGUUCAGCAAUGAUAGGAGACUUAUGCUUCCGACCUCUAUGGAAGGACAUAUUCAUGUGCUUGACUCAUUCCAAGGCACACUUGUGAGUUGACUUUUUCUUUCUUCAUCUCCCAAAUGUAACAUAUCGUACAUAUAUACCCCUCUAUACACUGGAAUCUCUGUUAAUGAGCUUUUGUUUACUCUUGUUUUUAUUUAUCCACUUAUGAUGCCAAGCCAGUUUCUCGCAAUUCCACAUUGGAGGCAUCUUUCAGCCCGGUAGAGUUUCUCCUUUGAGUUCUUAGGGCACAGUGACUUGGAUAUUUUGUUAAUAUUUGCUUUUGGCUGUUUUGAUAUUUUAUAUUAAAGUUCUUGCACUUGUGCUGUAUAUAAUUCUCAAAUUUGUUACCACCUUGUUGGUAUAUUGAAAUACACGACUUGAAAUGUUGGGCAUCAAGCUUGUUUCCGCAGAAUUCUUUGAAAUAAAUUCAUUUUCUCUUCUUCAUUGACUUGGUUUGAAACCCACUCCCAUCCAUGCAAAUCCAAAUGCAUACGUAUUUUCAUCUGGUUGUGCUUAUUAAUAAAAAUAAAUCAAUGAAAUGCUCAAAUAGCAAGUGCACCCACACAUGUGGAAGCAGCCUGGUGCGGCCAAGCACCUCUCAUUCGUUUUAUGUGAUACAAUUGGUUUGUUGCACUCUUUGUGCUAAUUUUACUUUCUCGAUUUUGGAAGGUUCUGAUGAUGGUAGUGGAUAUGCUUGGAGUGUAGGGAGCGGGAAAGGGGUAUGAUAAGCAAAAUUCCUUGAUUCUCAUGCCUUUUGAAUGCUUAGAAUUCAAAGGGAUGUUAUUUCCCUUACACUGACCCCAGUCAUAGCAUUCAUUGUCUUCUAGCCAAACCAACAAUGCUUUUGAAUCUACAUUUGAGCAUUUACCUUAAGCACCAGUUUGCAUAAUGAGUUCUGUAUCCAAAGACUAUAUUCUUUGGAUGUUGGUAUUGUUAUUAUAUAAACAUUGUUUGGUUUUGUUUAUUUUUCUUGUCAGGGUUGUUAGUUGGAUGAGUUUUCAUACAGAGCCUCCUGUCAUAAAAUGGGCCCCUGGAAGUCUCAUGUUUGUUACGGGGUAAUCUGAGCUAUCAUUUUGGAAUCCUAAUGUGUCUAAACUAGGAGCUUACGAUGGGAGGAAGUAAAGUUUCUAACACUCAGCACCCUUAAGUAUCUGAAUAUUGAUGUCUAUCUAUUGCUGGGAGGGGAACUUGUUUGUAAGGAGAUGUUCAAUUUCCUAUAGUAGUAUGUAAAUGCAUCUGACUUACCUGCUAGUAACCUUUCCUAACAAGUUCUGAAGAAACAACAGUAGAUCUGGUAUCAGUACUUUAUUCAGAAGAGCAUUUCUUCUUACAUGCACAGCUAAGAGUACAUGAAUUGAGCUACUGAAGCCCUUCCUGACCAACCUGGCUAAGGCUCCUUUCAGUUUGUCCUCUUCAUGGUUCUUUGGCAGGCAACAGCGUAAGCAAUUACCUGGACUAUGAGGCCUUUUGUAGCGGGGUGGGCACUGCCUAGGCAGUUUUUGAAAAAACUAGGAGCUUUAUUUGUCAUUGACAUUUGUAGCACGAUUAGUUAUUACCUGGAUUAAGUUGUAUAUAUUACAUCGUAUACCUAAUCUGACAAAUAACAGGUUGCAAUCCAAGUUUUGUUGAUCAUGAAGGGUUUGAGCAUGAUAGUCCAUUUAGGUCAUUAGGUCUCCCUCGAAUUGCCACGUACACACUUCAAUCCUCUCAACGAGCGUCCCCGCAACGUCACACUCCACAAUAAUCUGAAAUAAUUUAAAACAAUUAUAUACUUCUGGCUGCUCUUAUCUCCCUUCUCACCAACCGAGUCACUGGUUGGUUACAUUUUACUAACACCGCCGAAUGAGAGAUCAUAAUCCCUAUUACGUGUCCACCCUAACUGAUCACAACAUUGUCAUUUUUUAUCUAGCGUUAGCAACGCGUUGUUCAGUUGUCAUAGCUUCGAAACCGCGUUAUUUGUUUAUACACUACAUUUUUGGACUCAAGGCACAAAAGGGAUAAUAAACAAUUGUUAUAAACAAUUGUUAUAUAGUCUGCAAGGUCCAUUCCAAUUGUGUUUGUGUAUAUAUAUUUUAGCUUUCUCUCCUACACCCAGGCUUUAUGCCUCUCGUGCCUCAGUUUGAUGUGAAGAAAUGGUCCAUCAAGGCCAUUGGUUAUAUAGUCAGCAAUAGCAAUAUUGCCUUUCUUCAACCACAGCAAUGUUUAUUGGGUACGCAGGAUCAAUUAUCUUCUUAGUAAUUAACAUAAUAAUAUAUUAUGUUUGUAAAUGUGUAAAUAAAUUUUAUUCAAUAUUUAUAGUUUUACAACAAUUUAAUAUUAAAAUUUACCAAACAUAUACAAUUGUUUUUAUAACUCACAGCUCCUUUAAAAAUAAGUUUUUGCAAACGUUUAAUUAAUUUUUUUAAAUUGAUUAUUUUUAUAGCACAGCUAACAUCAAUUAUUUUAAAAGCUACAGUAUUACCAAAUUGACUCCUUACUCUUUUUAUUAAAAUUAUUAUUUAAAAGUUCUAAUUGCAAUAUGUUACCAACUUUUAUUUCACAUCUAUAAUUUUUUUUUCACAACAGCUAUAACUUAAACGUCGCAUCAUCUUAAUACCAAAUAGGGCUAUAGUUAUUUGGGACCUUUUUUUUUUCCCCCCCUUUUCCCUCUUCUUUAGCAACCUACAAAAAACACUAGAAAUAAAACAGAAAAAUUGAGUAUGAAAUUAAGCAUUAGUUAAGUAUGAAGUUGGGUGAGUCGAGUAUAAAAUUAAGUACUUUUCUAUAUGAUUUUAAAUAAAGGGUUUUUUAAUAUUUUGCUUUGUGAUUUUGGAUAUAUUUCUACAAUACCAGUAAACUAUGUAAUAAGCAUAUAUUUGUUGUUUUGUUGUGAAUGGGACAUAUCUAGCGCCAUUUGCUCUAGGGAUGGCAAUGGGGCAGAUAUGGGUUGGAUCUACUUUGCUCCAAAUUCAAAUCCAUAAUAAAAAUCAAGAUCCGUAUCUACUCCAGAUCUGUCAUGAAUCCAUAUUUUUUGCUCCAUAUCCAGAUCCAAAAAAGAAAUAAAUAUCUAUAUCUACUCCAAAUCUUAAAAAAAAUUAAAAUCCAAAUCUGUUCUACAUCUGUCAUGAAUUCUAAAACUCAGUAAUAAAAAAUUAAUAAUUUUUUAGAAUGAAAAUUGAAGGCUUAAAUGUAUUGAUAAAAAAUAAAUUAUAUAAUUUUUCUCAAAAAUAUAAUAAAUAUUGUAGCUUAUACUUUUAUCUCAAAACAAUAAAUAAGAAAGAUAAUAAAAUAUCAUUCAAAAGUAAUUGUAGAAGUAAGAUCAAUCUAAUAUUCUAUUGUCUCCUUCAUCAUUCUAAUAUCCACGACACACCUACCAUCAUUUCUACAACAUUAAAUAAUGACAUAUAAAUUAAAUAUGAUUUAUAUUCAGUCCUUUAUUAUUUUUAUUAUGAUCAUAUUUGACUAAAUAUAUGAAUAACUAUAUUUUUUAAAAAUUAUUUGGCUUGCAAUUUGAAUAUUUAGGCUUGGCUGACCUUUAUAUUUACAAAACUAACCUUUAAGUUUUAAGAGUUUAAAUGCAUGGUAAAUACCACUAAUAUGUUAUGAAUAAAAUUUAUUAUUAUUAUAAUUCCAUAAUUGUUAAGAAACUUUUAAAAUAAAAUAAAAUUAAAAGAUGAGUGAAUAUGAAUGUGGAUUUAGAUAUUAAGAUAGAUCCAGACCUGCUCCAGAUCCGUCUUAGAUCCGCACAUCGAUAUUCAAAUUCGAUCCAAAUUCAUUUUAAACUGACCCAAAUCCGAUCCGAUUGGAUUUGGAUCACGUGGAUCUUGGGUCAAAUCCAAUCCAUUGCCAUCCCCAAUUUGCUCCCGUGACUGAUCUUUAUAACAGAUCCAAUUACCCUCAUUAUAGUCUUGAUCGAAAGCUAACAUAGCACAAUUCUGAUAUGUAAUGUGAGUGAUGGGAGAGUCACAAAUUAUUGUAUAAAUUUAUUUUAUCUAAAUUAAUUAGUAUAAAUUGAUAGAAAUAUAAAAUAAUAAAAAUAUAAAUCACGUAGACCAAGGUGUAUUUAAUAUAACUAAUAAAAUUUUACUCGAUCAGUUUAUAUAAGAAUUUGUAAUUUUAUUAUUACUCAUGGUACUUGAACAGUGGCUGAUUGGUCAGCUAGUGGUAUAAGUGGCAACGACCAAACUGUUGAGUCUCCACGUGGGUUUCAAAAUGAGUCAAGAGUCAAGAAAUUAGCUAUCAAGUUAUGAAAAAUAUUUGUAAACAUGUCUUUGAGAUGAUACAUUGUCAUAAUCAACAUCAUAUCCUAAUUGACAAAGAAGGGUUGCAAGGGAAACUAAGCAUGUGCCUUCAUUUUCACUUGAAAUAAAGCGCGAGGGAAAGAUCUCAUGUUAUCACAUGAUGCCGUGUGAUCACCUAGAAGCCCUUCCACACAUAUUUCUUCUUAAAUUGUCUUCUUCUAAUUUCUUGGGCCACCGCGAAACCACAAUGUCAAUACAAGGAUGAGCGAGUGUUGUUCAGCUCGCAGCAUUUGGAGCCGGAGCUCAGCUUCCCUUAUUUGAUGGUCGUUUGGUAGGCGUCGCCAAAGGGCAAAGAGGAUCCUCUGGCGUUCGUGGAGUUGGUCCUCAAUGCGAUUGAUUUGUUCUCCAAGUUGAGCAAGUCUUUGUACCAUAGCCAUAAAAUUAUUUACUUUGGACCGAUGCAAUUCUCUUCUAAAAUUUUCAGGGAACACUUUUCAUCUGCACCCAAAUGUUUCAUCAUAAUUUUAUUGUAUACACACUUGCUUCAACAGCUAUCACGGCUCACUCUUUUUGUUAAAUAUUGUUGUUGCCAUUAAUUUUGACAUCUUUGACGUUAAAAGACAACUUUACCCUUAUUUAUAUUUUUUAAUGCAAAAUUGCCAAAAAAACCACAACACCAAUUUCUAAUUCCAAUUGACUUGUGGGGAUAUUAAAAUUUAAUUUUGGCAUCUUUGACAUUAAAGAGAUAAUUUUACCCUUAUUUAUAUUUUUUAAUGCAAAAUUACCAAAAAAACCACAACACGAGUUUCCAAUUCUAAUUCACUUGUGUGGAUAUUAAAAUUUAUUAAAGGUUAGAAAAAAAGUAAAAAUGUUUUGUUCAAAAUAUCCCCUUUGCCAUCAUCCAUAAACGUCCAUUCUUCAUAACAAUCUAGUAAACUUGGAAAAAGCAAGAUCCCAGUCAAUCAACCAGCCAAAAUUCUUCAUAAAGUUUAGCUUUUCUUAAAAAAUUUUAAAUCUUGAGUUAAAAAUUUUAAUUCUUGAGACCCUAAAUUAAUUGAUAAUGAAAGUCACAUGUUUCUAUAACAAAAAUCUUCAAGAAUAACAGUACAAUGAAAAUCUUCAAGUAAAUAAAAAUCUAUAUUCAUAAUAUUUAUGAAUAAAUUGUAAAUAAUAUAGAGUGGUUUAUAAUUUUAUAGUGUAUUCACUAAACAAGAAUCGAAAUUAUUUGGAAACAUAACGAGUUAGAAUCAGAAUAUAUAGAAUCAAAAUAAGAAAUUGGAAUCAGAAUAAUUUAUUUACUUGAACUGCAGGAAUCGUAAUUAGAAUGAGUCAUUUACAUGUUUACUUUGUCUUAAAAUCAAAAUUGGAAUGAGUUAAAUUGUAACAAAUUACUAUAAAAUCCAUAAUUAAUUUUUAUCAUAAUAAUUAAUUUUUAUUUUAAUUAUUGUGAUUAUUAUUAUUAUUAAUAAAUUAAUUAUUAACAAUAAUUAUUGUUAAUUAUUAUUAUUAUUAAAAAGUUAACUAAGAAUUUAUUAUUAAUUAUUGUUAAUAGAUUAAUUAAUUAUAAUACUUUUUAUUCUUGUUAUUAAUAAUAAUAAUAAUAAUAAUCCAUUUACAAUUUAUAAUUAUAUUUAUAAUUAAGUGGAAAUUAAAGUGGUAGGGUCUCAACCAAAAUGUGGCACGAACACAUUUAUCCAACAGCAAGAUUUUUCGAUUGCCAUCCCCACUAAUUUGGUGUAAUGACUAAGAGUUAAUUGAAAAAUAUAUAGUUUAAUUUUACAUUUAAUUUUUUUUCUUUGUUGUAUUAAGAAUUAAUUGAAAAAUUAUUAUAUUCCCUUAAUUUUACCAGAAUCCCGUUGACUUAGACCCUAGUCUCUUGAUUAAAGCGUUUUCAAGUUCAAAGAUUCAGAUAACUCACUCGAUUAUAGGGCGUCUGCACCUUACGCUCGCGUUUGUUGUGAUGCCAGUAGCUGCUGUGACUGUGGCUGUCGUUGUCGAUUGUACUUGAAUUUUGCAGGAGAGCUUAAUAUCUUGUUUAGUAAUUAAGUGUUGUAUCAUUUAUUGUUAAAAAAUUAUAUUAUAAAAUAAAAAUUAAUAAUAAGUAAUAAAUAUGAUUUUUAAAAAUUAAUUUUCAUUAUAUAUUGUCAUUAAAUAAAUAUAAAAUUAAUUUAAUUUAACUGUAAAAUUAUAAUAAUUAAUAUUUAUUGAAUACUUUAGUAUUAUAACUUUUAAAAUUAUAAUGGACUAACUUCAAUCCCAAAAGAACCUGAAAUGAUUGUGGAGAUCGGGAUUUUCAAUUUCCUUUCUUUUUGGAACUAGUUUGGGAUUGUCCAAACACGCUAUGGUAUGCGUUUGACAUGGAGAAGGGGGGACAAAUCAAUUUUGUUUACUGCAAAACCCUAAAAAUAAUUAGUCAACUUGCGUAUACCCCUUUUGGACCCAUUUUGUCAGGAAAAAGAAAUUGUGGACCAUUUGCACUCUAAAUUUAACUUUAGAUACUGGUAUUUUAAUAAAUUUUUAUAUUAUUAAAUUAACCUUAAUAUAAGGAUCCAGCUACGGUACACAUGUUGUAUGGUAUCCCGCAUUUUGUUCAUAUAUGACUUUGCCUUUAAAUGUAACAUAAAACUUGCAUCAAUUGCAUAGAUGUAUUCUCUUUGGUUAUUAAUAUUGACACUCCUAUUGUUUUUCAAAAAAAUAAAAUGGUGAAAGGUUUGACACAUAAUUUUAGAUUAUUUUUAAAUUUUUUAUUUUUAUCAAUUGAUCUACUUUAUUAUUAAAAUUAAUGACAGUAUAAGAGCAAUAACUUGAAAAAACUAAAACAAAAGGAAUUACAUGGUCACCGUCUGGAACUGGAAAUGUUUUGAGUUUACUUAUCCUUUUGGUUCGCACCGCCCACGAAGCUUCAUAUUCCUACGAUAUGUCUUUUUUUUUUAAAAAUAAUAAUUUAUAAUCUGACAGCUGGAACAAAGUUUCGACUUUCGAGUGGGCAAAACGCAAAAACUACCACGACUACUUGAACAACUUCGUUACAUUUAGACAUUUAUCAUUUAAUCAGAGUUUGAUGAGCAGCGUUGAAGGAAAGUUUAUAGAAAUAACCCUUACUUUUUUUCUAUUUUCGAAUAGCAAAUAAAAUUUCCCUUUUUCAGUUAAACAGUUUCAAGUCUAGUAUUUACUGUUUGAAGGAGAAAAUUAUGGUGUAACGGUGGUACCGUGCUACUGUUGUACUCACCCGUUGGAUCUCAAUGAAUCCACUCAUUCAAGUGGAUUCAACGGCUGAAUGCAACAGUGGCACGAUACCACUGUUGCACCGUAGCCGGACCUCUAUUUCAAUUACACAAACAACAUGUAACUGUUUUAUAUAUACCUUUUUCUAGCGGGUUCAAAAAGUUUCAACCUUAUGGAAUGGCACAAUCUUUGUAUAUUAUUAUUUUAAUUAAUAACAAGAUUACUGAUCCUGUGUGCCCGGUAAACACUACUGUGAUUGAGGAAAAAGCGGUAUUGCUAUUGCUGUUUCUUACCAAAGGCCUUGAUAAAUAAACCAUUUCUUCACAUCAAACUAAGGCACAAGAGGUAUAAAGCCUAGGUGUAGGAGAGAAAGCUACAACAUAUAUGACACAAAAUCAAUUUGGAUGGACCUUGCUAAUCACGUCUGUGAAUGAAGAAGAUUCACCUCGAUGCCAUAGGAGAGCAAAUUAUUAGGGGGCAGGAUGGACAUGUCACAUGGUUAAGGGGGUCUCUAAAUCCCGAAGGGUACAAAAACCUAUGCUUUGAAGCUCACCUCACUAUCUAAAAUCAAAUAUGACUUGAAUGCGAAAUUACGUGUGCGGUAAGUUCUUAUUUGGGAAACUGUGUUGUGCGUCCCACAAACUCCAAAUGGGAGCUUGCCGCAUGUUCAAUCGUGCUUAUAGAGUGUGUCCGCAUGCAUCUAAUUGAGAUCUUAUUUACAGUAUAAUACACUUCUAAAAAUUUAGAUAGCAAUAUAAAACUUUACAACUAUAAUAUUCAUUGAUAAUAAAUUUAUUUAUUAUGAUUGUUCUCGUUGAAAACUCCUCAAUGGAAUUUUAUGAGUCGAAAAUAACGUAUGAUAGUUUAACUACCAAUAUAAGAAAAAAUAUAUUUUUCAAUAUACAAAACUAGGUUAUUGCUUAAUUUGCUUUUAAAAUCUUUUAAUAAUAACAAAAAUAUUCAUAUAUUGCAACACAUAGAGCAAACAUGAAUGCAUUAUAAAAUUAUAGAUUUUAAAACUAGACAAAAGAUUAAUCAAAAAAUGAAAAAUUAGAAUUAUGUAGACUUACAACUUAUGGGUCAUUGUUGAAAGACUAAACAAUUGAUUUUGCUCGAAUAGAAAACAAAAAAAAUAUUAAAGACUAGUCCAUUAACCAUUAUACUAACAUUUUUUAUGAUUGUUUUUUAUUUUAAUAUUUGUUCUCGUGUCUUUAAUUGAAUUUCAUGAAAUGUUAAUUGCUAAUUAAAUUAUUUAGAAUUAGACAUUUAAACGAGGGAUAAUAUGAAAUAUUUUAAAAUUACUAGAGUCACUUUUAAAUUUUACAAUGCAGCUGGGGCAUUUUUCAUAAAUAACAAACAAAAUACAUUUUUUUCAUAUAAUCAUCAAAAAAAAUUUAAAAGCCAGCCAGGGCAUGUGCCUCAGCUGGUCCCAUGCUGAUUCCGCCCCUGUACGUAAGACACACGCAUAUUAUUUUACAAGGUACCACCAAUUUUUGUCUUUUGUGAUGUCAAAUUUCAUUUAACUCCUUAUCUUUUUUGAUUUACGGUUUAUUUAUAACAUUAUAUCCUUUGACAGGUAACUUUUUAAAAUGAAUUUUAUUUAUAAUUUAUUUAUAAGUUUAUAUACUUUGGCUGGUGAUCUGCUCAAAUGUAAUUUUAUUUUAUUUAAUAUUAUUUAUCUUUCUAAAAGAAUAAAUAUACAAUAAGCCUGUGACUAGAUAAUAUUAAAUAAUAUUUUGAAUAAAAUAAAAAUAUUAAAAAUUUAUUCUUUUAAAUAAAAUAAAUAAUAUUAAAAAAUAAUAUUUAUUUUUUAGGACUCACAAUUGCUUAUUCUAUUUUAUUUAAUAUUAUUUAAUUUUUAAAAAUAAAUAUAAUAAUAAGCUUGACUAAAUAAUAUUAAAUAAAAUAAUAUAAAUAUUAUUAAAAAUAAUAGUAAUUUUUUUAGACUCAUUACUGAUUAGUUCAUUUUAUUUAACAUUAUUUAGUUUCAUGAAAGAAUAAAUAUAAUAAUAAGCCUUUGACUAUAUAACGUUAAAUAAAAUCAAAUAAAUAAUAUUAAAAAAAUAUUUUUUUUAUAAAAUAAAUAAUAUUAAAUUUUUAUUCUUUUGAAUAAAUAAAUAUAUUUUUUAAGACUCACAACUGAUUAUUUAUUUUAUUUAAUAUUAUUUAGCUUUUUAAAGAAUAAAUAUAAUAAUAAGUCUAUAACUAAAUAACAUUAAAUAAAAAUUAAAUACUAUAAAUAAUAUUAAAUAAAAAUUAAUUAAUAUUAAAAAUUAUAUUUAUUUUUAAUGCUCACUACUGAUUAUUUUAUUUUAUUUAAAUAUUUAGUUUUUUGAAAGAUUAAAUACAACAAUAAGCCUGUAACUAAAUAAUAUUAAAUGAAAUGAGAAUAAAUAAUUUUAAAUAAUAUUUUUUAAUAAAUAAAUGAUAUUAAAAAUUAAUUUUUAAAAUAAAAAAAUUAAUAUUAAAAUAAAUUUAUUUUUUAAGACUCAAUUAUAAUUAAACAACAUAAAAUUUUAAACAAUUUGGACUUAUGUGCUAAAAGUUUUAAUUAUUUAGCUCUUUUGCAUUUUUGAUAAAUAGCAAGGAGCAUAAUGUUAAUAUUUAAAUAAACGAUUCACUACCCUUAAAUCUAUCUUUUCAUUGAAUCCAAUGAUCAAAAAUUAAAACCAAUGACCAAGAAUUGAAACUACAAAAAAAUAAAAUCAUAUGGUAUCUUACAACUGUUGUAAGAUAAUUGAGUCUUUUAAUUACACGUGUUAUUUGGAACUUGUUAAAUUGGUCCCUUGUGGGUCCUCGUGGACUCUAAAUUAGCCGUACACCUUUUAAAUAGAAAUAAGUGCAUUACAAUUUUUUUCUAUUUUACUUUAUUUUUGAAAUUUUUUGGAAAAAGUGAUGACUCAUGAUAAUAGAAGAAGAAGAAUAGUAGGAUACAUGUAAUAUCGGUUUAUACUUUAUAUCACUUUUUACUUCUUUCUUUGAUUUUUUUUAAAUUUUUUAUUAUACUUUUUUGUGUCUUUGGGGUCCAAAUAUAUUGUGUAUAAAUAAAUAACGUGGCUUCUGAGUUUAUGGCAAUUUACCAAGCGUUAAUAAUGCUUGAUGAAAAUGUUGCAAUCAGGUAGGGCGGACACAUAUAGAGAUUAUGAUCUCUUAAUCAGCGGUGUUCGUGAAAUGUAGCCAACUGCUAAUUCGGUCGGAGACGAGGGAUAUCUAGUGCAACCAGAAGUUCAUAAUUGUUUUAAAUCAUUUGAGAUUAUUGCGGAGUGCAACGUGUCGUUUGUUAAGAGAAUUAAAAUGAGUCAAAAGGUUUAAGAAAUAAGCUUUGGCUGCUUGGAAAAACCGCUUUCGAGCCUCCACAAAGUAUUGUAGGGCUUAAAUUCUUUUCAAUUAUGAAUAGUAAUUAAGUGAAGACAGUUUUCUUUUCAAUAAUUACCUAAUUAUAAAUUUAUCAGUAAAAAUUUCAUUUAAUAUGAAUUGUAAUAUAAGAAAAGAAAAAAAAAGUAUUCACUUAUGAUAAUAUUCUUAUUUGUAAACGUGUCCUGAGAAUUGAGAUGAUACAUGAUCGUCAAUGUCAUAUACUAAUUGAAAGAGUAGGUUUGCGAGGGCCUGCCGUGCUAAGCAUGGGUUUUCAUUUCCCUUAACCGCUUGAAAUGAAGCAUGAGGGAAAGAUCUUAUUCCACCUAUGUUUUAUUAUUAAUAAAUAAUUUUUUUUUUAUCUAUUAACCAAUAAUUAUCGGAGCGAGUUUUACUCAAGAGAACUUCAAUAAUAAAAAAUGUUUGAUCUCACUGAAAUGACAAGUUAUUUAAGGUUAUUGAAAAUCUAAACAAAAAUUACUUUUAGGAAAAUGCUAAACGAAGAGAAUGGCGUGAGAACGCAACGUGAUAAUAUUAAAUGUAUAGUAAAUGUCAACUUUUAGCAUUUUCUCUUUCUCACCACGAGUAGCUUUUGCACGACAGAAAAACAAAACAACGUUCAUCACAAAGCUAAUUUUUCUCUCACCCAACGUGAAAAUCACUUUGGCUCAUUUAUUCACCAACGACCACCGAAUAGAUCUAGAGUAGUAGCAAGUGAGGGAGAGGAGUAGUAGAUCUGGAGUACUAGCGAGCGAGAGAGAGGAGGAAGAGGAGGAGGAGUAGCGAGUGAGGGAGAUGAGUAAAUCUCAACAUUAUUUUUUUCUUUCAUACUAGCCUUUUAAGGUUAUAAAAUUCUUUUGUUUUUAUUAACAAGAAUGCUGAAAGCUGCUACUGAAAGAAACGACAUUACUGUAUGUCAUUUCUCUCGGCAUUCUUGGUAAUUAAUUUAUAUUUGUACCACUCUAUUAAUUUACAACUUUGCCAUUCAUAUAAAUAAAUUUAAAAAAAAAAAGUAAAAUCUUAGGUCCAGCCUGAAUGGGCUCACAUUUAGCACUACUCUUACUUUUAUGCUAUCGCAUGAUAUCGUGUAGGGACGGCAAAAUACAGGUUUGGUCUAAGCUUGGAAGGCCAAGCCCAUUUCACGAGAGGCACAACAGGCUAGACUGGUCAAGCCUAAUGUGAGCCCAUUCAGGCUCAAGCUGGACCUAAGAUUUUACUUUUUUUAUUUUUUUAAAUUUAUUUAUAUGAGUGGCAACGUUAUAAAUUAAUAGUGGUACAAAUGUAAAUAAAAUAGUUGAUUUUUUGUAAACUUUGCAUAAUGACAAUUUUGUAAAAUUUGGACAGGCUGUAGCUCAUCUCAGUCCACACAGCCUCACCACUAGGUAUAAACAUGGAGAACAAUUUAUAAAUCCACCAAGCUAAAUUAAAGUCAAACACUUGACAUUAAGAAAUUUCUAAUAAUCUUAGAAAUAAACUAGUCGAUAAUCACUUGAGAUCAUUUCCUCACCCCAUAAUCCAUCAAUUAACUGAGAAAUGACAACUCACCAAUUAGUUUUUCAUCAGAACUCAUAACACAGAACUUACCCAUUCACAUAAUAAAAACAUUGACAUUAAUGAGAGAGUAGCUUAAUCAAAUAAUAAUCCAUUAAUAAAAUGAAAAUUAACAACUUGUACCUUCAUAGAUGAUUCUUGUGCACUUGACUUUCUAAGUAAAGAACGUCACUAUUCUUUUCAAGAAGGCAGCCACCACAAAGCAUAGAAGCUUCUUCAUAUAAUAGUACAACAAUCAAAACCUGAAACAUACGCAUCAGUAUUAAUUUAUUAUAAUUUAGCAGCAGUAAAUAUUUUUUUUCAAAAGUUAUCUGCAGUAAAUAUAAGAAUAACAAAGAAUAAAAUCUUAGAUCAACAACAGAGAACCUAAACUCUACAACUUGCUUGAACUACUAUCAACAUCAUACCACAUAAUCAAAUAGACAAAAUAGUGUAAUAUAUAAUUUGUAUUGACCUCCAUACUAUCACGUAAAAAAUAUUGUAUUAAAAACAAAGGGUAAUUUUUAGGGACCUCCCCUGAGGUUUACCGUAUUGACACAUAGAGAGAAUGUAUCCACGUAAUUACAACCACCUCCCCUCCCGUUAGUAUCCGGUUAGUUUGACUGUUAGUUGACUGUUGAAAUUACUAAAUUACCCUUCCCGCCAAAAUUAUAAGUUAUAAAAUAAGAGAAGAGAACCGAUAAGUAAUAAACUUAACGCUAGAAUCACAAAAGCUAAAAAAAGACCAAAUUACCCAUCUAUGUGAUGUGAUUUCAUUUACAUUAUUUGUUAUUAAAAAAACAGAAAAAAUAAAUUAAAGCUGCCAUUAUUACCGUUGUAAGUAAACGGUAAUAUUUUGAGUAGUAGCAGCAACUAUAAAAGGCCUGGGCAAGUUAGCAAAUGACCAUAGCAGAAUUUCAUCUUCAUCUUCUUCUUACGAUUUUAAGUCAUCAUCCAUUCAACUCUUGAACAGAAGCACUCAUCAUCAUCAUUAAAAGCAUUCAUCAACUCAUCAAAGGAAGCAUUCAAUUCACGACAACAGAAGCAUUCAUCAUCAGCAUCAUCAGAAUCAUUCAUUUAGUUCAUUGACAAAAGCAUUUAUUCAUCAAUUUAAGCAUUCAUCCAACUCACCAACAGAAGCAUUCAACAUAAUCAAGAUCAAACACUAUCUCAACCACAUGGAUUCUGAAAGCUCAAACACAUCCAGCCGAUCAAAUACACAACCAAUUUAUGAGCCAACUUGGAGGAACUUUGUUAAUGGGAGGCUGAUUAAGUUUUCAAAUCGAAUAUGUAGAUGUCGUAUGAGAGCCAAGGUGAUGAUAUCUGAAUCGGAUGAGAAUCCUCACAAGCUUUAUUAUAGAUGCCCGAACAUAACAACAUGCGGAUACUUCAAAUGGUGGGUUCCAGCAAGGGAUGAUUUCAACAAUGGAGCUGUGUUUGAGGGGAAUUUAAGUGCUAUUGUGCAUCAUGAUACCCUAAAUGCUAUUCAAUCAAAUCUGAAAGAAGUGAAGACUAUUAUGAAGAAGCUGCAAAGGUCAGGAUUUGGUGAAGGUGUUGUGAAGAUGAUUAUGUACUUGAACCUAGUUAUGUUUGUGCUGAAUUUAAUUAUGCUUAAGAACUAAUAUGCCUAAGCUAUCCUAUGUUUGCAGAAUGCAGUGAAGUGUAAAAUAUAGUGAUUUUUCUGUGUAAUGUAUUAAUGGAUAAAAAAGAUAAUGCAUGUGACAAUAAUCUAUUAUACAAACUGAUAAUAUUUAGCAUAGUAAGCGAAUAACACAGCACAAGCUCCUGUCCAUAAUUCAGCAAGCACACACAAUAACAAUAAUUUAUAAUUACAAGCUCUUGUCCAUAAUUCAACAAGCACACACAAUAACACAGCACAAGCUCCUGUCCAUAAUUCAGCAAGCACACACAAUAACAAUAAUUCAUAAUUACAAGCUCCUGUCCAUAAUUCAACAAGCACACACAAUAACAAUAAUUCAUAAUUACAAGCUUCUGUCCAUAAUUCAGCAAGCACGCACAAUAACACAACACAAGCUCCUGUCCAUAAUUCAAUCCUUAAAUAGAAUUACAACUAGUAAAUCCCUGAGCAAAAGUAUAAUAACAAUUUCAAGCACAUAACAAGCUUUUGUUAAAACUAACACUAUGAAGCACACACAACAACUCCUAUCACACAGGACAGCCGGUAAAUCCCUGAGCAAAAGUAGAGAUACAAUACAAAUUCAUUCUCAAACUGACAGUAUCAAGCACAAUAAACACAUACAGCAAGUCUCACUUUGUAAUAUCAAGCACAAACAAAGCAAAUUCUAUUGUUUCAAGUGACAGUCGCAAGCACAACAAACACACAAAGUAAGAAACCACGGCAGUAACUAAGUAAUGAAACUACAUAAACUAAAAUCAAUAAAGAACUAUGUAAUAAAACUACAUAAACAUUACUUGUGACUAUAAAUUAUAAAUUCAAAUGCAUUCCAGCAACAAUAAAGUGUCACAUGUCAUUACUGUCGCUACAUUAAUUUUUUCACCAGCUACCACAGCCUCUAUCUCCAUGUAAACAUGACUGCAAGUUAUAAAUAAUAGCACAUGGUAAGCAAAUAACAGCAAAAUCGUAACUAGAAUUGUAUAUUUAUAUAAUAAGAAACAAAUGUAUAUUUAUAUAAAAUUAAUAUAUCAUAAGGGAUGUUAGCAGAUGAACUUUAGUUGACCCCAACCAAAUUAUUAAACUGCAGUUAUCAUUAAUGCAUGCUUGGGCAUUUACAUGCCUUUCGAAAGUUUGUUGCAGAUGGUGAUUAUUCGAUCAUGAGUUGAAACACUUAUAAAUCCAUAACUAAGUUCAUCUACUUGCCAGAAAUCAUUUUGAUUGAUUAGUAACUUAUAACAAGCUUAAUUAACACUAACAGGGGAUGUGGAUGCUCUUUAAUCUAUAUAUAAAUGGGCAACUCAAAGUUAAAAUUUCAUAAAAAAAUCCUCUCAAAUUUGUCGGCUGAAUUAAUUUCAACAAAGUGGUCACUCGUAAAAUUAGAGACGGCCUUAAAUUUACAGUGACAUGUGCAUGCAAAGAUCUUUUAAUCUUUCUUUGAGCUGGGCUUUUAAUCCAUUGAUUGAACAUGGAAUCAUCGUCAUGCUUUGCAGACAACUUUACAAUUUCUUUUUCUUUAUUAUUUUUUUGAGUCUCAGGGUUGGUGGAAAUUGAAACGAAAAACCCAUUUUCAUUUUUAUUAACGCAAAAUCGUCCCACUCAUCUAUUGCAUCUGUUGCAUCUGAUUUAUAUCUUUAAAUUGUAAUAAAUGAGGAUUACCUCUUUUUCGCACCAAUUCCAGUUGCGAUUGAAGGCGUUCGUCGCCGGUACUUAGUUCGUUGCGCACUUGCGCCACCACCAGAGCUCAUCUCGUUACCUCUUUUUUGCACCAAAUCCUUAAUGAAGCUCUCCUUCACAGCUACAUAAAGAUGAAGAUGUUGUUCGGUGUUGUUUACGUGAAAGAGGAGGCUAAGUGUAACAUUCAUUUCGUGAAAAUUUUUAUUUGCUUUUGUCCACUGGUUAUUGCAGAGCACUGGUUAAUGGAGUAAACUCUUACAAUUUUCUCAGGCGUUCAUCCUCACAAAGCUGCACUUUUGAAUUCUUUUGAAUUUUAAAAGGCAAUUUUACAUAUUUACCCUCACAUACUGAUGCCAUACGUAACCGGAUACUAACGGGAGGGGAGGUGGUUGUAAUUAUGUGGAUAUAUUCUCUCUAUAUGUCAAUACGGUAAACCUUAGGGGAGGUCCCUAAAAAUUACCCUAAAAACAAAUUAUAAAUUGUUUAGUGAUCACAAUGGAUCCUGGAAAUGACAACAACUACAUUAUUAUAAUGAGUUUGACAUGUCAUUGUACAUGGAUUCGUUAUGAUGAAUCAUGAAACACCGUUGAGUAGUUAAUUCAGCCACUUUUCACCUAUAAAUUCGAUGGCAUACUUUGAAUACACAACAUGGUUAUAAAUAAAAAUUUAGAGAAUUUUUGUGGGAAAGAAUAAUUUUAUUGACAAAAGAUUAAGUACAAAAUUAUAACAUCUCCAUUUUUAAUAUAGCUGACAUAAGUUAUUUGAGUUAAAAAAAAAAAAAAGAGGGAACUUAGAUACGCCAUAUUAAAUAGGGCAGUAAUAAAAAAAAAUCUAAUUAACAAAAAUUAUUUGAGCAAAUGACAAAUAUUCGCUAAGAAACUCUUUUUCAUUUUUUUCCCAAAUAAUAAUCAAUGUUUUUUUCCACUACGCAUUGAAAGAGCUCGCAUCGACAUCAAUCAUGAACCAGUCGUGGCCUAUAUUGCCUGCAUUAUGAAUACCACCUAUGACCUUUAGAGCCUAACCGUUUAUCUCAGUCUAUUUUUAAUACUCAGUCACAGGUCCAGACCAUUCAAGUUCAGGACAUGACCCUACUAGUCCCAUUAUAUAUCUAUUUAAAUUUCUUUUUUUUAGAAUGUCUAUUUAGAUUUCUUAAAUUUAAAAAGCAAAUCAACAUCUAGCCCUUAAAAAAAAAAAUCUAAAAUCAACAAAGCUAUUAUUUUGAAGAUAUUUUGAAUUCCAAUUCCCAAUUAAAAUCAUGAAUAUAUCAGCUAUAUCAUAGCAUCAGCAUAACUAGUAAGUGGUGACAUCAAAUUUUCAAAUAUUUGGAACUGGAAGCAAAUAUCUAGUUAAUGAUUAAAGUAGCUGACGAAUAAAACCUCUUGUAUUAUCAUAGAGGCUGCCCCAAUAGCUUGCAAUAACUAUGGAUGGUGCAGUAAAGUUUCAGGAUAGAUGAAUAAACUAAAAAGCAAAAGAGAAAUAUCAGUUGCAGCAAGAACUACGUCAUCUCCACCUCGAUUAUUAUUCAAAUAUUAACACCAAAUGGCACUGAACAGCACAAGAGGAAGCAUCAUCCAUAUUUUAAAUGUAUCUGAAUAGCAUAAAUAUGAAAAUCAUUGCAGAAAGUAAAAGAAAAGAAAAAAGUAAAGAGAAAUUUAUCUCACAGCAUUCCUAUUAUUAAAAAUGUGCUCCGAGAUAUAACUUCAUGCACAUUCAGAAGUUCUCAGGCCAAAGAACAUUAUAGCAACUACAAAAACUCAUGAGCCGGCAGGUCUUGUCCCUGUACAAGGUGAAACAACUAAAAUUAUGCUUUUAAGAACUUUGCAAUAACUAAAAUUAUUACUCAAUACAUAUAGAAAACUUGGGCUCUGGAUACCUAUUUUCCCAAAUCUUGGGGUCUGUUCUUUUCUCCUAAUCAGUGAGGUGCAUGUAAAAUAUAUAUACACAGAGAGAUAGAGAGAGAGAGAGAUUAAUUAGUAUACAUUCCAUUGGUAGAGUUUCUAGCUUAGAAUUUAUAUCACAGGAAUUGCAUAUUGAAUUGAAUACAUAUGAGUGUGUAUUUUUAUUGCGGAGUCUAAUGAUAGAAAGCAGGCUUCAUUCAUUUUCAACAACAAGCAUUGCAAAGUUCAAAAUUUAUAUCACGGUUCAAUCAAUAGGGGAAUUCAUUUCCCAUCAAAACAUAGCAUGUGACAAGAAUGAACUCUAUAUAUAUGUAUAUGUGUGUGUGUGUAUAUAUAUAUAUAUAUAUGUAUGUAUAUAUGAACACAGGAAGAAAAUUAUUUCUAUCUGAAAAUCGAGAUCACUCAACCAAACAAUGGUACCUUCCAAUCUACCUAGUGUAUGUAUAUAGGCAUCCACUGAUUGAUACUUUGAAUUUAAUUAAUAAAUCAACUUCAGGUGUCAUGUUUCCACAUUAAAUAGAGAGAAUAACAAUUAACUAGAUAUGACAGAACUGGUUAAAAAUUUGCUCAAAAUAUACUAAAAAGAUCAAAUUUUAUUAUUUUUUACCUGCUUUCAUGUCUCUCCAAUGUCAGAUCAUGUCCUCAAGCAACUCUUUCGGCUUUCUUCGCCCAUUUUUCUUCUUUUUACAGCAUGAAGCUAAUACAAAGCCAAAUGAAAAAGUAGAGUAGUCAUUUCAAAUUCAAUUUAAUUGUCAAUUGAAAAGUUCAAUUGUUACCUUCGUCAACUGUAGAAUCAAUAGUUAAUGAAAUAUACAAUGAGAAGAGUAAAUAUUAAUAACGCACCAAUAUUACAAAUCAAUAGCUAAGGAUCAAGUGAAAUUUCACCUGCAAAUUAGGACAGCCGAGGAAGCAUCCAUAAACAUCGGAAUAAUUAUAUCACUGAAAUUUCAUUAGAGUAAAUUAGGACAGCAGAGAAAAAAAUAAACAAAGCAAUUUGCAAAGGACAAUUUUUCACCUAAUUUUUGUUAAAAAUAUCAAAAACUAAAUUGAAUUUUUUGGAGAGUAAUCAAGUUAUUUAUUUAAAAUACAUUUUUAAAUAUUUUUUUUAGAGUUUUGAACAAGACAAUUUUUUGAUAAUUGAAAUCAAGUACCAAAAUAUUUUUUAUACUGUUUUAAUUUCUCACUAAGAGUUAACUACGUAUUUUUUUUAGCACUGAUAUAUUAAAUAUUAUCAUUAAUAUACUUAUAUUUAUUUAAAAAAAAUCAAAACGCUAUUUCCUUAAUAUCAUUUAUGCAACAAAAUCAUCAAGGGAGCUUCUGUCUUUGUACACUAAAAAAUUAUAUAUAGUUAAUUCACUUGGUCAAAUAUCCAAAUAGUUGAAGUUAGUUUUUAUUGUUUAUUUGGUAAUGAAAUGGGUGCUAAGUGAGGUCUGGUAAAGCCUGAAGGAAUAAAUAGUGAUUUUAGAUUCAUGUGGGUGCUUUGAAUUAAUCAUUUUGUCAAGUUUCGCACCACCGACCCCAUUAAUUUCUAUCCGUUGCAUUUCAGUCAACAAAGCCAACGAAUAAUAGCUGCGGGCUGUCACAAUGCCUGUCAGUUACAGUGUUAUAUAACUUAGCCGCGGCCUUAGUUAGACUCAGUUCGAGCUCGUCUAAAUUUGGAGGGGCUUUUGGAGGGUUUGGGCCUGCUAUCAAUAGCUAAGGCUUGACCUGAGCUUGAAAAAGCCUAUCCCAGACUCUUAAUUUGCUAUCAUAGUUAGAAAGAAAUCUUUUGUAUGUCGAAAGAUUGGGUCCAGUUAUGUUACAACAGUGGUACGGUAUCACUGUUACUUUCAGUCAUUAGAUCUUAUUAAUACAACUGUACAAUUAUAGAUCUAAUGGCUAAAAGCAGCAGUUGUACCGUACCACUGUUGCAACAUAGUUUUGGCCUAAAAGAUUACACAAGUGGUGGAUUUUUGUUUCUUGACUAAUGUCUUUUUUGACCAUUUUCGUAUUUUGGUACAACUCAGAAGCGUGGCGCUUUACUCAGAUACUUAUCAUUGUUUUUUAUUCUUUUAUUUUGUCUAAGUUAUUACUGUUCAAUAUUCUCACUGUAAGGUUGACUUCAAGGGAUGAAAUCGUUUAGAUUAAAAAAAAAUAAAGGAAAUUCAUUCUCUUCAAUUUUUUUUUAUUUGUACUAAUGUUACAAAUAAAAUAUUAAAUAAUUAUUGAAACUAGUCUAUAUUAACUCAUAUUCGAGAAAUGUCUAUCUACUUACAUUUUGUAAGGAAAAAGAUUCUCUCCACUUAAUUGAAGAAACAAUUCACCACGGAUGCAAUAAUUAUUUCUUUAAUUUAAUGUAUUUUUCGAGCGUCUGGCUACCUUAUUCCUUUGUGCUUCAGUGGGAUGCAAUAACUUUUGCUGAUAGCCUGAUAGGCCCUACAAAUCAUAAUUUAGCAUAGAGAAAUGUUGUUACAUGUAGGGAUGAUAAAAAAGCUCGGGCCAGCCUUGUUCAUUUCCGUGGGCUUUUGCUGAAAUUUCCCACGUGAGGGCUUGGACAAGAGUUAAAGGAAAAAAACCUGGACUAGGUCUAACCCCUCUAUUUAAAAAAUAAUAAUAAUUUUAUAAAUUAAAAUAAAAAAUGGAAAAAUGAAAAAAGAAGGCUUAAAUCCCAAAUUCAUUUAUCAAUAACGAUAAACAAAAACUUAAAAUUAUAAUACUAAACUCUUUUUUAAGUGUUAAUUAAUUAAGAGAGUACUUGAAUUAGAAAAUUAAGUAUUAGAAAAUUAAAUCUCUAAAUUUUUAUUUGCUUUAUUUAAUAUUUUAUUUUGAAAUAUUUAUUUUUUUAAAUUCAUUGUUGAUUAUAACAAUUUGAUGAUUAUUAACUCAUUUUAAGUUUACAACAAUUUAAAAAUUUUGAAAAAAAAGUGAAAGCCCAAGCUCGGCCCAGCUCCACAUGGGCUCGGCCCUUACAUUUCCACUCUAAUGGCUUUGGGCUUGGGCUUGAAAAAACAGAACAUGCUCACAUUUUGCUAUCCUUGCCUGCAUGUAAGUUCAAAGUUGCAAAUUGAUGAAGUGGAAAUAUAGAAGAUUGAUAGAUUAGAAACUAAGUUUCUGAAUAAUGAAAUUUUAUUAGAAAAGUCUGAAUGAAUAAAACGAUAGCUUACCCCUUUUCUACUAAUCCCAAACAUCGAGAAUUUAUCAAAAUAGUAAAAUUUAAAAUAUUAUUUUAUAAUAAAAUUCUCCUAAUCUAAAUAAGAAAAACAAAACAAACGACAUCUAAUUUUGAUAUUUAAAAAAAUAAAAUUCUAAAAAUAAUAGAAAAAUAGAAAAACAACUUAAAACUGCAAAAAGACCAAAAAAAGAAGUAGAAUUUUUUACUUAAUUAUGGAGCAAGACAAGGCAAACAUUCUAAGUUUGAUUAGUCUCGUCGUAACUUUUGAAAUGAUAUAUUAUAUGCCUAAAAUGAACAUAUAAAGCCCAAGUUAUAACUCCUAAAAGAUACCUCCUUCAUGAUGAUCCUACGCAACUAUCUUACGUCGAAAAUGAAUGCAAAAGUUACAUUUCAAAUUAAAUUCAAAACAAUCAAUUCAAGCAUUAAUGCUGAGUUUUUUUAACCAAAAUACUCUAAGGAUUUUAUAAAUUGCUUUCUAAUUUUAUUUUGCAAAACACACCAAAUCAAAGUGAUUUUUCUCUUUUCUCUCAAACAAUUUCAACAUUUUGUAAUAGAGCUGAUGACAGGCAUUAGUAAACAAUGUGCAAUAGUAAUGCACAACAAUAUAGAAAAGCAAAUUGGUAAAGUGUAAACUAUGAAAUGAUAAAAUAGAGCCUUUUUUUUUUAAGAUCACAUGUUAAGUUAUUGGCAUAUUUUGUCAGGAUCAUAUACUUUUUUAGAUCUACGUGCUUUUGGUCAAAUUUAAUAUAAUCAAAAGUUUAAAACUGAAGUCCAUAUUCAAUAAUAAUAAACUAAUAAUAAUAGAUAAUGUAAUACUGACUAUUAAUUUAGAUCCUACGAUAUUAAAAUUCUUUUUUAAUACUUAAUAAAAAUAACAACAAUAAUAAGUUUUUUUUAAGGGUUAACUUAAUUGUUAACUUAGACUUACAUUGAGUCAUAAAUCAUAGUUUAUAACAACAUUAAUGCAUAUAUUCAUAAAAAUCAUGAUAUUUAUAAUUUAUUUAUUAAAAUCAUGAUAUCACCUAUUCAUUUAACAAAUUAUAAACAUAAAACAAUUAGAUUUUUUUUAAAUUAAGAAUUAAAUGAAUCUAAAAAACUUAAGCUAAUAAAAUGCAUUAAAGAUUCAAUUUCAAAUUUUUUUGCAAAAUUAUAAUUAUUCGUAAAAUUAUAAAAUUUCAAGUUUACUUUCAUUAAAAAGUUUUUACCUUAAUAUACUUUGACUCGCAUGUUAUUGAUAACGCAUAAGCCAUGUGCUAAUCCUCCAGUGAAACAUUUUUAUUGCGGUCCUUUUCACGUGCUGUGUUUUAGCCUAUCUUUAAUCAUAUCAUGCUUUUAAGGUCCACUUGCCUAAAAUUCUCAACUCAGCCCAGCCCACGUGCAUGCCAUGCCUCGUCGCUUACCCUACCAAAACGUCCUUGUGCCGUGCCACGCUAAACGGAUAUGUGUCGUGCAUGUGUCGUUCCACCUGUCACCUGGCCCAUUAGUCAUCUCUAGAAAACACCAUAUAUUUAUUUAGCGUGUUGCAAGCACUGUGUCGCAAGUUGCUCAAAUUUCCCGCAAACGGAGGCUAAAUUAGCGCGCACGGGUACGCUCAGUAAAAGUCUGCCCAAUAACGGGAUGCACUCAACAGCAAGGUGCGCUGAGCGAUGGGCUGCCUCAUAUAACUAGUGAGUUAUGGUGCACUUAGUAAGUGAAUAGCCCAUAAUCAACAAGCCUAGCCCAAUUUUCAGAUUUCUCUACACCUUGUAAAUGGCUAGAUUUUUAGGCAAGUUGCAUGAACUCUCUAUGAAAUAAGGGUGAGCACCCACUAUUUGCUCACCACCACACCACACACACAACACCUAGCAACUCAAAAACUCUCGUAAAAAUCUCUCUUAUAAUUUCUCUUUUGUGAGCAAUAAAAUAUUCUUUAGCCAUAUUGCUCUCUUCUCUCUAGCAGUAUUGCAAACAUCCUUACUUGGCUAGUUUGAGAAACUCUUUAGGCUUACUUAACAACUUUUGUACUAGAAGUUAUGUAAGUACUGCACGGGGUUGUUGUGCAAAAUAGUCAUCUCGUGACAACCGGCUUAGUUUUGCUUUGCACAUUUGCGCCCACAAUAAUAAAAGCCAAAAUAAGAUAUCAAAAAAUGUUGGGAUUUGACAUCAAGUAGAAGAGGUUUUGCCCACUCCAAAAUCAUCAAAAUGAUUAAUCAUCUUCUAUAUAACCUGAUGAUUUUUUUAACCUUUGAGAAAGCAACCACAGAGGUGGAACAAACUUCUACUCCUGGGACCUGACAUACGGUUAAUGAAGAAGGGUAAUUUCGUAAAAUUCCAAUCAAAAUUAGAAAAAAGGCAAGCCAUAUUCAAAAGUCAAUCUUGAUCAAACAAACGGCAGGAGGGACAUCUGUAAUUACAGCAUUUUCGAGGAAUUGUUUCUAAAAAUAACUAAAACGGGAAAACCCGAAUGGGAAAAUUGGAAAGCGACAAACACGAAAGUUCAAAGUUUGCUUGGUUGGGCUAUGUUCUGCGAGUGGGAGAGACCGAUUGUAGAAAGGGUUUCUUUUUUUCUUUUUUUUUUCAAAUAGACAUAUAGCCACGUGUUGUCUCAUAUAAAAAAUAAUACUUUAUAUAAGUCCUAGGUCAGUUGGGCUGGAAAACAUUUAAAAUCGAACAUAUCAGGCACGUUGUAAGUUCGCAAUUGGAGAAUCAUGUUGUCAGCCCCGCAACCCCCAAAUGGGAACUUUAGAUAGAAAAAUAUAGCAUCGCAAUGAUAAUAUUUAUUAAUAAUAAAUUUACUUAUUACAAUUGUUCUUGUCAAAGACUCUUUGAUGGUAUUUCAUGUGUUGAAAAAAUAUAAAAUAGUUUCAUUAUCAAUACAAUUAAAAACAUAUUUUUUAAUAUAUACAACUAAAUUAUCACUUGAUUUGUUCUUAAAAUGUUUUAAUAAUAGCAAAAAUAUGGAUAUAAUGCAACAUGAAGAACAAAUAUGAAUACACACACAUUAGGGAAUGGCAAUGGGAAGAAUAGGAGAGGGGACCGACAUCUCCAUACCCAUUUUCGAUAUUCUGUAUAUGUCCUCAUCUCCUCCCCAUUCCAUCAGAAUUACUUGAGAAAAUUUUCAUCCUCUCCCCAAAUAAUAACAGGGGAUUCCUGAGAGUCCCCGAUCUCCAAGUAAUUAAUAUAUUUUUAAUUUUUAAUUUUAAUUAAUUAUAUUAAAAUAAUUUUUUUAAUAAAAGUAGAAUUAAGGCGGUAGCUAGCUACCAUAGAAAAUUAGAAAUUAGGUUUUACGAUUUUGCCUUAAUUUUUGUUUUAUUAGAUAAACGUUUAAAAUAUUUAAUGAAUAUUAUAAAUUAAAAAAAAAAUUGGGCCAACAAGAUCCUGUCUGGCUUUUUUUAUGUCCUGAAUAGAUAUUUAAAAUUAUAACUAGUUAAGCAGGCUCAUUAAAGCAUCUGACAAAUUGUUACAUACAACCAGGAUAAUUAGAGUGCUAAUCAAAUAACCCAAAUUAUAGAUUCCCUAAUCAAACAAACAUAACAAAAAAAUUUUGAAAUGCAAUUUUUUUUUUCAGAAAUGCGAAUUGGCACCAAAUAAAAUUGAGCAAAAGCUAAUGCUGUCCUACAAGUUGACAUGGUCCUCCUUUAGCAAGGUUCAAAUAGGGAAGACCAUAGUAAAAAUAAGAGGAAAUAAUUUAACUUUAUCUAUAAAUCCUACAAUUUAGAUGCUAGUAAAAUAACUCCAAUCUGAAGCAUCAAAUGUACAAGAUUCGCCUCAUCAAAAAAAAAAAAAAAAAUGUAUAAGAUUCGUAAGUAAAAACAGGUUACACGAUUAGUUAUUACCUCGAUUACGUUGUAUAUAUUGCAUGGUAUACCUAAUCAGACAAAUAACGUGGACAUGAAGUGAAUAACUUAAUUUGAAUCUUGCUAUUUUAUUUUAUAAUUUUAAACUAAUUAAUUCAUGCACCCACAUUAUGCUUGCAUUAAGUGGAUACAAUACAACAGAAGUAUUCUACAAUCUCUUAUACGAAGAUUCUUAAUUCAUACUCUUAUUGGGGACUCUUUUUAAAAUUGACCUUUUCAUAAUAUUAUUUGUGAAGUAUAUUUUCAAACUAAUUACAGAAUAAUUUUAAAUUAUUGUAUAAACCGAUGAUUGAUAACACCGGGUAGACUAAUGAGACAAAGUCAAAACCAUUAGCCGGUCCAACAGCUCCACUCAUGUUAGCUUCCGUAAAGCACAACUCUAUCGACUCUCGUGACGUCUAGCAUCUUCGUUUAUAAAUACCCCACCUUCAGCCUCUCGACUCUCUCAAGACACUCCGACAGCAAGACUUCAGUUGGGGUGGGAACCGUUGGUGCUGGAAGAGGUGGUAGUCAUGGAAGCAAACAAUAUGGAGAUAUCGGCGGAGGCUGGUGGCCAGCCCCGCCGGAAGCUAUGAAUAUCCUCAACUGGAAUGUUCGGGGUCUGGGGAAUCCCUGAACAUUUCAAGCCUUAAGAAAAAUCCUCCAAUUGCAUGGUGCUCAGCUGGUGUUUUUGUGUGAAACAAAGGUAUCAACCAUGCAAAUGAAUGUGAUUGCAAAUAAGCUGAGUUUUGAGAAUUGCCUUGCGGUGAACUGUAAUGGAAGAGGAGGCGGAAUAGCAAUGCUCUGGAAGUCAGAUAUUGGGGUGCAAAUCAAUUCAUAUAGUUAGCACCACAUUGAUGCCGAAACUCAAAUGCCAAAUGGAAAUCGAAUGCGAGUUACAGGAGUGUACGGACAUCCGGAAACAGGUUAGAAAAAACACACUUGGAUGCUCCUUAGGCGGCUAGCGGUUUUAUCUUCUAGCCCUUGGUUGUGUUGUGGAGACUUUAAUGAAAUUUUACAUCCGGAAGAGAAGAGUGGCGGCAAUGACAGGAACGUGAAUUUAAUUAAUGAUUUCAGAGAAGUUUUGAGAGAUUGUGGGUUAAAGGAUGUCGGGUAUCGGGGGUAUGCUUUUACUUGGAAUAAUGGAAGAUAUGGGAAGGGAUUCGUUGAAGAAAGGUUAGACAGAUUUGUUUGCACAAAAGCUUGGAGUGACAGAUUUGUGGACUGUGAAGCAAGCAACCUGGACUUCGGAUCAUUGUCCCGUGUUGAUGGCUGUUCAAGUGAGAAGGGAGAGCAUGAACCAAAGGGGUAGACAUUCCUCGCGAAUCCAUUAUGAGGAUAUGUGGAGCUCGUAUGAUGUAUGCAAAGAAAUAAUUAAGGAGGAAUGGAGUUGGUUUAGAAACUGGAGCAGUGAAGAUCCAGCCCAAUCCUUUCGACAAGCAACAAAAGUUUCGAUGGGUAGGCUGUUGGGGUGGAGCAAGCUGGAGUUUAAAAAAGCGUGACAGAAAAUUAGAGAAGCUAAAGAAUCAGCUGCAGUAGUUAAAACAAAGAAGGGUGCAAUAUGAAAGUGGUGAGGAAAUUCGGAAGGUGGAGAAGCAAAUCCAAAAUAUUCUCAUGGAUGAAGAAAUCUACUGGAAGCAACGCUUAAGAGCAGAUUGGCUCAAGGAGGGGGACAAAAACACAAAAUUCUUCCACGGCAAAGCGACGGCAAGAAGAAAAAAAAAACAGAAUUUGGGGGAUUGAAGAUAAUUUCAGGAGAUGGAUUGAGAAGCCAAAAGAAGUAGAGCAUGAGUUUUGCAACUAUUUCACCAAUCUUUUUACAUCAACCCAGCCAAGCCAAGAUCAAAUUGCAGCAGCCUUGGAAGGAAUAACUCCGAGAGUUUCAGCUAGCAUGAAUGAGAGUUUGGGGGAGUCGUUUACAGCCGAGGAAGUCUUGGAAGCUUUGAGUCAAAUGUGCCCAACGAAGGCUCCGGGGCCGGAUGGUUUGCCAGCAGUGUUUUACCAAAAGCAUUGGCAUACGGUUAAGGAGGGAGUGCUCACCACUUUUCUGCAUAUCCUCAAUUCACAAGGUACCAUAGGCCCUCUAAACCACACUUACAUUGCUUUGAUACCAAAAAUCGGAAAGCCUAGGAAAGUGACAGACUUUAGGCCUAUUAGUUUGUGCAAUGUUAUCUAUAGAAUUGUAGCUAAAACAGUUGCUAAUAGAUUUAAGCAAAUUUUGCACAAAAUCAUCUCUUCGUCGCAAAGUGCCUUCAUCCCCAAUAGGUUGAUCACUGACAACAUCAUAGUUGGCUACGAAUGUUUGCACAAGAUAAGGCAUUGUAAAGGCAAGCGAAAUGGAUUAAUUGCAUUAAAGCUUGAUGUUAGUAAAUCUUAUGACAGAUUGGAAUGGAAUUUUUUAGAGCAAACUUUGAAAAAACUAGGCUUCUCGCAUCAAUGGAUUAGCUUGAUCAUGAGGUGCAUUAGUUCGGUUUCAUUUUCUGUGUUAAUAAAUGGCUCAGUGAAAGGCUUAAUUAAACCCAAAAGGGGCUUAAGACAAGGUUGCCCCCUCUCUCUGUAUUUGUUUAUUACAUGUGCAGAGGCUUUUUCCUCAUUGCUGCAGCAGGCUGAGCAACAACGACUUAUUCAUGGGCUAUCAUUUGGAAACGAUUUGAAGAUUUCGCACCUUUUAUUUGCUGAUGACAGCCUUGUCUUCAGCAGAGCUUCCAUGGCCGACUGUCAAAAUUUGAAGAUGAUCCUUGAGCGCUACUCCACAGCUUCCGGUCAAAUUUUUAAUUUCGAGAAAUCUUCUCUUUUUCUCAGUGGCAACGUACAUCAAGAUCAAGCUGAGGCAAUUGGGAAUCUCUUUCAGCUCAAUAUUGUGUCGAGACAUGAAAAAUACUUAGGCUUGCCAUCUAUGAUCGGGAGAAAGAGGAGCAGUUUUUUCAGUGACAUCAAGCUGAAGGUUUUCAAUAAGAUCUCAAGCUGGCAGCAUAAAUUUUUUUCUUGCGGAGGGAAAGAAGUCUUAAUCAAAGCGGCUGUUCAAGCCAUCCCAGCCUACGCAAUGAGCGUUUUUAAAAUUCCGAUGGGUGUUUGUGAUGAUAUUAAAAAAAUGGUGGCAAAGUUUUGGUGGGGCUCCAAGAGGGAAGGGAGGAAUAUUCACUGGGCGAAGUGGGAAAAGAUGAGUCAAGCUAAGUGUAAUGGAGGGAUGGGAUUUCGUGAUUUUUCAAGUUUUAACCGAGCCCUUCUAGCAAAGCAAGGCUGGAGGAUUCAGCACUGUCCAGACUCGCUGGUGGCAAGGGUCCUGCAAGCCAAGUAUUUCCAGUCAAAAAAUUUCUUGGAUGCAAAGCUCGGCUCAAACCCUUCAUAUAUUUGGAGAAGCAUUCUGUGGGGAAGGAAAGUAAUUUGCUCGGGCUCUAGGUGGAGAGUUAGCAAUGGUCAGAAAAUUCAUAUUCAUAAGGCUAAUUGGAUCCCACGGCCUUCCACAUUCCAACCAGUGGUUAAGCCAACUUUGCCUUCUGAUGCUAUGGUCUCUGAAUUAAUCAAUGAGGCAAACUGCUGGGAUAAGAAGAGGAUUUAUGAGCAUUUCGACAAAAUGGAUGCUGAUUUAAUUACUAAGAUUCCUCUGCCUCGAAGACCAAGGGAGGAUGAGCUGAUUUGGCAUUAUGAAAAAAAUGGCCAGUUCUCGGUUAAAAGUGGGUACCAAACAGCUCUCCAAAUAAAGUUUCCAGCCAUGCCUUCAAGCUUAGUGGUUUCCAAAAAUGAGUGGAAUAUUAUUUGGUCCCUUGCUUUGCCUCAAAAGAUCAAAAUUUUUGCCUGGAGAGCAGACAAAAACCAACUCCCCUCAGCUGAGAAUCUGUGGAAGAAAAAGAUAAUCCAGGAACCCACUUGCCAAGUGUGUGAAAUGGGAACGAAAAAUGCUUUUCAUGCUCUUGUGGCCUGCAAAUCGGCUGAGAAGGUAUGGAAGCUAAUCCAUUUUGAAGAUGAUAUUCAUGCAGCUCACAAUCAAGAUAUUUUAAGUUUGCUGCAUGCUAUGAAAAGAAUGAGAAGCAGAGCUGACCUGGAGCUGUUGGCAACAAUUUUUUGGGUAAAAUGGAAUGCUAGGAAUCAGUUGCUUUUCAAAGGAAAAAGGGAGAACCCCCAGAUUAUGGUAGCUAAAGUUGAAGCUAUGAUUGCAGCUUAUAAGAGGGUGCAUUCUCCAGCUGAGGCUUGCAGUGAAACAGAGCAGAGUGUACCUUCCCAGACAUGGAAUCCCUCUCAAGAUGGCUUCAUAAAAGUAAACAUUGAUGCAGCUAUCAGCUUCGAAAAGAACAUUGUAGGGCUGGGGGCAGUGAUCAGAGAUGAUUCGGGGCAUGUUACAGCAGUUGCUAUCAAGGUUUCUAAGUUUCAUGGAGAUGUUUCUUAUGCGGAAGCAGAAGCUAUGGAAUGGGGUAUGUUAGUGGCGAGAGAAGCAAAAGUGAAAGCUGUAAUUGUGGAAUCAGAUUCUCAAAGUGUGGUCAGUUUAGUUAACAACAAGCAGGGCAGCAGAUCCGAGAUCUAUUGGGUUGUUUCAGAAAUUCAGAAGGUAGCGGAAAACUUCGAACGUGUUAGUAUUAAGUAUACGCCUAGAUCUUGUAAUGUUAUUGCCCACUCUUUAGCUAAGUUAGCUUUAGAGAAGUGCGAGACUGUUGUGUGGAAGGGUUCAUACCCUUUACAAGUGAUGUAUCUCCUUUCAUCGUUGAUUUAAUUGAAAUCUCUUUUCAAAAAAAAAAAAAAAAAAAAGACACUCCAAAAAAAACUCCAAAGUCCAACAACAACAUUUUACAAUCUCUCUCAAUUUUUCUCGCUUCAGUUUACCAUCCUCGAACACGAACACGAACACGAACAUGAAUUAAGUUAAUUAGUUUAUGGAACACAAACUCAUCAUCAACAUCAUGUCCUAAUUGAAAAAGAAGGAUUGCGAGGGAAACUAAGCAUGUGCCUUCAUUUUCACUUGAAAUAAAGCGCGAUGGAAAGAUCUUAUGUUAUCACAUGAUGCCGUGUGAUCACCUAGAAGCCCUUCCACGCACAUUUCUUCUCAAAUUGUCUUCUUCUAAUUUCUUGGGUCACCGCGAAACCACAAUGUCAAUGCGAGGAUGAGCGAGUGUUGUUCAGCUUGUAGUUUUUGGAGCCGGUCCUGGGCUUUCUUUAUUUUUUUCAUCUUCUGCUGGUAGGCAUCGCCAAAAGGCAAAGAGAAUCCUCUGGUGUUCGUGGAGUUGGUCCUCGAUGCGAUUGAUUUCUUCUCCAAGUUGAGCAAGCCUUUGUGCCAUAGCCAUCAUUAUUUGCUUUCGAUCGAGCACUUUUCAUCUGCAACCAAAUGUUUCAUCAAUAUUUUGAAGUAUACACACUUGUUUCAACAGCUAUCCGGAUCACGUUAAAAGACAAUUUUGCCCUCACUUAAAGUGUAAAAUCACUAAAAAAGCCACAACAGUAGUUUCAAAUUCCAAUUGACUUGGGUGGAUAUUAAAAUUUCUUAAAGGUUAAAAAAAAAGUAAAAAUGUUUUGUUAUGGGAAUUGAAAUAUCCCCUAUAUCUUCAUCCAUAAUCGUCUAUCCAUGAUAACAAUUUAAUAAACUUGAAAAAGCAAGAUAUCCAAUCCCAGUGAAUCAAACAGCCAAUUUUCUUCAUAAAGUUUAGCUUUUGCUUUUAAAAAUUUUAACUCUUGAGACCUUAAAUAAACUCAUAUUCAAAUUUACAUUUUCUAUAAUGAAAAUCUUCAAUUUACCCUUUUAAUAUUUUGAAAAACGGGUCCAGCUACAAUACAAUUGUAGUUUCAUACCUAUUUUUUUGUCUUUUUGUGAUCCAACCAUUGGAUCCAACCUAAGAGUUGCAAAGUCUAUUCCAACAACUUGGAUGUUAUUAUUUGGUUAUCAACAAUAUGGUCCCUUAUGUUUACUAAAAGAAUAAGAAAAAAUUAAAUUUCAAAAUUUUGACACAUUGGUCCGUUAAAAUAUUUUAUUAUCAAAGGUAAUUUAGUAAAUGAACAUAUUUAUAUAUUAAAAACAUGGAUGAAUUAUUUUAACUUGCUAAAAUACUCUCAAAUUCCAUUUACUUAAAAUACGAAUUAGAUUUAAUAAUACUAUUUUGUAUUUAGUGUAACACAAAAUUAGACAAGUUUUUAUAUAAAUUUUGACAAUAUUAAAAUGAAAAAUAAAUAAAUAUUAAACAAAUGCUUGGAUAGUCAUUUAAAUUCAUUAUAGAGCUUAUAAAUAAUAUUUUCAAAAUAAUAAAUUUCUAUAUGUAAAUUUGAAAUUAUGUAAAAUUACUUAGACUUUAUCACACAUAUGAAGCUGAUCAAUUAUUUAUUUGAUCUGAAAAUAAAUUAAUUGUAUAAUAUUUAUUCUAUUACUUAAAUUUAAAAUUUGUUGAGAAGGAGAUAGAGAGAAUAUUUUUUUUAGAAUUUUAAAUUAUUAUAUUUUAAUUGGGUUUAUUACAUAAAAUUAAGUUUUUAUUAUUUGCAUAAAACAAUAGGAAUUGUUGAAGAAAAUGCCAAAUAAAUUUUUUAGAAUUUUGAAAUUAUUAUAUUUUAAUUGGGGCUUAUUGUAUAAAAUUUUUAAAACUUAUAAUUUUUAUUAUUUACAGAAAACUACAGGGACUGCUAAAGAAAAUAUCAAAAUAGUGUUUGGUACAACGGGGUAAGAUAGUUUUGCUCUUGAAAAACAUUAAUUUACUUCUAUUUAUCAGUCAAAAGACUAAAAUAAAUGGAGAUAUGAUGAUGAUAAACUUUUUAACUUUUUAGUGGUAUUUGAUAAAUAUAAAUAAAUUGAAAAUUCUCGCUUUUACUUUUUAUUGGGCAUAAGUUAAAAAUCUUACUCUCUAUUUAUUAUGCUUUAACAAGAGAAAGAAAGAAAACGGAAAACAAAUCUCUUCUAUAGCAGUCUUAAAAAAAUUUUCAGCUGAGACUUAACCCAUAAAUUUUUAAAAACUUUUUGGUGGAUUCAUAUACAUUGAACUAGUCUUCUUUCUAUAUUACAUGGAUUAAAUUUUGAAAUUAGGGCAACCUAUUGUUAAAUCUGCCUUUCAAAUUAUUGACUUAAUAUUGCCCAAAAAAAAAAAAAAAAAUUUUCCUAUUACAGAAUUUUUCAUUGUUGCAGGAAACUGGAGUCGCAGCUGACAGUGCUCAAGGGCAAUCCUUAAAUUAAAUUUCAUUGCAAUCUUUGAAAUUUAAAUUAUUUGAGAAAAAAAAAAUCUUUGCAUAAUAUUGAACAACGCAUUUUCUUGUAUAAUAUCAAUGAAACAAUGCAUGUGAGGGGAAUAAAAAGAAUAAGACAGUAAUUAGCACUAUUUCAAGCAAAGAAAUCUGGGCACUAAUAUAUUUUCUCUGUUACUUUGCAAAAUUACUGCAUGUACAUGAGAUGAUUGCUUGCUACUGUAGUAUUGUGUAAGGUGAAACAUUUGAAGAAGAAUCCUUCUAAACUGGUAGUGUUGGUCGUUGUUGUCCUGCCGAGGAAGUGUCAUUAGAUUGAAACCUACUGCAAAUAUUGAUACAAAAUGGCUUCAAGGUUUCGUUGUAGAGCUGACGACAAGCUUCUGUAAGCAGCGCCCCAUAUUGAUGCACAACAAUGAUAAUGGACGAGCAAAGCCAUGCAGUGUACAAUAUGAUAUGACCAAUAUCAGAGCGUGGAACAAAUGUGGAGGCUAGCGAGACUGCAGAAACAGAUCCGGAGACUCGUGCUACAAGGGCCCAAGAUUGGGAAGAAUUCUCUUGAUGAGCUAAAUGUGCAUAACAAUAAAUGGCUGUGGUUAUGAGAAAAGACCAUAUAUUUGUUGUGUGUGUUUCAAGCAAGCGCUCAGUUGUGCCUUGCGUAUUUGCUCCCACGAUGCCGAUGAGAGCUGGAAUGAGAUAUCCAAACACGUUAUGGUAUGCGUUUGACAUCGCAGAUAAAUAAAAUUUGUUCCUGCAGAACCAUUAAAAUACUAUAUUAAGGAAAGUAUUAGAUCCAUUCCUUUAGAAAAACAGGAAUUUAAGAGAUCAUUAUGUAUUUAGUCUCAUUUAAUAUUAGUUUAAUUUUUUCAAGUCAUAGUUAUUGUGAAAAAAAAAUUAUUAAAUACUUUUAUUGAUUGGUAAGGAUUUAAAAAGGAAAUUUGGGAUUUUUUUUUUGUUUUCUUGUGAACAUUGACGGUAUAUAUGUAGGGUAAAGUUUUAUUUUUAAAUACACGUUGUGGCUCAGGUCAGAGAGAGAAGGGAGACGGUCAAGAUUGCUGGGUUGACUUUCUUUUCCCGUCAGCCAUUUUGUAAUAGAUUGAUCAGAGCAAUCAUUACCUGCAAAACUUAACACAGCACCAAAUUAACAACCAACAUUUCAAUUGAAACAAAUCUACUUGAAAAUAAAAGAAAAAGCAACUCCAAAUCAAAAUCGAAAUGAAACCUUAUCAGAGAGACAGCCGCAAGUAUGAAGAGACAAGCACGAUCCUGAAGGACUAUUACUCCAAAUCAAAAUCGAAUUAUAAGAGAGAAAGCCGCAAGUACGAAGAGAGAAGCGCGAUCCUAAAAGAUCUGAAGUCGUGUUGUAUAUAUGUCUUGUAUAGAUUGACAGAGCAAUCAAAGGCCGUGUCGACCAGAGCAAUCGAAGAGUAGAAGAGAUAAGAGAGGAAAAAAGAAGAAGAGGAGAACUGCAGCAGCAAAUGAGCAAGGGCAGUAUUUAUAGGACAAACUGAGGCCUAUAAAGGGUCCACUAGUGGACCAGAGCAAUCAAAUGUGGAUUUGAGACUAAAUAUCGACGAAGCUUUUGUGUAUAUAUUGUUUUCGUGAACUUCUCAUCUUUUAUUUAAUUGAAUUGAUAAAGGUAAUGCGAUGGAGUUGGAGUUUUACAAAGUAACUCCAAAUUUUACAAAGUAACAUCGAUAAAGUAGUAACAUCGAUAAAGUAACAUCGAUAAAGUAAUAUUGUAAGUAAGGAAAAAAGCCAAUAUUUUCCAUGUUAGGAACAUCGAUAAAGUAGUAUCAUGAUCUUCAAAUUCAAUAAUUCGGUACUGGAUUUUUUAAUAGCUGAUGGUGGUGGAAUUUCUGCAUGAAAAAGGUAGGAUAUAAACCAGAAAAAUCAAUAAAGCAUGUCAUGCAUGUUACAUUGCUACUCCAAGCGAGUAAAUUUUUCUACAUCGGAUAUGACUUGUUACGAUCAAGUUAAUAAAAGUUCAAAUCAAGAAAGAAAUCUCGACGUAGACUAUGUCGUGGACAGCGGGACACGUAUGAUGAAUCAGAUGCUGGUUACUCUUCAUAUAGUUCCUGUACAACAUAAUGAUUACUUACAAUAUUACUUUAUCGAUGUUACUUUAUCGAUGUUACUACUUUAUCGAUGUUACUUACUUUAUCGAUGUUACUACUUUAUCGAUGUUACUUUUCAAGUAGAUUUGUUUCAAUUGAAAUGUUGGUUGUUAAUUUGGUGUUGUGUUAAGUUUUGCAGGUAAUGAUUGCUCUGAUCAAUCUAUUACAAAAUGGCUGACGGGAAAAGAAAGUCAACCCAGCAAUCUUGACCGUCUCCCUUCUCUCUCUGAACUGAGCCACAACGUGUAUUUAAAAAUAAAACUUUACCCUACAUAUAUACCGUCAAUGUUCACAAGAAAACAAAAAAAAAAUCCCAAAUUUCCUUUUUAAAUUCUUACCAAUCAAUAAAAGUAUUUGAUAAUUAUUUUUUUUCACAAUAACUAUGACUCGAAAAAAUUAAACUAAUAUUAAAUGAGACUAAAUACAUAAUGAUCUCUUAAAUUCCUGUUUUUCUAAAGGAAUGGAUCUAAUACUUUCCGUAAUAUAGUAUUUUAAUGGUUCUGCAAGAACAAAUUUUAUUUAUCUGCGAUGUCAAACGCAUACCAUAACGUGUUUGGAUAUCUCAUUCCAGCUCUCAUCGGCAUUGUGGGAGCAAAUAUGCAAGGCACAAAUGAGCGCUUGCUUGAAACACACACAACAAAUAUAUGGUCUUUUCUCAUAACCACAGCCAUUUAUUGUUAUGCACAUUUAGCUCAUCAAGAGAAUUCUUCCCAAUCUUGGGCCCUUGUAGCACGAGUCUCCGGAUCUGUUUCUGCAGUCUCCUUGAUCUCCACAUUUGUUCCACGCUCUGAUAUUGGUCAUAUCAUAUUGUACACUGCAUGGCUUUGCUCGUCCAUUAUCAUUGUUGUGCAUCAAUAUGGGGCGCGGUUUACAGAAGCUUGUCGUCAGCUCUACAAUGAAACCUUGAAGCCAUUUUGCAGUCAGCUCUAUAACGAAACCUUGAAGCCAUUUUGUAUCAAUAUUUGCAGUAGGUUUCAAUCUAAUGACACUUCCUCGGCAGGACAACAACGACCAACACUACCAGUUUAGAAGGAUUCUUCUUCAAAUGUUUCACCUUACACAGUACUACAGUAGCAAGCAAUCAUCUCAUGUACACGCAGUAAUUUUGAAAAGUAACAGAGAAAUCAUAUUAGUGUCCAGAUUUCUUUGCUUGAAAUAGUGCUAAUUACUGUCUUAUUCUUUUUAUUCCCCUCACAUGCAUUGUUUCAUUGAUAUUAUACAAGAAAAUGCGUUGUUCAAUAUUAUGCAAAGAUUUUUUUUUUCUCAAAUAAUUUAAAUUUCAAAGAUUGCAAUGAAAUUUAAUUUAAGGAUUGCCCUUGAGCACUGUCAGCUGCGACUCCAGCUUCCUGCAACAAUGAAAAAUUCUGUAAUAGGUAAAAAGUCUCUUUUUUGGCAAUAUUAAGUCAAUAAUUUGAAAGGCAGAUGUAACAACAGGUUGGCCUAAUUUCAAAAUUUAAUCCAUGUAAUAUAGAAAGAAGACUAGUUCAAUGUAUAUGAAUCCACCAAAAAGUUAUUAAAAAUUUAGGAUUUAACACUUGGAAAUGGCAAUUAGGUACUACCUCAAGAGAUUUUACAGCUUGAACCAACCAAGGGGGUAUGUUUGCAAUUGCUGUGACUAAGUAUAAAUAGAUGGUUGGUCAGUGGUAAGAACCAGCCUUCUAGCAUCUUUAGGCACAAAGAACUCAAGAAAAAACCCCACAUGAGACACAAGACCCAAUGCUCAGCAUGCAGCAAGCUUAUCUAGAUUCAGGUGCUUUAAGAAUCAAAUUCACAUUACAUGAAAAGUUCACUAUUCAGAAUGGCACUCUGUAUGACAGCAAAGAGAUAAGUGGAAGAAAAAAAAUCUGAAAAUCAACAUACCUUUUUCUUUGUGAUUAGGUAGUCGAACCCCACUAACUCGCUUAUUUCAAGCAGCCAGGUCAGCUCAACACGGUCGUCUUGUAUCCUUCAAGAUGCACAACCCUUGUGAAAUUUCCAUCCUGGUUCCUACUAAUUUGCUCCACAAUUGCAUUCCCAAUCUAUUUAUGUGAAUCGUAUUUCCAGAGAUCAACUCGGCAUUGGCAAGGUCCAUCCAUAUUGUUUUUGCAUAUGUUGUAGCUUUCACUCCUACACCUUUACGCGUCUUAUGCCUCAGUUUGAUGCGAACUCAUGGUUUGUCAAGGCCAUUGGUAAGAGUCAGUCAGUCAGCAAUAGUAAUAUCUGCCUUUCUUCAAUCACAGCAGCGAGUAUAGGGCACGCAGGAUUAAUAAUCUUCUUAUUAAUAUAGUAGUUCAAAGUUUGUCACAUUCCAAAUGGUUGAGACUGUUUGAAGCCACCAGAAAAAGUAAAUAUACAAAAGUCAGUCUUCCACUUAACUGAUAGCAAAUACUAUAUGAAAUAUGAAAAAUUACUUCAGCUACAUUGUCUUACCAGUUCAAGGAUAAACUGCAACAGAGAUUCAAUUUUCAGUCUCCUACGAAUAAUUCUUUGGAGGGCCAAAAAAAGAGGAUUAUCUAAUCCAUUAUGUACAAACCACAAAAGCUUGCUGAGAGGCAUAUUACACCAUUUUCAACCAGUUAAACUCAUAAAUUUGAACCUUUAUACUCUCAUAUCCUCUUGAACCAUAUGGUAUUGGGCAUUACGAGCAUUGUACUCACCAGAUCUCAAACUAAAAGACAUGAAAGUUAAUCCAUAAGGUAGGUAUAUCUUGUAAUUUGACCUGAUUUGAUCGUGGGAUCUGGGCUGCAACAACUGGACGGGAUCUCAAAGGGACUUGCUGGAAUCUUGCAUGUUCAACUUCCUGCUACGACACCACUAUUAACAUCCCAAUUUUCUUAUGAAAACACACGGAGAUAAUAGAAUGAUAUCUCAAUGCUUCAAGCCAUUCACAAACAUUUUCCAUGUAAUUGGUUGCAAUAUCAGACGAGCUUAAUCCUGCCACCAAUAAUCUGCUUCACCUUGAAGCACGAAUAAGGCAAACACGCUAUCCUCCACUCGUCAUUCGGCCUCAACAGAUCACUGGGGGAAGGUUAAAGCUCGUGUGAUGAGUUGUUAAAGGGAAAAUACCCAUUUUGAUAAAUAUGCCAAGAAGAAAUCACUACAGUCAAAGGGUAUAAAUAUCCUAAUACAAGUCUAUGUGAUCAUUUCUAAAACCACGCAAAGAAGUCGGUGUCCUUUCCCCACAACAAUAAAUAGAAAUCACCAUACUUCCAUGAUUAUCCAAAGAGCGCGAACCCUGCCACAUCAUAAAAACUAUUAUAAAUCUAUUUACAGAAUUUCACCAAAUCAAGAAUAAACUUGACUGAAAGGAGGCAUCGUGUGAUAUUUGCAUCCCCACAAUUUCUUAUCAGAUUCGAUUCAUAAAACAAAUAGGAACACAUAUAAAAUUCAAAUAAAAUUCUUUCAAAAAAAAUUUCAGUGCAGUGGAAUUGAAUUAAUCUGAAGGAAAAAAAAAUGGUUGGUAUGUGGAAAUUAUACUUGAAACGUUGUCGUUUUUGGCAUAAUUGCUGUGAUAUAUUUAUUUGUUUGUGUUUUUAUUUCUUUUUUCUGGGUUUUAGGGUCACAAUCGGAGAGAGAAGACAAGGUCUCGUUGGAACUCUCUGAAGAAGUUCUUCAGAGCAUGGAAAUGGGCAUUUCUUUUAGAGAUUAUGUAAGAGAAUCUUCUAAUAAGUUUCUGUCUGAGGAACAUACUUGAUUUGCGUUUUAAAUGUAUCUGUUUGUUAAUUCAGUGUCGUUUUGUAUUGAUUCGUACUGUAACAGAAUGGGAGAAUUAUUAGUUCCUUGGAUCUUCAUAAAUCAUCGAGUUAUUUGGUGACGGCUAGUGAUGAUGAAUCUAUACGGCUGUACGAUGUCUCUGCUGCCACGUAAGUUGAUCCUCUGUUUCUUAGGAUUUUAUGUUGUCUCUUGGGAAGUGCUUUUAACUAAGAAAUGGCUUUUGAAUAAGCAUAAAAAGCUGGUUUCAAUCUUGCAAUGUUUGUUUGAAAUUGCAGGAAUAAUAAAGUGUCUUUUGAAAUCAAAGGAACCCUUGAAGUGUUUUUCUGGGGAAGUGCUUGAUAUCUGCUUUCAUGGAUAGAACUUUUUGGAUUAGGAAACCACUUGUAGUGCUGUUUGAAGAAGUGCUUCAUAUAUGUUUCAAAGUGAUUUUACUCGAGGGUACUUUCCAUUAAAGCACUGCUGAACGUAUCCUCUGCGUGUUUGAUGAGCUCAUGAAAGCUACUGUCUUUCUAAGAUGGAGAAAAAUGCUUUUUAGAUGAAACAGAAAAAAAAAAAAAGGAGAACCUUGGAGUGGUUUUCAGGGAGGUGCUUAAGGGAAAUGUAAUUGAUAUAUUUUUCAAGAACUUUUGUAAAAGGGCCUUUUCUUUUUCUUUUUUGUUUUGUUUGCAUAAGCUCUUUCUAUAAGAGCACUGCCAAAUGCACUUCAGUUGUCUUAGCUGAGCUCAUGAUAGUUGGUAUUGCAAUUGUUGCUGAGAGCCUUAAUUGAAAUUUCAGAUGUUUGAAGACAAUUAACAGCAAAAAAUAUGGGAAUAUUUGUGUUUUGUUUGUUGGUGGAUUGCUUUACUAGGCACUUAUUUGAUACGUUCAUUUAUUCAGAAUCUCUACGGCUUCUUUCCUCGCACGAUAACAAGUACUUGCGUUACUUCAAAGGUCAUCAUAACAGGUUUGUAAUUCACUUAUUCUUGUAAAUAUUUCGUAAUUAUUAUUAUCUGUAUUAUGUUUUACUGCUUCUAGGGUUGUUUCACUUAGCCUGUGCUCCUCCAAAGAUUGCUUUAUCUCUGGUUCUCUUGGUCAAUCUGUUCUGCUCUGGGAUCAACGGGCUGAGAAAUGCUAGGUGGAUAUCAUGCCAUCCACCAUUUUCAAUUGUAUUUAUGAUCUCUGUUGGCAAAUACGGGUCUUUUGCGUGUUCAAGGAAGGCCUGCUACAGCAUAUGAUGAUCAAGGGCCUGUCUUUGCAGUUGCCUUUGGAGGAUACAUAAGAAUGUUUGAUGCUCGUAAGUAGGAGAAGGUUAAAAUUAAUAUUUAAGAACAUCUUGGAAGUUUAUAUGUCGUACUUUUAUCAUGCACUAAUUUGGUUAAAUUUGGAUACAUCUUCUCUGAUGGUGGAGAUGUAUCAGAUUCUGAUGCUGUAAAGUUCAGCAAUGAUGGGAGACUUAUGCUUCCGGCCUCUAUGGAAGGACAUAUUCAUGUGCUUGACUCAUUCCAAGGCACACUUGUGAGUUGACUUUUUCUUUCUUCAUCUCCCAAAUGUAACAUAUUGUACGUAUAUACCCCUCUAUACACUGGAAUCUCUGUUAAUGAGCUUCUGUUUACUCUUGUUUUUAUUUAUCCACUUAUGAUGCCAAGCCAGUUUCUCGCAAUUCCACAUUGGAGGCAUCUUUCAGCCCGGUAGAGUUUCUCCUUUCAGUUCUUAGGGCACGGUGACUUGGAUAUUUUGUUAAUAUUUGCUUUUGACUGUUUUGAUAAUUUAUAUUAAAGUUCUUGCACUUGUGCUGUAUAUAAUUCUCAAAUUUGUUACCACCUUGUUGGUAUAUUGAAAUACACGACUUGAAAUGCUGGGCAUCAAGCUUGUUUCCGCAGAAUUCUUUGAAAUAAAUUCAUUUUCUCUUCUUCAUUGACUUGGUUUGAAACCCACUCCCAUCCAUGCAAAUCCAAAUGCGUACGUAUUUUCAUCUGGUUGUGCUUAUUAAUGAAAAUAAAUCAAUGAAAUGCUCAAACAGCAAGUGCACCCACACAUGUGGAAGCAGCCUAGUGUGGCCAAGCACCUCUCAUUCGUUUUAUGUGAUACAAUUGGUUUGUUGCACUCUUUGUGCUAAUUUUACUUUCUCGGUUUGGAAGGUUCUGAUGAUGGCAGUGGAUAUGCUUGGACUGUACGGAGCGGGAAAGGGGUAUGAUAAGCAAAAUUCCUUGAUUCUCAUGCCUUUUGAAUGCUUAAAAUUCAAAGGGAUGUUAUUUCCCUUACAUUGACCCCAGUCAUAGCAUUCAUUGUCUUCUAGCCAAACCAACAAUGCUUUUGAAUCUACAUUUGAGCAUUUACCUUAAGCACCAGUUUGCAUAAUGAGUUCUGUAUCCAAAUACUAUAUUCUUUUGACAUUGGUAUUGUUAUUAUAUAAACAUUGUUUGGUUUUGUUUAUUUUUCUUGUCAGGGGUGCAAGUUGGAUGAGUUUUCAUAGAGAGCCUCCUGUCAUAAAAUGGGCCCCCGGAAGUCUCAUAUUUGUUACGGGGUCAUCUGAGCUAUCAUUUUGGAAUCCUAAUGUGUCUAAACUAGGAGCUUACGUUGGGAGGAAGUAAAGUUUCUAACACUCAGCACCCUUAAGUAUCUGAAUAUUGAUGUCUAUCUAUUGCCGGGAGGGGAACUUGUUUGUAAGGAGAUGUUCAAUUUCCUAUAGUAGUAUGUAAAUGCAUCUGACUUCCCUGCUAGUAACCUUUCCUAACAAGUUCUGAAGAAACAACAGUAGAUCUGGUAUCAGUACUUAUUCAGAAGAGCAUUUCUUCUUACAUGCACAGCUAAGAGUACAUGAAUUGAGCUACUGAAGCCCUUCCUGACCAACCUGGCUAAGGCUCCUUUCAGUUUGUCCUCUUCAUGGUUCUUUGGCAGGCAACAGCGUAAGCAAUUACCUGGACUAUGAGGCCUUUUGUAGCGGGGUGGGCACUGCCUAGGCAGUUUUUGAAAAAACUAGGAGCUUUAUUUGUCAUUGACAUUUGUAGCACGAUUAGUUAUUACCUGGAUUAAGUUGUAUAUAUUACAUCGUAUACCUAAUCUGACAAAUAACAGGUUGCAAUCCAAGUUUUGUUGAUCAUGAAGGGUUUGAGCAUGAUAGUCCAUUUAGGUCAUUAGGUCUCCCUCGAAUUGCCACGUACACACUUCAAUCCUCUCAACGAGCGUCCCCGCAACGUCACACUCCACAUAAUCUCAAAUAAUUUAAAACAAUUAUAUACUUCUGGCUGCUCUUAUCUCCCUUCUCACCAACCGAGUCACUGGUUGGUUACAUUUUACUAACACCGCCGAAUGAGAGAUCAUAAUCCCUAUUACGUGUCCACCCUAACUGAUCACAACAUUGUCAUUUUUGAUCAUUCACAAAGAGAUUAAUUAACUCGGCAUGAUCUGCAAGGUCUGUCCCAAUUGUGUUUGUGUAUAUAUAUUUUAGCUUUCUCUCCUACACCCAGGCUUUAUGCCUCUCGUGCCUCAGUUUGAUGUGAAGAAAUGGUCCAUCAAGGCCAUUGGUAAUAGUCAGCAAUAGCAAUAUUGCCUUUCUUCAACCACAGCAAUGUUUAUUGGGUACGCAGGAUCAAUUAUCUUCUUAGUAAUUAACAUAAUAAUAUAUUAUGUUAAUAAAUGUGUUGUUUUCAAUAGAUUUUGGGGUAGGAAAAGUCAAAUCAAUCUAGAACAAUGAAUUUGUAUUUUUGGGGGAGACGGGGUACCUCACUUGUUUGUUGUGUGCGAUGUGGUGUAUCUAAAAUCCGAGGGAGGUGAGAAGCGGAGAGAGAGUGGUAACAAUGGUGAAAGGUCAAAACCAAGAGAGAUAUUCUUCAAAAUGAGCUUCACACCUGCAAAACAGUGAAAUAGAGGUUAGAGGUGAAGUCGGGGUAUCCCGGCGUUCAUACUCUGACGCUCAAGUUAGCAAACUCAAGCUUUUAUGGUCAAGAGAGCAGGCUAGCCCUCUGUAAAUUAGGGUUUACGAUUGAAGAAAACCUAUUUUUUGGAGUGUAAGUGUUAAUGGUGAGUGAGAACAUGAUGGAGAAUGAAACCUAGGCACCUUUAUAUAUGGAGUACCUCAGCAGCCACGUGGCGUACCCUUUUUGGCUAACGUCCUUUACAUUUUUAUGAUUUUUGGGCCGUAAUGUGCAUGUUCGCGGCGUAUCUCAUCUUUUGGAGACGUGGCGCACGCUGGAGAGUGGUCCAAGGUACCUCUGCAGUAGCUGUCGGGUAGGUGGCUGAGGACCACUGUCCUUGGGACAAUGUCCUUCACUUUUGGCAAAGGUAGCAGACGGCUGUCCCCCCCCAUUUGGUACGACGUUUUUUAUUCCUAAUUCUGACAAAAUCAAAUAUUAUCCUUCAAGAUAUGGAGAUAUUUCCUAUGGCGGACUUUUUCAGAGGAUUCUCCUGAGUCGGACCUGUCGGGUACCUCAAGUUAUUUGAGGUACCCCGAUCCAUGUGAGGUACCUCGAGUUAAUCUGGGGUGAAGUAGGGUAUCUCUAAUUAUGCUGGGUACAUUUAAUUAUGCAGAGUACCUCAAAUCAUGUCGGGUACCUCGAAUCAUACGGAGUAGCUCGAGUUAUCCCGGGUAUCUUGAAUUGUGCUGGAGUUAUUCCGGGUACCUCGAAUUAUACGGGGCACUCCAAUCUAUACGGGGUACCUCGAGUUACUCUGGAGUUAAGUGGGGUAUCUUUAAUUACUCCGGGUACCUUUAAUUAUUCGGGGUACCUCUAAUCAAGCCAGGUACCUCUAAUUACAUCGGGUACAUCUAAUUAUGCGGGGUGCCUCUAAUCAAGUCGGGUACUUCUAAUUACGCGGGGUACCUCUAAUUGCGCGGGGUACCUCUAAUCAAGCCAGAUACCUCUAAUUACGCCGAGUACCUCUAAUCAUGCGGGGUACCUCUAAUCAGGCAGGUACCUCUAAUCACGCCGAGUACCUCUAAUCAUGCGGGGUACCUCUAAUCAGGCAGGUACCUCUAAUCACGCCGAGUACCUCUAAUCAUGCGGGGUACCUCUAAUCAGGCUGGGUACCUUGAGUUAUUCUGAGUACCUUGAAUUAUGUUGGAGUUAUUCUGGGUACCUUGAAUUAUGCUGGAGUUAUUCUGGGUACCUCGAAUUAUACGGGGUACCCCAGUCUAUGCGGGGUACUUCGAGUUACUCUGGAGUUAUGCGGAGUACCUCUGACCGUGCCGAGUACCUCAAAUAAUGGCAGGUACCUCUAAUCGUGCGGGUUAUCUCUAAUCAUGUCGGGUACUUCGGAUUGUACUGAAGUUAUUCCAUUCGUCGACACGUGGCGUUCUGCUAUCUUUCUUAUUUUUCCCCCAAACAACAUCCCCCUAGUUUCUUUUGGCGAGAAGUAUUGGAGACAAAAGAAAUUUACAUAAAAAGUAGGAGCGACACGUGGCGAUAUGAAGUUUAGCUGGAUGGGCAGCUGAAUAAAGGACGCCUCUAGGGGUACCCUCAUGAAGGGAAGAUCUCUGGAGUGAACAAGACUUUGAGGGGACACUUUGAUGAAGUUUCAGAGGGGAAGGCCCAUAAGGUGGAAGACCCUAAGAAGCUUUAAGUUAAGCUUGAGGACUUGGUACCUCGACAAAAGAACAUAGUUGACAAUGCUUUUGAGCGCAUCAUGACCGAGGAAUGGAGUGUUGAUAUGGGGCUGGUGGUGCCAAGAGUAGAGAACUAGGUAGAUAAGCCGGCUAUCUUGAAGGCAAUUGAGAAUAGCAGGGCUCCCCACACAUCUUGGUCUGAAAGCCCAUGGAGAUCAACUGGAUUACCUCAGAUGAAGUCACCAUAAGGUACCCCUGAUACCGACGCUUGCGUUUAUGCUAUUUCUAGCACUUUUGUUGAUCCCCUUAUCCUAAAUGAUGAACGUGAAGAUAACCAUCCUACUAUGUAACAUUGUUUGGCAUUACCGACAAGGCGUAUGGGGUACCUCGGGUACCCUUAAGCUUGGAUAUCCCCUGAGUUAUCUAUUACUUCAUGGCGGGAUAACCCAACUUUAUCAAACAUAUGACGAUUCCUUCAAAUAUGCUUGUUGUUUAUCUCAAGCUUUCUUAGAGUUCCUCUUAGUGUACACGAGAAAUAGUUUUCUGUCAUAGGGUACCCUGAGUACUAUGGGUACCCUUAAUCUUGUCUCAUCAGUGUAUCGCGGUUUACUUAGACAUGUUGUUGCGGUUAAUUCAUGGCGGAACAACCUAAUUUCAUCAAGCUUUCUUAGGAUUCCUCUUGGUGUAUUUGAGGAGUGACUUUUUGGCGUAAGGUACCUCGGAGGUACCCUUAAUUAGUGUAUAGCGAUUUUCAUAGAAAUGCUUGCCGCAAAUCUUCACAAAACUUGUGGCAAUUCCUUUUGAGAGAUGAUGGAAAACCUCAUGAUCCACCAUUCACUCUACAUCAAAUAUGCAAGAUAAAUAGUAAUAUAGGUGAGCUGUUCGCCUACCCUUAUGCAAAAUGGUUGAAAAUUUCACGAUCCGCCAUUCGCGUGGAAUCAAAUAGACAACAUAGAUUACGGGUGGACGCGGUUCGGUUCGGUUUUUUACUAUAUUUUUCAUAAUCGUUCGAUUACGAUUAUUUUAAAAUCAUAAUCGCGAUUAAUCAAAUUACCGAAAUAAUCAAAUACUCGAUUAAUUGAAAUAAUUCGAUUCGGUUCGGUUCGAUUAUUUUGAUUAUGGGCCUAUUUUGGGCUUUUUCAAAUUUAAAACCUUAAAUUAAUAAAUCUACAACAAACAUAAAAAAUUAACAAACAAAAAAUCAAAAUAUGUCUCAAACAAUGUUCAAUAACACAUAACAUGUUCAAAUAACAAGUUCCAAUAAAAAUAAAUCAUAAUCUCAAUUACUCCUCAGCUUCUUGUUCUUGUUGAGCUACUAUUGGCCUACCAAAUUCUACAUUAACAAAUUAAACAAAAAUAUUAGAAUGAUUAUUUAAGAGUGAAAUAACCAAAACAACAUAUCAAAAUAUAGUACUAACAUAUUACCUGCUUUAAUAAUUUCAUAGAAUUCAGUUUCCUCCUAAGUAGGUUGUGUUAUCCGUUCUCUUAAUAGAGUUGAGCGAAGCCAAUUUUGAGUGCAAAUUAAUGACUCAACAGUUUUAUGAGUUAAAAAACUUCUAAAGGGAUCAAGAACACGCCCUUCUGUGCUAAAUGCCGAUUCCGAAGCUACAGUAGACACUGGAAUUGCCAAAACAUCUUUGGCAAUCUGAGACAAAAUCGGAUACCUAUGUCCAUUCAACUUCCACCAAGCCAAAAUAUCAAAAUGGGCAUUACUAGUACUCUCAUUAGCAUCCGUCAAGUACUUUUCAACAUCAUUUUUCGAACAAAUGUCAUCAUUUGAACUUUGCUUUAUUAUUUUGAAAGAUGAAAAAAGAUCAAUUGACAUUAUACUACUACUAGCACUAGCACCAGCACCACCACCACCACCACCACCACUACUACCAUUAUGGAUAUCACCAUAACAAACACCACCACUAUUCCUCACAUCACUCCCACCAAUAUAGCUAUUAUAUAGCUUCAUCAACAACUCUUUAAUGUUAGAUUUCAAUUCUUCAACCUUUCUAGAUUUAUACAUGUUACUAAAACAAAAUGUAACAAACUCCAAUUUACAUCUAGGAUCAAGCACAUUUGCUACAAAUAAUAACAUGUUAACCUGAUCAAAGAAUUACCCCAAUAUUUAGCAAACUUUUGUUCUAUUUUUUCGGCCAUUUUUCUUAACAAAUCAUCACUAGAAGUAGCAAGUGACUUCAAAUGAAUUAGAACUCUUGCCAUUUCAUUUAAGUAAUCAUUGGAAGUGACAUCAAGAGAGCUACUAAAUUUCAAGGUCACACAAUAAAAAACCGAUAAAAAAUUUACUAACCUCUUUGCAUUUCCCCAAUCGUCAUCGCUCGGUGGCCCCUCCCUCUUCUUUUCACCCUCCUCCUCAACAAACCAAAUAACAUAAUGUCCAUCAUCUUCCUUCAUCCUAUCAAAUGCUUUUUCAAACACAACCGCUUUAUGCAACAUCAAAUAUGUUGAAUUCCAUCUAGUAGGCACAUCCAACACCAUAAGCCCUCCAUAUGAGAUUUUCUCCCUAUCAACACAUGUUUUAAACUUUUGCAAUCUUGCUGGAGAGGAUCUAACAUACUUUACUGCAUUGCGAAUACUAGCUAUUGAAUUAUUCACCUCUACCAACCCAUCUUGCACAAUCAAAUUUAUUAUGUGUGCCGAACACCUCACAUGCAUAUAUAAACCAUUCAAAAUCAUUGAAUUCACACUCCAAUUUGCUAACUUCUUCUUCACAUAAGUUAUUGCAACUUUAUUGGCACUUGCAUUGUCCACUGUAAUUGUGAACAACCUCUCAAUCCCCGAAUCAAUCAAACAUGUCUCAAUUAGCUUCCCAAUACCAUCUCCUUUAUGAUUAGCUAUAGGUGUGAAACUAAGAAUUCUUUUGUGCAACACCCACUCCGCAUCAAUAAAAUGAGCAGUAAUGACCAUGUAGUUAGACAUUUGAAUUGAUGUCCACGUGUCUGUGGUAAUACACACCCUCUGCUUGCUUGCACCCAAGACACUUUUUAACAACCCUUUUUCAUGCUGAUACAAUUCAAGAAUAUCCCUUGUAAUUGUUCUUCGCGAUGGCACAUCAAAUCUUGGGCAACAAGUUUGCAUAAACUCUAAAAACCCUUUGGCCUCCACAAAGCUAAAAGGUAAUUCAUCCUUGACAAUCAUCUUCACAAGUGCCAUUCUACAAGCCUCUUGACUAAAUCUGCCACUAACUUUAACAACUCCAUCAUCUUUAUCUUUUCCCUUUUGACGGAAAAGUACUUGUUGCUUCGGAUCCCCUUCAACCUUCACAUCUUGAUAUAACCUACAUCUAUCCAAAUGAUUCUUCAAAUUAGUGGUAUUUCCUCUAUUAGCUGCAAAGGUUUUAAGACAAUGAUGACAUUUUCCUUUGUUUCCACAAGAUAGUUUGGUAAAAUGAGCCCAUUUGAUCUCAAAGGUAUUUUUCUUUUUUUCCCAUCAUCAACCUCCACCUCUUGCACUUCCUCCUCAUCAUAAUUUUCCAUUCUACACAAAAAAAAAUCAACACCACAGCAGCAACAAAUCAACACAACAGCAGCAACAAAUAAAAAAUCUUGGGGAUUAACCAACCAUUUAAAGACACUUAGCAGAGGGUCGUGACUAGAACUUUUUUUUAAUAAUUUUGGCAUUGUUGUUGUCUAAUGUUGCCCAUUUAUGAAAGCAACAAAUUUCUUGUGAAAAUAUUAUAUAGAAAUGAGCUUUCAAUAAUUGUUUGAAUAAAAAAUUUUGGAAGUGGGACAGUCCUUGAAGAGUUGAAAACAUUGAUCAAGAUAGACUACUUGUACUUUGCUUAUAUUAAUGAUCACGAGUUUAAUUUAGAGAUUUGAGCCCAAGUCCCUCCAUUUACAUUAUUAAUCAUUUUUUUUAUUAACGCUAAUUGAUUAGAGGAAUGUGAUAAUGAAAAGAUGAAAAUACCUGCUCAAAUGCUUUGCCGAGUACAUACUUACAAAUCCACUAGUUUAGCUUUUAAUCACAUAUAUAAACCACCAUCGUCACAAAAUUAUCAUAUAUUACACAAUAAUCAAAGCAAAUUAUUGAAAAUCUAUGAAGCUAACCAACUCGGCUCAUCUAAAUCUACUCCAACAGUAAACACUCACAAGUCCAACAACGUUAAACUCUGUUUCAAGUUUUACUGUUUUUACUCUCGGCAUGAGCACAUCAUCAUGUGAAACCAUUAAAAUCCAAGUAAUAGCAAACUCACAAGUUGUAGCUUCGUGGAGAUCACUCGGCGACGAGCAGCAGCGGCGACGCGGCAGCAACAACGAUGGGCACGAGCAGCGGUAGCAGCAGCGACGGGCACGAGCAGCGGCAGCAGCAGCGACGGGCACGAGCAGCGGCAGCAGCAGCGACGGGCACGAGCAUCGGCAGCAGCCGCGGCGGGCACAGCGGCAGCAGCAGCUACGAGCACAAGCAGCGGCAGCAGCAACAACGAGUUCAGGGGCUGAAGGUCACGAGUUCAGUGGCUGAAGUGAAGAUCAGUUUACUCACUUUAGGUUUAGUUUAGGGAUUCCGGAUUAUUAUUCGGUUUAUUUGAUACUCGGUUCGGUUUUUCAGUUUUUUUUUUAAACCGAAAACCGAACCGACUGGUUUUACUAUUUUCUCUAUAUUACUAAUUCGGUUUUUUGGGUGUAAAAAAUCCGUAAAAAAAUGAACCGAACCGAACGGUUCGGUUCGGUUUUCGAUUAAUCAACUUUUUUUGCCCACCCCUAACAUAGAUUAAGAUAAAGGUGGCUGCUCGCCUACCCUUAUGCAAUAUGGUCGAAAACCUCAUGAUCCACCAUUCUCUGGAAUCAAAUAGACAACAUAGAUUGAGAUAAAGGUAGCUACCCGCCUACCCUUAUGCGAGAUAGUCGAAAACUUCAUGAUCCACCAUUCGCAUGGAAUCAAAUAGACAAUAUAGAUCGAGAUAAAGGUGGCUACUCGCCUACCCUUAUGCGAGAUGGUCGAAAUCUCAUGAUCCACCAUUCGCAUGGAAUAAAAUAGACAACAUAAAUAAAUAUGAAGGUGGCUGCUCGCCUACCCUUAUGCGAAAUGAUUGAAACCUCAUGAUCGACCAUUCGCUCAGAAUCAAAUAUGGCGAACAAAUAAUGAUAAAGGCGGACUUGAUGUUAAGUAGAUUAUCAUGAUUGGGGAUAGGUCAGGUACCUCGGGUACCUUGGAGUAAAGUGAUCUCUGGAUACCCUAUUGCAUCAUAAUAAACAAUACUUUUACUAGUAGUAUGACUUUUCUUUGUUGGAUCGGUGGCCCAAAUCGAGUCUUCAAUCGGGGUACCCCGUUUUUCAUCUUUGGGUAUUCGAGGAUCCAAAGAUGCCUCCAAUUCAAAUUUGGGCUUAAUUUGGUCCCCGUGGGGUACCCCCACAUAACUAUAGAGUAACUAGUUAUGGGGUACCCUACUAUCGAGGCCUCGGUGGUGGCUCUCGCUGAUCCGGUGGUGGCGAUCUUGGAGGUUGGGGUACCCUUGAGGUACCCUGAGCGUUAUACCCUCGUCCCCGCAGGGCAGCCCGUGGAGGGCUCCGUGCUCGGGGUACCCGUGGUAUUGGAGCCUUCAUCCUCUUGGGCUUUUCCUUGUUCUUUGUAACAUCGGCUUUAUCUUCUUCGCGCUUCAAUUGGCAUUUCUCGUCCAUCUCCACCUGCUGCAAUGCCCGGGAACGGGCUUCCCCAUAUGAAAGUGGGCGCUUCUUUUGAAAGGAACGCCAUAACAUGCCCAACCGUAAAUUUUUCUCAAAAUGGGUCAUUGUGUAUUAGUUUCCAAAUGCUCCGGUUCGCAGCACCUCUUGGUGGAAACGACUCACAUACUUCGCUAAAGGGUCGGCUUCCCCUUGCUUGAUAAAGGCAAGUUUAGAGGCUACCCUAUCUUGAGUGGAAGCAUAGGAAACGCUUUCGUAAAUUCGGAUAACAAUUGGUAUAGGGAAGAUAUGCUACCCGUUUUCAAAUAGUGAAACCAUGACUUCGCGGGGCCCGUGAGUGAGUGUGUAAACAUCCUACACAUGGCGCUCUCAUCUAUACCCUUGAUAAGCAUUUGAUCGCGAUAUAGCUCAGCAUGCUCCGAGGGAUCAGUGGUACCCAAGUAUUAGGGUAUCUGAGGCAUGGCGAACGCCUCGAGGAGAGCUGCCGUCCGAAUCUCCAUAGUGAAUGGCGAUUGGUAGGUCAUUGGCGUUGGAGCAGGUGUGAUGUUUUGCUUCUCGGAGAGGAGCUUCACUUGGGCUUCCAGGUUCUCCAUUUUUUUCACAAGUUCGAAGGGUACUCUCGGGGUACUCGAUGAUGUCACCGCCAUUUGAGAAGCCUUUUUGGCGUUUAACUUCUCACGGAGAUCCUCAUGGAUACGCUUUGCACGCCUCAUACCCUGGCUGCUACGGGAAUUGUAAGAGGCGAUGGAACGCUCAUCUCGGGAGCCCACGGUUUGAAACUUAGAACGGGUACCUGAUGGCCUAUGCUUUGGCUUACUGGCCUCGGGUACCUCUCUUCUAGCCAUAGUUUGGUCGUCCGUUUUAGGUGGUGGAGCAUCUAGCGUUACUGGUGAAAGUGAACUUUCGGGUGCCCGAGAUCCAACCGCCCUAAGUAUUGCGUGGGCAAGAUCCUCGAAACGCUUGUGAGAAAUAGGUUCCUCAUCUUGGCGAACACCCGUCGAUUGCUUGAUACCUUUGCCCUUGCUGAUGCGGGCUACCCUUCUUGCGGGAUCACUACCUUCACUGCUGCUAUCAUCUCUCAUCCUUGUAGGAUCCGCCACUAAACCUUCGGGCGGUACGUUGGGUGCCAUGUAUUGGAGUACACACAACAACUAGUUUGGUAACCGUGGUGGAGGCUUUUUGUACGCUUCCCCACAGAUGGCGCCAAUUGUUUUCGAUAGAUUUGGGGUAGGAAAAGCCAAAUCAAUUUAGAACAACAAAUUUAUAUUUUUUGGGGAGACGGGGUACCUCACUAGUUUGUUGUGUGCGACGUGGUGUAUCUAAAAUCCAGGAGAGGUGAGAAGGGGAGAGAGAGUGGUAACAAUGGUGAAAGGUCAAAACCAAGAGAGCUUCACGCCUGCAAAACUGUGAAAUAGAGGUUAGAGGUGAAGCCGGGGUACCCCGGCGUUCACACUCCGACGCUCAAGUUAGCAAACUCAAGCUUUUAUGAUCAAGAGAGCUGGCUAGCCCUAUGUAAAUUAGGGUUUAAGGUUGAAGAAAACCUAUUUUUUGGAGUGUGAGUGUUAAUGGUGAGUGAGAAUAUGAUAGAGAAUGAAACCUAGGCACCUUUAUAUAUGGAGUACCUCAGCUGCCACGUGGCAUACCCUUUUUGGCUAACGUCUUUUACCUUUUUAUGAUUUUUGGGCCGUUAUGUGCAUGUUCGCGGCGUAUCUCAUCCUUUGGAGACGUGGCGCACGCUGGAGAGUGGUCCAAGGUACCUCUGCAGUAGUUGUCGGGUAGACGGCUGAGGACCACUGUCCUUGGGACAAUGUCUUUCACCUUUGGCAGAAGUAGCAGACGGCUGUCCCCCCUUUUGGUACGAUGUUUUUGAUUCCUAAUUCUGAAAAAAUCAAAUAUUAUCCUUCAAGAUAUAGAGAUAUUUCCUAUGGCGGAUUUUUUCAAAAGAUUCUCCUGAAUCGGACCUGUCGGGUAACUCAAGUUAUAUGAGGUACCCCGAUCCAUGUGAGGUACCUCGAGUUAAUCUGGAGAGAAGUGGGGUAUCUUUAAUUAUGCUGGGUACCUUUAAUUAUGUAGAGUACCUCAAAUCAUGUCGGGUACCUCGAAUCAUGCGGAGUAUCUCGAGUUAACCCGGGUAUCUUAAAUUGUGCUGGAGUUAUUCUGGAUACCUCGAAUUAUACGGGGUACUCCAAUCUAUGUGGUGUACCGCGAGUUACUCUGGAGUUAAGUGGGGUAUCUUUAAUUACGUCGGGUACCUCUAAUUGUGCGGGGUACCUCUAAUCAAGCUGGGUACUUCUAAUUACGCCGGGUACAUCUAAUUAUGCAGGAUGCCUCUAAUCAAGUCGGGUACUUCUAAUUACGCCGGGUACCUCUAAUUGCGCGGGGUACCUCUAAUCAAGCCAGAUACCUCUAAUUACACCGGGUACCUCUAAUCAUGCGGAGUACCUCUAAUCAGGCCGGGUACCUCUAAUCACGCCGGGUACCUCUAAUCAUGCGGGGUACCUCUAAUCAUGCUGGGUAUCUCGAGUUAUUCCGAGUACCUUGAAUUAUGUUGGAGUUAUUCUGGGUACCUUGAAUUAUGCUGGAGUUAUUUCGGGUAUCUUGAAUUAUACAGGGUACCCCAGUCUAUGCGGGGUACUUCGAGUUACUCUGGAGUUAUGCGGAGUACCUCUGACCGCGCCGGGUACCUCAAAUCAUGGCAGAUACCUCUAAUCGUGCGGGGUACCUCUAAUCAUGUCGGGUACCUCGGAUUGCACUGAAGUUAUUCCAUUCGUCGACACGUGGCGUUCUGCUAUCUUUCUUAUUUUUCCCCCAAACAUGUGUACAUAAAUUUUAUUCAAUAUUUAUAGUUUUACAGCAAUUUAAUAAUAAAAUUUACCAAACAUAUACAACUAUUUUUAUAACUCACAGCUCCUUUAAAAAUAAGUUUUUGUAAACAUUUAAUUAAUUUUCUUUACAAUUAAUUAUUUCUAUAGCACAACUAACAUCAAUUAUUUUAAAAGCUACAGCAUUACCAAAUUGGCCCCUUACUCUUUCUAUCAAAAUUAUUAUUUAAAAGUUCUAAUUGCAAUACGUUAUCAACUUUUAUUUCACAUUUACAAAUUUUUUUCACAACAGCUAUAACUUAAAAGUUGCAUCAUCUUAAUACCAAAUAGGGCCAUAGUAAUUUGGGACCUUUUUUUCCCCCAUUUUUCCUCUUCUUCAGUAACUUAAAAAAAAAAACUAGAAACAAAACAGAAACAUUGAGUAUGAAAUUAAGCAUUAGUCAAGUAUGAAGUUGGGUGAGUCGAGUAUAAAAUUAAGUACUUUUGUAUAUGAUUUUAAAUAAAGGGUAUUUUAAUAUUCUUUGUGAUUUUGGAAUAUUUCUAUAAUACCAGUAAACUAUGUAAUAAGCAUAUAUUUGUUAUUUUGUUGUGAAUGGGACAUAUCUGGGGCCAUUUGCUCCCGUGACCGAUCUUUAUAACAGAUCCAAUUACCCUCGUUAUAGUCACUGGAUCGAAAGCUAACAUAGCUCAAUUCUGAUAUGUAAUGUGUGAUGGGAGAGUCACAAAUUAUUGUAUAAAUUUAUUUUAUCUAAAUUAAUUAGUAUAAAUUGAUGGAAAUAUAAAAUAAUAUAAAUAUAAAUUACGUAGACCAAAGUGUAUUUAAUAUAACUAAUAAAAUUUUACUCAACCAGUUUAUAUAAGAAUUUGUAAUUUUAUUAUUAGUCAUGGUAAUUAAACAGUGGCUGAUUGGUCAGCUAGUGGUAUAAGUGGCAACGACCAAACUGUUGAGUCUCUACGUGGGUUUUCAAAAUGAGUCAAGAGUCAAGAAAUUAGCUAUCAAGUUAUGACAAUAUUUGUAAACAUGUCUUUUAGAUGAUACAUUGUCAUAAUCAGCAUCAUAUCCUAAUUGACUAAGAAGGAUUACGAGGGAAACUAAGCAUGUGCCUUCAUUUUCACUUGAAAUAAAGCGCGAGGGAAAGAUCUCAUGUUAUCACAUGAUGCCGUGUGAUCACCUAGAAGCCCUUCCACGCAUAUUUCUUCUCAAAUUGUCUUCUUCUAAUUUCUUGGGCCAUCGCGGAACCACAAUGUCAAUGGAUGAGCGAGUGUUGCUCAGCUCGCAGCAUUUGGAGCCGGAGCUUAGCUUCCCUUAUUUGUUGGUCGUUUGGUAGGCGUCGCCAAAGGGCAAAGACGAUCCUCUGGCGUUCGUGGAGCUGGUCCUCAAUGCGAUUGAUUUCUUCUCCAAGUUGAGCAAGUCUUUGUACCAUAGCCAUAUAAUUAUUUACUUUGGACCGAUGCAAUUCUCUUCUAAAAAUUUCAAGGAGCACUUUUCAUCUGUACCCAAAUGUUUCAUCAUAAUUUUAUUGUAUACACACUUGCUUCAACAGCUAUGACGGCUCACUCUUUUUGUUAAAUAUUGUUGUUGCCAUUAAUUUUGACAUCUUUGACGUUAAAAGACAACUUUACCCUUAUUUAUAUUUUUAAUGCAAAAUUACCAAAAAACCAGAACACCAGUUUCUAAUUCCAAUUGACUUGUGGGGAUAUUAAAAUUUAAUUUUGGCAUCUUUGACAUUAAAAGAUAAUUUUACCCUUAUUUAUAUUUUUUAAUGCAAAAUUACCAAAAAAAACCACAACACAAGUUUCCAAUUCUAAUUCACCUGUGUGGAUAUUAAAAUUUCUUAAAGGUUAGAAAAAAAGUAAAAAUGUUUUGUUCAAAAUAUCCCCUAUGCCAUCAUCCAUAAACGUCCAUUCUUCAUAACAAUCUAGUAAACUUGGAAAAAGCAAGAUCCCAGUCAAUCAACCAGCCAAAAUUCUUCAUAAAGUUUAGCUUUUCUUAAAAAAUUUUAAAUCUUGAGUUAAAAAUUUUAAUUCUUGAGACCCUAAAUUAAUUGAUAAUGAAAGUCACAUGUUUCUAUAACAAAAAUCUUCAAGAAUAACAGUACAAUGAAAAUCUUCAAGUAAAUAAAAAUCUAUAUUCAUAAUAUUUAUGAAUAAAUUGUAAAUAAUAUAGAGUGGUUUACAAUUUUAUAAUGUAUUCACUAAACAGGAAUCGAAAUUAUUUGGAAACAUAAUGAGUUAGAAUCAGAAUAUGUAGAAUAGAAAUAAGGAAUUGGAAUCAGAAUAAUUUAUUUACUUGAACUGCAGGAAUCGUAAUUAGAAUGAGUCAUUUACGUGUUUACUUUGUCUUAAAAUCAAAAUUGGAAUGAGUUAAAUUGUAACAAAUUACUAUAAAAUCUAUAAUUAAUUUUUAUCAUAAUUAUUAUUUUUUAUUUUAAUUAUUGUGAUUAUUAUUAUUAAUAAAAAAUUAAUUAUUAACAAUAAUUAUUGUUAAUUAUUAUUAUUAUUAAAAAGUUAACUAAAAAGUUAUUAUUAAUUAUUGUUAAUAGAUUAAUUAAUUAUAAUACUUUUUAUUCUUGUUAAUAAUAAUAAUAAUAAUAAUAAUAAUAAUAAUAAUAAUAAUAAUCCAUUUACAAUUUAUAAUUAUAUUUAUAAUUAAGUGGAAAUUAAAGUGGUAGGUGUUAACAUAAAUUAUUCUUGAUUGAUUUUGAUGAUAACAAACAUGAUUAAGAUUGAUUAAUCGAUUUAAAAGCUCAACAUAAUUUUCAUCUAUUUUGACAAGUUUCAUAAAGUAUUUUUAUAAAGAUUUGGAGACAAAACAGUCAUCUUGCAAAAUAGUUCACUGCAGCAGUUUUUGUGGAAAACGGCGAUCCGACAUGUGUAGUAAACGGCUCGCCGAUUUCAAGCAGAAAUGGAGAUUAGCCUCUGGACGAAAACGGCACACCGACAUUUGUGAUAAACGGCUCGCCGAUAUCAACCAGAACUGAAGGGUAGCCUCUGGACCUAAACGGUGAACCAACAUGUGUGAUAAACAGCUCGCCGAUAUCAACCAGUAGCCUCUGGACCUAAACGGCGAUCCGACAUCUAGAUAACGGCGAUCCGACAUCUAGAUAACGGCGAUCCGACAAUUUGAAAAAUCAGCCCAACGGUCAUAUUGACCAGUCAAACGGCGAUCCGACAGUGUGCAGAAAGUCAAUAACGGCUAGUUUUCAGCAGCAGCUAUAAAUAAGCUCAUUCAAAUUCAAACAAAGAUUGAUCACAACACGACCAUUGAGCAAAUAUUCGAGAAUACAAUCUCCAUAGAGCUUAGAACACAUUCUUGCUUCAUCUAUUCACAUAUUAAGCAUCAUUGUGUAAUCUUAUAUAUUGUGAGAGGCAAAACAGUUUGUAAUCUUUUACUUUGAGUGAUUGUAAGUGUUGGGAUACACUUGGGUUAAGAGAUUAGGGAUAAUCUCUUGUUGUAAAGGUCCAUUGACACCUUGGAAGUCAAGUGUAAGCAUUUGAAGCCUUGGAGGCUUGCUUAGUGGAAUCCUCAAGCCCGGAAAGCUUGGAGGCGUGGACGUAGGCGAGGUUGGCCGAACCACGUAAAAAUCUCGGUGUUUGAAUCCCUCUUCCCUUAUCUUUUUAUAUUGUGAUCAUCCUAAUUGUUGUUGCUUUAAAUUUGAUUUAUAAUUGCAUUAAGAUUUUCUUUAAUAAAUUGAAUAGUUUUUUAGAAUCUCAAUUCACCCCCCCUCUUGGGUUGCAUACUUGUAUUUCAAUUGGUAUCAGAGCCUCGUUCUCUUGUUAAGACUUAAUCGUCUAGAGUAAAAGAUCCAUGGCAACCCUAAAUGACUCAACCUUUAGAGAAGGGCAAUCCACAACUAGACCACCAUUUUUCGAUGGUAAUGACUAUGCUUAUUGGAAAACUAGAAUGAGAAUCUAUUUGCAAACCUUAGAUUAUGAAAUUUGGGAAGUUGUUUGUGAUGGUCCAUUCAUGCCUACGUUCAAAGAUGAAGUAGGAGAUGAUAUUCCUAAACCAUCGAGUCAAUGGAGUGAGUUAGAAAAGAGAAAGAUGUCUCUAAACUCCAAGGCUAUGAAUGCUUUGUUUUGUGCCCUUGAUAAGAAAGAAUUCCAUAGAGUAUCUAGUUGUGAAAGUGCACAAGAGAUAUGGAACAAACUUGAAGUUGUCUAUGAAGGGACAAAUCAAGUGAAAGAGUCUAAAAUCAGUAGAUACACUCGUCAAUAUGAGUUGUUCCAAAUGGAACAAAAUGAAAAUGUGUAUUCUAUGUAUACUAGAUUCACGGACAUAGUGAACACCCUAGGUGCCUUAGGGAAAACCUUCUCAAAUAGUGAGAAAGUUAAGAAAAUCAUUAGGUCACUUCCAAAAGAAUGGAGACCUAAAAGAACCGUCAUUGAAGAGGCCAAAGAUUUAAAUACUUUACCUCUUGAUGAUUUGAUUGGUUCUCUCAUUUCAUAUGAAGAGGAUUUAGCUGCAGAAAAAGGACAUGAGGAGAAGAAGAAAAGCAUUGCUCUCAAAGCUUCAAAAUAUGAGAGUGAUGGGGAGAGUGAACCAGAUGAUGAAGAGCUAGCCAUGCUAGCAAGGAGGUUCAGAAAAUUCUUCAAGAAAACCGGAGAGCGAAGAAAUUUCAGAAACUUCAAGAACCAUAGGGAGAAGAAGGAGGCAAUCACAUGCUAUGAAUGCAAGAAGCCUGGACAUAUAAGAUCGGAGUGCCCACUUAUCAACAAACUCAAGAAGAAAGCAAUGGUUGCAACUUGGGAUGAUAGUGAGGAAGAAUCAAGUGAUGAAGAAGGAUCGCAAGAAGUAUCAAACCUAGCACUCAUGGCAAUAGGAGGGGAUGAUGAUCUCAAUGAGGUAAGUGAUCCCACCUAUGAUGAAUUGUAUGAUGCUUUUAAAGAUUUGCAUGAUGAGUUGAUGAAGAUUGGUAAAAAGAAUGUAUGUCUUAAAAAGGAAAUGGCAAAGCUUAAAAAUGAAAAUGAAUCUCUAAAUGCAAGAAUUGUAUGCCUAGAAGUAGGGAACAAAACAUUGCAUGAUGAAAUUGCAUUAUCAAAUGAGAAACCUAGCAUCUUACAUGAGCAUUUAGAAUCACACAUAGAUGAGUUGAAAAAUGAGAACGAAAUGCUCAAGAAAAAGAGCAAUGAAUUAAAUGAAAUUGUUUUGAAAUUUACAAAUGGGCAAAAGAUGUUGGAUAAUAUGCUUAACUCACAAAAAUGUGUUUUUGAUAAAGGAGGACUUGGAUAUAAGCCUAACUUGAAGCAAAAGUAUUAUAAGAAUUAUUUUGUUAAAGCUACCUCCAUAAAUGAUCAUAAGAUUGUAUGUCACUAUUGUAAUCAAAAUGGUCACAUGAAAUAUAGAUGUCCCGUAAAAAGGAAUGCAUAUUAUGGUGUCAAAUGCAUUUGGGUUCCAAAAGGAACCGUUGCUAACUCUCAAGGACCCAAAAAGCUUUGGGUACCUAAAACUUGAGACUUUUUCUUGUAGGGCUUGAAGAAGAAGAAAAAUAAAUGGUACUUGGACAGCGGUUGUUCAAGGCACAUGACCGGAAACUAUGCAUGGUUCUCAAGCUUCACCAAAAUUGAAAAUGGUGGAGACGUAUCUUUUGGAGACAACUCAAAAGGAAAAAUUCUUGGAAUUGGAAAUGUUGGUAAAGUCUCUUCAACUCUAAUUGAGAAUGUAUGUAUGGUUGAGAACUUGAAACACAACUUAAUUAGCAUUAGUCAAUUAUGUGACAAAGGUUAUAAAGUUAUCUUUGAUAAAUUUAGUUGUGUUAUUGAGAACUCAUGUGAUGGCAAAACCGUAUUUGUUGGAAAUAGAUGUGGUAAUGUUUAUAUCAUUGACAUAGAAUGUGCAUCUACUCUUGAUAAAUGUUUUUCGGCAUUGCAUGAUGAUUGUCGGUUAUGGCAUAGAAGGUUAGGACAUGCAAGUAUGGAUUUGAUUUCAAAAAUUUCGAAAGAUGAUUUAGUUAAAGGUCUUCCGAAAAUUGGUUUUCAAAAGGAUAAGAUUUGUGAAGCUUGUCAAUUUGGAAAACAAAUUAAAACUUCUUUCAAGAAUAAAAACCAUAUUUCUACUUCAAAACCUCUUGAACUUCUUCACAUAGAUCUUUUUGGGCCAUCUAGAUAUGCAAGUCUAAAUGGCAAAUAUUAUGCAUUUGUGAUAGUGGAUGAUUAUUCUAGAUAUACGUGGGUAUUAUUCUUAGCCAAUAAGGAUGAUGCUCUUGAUGCUUUUAAAGUGCUUUGUAAGAAAUUACAAAAUGAAAAAGGGCGUGGUAUUGUAUGCAUUAGGAGUGAUCAUGGAGGAGAAUUUGAAAAUCAUGCAUUUGAGAUUUUUUGCAAUAAUCUAGGCAUUGAGCAUCAAUUUUCAUCACCUAGAACUCCACAACAAAAUGGAGUUGUUGAGAGAAAGAAUAGGUCUAUUCAAGAAAUGGCUAGGACCAUGCUAAAUGAAAAUGCAUUACCAAAAUAUUUUUGGGCCGAAGCCGUCAACACCGCUUGUUAUGUUUUAAAUCGGGUGUUGAUUAGACCUAAUCUUAAUAAAACUCCCUAUGAGCUUUGGAAAAAUAGAAAACCCAACAUUGGCUAUUUCAAAGUUUUUGGAUGCAAAUGUUUUAUUUUAAACACAAAAGAUAAUCUUGGUAAAUUUGAUCCAAAAUCUGAUGUUGGCAUCUUUCUUGGGUAUUCAAACUCAAGUAAAGCUUAUAGAGUUUAUAAUAAAAAAACUUUAGUUGUGGAGGAGUCCAUGCAUGUUACGUUUGAUGAAUCUAACCCCUCCUCUACGGAGAAAGGAGUUGCUAAUGAUAAUGCAGAUGGAGAGUUACAAGAAGAAUCAUCAAAAGAGAAUCAAGAGAAUGCACCACAAGAAAAUCAAGAGGAUAGACAAGAAGAACAAACAAAUAUGGAGCUGGAACAACAAGAUGGUAUUUCUCAAACACUCCCCAAGGAGUUGAGGUAUGUCUCUUCUCACCCUAAAGAUGUAAUUUUAGGAGAUCCCUCACAAGGUGUUACAACUAGAUCAUCAUUUAGGAAUACUUGUGAGCAUAAUGUAUUCAUUUCUCAAAUUGAACCCAAAUCCUUUGAGGAUGCGGAAAAUAAUGAAUCUUGGAUUAUGGCAAUGCAAGAGGAAUUAAAUCAAUUUGAAAGAAACAAUGUGUGGGAAUUAGUUCCUAAACCGGAACAUCAAUCCGUCAUAGGUACUAAAUGGAUUUUUAGAAAUAAGAUGGAUGAAUCCGGUGUGGUUGUAAGGAAUAAAGCUAGAUUGAUUUUGAUGAAACUUUUGCACCCGUUGCUAGACUAGAAUCAAUUAGAAUGUUGUUGGCAUUUGCAUGCCAUAAAGAUUUCAUCUUAUUUCAAAUGGAUGUGAAAAGUGCUUUCCUAAAUGGGUAUGUUAUGGAAGAAGUGUAUGUAAAACAACCCCCUGGCUUUGAAAAUGAAAAGUUUCCAAAUCAUGUUUAUAAGUUGCUUAAAGCCUUGUAUGGAUUAAAACAAGCACCUAGAGCAUGGUAUGAUAGACUUAAGAAUUUCCUGUUGGAAAAUGAUUUUUCAAUGAAUAAAGCGGAUACUACUCUAUUUGUUAAGCAUAAGAACCAAGAUAUACUUAUUGUUCAAAUUUAUGUUGAUGAUAUUAUUUUUGGUUCUACUAAUGAAUUGUUGUGUAAAGAAUUUUCAUCGUGUAUGAGCAAAGAAUUUGAGAUGAGUAUGAUGGGAGAGUUGAAGUACUUCCUUGGACUUCAAAUCAAACAAAACGAGGAAUGAAUUUUCAUAAAUCAAGCCAAGUACGUAAAAGAUCUACUCAAACGAUUCGACAUUGAUGAAUCAAAGACCAAGAAUACACCAAUGAGCACAACAACCAAGCUGGACAAAGAUGAAAAAGGCAAAGAAGUGGAUAUCAAAAUGUAUCGAGGUAUGAUCGAAUCCCUACUUUAUUUGACUGCAAGUAGACCCGAUAUCAUGUUUAGUGUAUGUUUGUGUGCAAGAUUUCAGUCAUGUCCCAAGGAAUCUCAUUUGCUUGCUGUUAAAAGAAUUUUCCGUUAUUUGAGUGGAACCAUAGAUAUUUGCCUUUGGUAUCCUAGGGGAACUCAUAUAGAUUUAACAUGUUAUUCUGAUGCGGACUUUGCCGGUUAUAAAGUGGAUAGGAAAAGCACUAGUGGUACUUGCUAUAUUCUAGGACACUCUCUUGUUUCAUGGUUUAGCAAGAAACAAAAUUCUGUCGCACUUUCAACUACCGAGGCUGAAUAUAUAGCUGCCGGAAGUUGUUGUGCACAAGCACUUUGGAUGAAACAAACACUUAGAUAUUAUGGCAUUAAUCUUAAAAAAAAUUCCUAUUAAGUGUGAUAAUACUAGUGCUAUUAAUCUUUCAAAGAAUCCCAUUCAACACUCUCGAACCAAGCAUAUAGAAAUAAGACAUAAUUUCUUGAGAGAUCAUGUUCAAAAGAGAGACAUUGCAUUAGAGUUUAUUUCUACGGAAAAAUAACUUGCCGAUAUUUUUACAAAACCACUUUGCGAAGAACAAUUUUCCAAAAUUCGGCAUGAACUUGGGAUGAUGAAAUUUUCACAUUAACAUCUUUAUUCAUGCUAUUGAGUCUAUUAACAUUGAUUGAUCUAUGACUUGAUGCUUUAAUAUCUAUGAAAUGCUCAAUCGUAAUAUACAUGUGAUGUGUAUGGAUAUUUGAAAAUGUAUGAAUUAAUUGUUGCAAUACAUAUAUAUAUUCAUGAAUUAUGCAUUGAACUGGCACUCAAAUCAUUUUGGAUCAAUAAAAUGAUCUUGAAAUGUAUUAAUAAGUAGCCAAAUAUCAAAAUACAUGUGCGAAAUCAUAAGUUGUAGAAAACGGAUUACCGUUAUUUCAAUAAACGGCUAACCGUUUUGGGCAGAAACAAUGGAAAGUUUUUCUGGGCGCUAUCGGUUCGCCGAUAACUAUCUAUCGGUUCGCCGAUAACUAUCUAUCGGCUCGCCGUCCUGAUACAAAAUUUUGAGGAGACUCCCUGGACCCUAUCGGCUCGCCGUUAUUUCUAUAAACGGCUCGCCGUUCUGAUGAAAUUUUUUGGAGGACUCUCUGGACUCUGUCGGCUCGCCGGUUUCUUUAUAACGGCUCGCCGUUAUCACGCGUAAAUUGAACAGUCCUUCGUCUUCUUCCUCAUUUCGGCUUCUCUUUCUCUCUCUCUCUCUCUCUUCAGCCCGCGACAGCACCAGUUCUCUACUCUCAAAUCCAUCACUUUUCUUGUCAUUUUUCAUCAAAUUGAUGCAUUACAAACCAUUUUUAUCUUCUCUAGAACCUUUUAACCGACUCAAAUCCUUCUCUUUCAUCUAAAAAUUGAAAAAUCUUCUUUUUGAAACCCUAGAACCAGCCGAGCCUUCCUUGCUCAAAUUAACCCAAAUCUCUUCCUUUUUCCAAUCACAUUUCCACACGCAAUCACUAUCUCAUCUCUCAAACUUCAUUUCCACAAAUUUUUUUUCUCCCAACACAUCCAUGGCGGAACGACCACAAAGGCGUGCUCGAACCAAGCACACUGCUCCACGCCGUUCUAGUCCACCCAGGUCUCCUCCUCAAGACUUCGAGAGUCUUCAUUUUCCCGAUGCUACCUCUGCUCAGCGAUUUCGUGAGAAAUUCAUUGGUAAACCCGUAAUUCCCUCUUUUUCUCUUAACAUCUCGGAGUUUUCGGAUAUUACUGUUUGUGGUAACUCCAUUACUCAAAUGCUUAAUCAUUGGCAGCAAGCAUUAAGUAUUGAAGAACCUAUUUAUGAAAAUCUAGUUCGAGUCUUUUAUUCUAACAUAGAAUUCUCCUCUACUCGUCGUGACGAGCUUCAUACUUUUGUAGGAGGAAUUCGCAUUGAACUAGAUGAACCCGAAUUAUGUAGUAUUCUAGGAAUUGCUUAUGGAGGGUUAGAUCUGUACACUGCUAGGAAAGAACUUUCUUUUAGUAAUUUUCGUCAUGUGGAUGGUGUACGGAACAUUUUUCGUCGUCGGGAUCUUUCCAAUGACAUCUGCUCUCUGUCCUUCAGGUCUCAACUCCUCCCUUUUCAGAUUCGAAUUCUUCACAUUAUUCUCCAACACAUGGUCACUCCUAGACAGGGUCACACUGAUGAGGUCACUAGGCUUGAUAUUGGUCUAUUAGAUUCUCUUAUCCGUCGACGCCAUGUGAGCCUAUCCUACACUAUUAUGUGCCAUAUGCUGUCCACCCCUAAAGUCUCCAAUCGAUCUCUUCCUUAUGGCAGCAUCAUUACUAAAAUCUUGAACCACUUUCAUGUUCCUAUCAUCGAGCCUGUUUUUCUCGAGACUCGUAAGCUCGGACGAGAAAUUAUUUCUGCCAUCAGAUUCUUUAAGAAGCGUGGGAAAUGGGAUAAGACCACAUCCUCUAAAAACGAAGACACAUUGCUUGCACCAUAGGAUGAUCGCAUGUUGAAUGACGUCUACUCCGAGGAUGAGCUACCUGAUUUCCGUCUUGGGGCUAGACCGCGUGUUCCACGCCGAGCAGCUGCACCAGCAGCACCUGCAGCACCAGCAGCACCUGCAGCACCAGCAGCACCUACAGCACCAGCAGCAGCUGCAUCUCAGGAUGACGAGCCUACCGAGAUUGCCGUCCCUCCUGCGGCAUCAGCUGUUCCUGAGGAUCGCUUCCAGCAGCUUCUCGACCGAGUGGAUGCCCUGUCCCAGCAGCAGCAGCAACUUCGAUCUGAUUUUACAACCUUUCGGGAGCAAAUUUCUGAUCAGCAGAUGGAGUUAAUUGCAGGACAGCGUCGCAUUCUCGGCUACUUUGGAUAUGACCCCGGCAGCUCGUCUUCACAGCCCCCAUCUUAGAUUUCUCUGCCCCUCUGACAUUCGCAUAGACAUCUUUCAUUUCAUUUGCCAUAUGUGUAUGAUAUUAUUUGUGUUCUGUGUGUUAUGUGUUUUGUGAUUAUGCUUUUGAUAAUUCUUGUUGGACAUAUGCACUUAAUUUCUGUUUGGGUUGUUUUUGGUAUUAUAUUGAUUAUAUUGCUCAUUCUGGAAGUGUGAAUUUGUUGGUAUGGAGGUUGGUUGAUAUGGUGGUAUAUUUAUAUGGAAGUGUUUUUCUUUUUAACUCUGUGUGUUGUUGAGGAAAUGCUCAUAUUUCAGGGGAGACUCUGCCCAAAUUUCUCCAAACAUAAGUCAUUCAUCUCGUCUCUUUCUUUUUGAUGAUGAAGGGGGAGAGAAAUUGGCAAAAUGCAAAAUUGGUUUUGGCAAAAUAGUAUUGGCAUGCAUGAGUUUACUGGCAUAAAUUUUUUUUUAAAAUCAAUCUGUCGUGUUUAAAAUUUUGAGAUUAACAGUUGAAUAUUUUUUAACAAGGGAGUUAACAAGUCUUUCAAAAUUUCACUUAGGGGGAGCAAAAUUGCACAAGUAUUUUCUUGAAAAGUUUGUCAUCAUCAAAAAGGGGGAGAUUGUUAACAUAAAUUAUUCUUGAUUGAUUUUGAUGAUAACAAACAUGAUUAAGAUUGAUUAAUCGAUUUAAAAGCUCAACAUAAUUUUCAUCUAUUUUGACAAGUUUCAUAAAGUAUUUUUAUAAAGAUUUGGAGACAAAACAGUCAUCUUGCAAAAUAGUUCACUGCAGCAGUUUUUGUGGAAAACGGCGAUCCGACAUGUGUAGUAAACGGCUCGCCGAUUUCAAGCAGAAAUGGAGAUUAGCCUCUGGACGAAAACGGCACACCGACAUUUGUGAUAAACGGCUCGCCGAUAUCAACCAGUAGCCUCUGGACCUAAACGGCGAACCUAUAUGUUGAUAAACGGCUCGCCGAUAUCAACCAGAACUGAAGGGUAGCCUUUGGACCUAAACGGCGAACCGACAUGUGUGAUAAACGGCUCGCCGAUAUCAACCAGUAGCCUCUGGACCUAAACGGCGAUCCGACAUCUAGAUAACGGCGAUCCGACAAUUUGAAAAAUCAGCCCAACGGUCAUAUUGACCAGUCAAACGGCGAUCCGACAUCUAGCUAACGGCGAUCCGACAGUGUGCAGAAAGUCAAUAACGGCUAGUUUUCAGCAGCAGCUAUAAAUAAGCUCAUUCAAAUUCAAACAAAGAUUGAUCACAACACGACCAUUGAGCAAAUAUUCGAGAAUACAAUCUUCAUAGAGCUUAGAACACAUUCUUGCUUCAUCUAUUCACAUAUUAAGCAUCAUUGUGUAAUCUUAUAUAUUGUGAGAGGCAAAACAGUUUGUAAUCUUUUACUUUGAGUGAUUGUAAGUGUUGGGAUACACUUGGGUUAAGAGAUUGGGGAUAAUCUCUUGUUGUAAAGGUCCAUUGACACCUUGGAAGUCAAGUGUAAGCAUUUGAAGCCUUGGAGGCUUGCUUAGUGGAAUCCUCAAGCCCGGAAAGCUUGGAGGCGUGGACGUAGGCGAGGUUGGCCGAACCACGUAAAAAUCUCGGUGUUUGAAUCCCUCUUCCCUUAUCUUUUUAUAUUGUGAUCAUCCUAAUUGUUGUUGCUUUGAAUUUGAUUUAUAAUUACAUUAAGAUUUUCUUUAAUAAAUUGAAUAAUUUUUUAGAAUCUCAAUUCACCCCCCCUCUUGGGUUGCAUACUUGUAUUUCAGUAGGGUCCCAAUCAAAAUGUGGCACGAACACAUUUAUCCAACAACAAGAUUUUUCGAUUGCCAUCCCCACUAAUUUGGUGUAAGGACUAAGAGUUAAUUGAAAAAUAUUUAGUUUAAUUUUACAUUUAAUUUUUUUUUUCAUUUUUGUAUUAAGAAUUAAUUGAAAAAUUAUUAUAUUCCCUUAAUUUUACCAUAAUGCCGUUGACUUAGACCCUAGUCUCUUGAUUAAAGCGUUUUCAAGUUCAAAAGAUUCAGAUAACUCACUCGAUUAUAGGGCGUCUGCACCUUACGCUCGCGUUUGUUGUGAUGCCAGUAGCUGCUGUGACUGUGGCUGUCGUUGUCGAUUGUACUUGAAUUUUGCAGGAGAGCUUAAUAUCUUGUUUAGUAAUUAAGUGUUGUAUCAUUUAUUGUUAAAAAAUUAUAUUAUAAAAUAAAAAUUAAUAAUAAGUAAUAAAUAUGAUUUUUAAAAAUUAAUUUUCAUUAUAUAUUGUCAUUAAAUAAAUAUAAAAUUAAUUUAAUUUAACUGUAAAAUUAUAAUAAUUAAUAUUUAUUGAAUACUUUAGUAUUAUAACUUUUAAAAUUAUAAUGGACUAACUUCAAUCCCAAAAGAACCUGAAAUGAUUGUGGAGAUCGGGAUUUUCAAUUUCCUUUCUUUUUGGAACUAGUUUGGGAUUGUCCAAACACGCUAUGGUAUGCGUUUGACAUGGAGAAGGGGGACAAAUCAAUUUUGUUUACUGCAAAACCCUAAAAAUAAUUAGUCAACUUGCGUAUACCCCUUUUGGACCCAUUUUGUCAGGAAAAAGAAAUUGUGGACCAUUUGCACUCUAAAUUUAACUUUAGAUACUGGUAUUUUAAUAAAUUUUUAUAUUAUUAAAUUAACCUUAAUAUAAGGAUCCAGCUACCGUGCAUCUGUGGUAUGGUAUCCCGCAUUUUGUUUAUAUAUGACUUUGCCUUUAAAUGUAACACAAAACUUGCAUCAAUUGCAUAGAUGUAUUCUCUUUGGUUAUUAAUAUUGACACCCCUAUUGUUUUUCAAAAAAGUAAAAUGGUGAAAGGUUUGACACAUAAUUUUAGAUUAUUUUUAAAUUUUUUAUUUUUAUCAAUUGAUCUACUUUAUUAUUAAAAUUAAUGACAGUAUAAGAGCAAUAACUUGAAAAAACUUUUUAAUACAUAAAAUAUUUUUUUAUUUUGAAAACAAUAGAAUAUCAAUUUAAUAUAUAGUAAAUAAUUUGAAUAUAUAAUAAAAAUAUAUUAAUUUAUCAAUAAUAAUAUGACCAAAUGACAAUGUUAAAAAAUUUCAUAAUAAUCAAUUAUGGUUUAAUAUUCAAAUAUAAAAAAUAAAAAUAUACUCUUAAAUGUGAAUAGUAGAAAUAUAUUAGACUUAUAUGCUAAAAUUUCAAAACUUUUAAAUUUUUUAUUUUUCAACAAAUAAGAGGGACUGUAAAGUAAUUUAUCAAAAACCGGUGGUUCCUUGAACCCGGGGCAAUAAUUUACUAUUAAGAACGAUUAUAGUUUAAUAAAUUUUUAUCCUAUAAACUUUUAUCUACUGUAAACCACAUUAACAAUGAAAUGUUGAAUCAAUGUUCACAUCAAGUUACAUGUUCUAUCUCUUAUAACUGAAACAAAAGGAAUUACAUGGUCACCGUCUGGAACUGGAAAUGUUUUGAGUUUACUUAGCCUAGAAGAAUUAACCCUUAUCCUUUUAGUUCGCACCGCCCACGAAGCUUCAUAUUCCUAAGAUAUGUCUUUUUUUUUUUUAAAUAAUUUAUAAUCUGACAGCUGGAACAAAGUUUCGACUUUCGAGUGGGCAAAACGCAAAAACUACCACGACUACUUCAACAACUUCGUUACAUUUAGACAUUUAUCAUUUAAUCAGAGUUUGACGAGCAGCCUUGAAGGAAAAUUUAUAGAAAUGACCCUUACUUUUUUUCGAUUAUACGAAUAACAAAUAAAAUUUUCUUUUUUCAGUUAAACAGUUUAAAGUCUACUAUCUACUGUUUAAAGGAGAAAAAUAUGGUGCAACGGUGGUACCGUUGCACCGUAGCCGGACCCCUAUUUGAAAUAUAUAGCAAAUGAAAUUUUCCUUUUUUCAAUUACACAAUCAACAUGUAACUGUUUUGUAUAUAUCUUUUUCUAGCGGCUUCAAAACGCUUCAACCUUAUGGAAUGGCACAAUCUUUGUAUAUUAUUAUUUUAAUUAAUAACAAGAUUACUGAUCCUGUGUGCCCGGUAAACACUACUGUGAUUGAGGAAAAAGCGGUAUUGCUAUUGCUGUCUCUUACCAAAGGCCUUGAUAAAUCAACCGUUUCUUCACAUCAAACUAAGGCACAAGAGGUAUAAAGCCUAGGUGUAGGAGAGAAAGCUACAACAUAUAUGACACAAAAUCAAUUUGGAUGGACCUUGCUAAUCACGUCUGUGAAUGAAGAAGAUUCACCUCGAUGCCAUAGUAGAGCAAAUUAUUAGGGGGCAGGAUGGACAUGUCACAUGGUUAAGGGGGUCUCUAAAUCCCGAAGGGUACAAAAACCUCUGCUUUGAAGCUCACCUCACUAUCUAAAAUCAAAUAUGACUUGAAUGCGAAAUUACGUGUGCGGUAAGUUCUUAUUUGGGAAACUGUGUUGUGCGUCCCACAAACUCCAAAUGGGAGCUUGCCACAUGUUCAAUCGUGCUUAUAGAGUGUGUCCGCAUGCAUCUAAUUGAGAUCUUAUUUACAGUAUAAUACACUUCUAAAAAUUUAGAUAGCAAUAUAAAACUUUACAACUAUAAUAUUCAUUGAUAAUAAAUUUAUUUAUUAUGAUUGUUCUCGUUGAAAACUCCUCAAUGAAAUUUUAUGAGUCGAAAAUAACGUAUGAUAGUUUAACUACCAAUAUAAGAAAAAAUAUAUUUUUCAAUAUACAAAACUAGGUUAUUGCUUAAUUUGCUUUUAAAAUCUUUUAAUAAUAACAAAAAUAUUCAUAUAUUGCAACACAUAGAGCAAACAUGAAUGCAUGAUAAAAUUAUAGAUUUCAAAACUAGACAAAAGAUUAAUCAAAAAAUGAAAAAUUAGAAUUAUGUAGACUUACAACUUAUGGGUCAUUGUUGAAAGAUCAAACAAUUGAUUUUACUCGAAUAGAAAACAAAAAAAAUUAAAGACCAGUUCAUUAACCAUUAUGCUAACAUUUUGUUAUGAUUAUUUUUUAUUUUAAUAUUUGUUCUCAUGUCUUUAAUUGAAUUUUAUGAAAUGUUAAUAACUAAUUAAAUUAUUUAUGAAAUUGUUCUAUUAUUUUGCAACAUCAUCAAAUGAUGAUUUCUUGUUCCAAAAAAUAUUAAUUAUCCAAAAAAAUUUACACUAAUGGAGUUGGUACACACAUCAAUCAAGCAUGAAUCGUCAUAUCCUAAAAAUGUGUAAACAUACAUUUAUCGGCUACGAAAGAAAUUGGAAGCAAGCAAAGCAAUUGGGGAUAAGUUUCCCCCAGACAUUGGGAUGUGUCAGUGAUUUCAACUUUUCUUUAUUUUCUUAUAGCUGAUUGGUAGAAAUAAAGCAGCGGCUGUUAAUGAAUUUGCGUAUAGUUGCUUCCCAAUCAGCUUGCAUGAUAUUGAUAGGCAAAAGAAUUCGCCUCAAUUCUGAAUUCUGAUAUUAAAAAACUAAUUCAUAAUAUUGACGUGAGGUUAAGGUUAAUUAUUCCCUUAGCAUCAAUCACCAAAAUAAGUAAAGUAUAUGCGAAAAGUAUUUUAAAAGAAAUCUUAGUUACCAUUAAUAUUAGAAAGAACAUAAAAUAUUUAUCAAGUACAAAGUCUAUUAGUCUUAAAGCAACAACAUCUUAAAGGCCACAGUCUAUCUAGGUGUAUGGAUUUUUGUUGUUUCAAGUUGGAGGUGAUUAACAACAAUUAUUAGAUUGACACGAUAUCAUCCACUUUAACCUUAAAAAAAAACCCACUCAAAGUUAAAAGAAUGAACUCUUUUGUUAGUUUAAGAACUUCAUUAUUAAGAAAAAGGAAGAGGAAUUUUGUGGGGCAUGAUCGUAGAAUACAAUUAAAGAGCCAAAAGAUGAUAGAGGGUCUCACAUAAUUAAGUGGAAAGCAGUCAAAAAGUGGGAAAAGGUUGUUCUUUUCUUCAAUGUUGUUUGAUUUACUUUAGAAUGAUUGAAGAAGAAAGAUCACUGUGGUGAUCUAAUGAAAGAGCUGUUUUCCAUUUGCAAUUAAACGGAAAACGAAACUUACAGAGAAGUUGUGCACAUUUGCACGUCAUAUGCUUUAUAAUCGAUCCUAUUUUUCUACGAGAACGUGAUUGAUUGGUACACAAGUUGUAUCACCUAACCAGCUAGCUCCAUGUUGCCUUAGUUAAUCUGCUACUUAAUUAACUGCUUUAUUGAAGCACUCACAAAUUAAACAAUAAUAAUUGAGUACAUAUAUGCACUAUUCUUAUUAUGUGAGUGAGAUAUUUAAGCCAGGGACGUAGCCAGGAUUCUGAUCAAGUUGGGGCACAUUUAAAAUCAAACAUGACUCAAAUGCGCGACUACACGUGCGGUAAGUUCUUAUUUGGGAAAUUGUGUUGUGCGUCCCACAAACUCCAAAUGGGAGCUUGCCACAUGCACAAUUGUGCUUAUAGAGUGUGUCCGCAUGCAUCUAAUUGAGAUCUUAUUUAAAGUAUAAUACACUUUUAACAAUUUAGAUAGUAAUAUAAAACUUUAUAACUAUAAUAUUCAUUGAUAAUAACUUUAGUUAUUAUGAUUGUUCUCGUUGAAAACUCCUGAAUGGAAUUUUAUGAGUAAAAAAUAAUGUAUGAUAGUUUAACUACUAAUAUAAGAAAAAAUAUAUUUUUCAAUAUACAAGACUAGGUUAUUACUUAAUUUGCUUUUAAAAUCUUUUAAUAAUAACAAAAUUAUUCAUAUAUUGCAACACAUAAAGCAAACAUGAAUGCAUUAUAAAUUUAUAGAUUUUAAAACUAGACAAAAGAUUAAUCAAAAAUGAAAAAUUAGAAUUAUGUAGACUUACAACUUAUGGGUCAUUGUUGAAAGACCAAACAAUUGAUUUUGCUCGAAUAGAAAACAAAAAAAAUAUUAAAGACUAGUCCAUUAACCAUUAUACUAACAUUUUUUAUGAUUUUUUUUUAUUUUAAUAUUUGUUCUCGUGUCUUUAAUUGAAUUUCAUGAAAUGUUAAUUGCUAAUUAAAUUAUUUAGAAUUAGACAUUUAAACGAGGGAUAAUAUGAAAUAUUUUAAAAUUACUAGAGUCACUUUUAAAUUUUACAAUGCAGCUGGGGCAUUUUUCAUAAAUAACAAACAAAAUACAUUUUUUUCAUAUAAUCAUCAAAAAAAAUUUAAAAGCCAGCCAGGGCAUGUGCCUCAGCUGGUCCCAUGCUGACUCCGCCCCUAUACGUAAGACACACGCAUAUUAUUUUACAAGGUACCACCAAUUUUUGUAUUUUGUGAUGUCAAAUUUCAUUUAACUCCUUAUCUUUUUUUAUUUACGGUUUAUUUAUAACAUUAUAUCUUUUGACAGGUAACUUUUUAAAAUGAAUUUUAUUUAUAAUUUAUUUAUAAGUUUAUAUACUUUGGCUGGUGAUCUACUCAAAUGUAAUUUUAUUUUAUUUAAUAUUAUUUAUCUUUCUAAAAGAAUAAAUAUAACAAUAAGCCUGUGACUAGAUAAUAUUAAAUAAUAUUUUGAAUAAAAUAAAAAUAUUAAAACUUUAUUCUUUUAAAUAAAAUAAAUAAUAUUAAAAAAUAAUAUUUAUUUUUUAGGACUCACAAUUGCUUAUUCUAUUUUAUUUAAUAUUAUUUAGUCAAAUAAUAUUAAAUAAAAUAAUAUAAAUAUUAUUAAAAAUAAUAGUAAUUUUUUUAGACUCAUUACUAAUUAGUUCAUUUUAUUUAACAUUAUUUAGUUUCAUGAAAGAAUAAAUAUAAUAAUAAGCCUUUGACUAUAUAACGUUAAAUAAAAUCAAAUAAAUAAUAUCAAAAAAAUAUUUAUUUUUUUAUAAAAUAAAUAAUAUUAAAAUUUUAUUCUUUUGAAUAAAUAAAAAUAUAUUUUUUAAGACUCACAACUGAUUAUUUAUUUUAUUUAAUAUUAUUGAGUUUUUUAAAGAAUAAAUAUAAUAAUAAGUCUAUAACUAAAUAACAUUAAAUAAAAAUUAAAUACUAUAAAUAAUAUUAAAUAAAAAUUAAUUAAUAUUAAAAACUAUAUUUAUUUUUAAUGCUCACUACUGAUUAUUUUAUUUUAUUUAAAUAUUUAGUUUUUUGAAAGAUUAAAUACAACAAUAAGCCUGUAACUAAAUAAUAUUAAAUGAAAUGAGAAUAAAUAAUUUUAAAUAAUAUUUGUUUAAUAAAUAAAUGAUAUUAAAAAUUAAUUUUUAAAAUAAAAAAUAAUUAAUAUUAAAAUAAAUUUAUUUUUUAAGACUCAUUGAUAAUUAAACAACAUAAAAUUUUAAACAAUUUGGACUUAUGUGCUAAAAGUUUUAAUUCUUUAGCUCUUUUGCAUUUUUGAUAAAUAGCAAGGAGCAUAAUGUUAAUAUUUAAAUAAACGAUUCACUACCCUUAAAUCUAUCUUUUCAUUGAAUCCAAUGAUCAAAAAUUAAAACCAAUGACCAAGAAUUGAAACUACAAAAAAAUAAAAUCAUAUGGUAUCUUACAACUGUUGUAAGAUAAUUGAGUCUUUUAAUUACACGUGUUAUUUGGAACUUGUUAAAUUGGUCCCUUGUGGGUCCUCGUGGACUCCAAAUUAGCCGUACGCCUUUUAAAUAGAAAUAAGUGCAUUACAAUUUUUUUCUAUUUUACUUUAUUUUUGAAAUUUUUUGGAAAAAGCGAUGACUCAUGAUAAUAGAAGAAGAAGAAUAGUAGGAUACAUGUAAUAUCGGUUUAUACUUUAUAUCACUUUUUACUUCUUUCUUUAAUUUUUUUUUUAAUUUUUUAUUAUCCUUUUUUGUGUCUUUGGGGUCCAAAUAUAUUGUGUAUGAAUAAAUAACGCGGCUUAUGAGUUGAUGGCAAUUUACCAUGCGUUAAUAAUGCUUGAUGAAAAUGUUGUAACCAACUGCUAAUUCGGUCGGAGAGGAGGGAUAUCUAGAGCAACCAAAGUUCAUAAUUGUUUUAAAUUAUUUGAGAUUAUUGCGGUGUGCAACGUGUCGUUUGUUAAGAGAAUUAAAAUGAGUCAAAAGGUUUAAGAAAUAAGCUUUGGCUGCUUGGAAGAACCGCUUUCGAGCCUCCACAAAGUAUUGUAGGGCUUAAAUUCUUUUUAAUUAUGAAUAAUAAUUAAAUGAAGACAGUUUUUUCCCUAAUAAUUACCUAAUUAUAAAUAUAUCAGUAAUAAUUUCAUUUAAUACGAAUUGUAAUAUCAAGAAAGAAAAAAAAAAAGCUAUCCACUUAUGAUAAUAUUCUUAUUUGUAAACGUGUCAUGAGAAUUGAGAUGAUACAUGAUCAUCAAUGUCAUAUACUAAUUGAAAGAGUAGGUUUGCGAGGGCCAGCCGUGCUAAGCAAGGGUUGUCAUUUCCCUUAACCGCUUGAAAUGAAGCAUGAGGGAAAGAUCUUAUUCCACCUAUGUUUUAUUAUUAAUAUAUAAUUUUUUUUAUCUAUUAACCAAUAAUUAUCGGAGCGAGUUUUACUCAGGAGAACUUCAAUAAUAAAAAAUGUUUGAUCUCACUGAAAUGACAAGUUAUUUAAGGUUAUUGAAAAUUUAAGUAAAAGUUACUUUUAGGAAAAUGCUAAACGAAGAGAAUGGCGUGAGAACGCAACGUGAUAAUAUUAAAUGUAUAGUAAAUGUCAACUUUUAGCAUUUUUCCUUUCUCACCACGAGUAGCUUUUGCACGACAGAAAAACAAAACAACGUUCAUCACAAAGCUAAUUUUUCUCUCAUCCAACGUGAAAAUCACUUUGGCUCAUUUAUUCACCAACGACCACCGAGUAGAUCUAGAGUAGUAGCAAGUGAGGGAGAGGAGCAGUAGAUCUGGAGUAGUAGCGAGCGAGAGAGGGGAGGAAGAGGAGGAGUAGCGAGUGAGGGAGAGGAGUAAAUCUCAACAUUUUUUUUUUCUUUCAUACUAGCCUUUUAAGGUUAUAAAAUUAUUUUGUUUUUAUUAACAAGAAUGUUGAAAGCUGCUACUGAAAAAAACGACAUUACUGUAUGUCAUUUCUCUCGGCAUUCUUGCGAAUUAAUUUACAUUUGUACCACUCUAUUAAUUUACAUCUUUGCAAUUCAUAUAAAUAAUUUUUUUUUUUAAAAAGUAAAAUCUUAGGUCCAGCCUGAAUGGGCUCACAUCUAACACUACUCUUACUUUUAUGCCAUCGCAUGAUAUCGUGUAGGGACGACAAAAUAUAGGUUUGGUCUGAGUUUGAAAAGCCAAGCCCAUUUCAGGAGAGGCACAACAAGCGAGCCUGGUCGAGCCCAAUGUGAGCCCAUUCAGGCUCAAGUUGGACCUAAGAUUUUACUUUUUUUUUUAAAAAAAAAAUUAUUUAUAUGAGUGGCAACGUUAUAAAUUAAUAGAGUGGUACAAAUGUAAAUAAAAUAGUUGAUUUUUUUGUAAACUUUGCAUAAUGGCAAUUUUGUAAAAUUUGGACAGGCUGUAGCUCGUCUCAAUCCACACACAGCGUUACCACUGGGUAUAAACAUGGAGAACAAUUUAUAAUUCCACCAAGCUAAAUUAAAGUCAAACACUUGACAUUAAGAAAUUUCUAAUAAUCUUAUAAAUAAGAACUAACUGACAACUCACCAAUUAGUUUUUCAUCAGAACUCAUAACACAGCACUUACCCAUUCACAUUAUAAAAAUAUUGACAUUAAUGAGAGCGUAACUUAAUCAAAUAAUAAUCCAUUAAUAAAAUGAAAAUUAACAACUUGUACCUUCAUAGAUGAUUCUUGUGCACUUGACUUUCUAAGCAAAGAGCGUCACUAUUCUUUUCAAGAAGGCAGCCACCACAAAGCGCAGAAGCUUCUUCAUAUAAUAGUACAACAAUCAAAACCUGAAACAUACGCAUUAGUAUUAAUUUAUUAUAAUUUAGCAGCUGUAAAUAUUUUUUUUUCAAAAGUUAUCUAAAGUAAAUAUAAGAAUAACAAAGAAUAAAAUCUUAGAUCAACAACAGAGAACUUAAACUCAAAAACUUGCUUGAACUACUAUCAACAUCAUACUGCAUAAUCAAAUAGACAAAAUAGUGUAAUAUAUAAUUUGUAUUGACCUCCAUACCAUCACGUAAAAAAGAUUGUAAUAAAAAUAGGGGUGUCAAAAAAACCCGCCCGGACUGGACCUGGCCAAUCCGGUCCGGGCAAAACCCAGACCGCAUGCGCUGAAAAUGAGGGUUCGGGUUUAAGAAUUUCAAACCCGGCCAUUUUCGGGCACAGGUCCGGGUUCAACACCAAAAACUCAGAACUCGGAACCGGACCCGGUUUCUAAAUUAAAAAAUAUAUAUAUAUAAAAACAAAAAUGUCAAAACCCAAAUCCCUAAUUGGCUAAUUCCUGAUUGAAAGAGGCAUAAGCAGCAAGCCAGCAAUGCUGUCACCGGCAUCAUCUCUUCUCGUCACCGUUGACAUUCGGCAUCAACCACCACCCACCGUCACCGUCGCUCGUCGGCAUCAUCUCUUCUCGUUUGCUGACUCGGCUUGGCACGCGGCUUUACUCGGUUGCUCCAUCUCCAGUGGCAGUGCGGCUGUGACUCAGUGACAGUGAGUCGUUCGUGCAGGUGAGGCCUGCUUCUGGGAUAUUUUUCUAGGAUUUGGCCUCUUCGAGUUGCUUGGCCUGCUUCCUGACAUGUUCGACAGCUGCGAUUGCAGAUUCCUUGGAGUCCUUAACAACUUUGAGCUUGGUGGUCAACUCGAGCAUGGUUCUUUUAGCCCUCUCAAGAUCGCCAAGUGCUCGAGCUCUUGUGCUUUCAGAGCUCUCUAACAGUUUCUUAGUUCUUUCGAUUUCUUUCCGGGCCAAGAGAAGCUGCGUCGUCAGCGCCACCGUCUCCAACUCUCCAUCGCCACUUUCUCAACCACCAUCUCCAACUCUGCUUCUCAGCUUCUGCAGGAGAGAAUUGCAUGCCAUAUUGCCAUUACUAUUAAGUUACUAUAUGCGGGUUUCUAAGCCCAGACCAAAAACCCGGACUCGGGAGGUGCCGGGUUUGCGCCCGGCCCGCACCCGGAAAAUCGGAUUUUAACCCGGGUCCGGGUUUUUUGUCCACUCAUCCGGUCUGGUCCCGGGCAACACCAAAACCCGGACCAGACCCGGAUUUUGCCAAGCCUAAAUAAAAACAAAUUAUAAAUUGUUUAGUGAUCACAAUGGAUCCUGAAAAUGACAACAACUACAUUAUUAUAAUGAGUUUGACGUGUCAUUGUACAUGGAUUCGUUAUGAUGAAUCAUGAAACACCGUUGAGUAAUUAAUUCGGCCACUUUUCACCUAUAAAUUUGAUGGCAUACUUUGAAUACACAACAUGGUUGUAAAUAUAAAUUUAGAGAAUUUUUGUGGGAAAGAAUAAUUUUAUUGACAAAAGUUAUUUUAAGUACAAAAAUAAUUUUAAGUACAAAAAUUAUAACAUCUCCAUUUUUAAUAUAGCUGACAUAAGUUAUUUGAGUUAAAAAAAAAAGGAGGAAACUUAGAUACGCCAUAUUAAAUAGGGCAGUAAUAAAAAAAAAAAUCUAAUUGACAUAAAUUAUUUGAGCAAAUGACAAAUAUUCGCUAAGAAAGUCUUUUUCAUUUUUUCCCAAAUAAUAAUCAAUGUUUUUUUCCACUACGCAUUGAAAGAGCUCGCAUCGACAUCAAUCAUGAACCAGUCGUGGCCUAGCUAUAUUGCCUGCAUUAUGAAUACCACCUAUGACCUUUAGAGCCUAACCGUUUAUCUCAGUCUAUUUUUAAUACUCAGGACAUGACCCUACUGGUCCCAUUAUAUAUCUAUUUAAAUUUCUUUUUUUUAGAAUGUCUAUUUAGAUUUCUUAAAUUUAAAAAACAAAUCAACUUCUAGCCCUUUAAAAAAAAAAAAUCUAAAAUCAACAAAGCUAUUAUUUUGAAGAUAUUUUGAAUUCCAAUUCCCAAUUAAAAUCAUGAAUAUAUCAGCUAUAUCAUAGCUUCAGCAUAACUAGUAAGUGGUGACAUCAAAUUUUCAAAUAUUUGGAACUGGAAGCAAAUAUCUAGUUAAUGAUUGAAGUUGCUGACGAAUAAAACCUCUUGUAUUAUCAUAGAGGCUGCCCCAAUAGCUUGCAAUAACUAUGGAUGGUGCAGUAAAGUUUCAGGAUAGAUGAAUAAACUAAAAAGCAAAAGAGAAAUAUCAGUUGCAGUAAGAACUACGUCAUCUCCACCUCGAUUAUUAUUCAAAUAUUAACACCAAAUGUCACUGAACAGCACAAGAGAAACAUCAUCCAUAUUUUAAAUGUAUCUGAAUAGCAUAAAUAUGAAAAUCACUGCAGAAAGUAAAAAAAAGAAAAAAGUAAAGAGAAAUUUAUCUCACAGCAUUCCUAUUAUUAAAACAUCAUUCAUUCAGUCUCUGGCCAAAGAACAUGAUAGCAACUACAAAAACCCAUGAGCCGGCAGGUCUUGUCCCUGUACAUGGUGAAACAACUAAAAUUAUGCUUUAAGAACUUUGCAAUAACUAAAAUUAUUACUCAAUACAUAUAGAAAACUUGGGCUCUGGAUAACUAUUUUCCCAAAUCAUGGGGUGUAGCUGUUCUUUUCUCCUAAUCAUUGAGGUACAUGUGAAAUAGAGAGAGAGAGAGAGAGAGAUUAAUUAGUAUACAUUCCAUUGGUAGAGUUUCUAGCUUAAAAUUUAUAUCACAGGCAUUGCUUAUUGAAUUGAAUACAUAUGAGUCCGUCUAUUUAAUGUUAAGUCUAAUAAUAGGAAAGCAGGCUCCAUUCAUUUUCAACAAGCAUUGCAAAAUUCAAAGUUUAUAUCACCGUUUAAUCAAUAGGGGAAUUGAUUUCCCAUAACAAGAAUGAACUCUAUAUAUAUGUAUGUAUACACCAAGAACACAGGAAGAAAAUUAUUUCUAUCAGAAAAUCAAGAUCACUCAACCAAACAAUGGUACCUUCCAAUCUACCUAGUGUAUGUAUAUAGGCAUCCACUGAUUGAUACUUUGAAUUUAAUUAAUGAAUUUAAUUAAUAAAUCAACUUCAGGUGUCAUGUUUCCACAUUAAAUAGAGCGAAUAACAAUUAACUAGAUAUGACAGAACUGGUUAAAAAUUUGCUCAAGAUAUACUAAAAAGAUCAAAUUUUAUUAUUUUUUACCUGCUUUCAUGUCUCUCCAAUGUCAGAUCAUGUCCUCAAGCAACUCUUUCGGCUUUCUUUGCCCAUUUUUCUUCUUUUUACAGCAUGAAGCUAAUACAAAGCCAAAUGAAAAGUAGAUUGGUCAUUUUAAAUUCAAUUUAACUGUCAAUCAAAAAGUUCAAUUGUUACUUUCAUCAACUCUAGAAUCAAUAGUUAAUGAAAUAUACAA